rnacentral:lncRNA from 1 species
CAGCAACAUGUGAAGAGACUCUAUACAAGUCACCUUUAGCAACACCUUCAAGUAAAAUUUUCCUUGUGUUCCUAGCCUUUAUAAAAAACAAAUCACCAAGAAAUUCCAACAGUAACUGGAUUGUCAGCCAAUAAUUUUGAAAUGCUAAGCAAAUUCUUAGUAAUAAAAGGGACAUGAAGAACAUGGUUUUUAAAGGUUUAGAAGUUGAAGUAUUUAGCACAACUGAUCCUACAUGUGUAAUAGCUAAUGCAUUUCCAUCUCCAACAAACAAUUUUUCAGUACUAGUAUAAAUUUGUGAAUCCAGAAGUUUACCUAGAUCAUUUGUAAUGUGAUUUGUUGCUCCACUAUCAAUAUACCAUGAAGGAUCUUCAAUGUGUUCUGGUGGAAGUGAAGAAGGCAUAGCUGAGGAAGAUGAAGCACUUGACUGUCCAGGAUUAUUAUUUCCUUGACCAGAAACAAAAGUAGAUGGUCUAGGGGUGAAUGAGUAAUAAGCAGAAGGAUUACUAUCUGGAUACACCAUAUUUCCUUGAUAGCCAAAACCAGCAUUUAAACCAAAACCUCCAAAACCUCUGCCACCAUUACCAUUAAAAGCUCUUCCUCUACCAUAUUGCCCUUGAUUAAAACCUCUGCCACCAUUCAUAUUACCUCUGCCAUAGUUUCUCUGUGGAACAAAAGAUGAAUUGUACCUAUUUUUGCAUCUAUUGGCUGCAUGACCAGGUAUGAAGCAGAUUUGACAAACAGUUUCAGAGGAAUUACCACCAUUAUUAAACUGACCAUAUCCAUAUCCAUUAAAACCUCCAUACCUAGAAUUAUUUCCAUAAUUUUUUUGAAAAUUGCCAUUAUUCUUUCCAGCAUAUGAGUUCUUCUGAGCAAUAUUUGCUGUCAUAUUGUGCAUCACAUCACCAGCAAUUUUUCCUUUCUUUUGUUCAACUCUAUUUUCAUGAUUCAAUAGCAAAGGAUAUAGUUCAUCUAAUGUUAUCUUCUCACCUCGAGCUAAAACACCUGUGACUAAAGAUUCAUAAUCUGAUGAAUCAAGACCAGUUAAUACAUGAAUCACAAGAUCACUUAACUCAACAGGUUUUCCAGCUAGAGCUAAAGUAUCAGCUAUACGUUUUACUUUUGCAAAGUAAUCAGACAUAUGCAUUGCACCUUUCUUAAUAGUUUGAAUCUGCAUUCUAAGUGUUUGAAUUCUAGCUUGUGAUUAAGAAAUAAACAUACUAGUAAGAGUCUUCCAAAGCUGUUUUGAAGUUGUGGAGUCAAUCACAGUAGCAAGUAGAUUUUGCUGUAUCGACGACAUCAUCUAACUCAACAGAAGUUGAUCAGUCUUCAUCCAAGCUAUGAACUCUGGAUUAAUAGAUUUGGAUUCAGAUUCAGUAAAAAUUUCAGCUCCAUUGUUGUUUCCAAAAGAAAGAAACUACUCAGGACAUUCUUGAUCACCAUUGAUAAACCCUUCCAGACCGUUUCCUUUGAUCGAUGCUAAAAUUUGUGCCCGCCAUAAAAUGAAGUUGUUUUGGUCUAGCUUUGCAGGCGUAACAAAACUAAAAGAGUUGUUAUUUUGAACUGUAUUCGCCAUUUAUGGCUCUAAUACCAUGAAAGAAACUUAGUUUUGCAUUGUUUGGCAAGCUAGAAAAUGAAGAAAAUAAAAGAAAGCUCUGUAAAGAAGUUUGUAGAACCUUUAUUACUUUAGCAUUACAACUGAAUGAAUACAGACUGAUAUUUAUAUUAAGCUACAAUUUGCUCAACACACACACGAGUUUGUUACAUCACAUAACCAUUUGCUGCAUAACUAAUUUGACACAUCAGCUCAACCAGCUAAUUAACUUUGCCAGGUCAGCUUAGUGAGUUGAUCUGCUAAAUUCAGCUACACAGCAACAUCAUGCUCUGCUCUAGCUUCAUUCAAUUCACUAGCAUUUUCCCUUGAUACAUUAGGAGAAAAGACUGCCUGUGAGAUACAACAAUGUAAAUAACUUCUCAUGGUUCAUUGAAUCUAUAACGCACUGAGCCCUAUUCUAAAAUAUGUAGGUUGCUUCUGAAAAAGGGCUUUUCUCACUGAUCUUUAAUCUUCAAGAAAGUUUGUUUCAUUUCAGAAGGUAUAAGUUUCAAACUUAUUGUAUUGGGAGGUUGUAUAGUUGUAACCUAAGCAUCUGCAGGUUCCUGGUUCAACACAUUAUAGUAUGGUAUUUUAUUUUGUCACAAGGCAAUUGGUUACGGGAUCACUUUUGCAACGGUUUGUUGAUGGCGAUGAUGAAUUUCGCAAUAGUAGGUUGAAACUUAUUCCAUCUGUUCCUAAGGUAUCCAUCUUGGCCUUCAUGUAGUAGGACUAUAUUAACGUAUACUUACCCUUUACUGCAUGGUACACUUCAAUUUGUACAAAGAAGGCAUGCAUUUAGGUGUGAAUGUAUUGAUGGGUUGUACCUUCAAACUUUAUCUCCUUUUUACCCUCUUGAAUUUGUUUUGCACUUGUUCUUGAUUUUCAGCACUGAAUCAUGCAGGGGUCAUGGAUAGUGCGCCAGAGUGUUGGAAGCACCCCUUGUUUAUUGGGGAAGGCAGUUGAUUGUAACUAUAUUCGCGGUCCCAAGUACUUAGAAGUAAAUGCUCUUGGAAUUUCUAUAGUACAUGAGAUGUUCCCCUUUCAAAUAGCGUCCAAUACCUUUAACAUGGUUUAACAUUGUUCAUCUUUCUGUAGAUUGAUGUUGACAUCGAUUCUUCUACUGUUGCUAAUGGAGUUUUGGGCCUUGUAAUUGGUGUAAUUACGACAUUGGUGGUUGAGAUGGCUUUCCUUGUACAGGUAUGUAUGAUUGUUUUUUUCCCCCACUGCUAAAUGGACACAAGGGAAAAGACAUGAUUUUGAGAUAUUGCACUGCAACUUGCAUUUUUGCAUACUUGAAUGUUCUCAGAAUGAUAUAAUGCUUCUGUGUGUGUCUUCUUUAUCUUGCUCUUCUGUAUGCAGGCAAAUACUACAGAUGAAUUACCGGAGCGGCUGAUUGGUGCUGUACGUGUUUCUCAUAGAGAACUCAAGUCUGCUGUUGUCCCAAAGCUGGAACCAGAGAUAUCAUGACUCUGGUUUCAUUUCAGCUCAACUGUGUUUUUUUUUUAAUUAAAAAAAUCAUUUGUUUUAGGUAUACAUACAUGUAUUUUGAUUCUAUUUUCAUUGUAAUUUCUCAUUUACUUUGAAUGAAAGUCAUUGGUGUUUUCGAAUGGGAAUUUUGCAUUAAAAAAUGAAGAAUAAUGAAUAGGAAAUUUCCUGAUUCUUUAGUUACUAUUUUUGGUAUGAGUGUAAUUAGUAGUAAAGUAGGUUUCUACUCGCAAACAAGUGAACUACUCGAUUCCCGAGUGGUAUCAACCAGUUUCCAACUUUUUAAUAUACACUAAUUGUUAUUGUUUAAUAGCUACUACUAUUAAAACUCAACAGCUAGCAAAAAUACUUAAAAAAAAUGAUUUUUCUUAUGAUGCUGUGAAAAAAAUUACGGGUGUACUUCUUUCCAUGAGAUCUAUAACAUGGUCUCGACUUCACGAAAUUCUUUUAAUUUAAAGCGUGCUGGUGUGAGGUCAGUUUAACUGAUUAAUUCUUUUUAACAGUGGUCGAGAUAAUUUUACUAUACUAAAAAAUAUUCUUAUUCUGAUAAUGCCACAAAUGUUAUGCUGUUUUCUUCAGAUAAUGAUCUUCCAUUAGGAGAGGUUAGAAAUCAAAUGCUUAAAAGACCAAUUGAACGAAUAAUACAGAAAUUUAGGCAGAAUCUAAUAGAAUAUUGCAUGAAACAUGAAACAUCAAUUCAAGUCCUUUCUUAAACGGAGAAUGCAUCAAACAAAAUCCAAAGUGUCUUGCAAGUCUGUAGCGUGAGCAAAAAAUUGUAAAUAUGUAGAACCAAAUUAUUCAAGUACAGAAGAACGAGCAAGCUAAAUCAUGUAUAAGAGAUUGGCCUGGUUCGGGAUAGCUUCUUCACUGUAUCUGAAGGGUUGGCUCAAUCUCUUCUUUAGAAUUCUGCAGAUUUUGUAAUUACUCGUGUAAGCAAGUAUACAUUGCCACCAUAAGAAUAAUGAAGCUAGAGUAAUGAUAUGACCACCACCUCUUGUGCACAAACAAUAUUGUAUAAACUAAUGCGACAUAAUAUGAUUGGUUAAACAAAAACAUUACAUGGCCCUCAUAAUUUAUUUAUUUAUUUAUUAUUAUUAUUAUAUAUUUUCAGUCAACCAAUCAUAUUAUAUCACAUUAGUUUCUAUAAAAUAAUUUGCUAAAUAGCACCAAAACUUAAUUGAUACUCACCAUUUCAUUGAACAAUUUUUUUAUGGUGUCAUUGAGGUUGCCUUCCCAACAUCGUUCAUCAUCAUCUUUUUCUUCUUUGGUGACGUUCACUUUGUUUAGCAUUGGUGUGUCUAAGAGUCCUUGAGAGAAGAUCUUCAUUUUUGGACACUGUCUCACAACUACUUGUUUCAAGGACGGGAAUUCAAGAGCGUAAUUACCUAAACAAAAGCUUGUUAGGCUUGGCAAACAAUCAAGUCUCAAGUACUCCAAUUCCUUGAAAACAUUGCAAUCUUUCGCUUCUUCUCCAACCUGCAAUUGUAUGAUUUGUUCUAUCAUUUUGCAAUCAACUAUCAUCAUUCUUUUGAGAUUCACUAGAUUUUUAGAUGCUGAGAGCGUCAACACAUUUAUCAAUCCGUGACACUUCGAUACUGCCAAAGCCUCAAGAUUUUCCAAAUGCCACGAAGGUGGUACUAAUUUUUGCAACUUACUACAUUCCGAUAUUUUUAGACUUUUCAAGUUUGCAAACACUUUGUUGGAUUCGGCAUUUUCCUUCCAGAGAUGGUGCACUUUGUGUAAUCCAGACAGCUCUAACCAUCUCAAUCGAGGGAAUGAAACCUGAAAAUCAACAAAAUUAAGUUGUAAAUGAAAAUAUGUAUCCAAUCUCUGCAGUCUUCCCCUGCAUAUUUUAUGGACAAGAUUAAUCACGACAUUUUAUAUUUUUUUUCCAAAUUAGAAUGCUUUGCAGUAGGAUCCCAAAUAUAAGUAUCAAAUCGAUUACCCUUUGAAACACAUAAAUGAAAUCUGAUACUAAAUCCAAUAUGAAUUAGCUAGGAAAACAGAGAUGUUACACACAUAAUUAAUAGAGUUCAUCACCUCGUGUUACCAGGCAUCCAAUUAAUUUAAGACAUUUUAAUAAUUCAUAUUAUAAAGUUAGUUGAUAGCGGAGGUUAUAUUGUUAAAUCAUAUAUAAAUUAAGACGACGUGCAAAAAGAGGAGUCAUUAAAUUCGAUUUGAUUCUAACGAAAUUACAUCUAUGCGAAUGAAAGUGAAGGGAAAUAAUAAUAAUAAUAAUAAUAAUCACCUUUUCAUCGAAGAGAGGUUGUACUUGAUGAGCCAGCAAGAAGUUCUCUUCUGAUGUUAAUUUUUGAGGUUCCUUAUUAUCCGCUGUCAUGUGCAGUACAGAGUUGGAUAUGAAUGUUUCUAUAUCUCGGCAAUUCUCAAUAGUUAGAUUUCUCAACAUAGGCAUUUCAAUUAUAUUCCCAGUGAAGUUGCAGAAUCUUUUGAGUUUUGGAAGAUCAGUGAGCCUCAGCCUGUAAAGCUUAGGAAACAGGGGGCUUAUAUGUUCUUUGUCAGCAUUUAGCUCCUCCAAAUGAAGCACCUCUUCUAUUGAAUCACAAUUCCUCUCUUCCAGCCAUACCAAAUUGUUCAAGCACCGUAGCAGAUUGGCAGGAAUAGCACUCGACAUAUUCGUGCAGUCAUCCACAGCCAGUUGUCGUAAAUUGUUGAAGAAGCUGACAGGCAGUGCUUGGCCAUGCCAUAUUUCUUUCAAACGUGGAAAAUGUGAGAGUUGCAAAUCCCAUAUGUCACGGAAUCCAAUCUGCACAAACAAAAACAAUUGCACUGGAUAUAUAUAAAUUUUUUUUUUGAAUCAACUUACAUGUUUUGUGUUUUAACUUCUAAAACUAUAUAUACAAGGCAGGUGUAUAUGUUCAAAUGUCCAAGUGCAAGGGAGAUGCAUAAGUAAUUUCGACGAAUCGAUUUAACACAUACCAUUUCUUCGUAACACUUUUGUAUAGUGGAAUUAAGGUUGCCUUCCCAAUGGCGCAAUUCACCCUCUCCCUGUUAAGAAUAGAAUUAGUUAGUUAAUGAGUAUGCUGACAUGGCAGCUGAGUCAGCUAAAGGUUGUUAUAGAGGUUGUUAGUAGUAAACUGUGCGUGUGUGCAAUGUGUGUAGAAUCUUCUAUGCACAUAUAAAAAGGCUUGUAAUUUCCAGAUUCAUUAGAUCAAUAAUAACAGAAUUCUCAGCUUACAGAAGUUUUCUUUCUUCCUAUUUUCUUAGUAACCAAACAACAUCACAGUUUCAUAUAAAACUUAAUACUUCCUUUUUACUCACAUGCACUUCGUGCAGCUUUGGUGUGGAUACGAUUCCCUGAGAAAAAGUCUUCAUGUUCGGGUAACAUGUCAUAGAAACUCGUUCCAAUGAUGGGAAUUCAAGAGUGUAAUCCUCCAAACAAAAGCUGGUAAGCCUUGGUAAAUGAUUUCAGGUAAUUUUUAAAUAUUCUAAAUUCAUUUAGAAUAUUUAAAUGAAUUUAGAAUAUUCACUAUUUAGUAUUAGGAAUGGAGAAAGAAUUUCAGGUAAUUUUUAAAUAUUCUAAAUUCAUUUUUCAUCUUGAUUCUAGUUUUUUAAAAAAAUUUAAUUUUCAAACAUGCGUAUUUUUAAAAUAACUAAACUAAAACGCUGUAUUUCCCUUUUUUUCCCGAUAUUCAUGCUUUUAAAAAUGGAAAACAUUUCUGGAAAACACUUCCCAACGCCAUCAACAUGGGACUGUUAUAGAUGAAUUAAGGAAAAGAGAAAUAUAUAGAUGAAUUUGUGAACCUAUAAGAUGAGUGACUAUCCUUUAAUUUUUGAAAAUUGUACUUAUUAAGAUAUGAGCAGAAACAAUUAAAUUGAAUUAUAUUAUGCUGUUGAAUCGUGAUUAAAAAAAUUAUAUUGUUGAUUCUAAUGCUGGCGAACCUAAAAACUGGACUUAAAAUGUAGAUUUGAGAGUGGUGGUUCGAAGUACAAUACUUGAAAUAAAUAAUCAGUGGCUGAAUAUCAUUUGUAAACAAAAAAUGGUUAAAAUAUUGUUGGAUGUAAUUUGAAAAAAAAAAAAAGAUUCGAAAUGAAUACAGCAACCUUACCAAUGGAGGAAAAAUAUUCUUUAGGUUAUCACACUCAAAUAUCUCUAAAUUCUUCAAUUUGCUGAAAGACUCCGAAGCAAGUUGGUGGUGCCAUAUUAUUCUCAAAUUAUUCAUCCAGCUAAUAUGUAAUACCUCCAACCUAGGAAGUCGUACCUGGCAGUUAAAGAUUAAAUAACUAAUUAAUCAAUUAAUUGCAUAAUCAAUUGAUAACUAAAUUAGAGGCAGAUAUUAACUAAACUUGAAGACUCAAAGAAAAGACAAAUUAAAUAUUGUGACUAAAAUUAAUUUUUUUUAUUAAAAAAAAAACCUUUUCGUCAAAGAGAGGAGGAGGUUGCAUUUCAGAAUGAUUGGUGUCUUCUGGUGAGCUCGUAGAGAUGAAUCUUAACAUAUUCCAGCAACUCUGAAUCUCGAGGUUUAGCAAAGAAGGGAAUUCAACAACUAAAUCUGAAUUAAUAUGUCCCGUAUUGGCAAAGCUUGUUAGUUUAUAAAGCCAAUAGAGCUCCAGGGAGUGUAGUUUAGGAAAAACCUUUAAUUCAAUCAACUUUCCUUCUUCUCUUUCUGACCACCCCGUGGUGUCGACUACCCCUUCCAUUGACUCACAAGAUCUUAUCUCAAGAUGCUGGAGUUGCAAAAGACUAUUAACCAUAGAAUAGGAAAACAGAUACUUCAUACGAUGACAACUGCUCACGUACAGCUUUGUUAAAUUUCGACAACAGUACAUUCCUUGAUUAUGAUCGGCCCAUAAUUUUUUCAUGUUUCUUAAUGACCUGAGAUCCAAUUCCUCUAAGCUCGGAAGAAUAACCUGCAAAGAAUACCCGUACAUUUUUGUUCCUUCAAGUACAACCGUCUAGUAUAAUAUUCUUUUGAUGAUCGAAGAUUAAUCGUGAUAAUAAAUUAAUCAAUUAAUUAUUGAACAGAAAAUUAUCACCUUUGGAGCAGGAUCAUCAUCAGCAGUGAUUUCGUUGAAUCCCAAAGAAGUUGUUGGUUUCUCCCUGUCGGGUCCUAUAAACAAACAAAAACAAUAUACAUAAUUAAUCUUUGUUUUUUUUUUCAAAAUAAUUGAGGCGAAGUCAAUUAUCCCACCGGUACUUAAUUUCAACACUUACCAACAAUCAUUUCCUGAUCAUCGCAAAAAGCCACUUCUACCUUUUGAAGCCGCAGUAGGUUUUUGGCUAUGGAGAAUGAGAAAAGAUGCUUCAAUUUGUGACAGAAUUUUACUUCUAUAAUCCUUAAGUUGCUGAAAGAUUGAUCUUCUGUGAGUUGGCUGUCACAUAUUGUCUCCAAAUUGAUCAAACGACGAAGAGACAAUGACUCCAGCAAGGGGAAGACUUUGCGACGAACCCGUCCAACUGAACAGACAAUAUGCAAAAUCUCAGAACAACUUUCUGCAGAAAGAUGCUUCAAUCGUGGAUAACCUUCCCCAUCAUCUAAUUCAUGAACAACAUUCUGAACACCCUUCAGUUCUUCUAGAUAGAGAUAUUCAGUUCUCGUCAACAACAGUUUCAUCCUGUAAUUCUGCAAAAGAACGCCAAACUUUUCCAGCCCCUGGAGCUUCAUCAAUCUUGAUAAUCCAGAUUUAACGGACCAGCUGCUCCACCACUUAUUUCCUAUACAUAUCCUAUAGCUUUGUAAUUCCACAGAGACGAAAUCCUGCGGUAAAAUUUCGGCAUCCCGAACAUGUAUCUCCAAAGUAGUUAGCUUUGACAGCCCAUUCAAUUCAGCAAGACUGGCGUUACUUCCUCCUUCAACCUUCUCCCACUGUGAAAAGCUGUUACCAAUAUAUAGUUCUUCUAAUCGAGAUAAUUUUGAUAUGACAUUUGGAGCUAUCACCACAAGACUGCUACAAUUUCUCAAAUCUAGCAACUGUAAUCUCGUCAAUUGUCCAAUUACAACUGGCAACUCCUUAACAUCAGAAUCUCGGAAGCUGAGAAUCUCUAAUUUCCUUAGCUGUCCAAUUAUAGUUAUUUCGUUCAGUCGGCAACCGUCUAAACACAAUGUUCGAAGGUUAAUGAGGCGACCAAGUGAUGAAGGUAAUGAAGAGAAAAAUAUGCCAGUAAAAUCUAAAACUUUGAGUUCUUCUGUCCCUUCAAAAAAGAGGUCUGAAAUUUGCAAAGAGCUAUCACGCUUUGAAAACAACAAAAGUAACUCGAGACGGGGACAUCCCAACCUUUCGGGAAGCUCUUGAAUAUCUCUAUAAGGUAAAGAAAUAGCAAUUGGACCUUCCCGUAUUGUCUCUUCCAUCUUUUUCUCCACGUAGGCAACAUUUGGAAUAUUAAACAUGAGCUCCUUUUCUGCAAUUGAUACAGCAACAGCAUGAAUGAUGUCAUGCAUUUUAACUUCAUCUUCAGCAUCACCGUCCAACAAUAAGCAUGAAGAUUUGAGUUUGUCGAUCAAUGCAUCCACUCUAUUCCUUGCAUUUUCCAAUGUGCGAACAUAUUUAAACAAACCCAAACCCAUACCCAUACCAUAUCUCAACAAGGAAGCAACUUGUAUAGGAGUACCUUCACCAAAUAGAGAACAAAGAAGGAACAAAGAUUUUGCUUCAUCACUUUCCAAGAAGUCGUAACUCAAUUUUAUGGAAGAAUACACAUCUGCAUCCAUACCAUGAAUUUCUCUUAGAUUGGAACUUCUUAGCUGAUUCAACGCAUCCUUCCAAAUGGCAAGACUCUUAUUUUUCAGAGCACUUGCAACUGUUCUCAGUGCAACAGGCAAUCGUCCGCAUUUUCCAACAAUCUCAUCCGCUAAAGGUUGAAAAGCAGAUGCUUUUGCGGAAUUGCCCACGAUCUUUUCAAAAAAUUGCAAUGCUUCUUCCUUUGAUAAAACUUCAAUUGGGAAAAUCUUCUGAGAAUUCAUAUCAUUGAUCAAUAAAUCUUGACUUCUAGACGUCAAUAUUAUCGUGCGUCUCCUUAGAUCUUGCUUUCUAUCUUUCUCAUCAACAUCCCCAGAAGGAAUUCCAAUUUCUUCCAACCUAAGUUUUUUCCAAAUAUUAUCUAAUAUAAUGAGGACUCGCUUCUCUUUCGUCAAUCUUUGACAAAGUUGUUUUGCUCUGUGGGGUUUGCUAUCAUUCAAGUCAAAGUUCAUGUCUAAAUCGGAAGCGAGCUUGUCUUGAAUUUUCUGAACAUCUGGGUUCUCUGUUACCUCAGCCAUAACGACCUUAUCGAACAACUUAUCUUCCAUAACUUGCUUUGCAAUUUGCUUGACUAGCGUGGUUUUACCCACGCCGCCCAUACCGUGGACCCCAAUUAUGUUGAGCUUAUCAUCCCUCAAUGCCUCCACAACAUCUUGAAAUAAUUUCAUUCUUGAAUCAAAGGCCUCGAAAUCUUUCGCUUGCAUAUGUUCUGUACUCUCUGGAGCAGGACGGUGGGAAACACUAGAGAAGUUGCCUUUUCUCACGAGACUAGCGGCAGCUUCUGCGGCCUUUACUGCUUGUUUACUAAGUUUAUAACGAGAAAUCAAGUUGGGGCACAAUCCUUUGAAGCAGGACUUCUUAGCUCUAUCUUCAUCAUCAAUGAUGGAUUUUGCAACCCCUUCACUGAUGCAUUCAUCAACGCCAUUAAGCCAGUCUGCAACAUCCUUGUAAAUCUCAUCUCUUUGUUGAGUAGCCUGACGAACGGGUAUUCCCACCCUUUCUCUUUUAUAUUCCAGCUGCUUCACUUGAUCUUUUAGCUCAGCUAUGUAGCUCUGGUACUUGAACACAUAAGAUAUCUGCCGCAUAAUCCGUUCGAGCAAUGCCUUUGCACCUUCUGAUACAAUGCUUGAAAAAGCUUCGAGACCCACUUCUGAAGCCAUUGCCUAGCCUGUUGCAUAUAUAUAUACAUUAGCCGAUGGAAAAAUUGGAUUCAAAUAAAUUAAAGUGAUCCAGAGGGAAGGACAAAGAAAGAAAUGACAACGAAUGACUUUUUAAACAAAGGUUUCAAGAGCCUGAAUCGAAAACCAACAAUUUGAAAAAAAAAAAAAGAAUUGGAAGAUGGAUGCAAAUUAACCAUUGCUAAUACUACAUAAGAACACAUAAGUUAACAAUGAACAGUUACUUAAGAAAAUUAAAUGACAAGAUUAAAACAAACAAGCGCUAUUUUUUCUUGGACAAAUGUACCUGUUUAAUUAUUAAAGACUUAAUGAGCUUCACUAUUGGCCUUGAGUAUAUAAGAAUGAGCAAGAGAUCAAUGUCAACUGCAGAGGAAUGUCAGUAAAGGUUUCAUGAGAGUGAGUAAUACAAAUGAAUUGUAAAAGAACAAGACUUAAGCGUGCACCCCCUGUUUUGUUUUAUUCGUUAUGAAAAUGAUAUUGUACCCAAUUUUAAGAGAGCAUAAUAAUAACCAUUUAAUGCAUAAAUUUAGAAUUAGCUUUUUUUUUUGUAAUUCUUUAUUUAAAUAUACACGUCAAUGGAAAAUUUUGAAAAUUUGGAUACAAAAUUUUAAAUCACCAGAAAAAAAAAAGCACGGGAACGGAAAUAGAGGAAUCUUGUUUUACCUUUUUUUUUCCCCCCUUUAACUCUCGUUCUUAUAUAAAUAAUCUUGUUUUGAUGAUUGUGACUCGUGACUGCGGGAAAAAUUCUAAUGGAAACAACUCAAUUUCGGAAGAUAAGCUUAAUUCUGCAAGUGAUGAAUUUGUUCAAUAGACUCUGUACCUGAACUCGUUGGAUUGGUUGAUUGAUGAUUGACUAAAUUUGAAUUAAGUUUAAUAGCUUAGCUAUCAUGUACUCCUUAAAAGCAAACGUAAAUCUUUUUUAGAUUUGACUGAAUUUGGGAACCUGUUGGAUUGAUUGUUUUUAGAUCAUUAAUAUCAGAUACUACAAACGUAAAUAUUUUCUUGUGGUUGAGUCCUAUUCAAAUCACACAAAAUUGCACGACCAAAUAUUAAGAGAACGUAAUAAUAAUCACUCAGUGCGUAAGGGUAAAUUUAGAAUUACGUAUUCUUUUUUAUUUAAUAAAAUCCCAGCGAGAAAAUCAUAAAAUUUAGAUAUAAAAUUUUCAAUCACCAAACAAAAAACAGGGGGAAUGAAAACACAGGAAACUUGUUUUACCUUUUUUUCAUCUAACUCUUGUUCUUAUAUAAUAUUUUCCCUAGUGUUUCAGGCAAGCAAAAAAAAAAAAAAAAUCAAUAAAGAGCAAGUUGCUCAAAUUGAUUUAUCUUGUUUUUCAGGCAAUCUUGUGAUAUGAUGAUAAUGCUUAUGAAUGCUAGAAAAACUUCUAAUGCAAACAACUCUAUUUGGGAUGAUAAGCUUAAUUUUACAAGUGAUAAAUAUAAAUAACUUUUUGUGGUUAAUUCAAUUUGUAAUUACCCUUAGCCCUAUUCUAAAAUUUGUUGGCUGCUUCAGAAAAAAAAAAAAAAAAAUUUCACUCAUCUUUAAUCUUCAAGUAAAAAACAAAUCUAAUAAAAUGACAAACAAACAAACAAAUAAAAGACAGCAAACAAACAACAUUUAGCCAACUGAUAUUUAAACAGGGAUUAGAGUUUUUGUUAUUAACUGAAAGGUUUCAAGGGUCUGAAUAAAAUCCCAGACUUUUUUUUAAAACUUUUUUUUUAAUUAACCAAAGCCAUAUAAUAAGAUCACAGACUUUAACAAUGAACAAUAAUUUGAAACUCAAGCAAAACCAAUCACAAGAUUAAAACAAACCAGAGAAUUUUUUUCUUGGAAAGUAGAUGAAAAGCAAGUAAGAACUGCUAUUAAAGGAUAUUAUUAAAGGAUUUAGAACAUGUAUACCUCUUUAUUUAUAUGGGAUCAGAGAGUCGAUGACCUUCUCUAUUCGCUUCGGAUAUUUAGUAAGAACUGCUAUCAAAAGAAUGAAUUGAUGAGUAAUAACAAUGAAUUGCAAAAGAGGAAGACUUAAUCACGUACCCCUAUUGUACCCGAUUUUUAAGAUUUAAUUUUGAAGUCCAGAAUCAAGACAAAAGACGAAGCCUUAACAAAUAUGCAGUGAGAAUAGUUAAGUUGAAGAAAGCACUAGUUUAUGGCUCUGUGUUUCAUAUGCCGUAUUGAAAUAAUUAAGUUGAAGUUUUCAACGAAUAAAUACCUGGUGUGCUGGAAUAAUUUUAGAAGAAUAUUGGCUUAUAGAGAUUAGAGCAUAUUAGGAGGGAUCAGAUUUGUAAGAUGCCUGAUAAAAGAUAAAGCGAAUGUUAUUAUGGACAUACCAAUUUCCGACUUUUCGGAGUGCAUCCGUCUAUCCAUGACUUGAAAAGAGACCCAAUGUGUGGACAGACUUGAUUACAUNNNNNNNNNNNNNNNNNNNNNNNNNNNNNNNNNNNNNNNNNNNNNNNNNNNNNNNNNNNNNNNNNNNNNNNNNNNNNNNNNNNNNNNNNNNNNNNNNNNNNNNNNNNNNNNNNNNNNNNNNNNNNNNNNNNNNNNNNNNNNNNNNNNNNNNNNNNNNNNNNNNNNNNNNNNNNNNNNNNNNNNNNNNNNNNNNNNNNNNNNNNNNNNNNNNNNNNNNNNNNNNNNNNNNNNNNNNNNNNNNNNNNNNNNNNNNNNNNNNNNNNNNNNNNNNNNNNNNNNNNNNNNNNNNNNNNNNNNNNNNNNNNNNNNNNNNNNNNNNNNNNNNNNNNNNNNNNNNNNNNNNNNNNNNNNNNNNNNNNNNNNNNNNNNNNNNNNNNNNNNNNNNNNNNNNNNNNNNNNNNNNNNNNNNNNNNNNNNNNNNNNNNNNNNNNNNNNNNNNNNNNNNNNNNNNAUUUAAUAAUUAUAGAAGAAUAUUGGCUUAUAGAGCAUUUUAGUAGGGAUAAGAUUUGUGGACAGAAUAAAUGAAAUAAUAAAAAGCAUAACUGAUCAAGUCAUUAUUGAUCUUACUUUGAUUAUUACAUUGCACAUUAGUUUCUUUCUAAAAAUGCCAUUCUUCAUUCAAGCUUUCGCUUUAUCUUUUAUCAGGCAUCCUACAAAUCUUAUCCCUACUAAUAUGCCCUAUAAGCCAAUAUUCUUCUAAAGUUAUUAAAUGCCAUUCUUCAUUCAAGCUUUCAUGGACAUUAUCUACAAACUGAAUCUUCAAUGUAAUAAAAUAAUGAUCAGCCUCACAGGAUACAUAAAAAGCUCAUUUAUCACAAUCAUUUCCUAGUGCAUCAUAAACUUAGAUUAUUUAAUUUUACUAUUAGGAAACCUACUUAUAAAAGGCGCACACUACAAAUUCUAAAUUAAAUUUCUAACUAAGAAUAAAAGGUAAACCCUAGCAAUUUUCCACCAGGUGCCGUGUAGCCUGCAUCAUAAAUUUUGAUUUAAAUCUUUGUAAUCACCGAACAGAAAAACCGGGGAAUGAAAACAGAGGAGCCCUAUUUUUCCAUUUUUUUAACCCUUAACUCUUGUUCUUCUAAUUAUAUUUUUGCUUGGAAUUUCAGGCAAACGAAAAAAAAUAGUGACAACUAUUUAGAGAGAACAGGUGGAUGAUAGCAAAAAUAUUUUUAAUUAAUAUGCAUGAUUAACUCUUGUUCUUCUAAUGUAGUGGCUUGAUUAAUUAAUAUUUUUAAUCAAGCCAUUACAUUAUUGGUAGUCUCUGUGGGCUCAUUUCGUCUCCAGACCUGAUAUUGUAUAUCUCUUUUUGAAUAUGUUUAAUUAAUAUGCAUGCUGCUGAAUAAAGACGAUGAUUUCCAAAUUUUUGUUGCUUUUUUUUUUUCUUUUUGCUGCUUUGGUACAUGAAGAAUGUGGAAAUAGAAAUAGCUUUCGAAGUUUAAUGGCUUGCUUCAUUAGUAAAGAAAGACUAGGAUAUCCGUCCUUUUUGUUACUGAAUUAUUGAUCAAUUGACGGUUGAAGUUAGUUAUAUUAAUUUGUUGUACAAGAAUUGAAGCUUAUAUCUUUACCGUUUCGUGAAAGUGUCAAAUAUGUUCUUUCCUUGCAAUUGUUCAAAAUAUGUUACACUUUUGAAGUCACUAUUACAUAAAGGGUGUUGUAAAAUAGGGAAAGGCGGGUUUAUGAUUAGAUUUUAAUAUGUUUAAUUCAAGGAUUAACCGAAGCUAUUAACCAACGGCUACUAACCGAAAACCGAAUUUAACAAUAAACACUAACUCAGAAUUCAAGAAAAUUAAAUGACAAGAUUAAGACAAAUGAGAGAUAUUUUUCUUGGACAUUAAGAAAGAACUACUAUCAAGAUCAAGGAUUAGAGAUUAUAUAUGCUAUUAUUAAUAGAAAUUAUUAAAGGAUUUAGAACAAGUUCACCUCGUUGAUUAUCUGGGAUGAUGAGUUUCUAUAUUCACCUUGAAUAUAUAAUAACAAUUUUAGUGAGCAAAAGAUCACUGGUAACUGCAGAGGAAUGUGUGAGUUUAAGAGCUUAUUAGAGUAAGCAAUACAAAUGAAUUUUCAAAUUAUGUACUUGGUCAUUGUUGUCCUACUGACGCACGUUUUUUUUCAUGAAUAAUUGCCAGAUCAGAAAAGAAUAAGUUCGGUGGAUUGAAAGAUUGCUGAAGCAAGUAAAACAAUCUUCAUAUCGAACAUGAUUCCAAUUAAAUUAAUCUUUUUAUAAGAUGACUAAUAAAAGACAAAAGUAGAAGCUUUGAUGAAUGAACGAUGACCAAAACUUUUGUAAAAGCGGAUGCCGAUAAAAUAAACAAAAGGCACUUUAAAAAGAAACUAAAGUGCGAUCAUCAAAGUAAGAUCAAUAAUGACUCGAUUUAUUUCACCUAUUCUGUCCACAAAUGAUGCUUCGCUAUUACAAGGUCCGAAUGGACAUUAUUUACAAAUUGUUCUUAUGUUUCACAGAAAAAUGAAAAACCGUUCAUCAUCAUAUAAUUAUGAAAUAAAUAAAUUUUAUUAAUGGAUUAUGGGGAUAUGUUAAUGUUAGGGAUAUGUUCAAAUCAUCAUAUAAGUUACUAAACGCUUCAACAAGAACAAGAAUUAAUGAGUUAAAAGUAAAAAAAAAAAAUUUUAAAAAAAGUUAAAUAAAUAAAACUUAGAAGUAAAGAAUGUUAUUUGCAAUCACCAAAAUGAAAACAGUGGAACCCUGUUUUUCCUCUCAUUUCUCUUUCUCUCUUUUUCAUUUGUUGGGAAGUGUCGCCUAAAACACUUCCUCUGCUAGGUGGAAUUAUUGGCUUGAAGAGAUGAGUUCUUGUCACAAGCACAAAUUUUAUCUGUACAUUAUUUCAUUUUAAAUGAUGAGUUCUUGUCACAUGAUCAUUACUUUUUUUGUUUUGAUUUGGUUAGUUCAUGAUAACAAACAAAUUAUUUUGCAUCACAUUAUGGUAAAAAGUUGCCCUCUUUGUUACUUCCACAGCUAUAUAGUUUAAUAUUUUGUAAUAAGAUCACAAAGUGCAUGGGAACCACUGUUCGAGUACUUCAGCCUAAUAUGAAGAUCUAUUGAAAAUUUUCCUGAUGUCAUGAUAUUAAACAAAAAAAGGUACCUCUUUUACUAAUUAAUAAGAGAAGUUUUGACCGAUUUCAUGUGACUCUCUUUUACUAAUUAAUAAGAGAAUUUUUGGCCUUAUAUCCUUGCUGUGGCGUUAGACUGUUGGUCAUUUUGAUUGUUUCCUACUUUCCGUUUACGCCAGCUGUAACAUUGUAUUAUCACCAUUUUAGCCAUUUAAAUGAAAUUUAUUUUUGUCAAAAAUAAAAUGACACCCUUAAAAUUAAAAAAAAAAUAGUUAUGUAGACCUCAAAUUUUUAAUAAAGAAUGCCAAUACCCCUUUUAACUACAAGAUUCUUAGUAGAUGAUAACUAAAAAAAUUAACUUCAAAAAUUUUCACUAAAUAUAAAUCUAAUUGAAAUAGUUUAAAUUUUCUAGUAGACUAAUAUAUAUAACUUAAAUAAUUAAUUUCAUUAUUAAUUUUUAAAAUGUUAAAUAAUAUAUUUUAAUUUAUUAUAAAAAAUUUAAAUAAAUUCUUGGAUUAGAUAGAUUUUACAAUUAAUGUAAUACUGCUGAUUUAUUAAUAAUAUUAAAAUUAUUUUAUAUGAUAUUCAAAAUAAUUUAAACUUUUAUAUAUUUAUUUUAAUAUUAUGUCUAUUUAUUAUAAAUUUAUAAUUUGGUUUAAUAUAAUACGGGAUUGUAAAAUAUUAAAAUAUUUUUCAAUAUCAAAUUAUUUUAAUAUGUAUAUAUCAUUACAUUUAUUUUAAUAUUGCAUUUAUAUUUAUUAAAGAGUAUUGCAGUAAAGUAAAAAAAAAAAAAGUCUUAUUAUCCCUUAUUCACGAUAUGAGGUUCUACAGAAUUAUUUCCCCAAACGGGUGUCCUUUUCUCAUUUUCAAAAGAAAAAAUAAAGUAAGAAUAAGACCAUGGAUUUCAAAAAACUUAUAGUCCUAUCCCGGGACCAAACGUCUAUUCAUUAUUUUAUUUAUUCAAUAUAAAUGGCCAACUUAAAAAAAUGAUAAAAAUCACACAAAGCUCAAGUGAAAAUUUAGAAUUACAUUUUUUAAUACUCUCGGAGUCUUCUCUCCUGCCCCCUUUUUUUCUUAAAAAAAAAAACCUUAGUGUAAAAUUAGAAGAAUUUUAGAUAUAAAAUUUGACAAUCGCUAAACAGAAAAGCAGCGGAUUAAAAAUAGAGGAGCUCUGUUAUCAUUGCAAUAUUGAUUAUAGAUAAUAUAAUAACUUGUUGUGGUUCAUUGUAGCACUCUGAGCCAUACUUUAAAAUUUACUGGUUUGUUAAUGCUUUUAUUAUUGACAUUAUUGUGUCAAUAUUAUUAUAAUUUAUUCAUUUUAUUGUAAUGAUAAUUUGUCUAGUCUUAGGUACUUAUUAUAUUAAAUUAUGUAAAUUAAUUGAGAAUACUUUUACAGACAAAAGAAACACGUGUAUGUAGGAUUAAUAAGCGAAGAGUUGUAAAUGAAGCUGAUUGCUUCAUUGAGAUGCAUAUUAAAUAAUUAUGGAGAGUUGCUCUAUUUCAGAAGCAUAUAUUUAUACUUCCCUAUCAGGAUUUGGGGUAAGCGAAGUGCUUUAUGUAUUGCAGUAAGCAAAUGUGGGCAACAUCAGAGCCGAAAUAUUAAAAGAUCAUAACGCAUAUAAACGAUUAGUAUAUUCAAGGCACAUAUAGCGGAAAGAGUGCAGAUCUGGCCGUAACUAUUAUGAGGAUUUCCUCAAGUAAAUAUUAAAAGAACAACUAUUCUGAACUAUAUAUUCUUCAUUGUGGGCAGAUUUACUUAAAUACCAACACAAUGAUUCAAUACUUCAAAAGUCAAGGAAAUGUCAAAAUAUGAAAUGAAAAUACUUAAAUACCCUUCUCCCUAACAAAACUUAGUACUUCUAACUGCCAUCGCAGAGAAUAUAUAAAAUUUAAAAAAAAAAUCAUCCAUGAAAAGUUUCGUAACAGAAAAACCGUCUUUCAAAAAAUAAAAAAUAAAAAAUAAAAACAGAAAAAUUGACUCAUUUAUCUGCCAAUGAACCAGUCGGGACUCAUUUAAAAAAGAUUACAAAGCAAAAGUAAAUGACACAAAUUGCAUAGAUAUCUAAGAGCCGCAUCAAAGGACAAAGGUGUUAAUUUGUCCAAGUAAUAAAUUCUCCUAGGUCAAAAGCAAUUAACGAUGAAAACUUUCUUCAUUAAGGUUCUGGCCUACGUAAAAAAACAGAAAAAACCACCCCAAGGUCAAAGCACAACGAUAAGUUUAGAAUUGCAGUUUUUAAUUUUUCUUUUUAAUAAAUCAACGUGUAUUAAAAAUAGAUAAAAAUUUUGAAUAAUGUUUUUUUGAUAAAUAUAGACAUAAAAUUUAAAAAUCACCAAACAGAAAAACAGGGCAAUUAAAAGAGAGCCCUUGUUUCUCCUCUGUUUUGUUUGUUAUUAAACGGGGAAAUGAAAAGAUCGCAAGCAUAAAUUUUGUUUCUGCGUUGUCUCUUCUCAAUGUUGCAUGCAUUCAAAUUAAACCUUAUAUAUGAUAGCAAACUAGCUACUCUGCAUGUACGAUAAGUCUAAAUAAUAGAAUAAUUGUAAAAUGUUCAAAUUCAGUAAUUAAUUAUACAUAUUUAUUUAUUCAAAAAUUAUUAUUAUUAUUAAUUAUUGUCAAUAAUAUAUUAAUAUACUAAUUAAUUAUAAAAAUUUUUAUCAUUCAUAACAAUAACAAUGAUGAUGAUGAUGAUAAUAAUAAAAAUUCAAAAUAUAUUAAUUAAUUAUAAUAAUAUAUUAAUUAUUUAAUACUAAUAAUAAUAAAAAUGUAAAAUGUAUAAAUUGAUUAGAAUAGUUAUAUUAAUAAAUUAUAAACAUAUAUUAAUUAAUCAUAAUAAUUUUUUAAUUGAGGACAAAAUAGACAUUUUAUAGUUUGUGAGAGGGGGCAAAAUGGUCAAUUUUGGGAAUGGGAGAUUGAUUCCCACCACCUUCCUUGGGAAUCAAUUUUCCAUUCCUCAUUCCUAAAUUUGGGUGGCCCCAUAAUUCUGAUUUGGAUCCCUGCCUCCAUCAUUAAUGAUUUCGAUUUCGGAUUCCGAUUCCCCAAUCCAAGAAGUAAAGGCACCAUUAUUGUUAAUUGGUUCAAACACACAAAGAGAAUGUACCGUGUAGCUAGGCGUCAAGGUUGUGUUGCACAAGUAACCUUUUUCUUUUCUUUUUAUUUUUCUUGUUUUCCUUAACGGAUCAGAAGAAAUUGGUGCCUUUGAGAUACCACAAUGUAAAUAAUUAUUUGUGGUUCAUUGAAUCUGUAACACUCGGUACCCUAGGGUUGCUUUGGAAAAAGGGCUUUUCUCACCGAUCGCCAAUAUCCAAGUAAGUUUGUUUCAUUUCAGAAGGUGCAAAGUUUCAAACUUGUUGUAUUGGGAUGUAACAAACUUUGGCCUUAUAUGCCUGCUGUGACGUGAGACUGUUCAUUUUGAUUGUUUCCUACCUUCCACUUACGCACUGUAGCACUGUAUUAUUCACCAUUUUAGCUGUUUAAAUGAAAUUUUAUUUUUGUCAAAAAUAAAAUGACACCAUUAAAAUUUAGAAAAAUAAUCAUGUAGAUCCCAAAUUUUUAAUAAAGAAUACCAAUAUUCCCCUUGACUACAAUACCCUUAGUAGGUGGUAAUAAAAAAAAAUUGGCUUAAAAUUUUUACGAAAUGUAAAUAUGAUUUAAAUAAUUUAAAUUUUCCAGUAGACUACUAUAUAUAAUUUAAAUAAUUAAUUUAAAUAUUAAUUUUUAAAAUGUAAAUUAAUUUAUUUGUAUUUAUAAAAUAUUUGUAAUUAUUUUAAAAUUUAACUAAAUCCUUAGGUUAAAUAGAUUUUACAAUUAAUAUAAUAUUUCUCAUGUAUUAAUAAUAUUAAAAUUAUUUUAUAUGAUAUUGAAAAUAACCUAAAUUUUUAUAUAUUUAUUUGAAUAUUAUGCUCUAUUUAUUAUAAUUUGGUUUAAUAGAAUACGAGAUUGUAAAAAAUUAAAAUUUUUAGAUAUUGAAAUUAUUUUAAUAUGUAUAUAUUAUUAUAUUUAUUUUAAUAUCCUAUUUAUAUUUAUCAUAAAUUAUUAGAGUUAAUUUUUUUAGUUAAUAAAUUUAAAAAAUAUUAUAAUUUAAAAAAAAGUCUUGUUGUCCGUUAUUCACGAUAUGAGGUUCUACAAAAUUAUUUCUCCAAACGGGUGUCCUUUUCUUUUUUUCAAAAGGAAAAACAAGUUCAGGGCCUCAGGGGUUUCAAAAAAUUCUGGUCCUAUAUACCACUAUGACUAAUGGGAAACGACAUUGCAAUUGACAUUGCUUUCCACAAUAUGAUAGAUUAUUGGAGGGAUAUGAGAGAAUUGUCAAACGUUCACACACGCGAGAGCUUUAGGUGGGAUAGGGGAGGAUUGUCAAGAGUUCACACCACGAUAAACUAAUGAUAGGCCUAAUUUUGUUGUCAGUUCUUUAUUUAUUUAUUUUAUGUAUAUCAUACAUUAUUGUAUUUUGUCAAGGUAUAAUAGUACAAGUAAAAUACUAGGGGUGCUGUUAAGUUACAACUUAUGUAACUUGCAAUUUUUUCAAAAAUUAUGUAAAAAAUUUAAUAGGUGGUGGAACCCACAUAUUUUUUAAGAGACUUAAGUUACAGCAGUUGUAACUUAACAAAAUCUAAAUAUUAGACAAUAAUGCAUAUAAUUUGGGUUUGAUUUUUAAAAGAUUAUUUGAGUACCACCUAUCCUUAUGAUAUUAAUGUGAUUAUAUCUUAAUAUUAAAUAAUCAAAAUUUGUUUAAUUAUUAUUUGUAUUUCAUACAUUACAUAUUAGAUUUGUUUGAAUUUUAAGUUGUUGCUAAUAAAUAUUUAUGUUGUCAAAGUCAAAGUCAAUAGCUACAAAAGUAGAGAUAAUGGUAUUGUAUAUAGUUUUUAAGAAUGCAAGGAUAAGCUGGAUAAUUGACAUAAAUUCUAAUGAUUAAAAGAGCAACUAUCCCUUAAGUUAUAAUGUCAAUUUCUUUAAUUAGAAUUUUUUUUUCAUGUGAUAUAACCUUAAUUGCUACAAUUUUUUUUAUAAUAAUAAUGGGAGUUAUAAAUUAUUUAUAUAAAAUUUGGGUUGAAACUAAUGUAACCUAAAAGUGGUUGCUGAAUAACAAUAUUUGAAACUUUAGGUAAUUUUCAUGAGUCCUUUUUAUAUUCAACAACUUGAAUUGGGGGAAAUCCGACUUGAAUUGGCGGUUGAUUUUGGUGAUGUGGCUUUCGGUUUACGCCGGCUUUACAGUGGCGGAAGACUGGAUUUACGGUUGCCGACUGCUAGGGAUUAUGGUGGUAGUGUAAAUUGACGGAAAAAGAAGGUGUUUUGGUGGCGGCGCGUCUAGGAAGCACUCGUGGGUUGUUGUUUCGUGUGGUGACAGCGGGCGGCGAUCAAGGGCUGAAGUUGGUCGGUUUUUGGUCAGCAGAGGCCGGCGAGUUUGUUGGUGGAGGUGGCUGGUGGAGAAAGUGGCUGAAUGGUGGUGGGUUGCUUGGUGGAGCCGCGGGUUUGGGUUGGUGAUUUGCGGCUGUUCAAGCGGUGGUUGAGGCAGCGAUGACUAAGGCUUGGUCGACGGUGGCUAGGGAGGUUUGUGGUGGUGUUGGCUGGCUGAUCGGCGGUGGUGGACGGCGGUGGAGGUUGAUGUGACAGGUAGGGUUUUCAAAUUUGUAAAUUUUUUUUUUGAUGGAUUUGGUUUGGAUAGGUAUGGUGUAUCUAGGAAAGAUGUGCGAUUCGCACAUAAUCAUUUUGAUACCAAUUGAUGGAGCGAGGCGUAGCGGAAGCAGAAUUGAUAGGGUAAGAAACAUUAGAUAUCGUUCUAGUACUAGACCAAGCCAACACGAUUAGUUUACGCUCUAAUUGAAGCGUGAUUAGAUAUCGUUAUAAUCCAAAUGACUCAGUGAGAUUUUUAAUAACGCGUAAUACGAGAUUAGAUGACACUCUAAUCCAAAUGACUCUACAAAAGAGAUUUUGAUAACUAAUCCUAGAGGAAAUUAUAAAAGAGGGGGUUUAUUUAAUAAUUGAACUUGAAGUUAUGAAAAUAAUGACAAGACAUCUUUAUUUUUUUUAUUACAGGCAUCUUUAUUUAUAAUAGAAGAAACCCGCUUUCCUAAGUUAACCUAAAAAGAAAAUUUAAAUCAUAAUUAUAAUGGAAAUAAAAGAUUAAGAUACAUACCAUAAUUAACUCAAACUAAAAUAGAAAAUCAUAAAAUAAUAAAUAUUCUAGAAUUAUAAAUUAUCUAAAAUAACGUUAAUUAACUUCCUAAAUCACUUCUUUGGUGUAAACCAUUUUGCAUCCAUCCUCGCUUUAAAGGUUUGAACCAACGUUACCAACAAUAAUGUAUCAAAGUCCAAUCUAACUUAAGAUCUUGAUACAUCUACCGAUGUCCUUGUUUGAUUAGACAAUAAUGAGUCUAUCUCAUCACUUGUUACCUCUUUCUUGAAGGCUGCAUCUGUUGAAGUGAUAGUCUCGCUUAGAGUUUAAAGAUCUUCUUCCAUGUUAAAUAAAAUGGGCAUUUGAUUAAAAAACUUUAUCUCUAUCUCCUUCUAUCAAAUAACGACAACUAUCCGAAGGAAAAAAAAAAUAGAAAAGUCCAUGGGUCACAAUAAUUUAUGGUCUGUCCCCGGACCCCAUUAUCUGCCACUAUCAAUGAUGAAAAUGAAAAUAAAUGGCAUCUUCCCAAAAUGGCGAAAGAUUUUUGGGGGAUAUGGGGGAAUUGUCAAAAGUUCACACAACGCGAAACAAGUGUUACAUCCAAUUUUAUUUCGUCAUAUAAUGAUAAUAUCAAAUAAUGACAACCAUCCAAAAGUAUGAUGGGUCUUCCAAAAUUUUGAAAAUGUCGUCAACAUUUAAUCUUCAAUGCUAAAGAAGAUGAAAUGACCAAAAAUGACACGCAUGACUCACUCACAGACUAAAUGGCUCUGACCACAUGUAACAAACUUUGAUCUUAUGUCCUUACUGAGGCGUUAGACUGUUGGUCAUUUUGAUUGCUUUUUACCUUCCAUUUAUGCCAUUGUAGCAUUAUACUAUUCACCAUUUUAGCUGUUUAAAUGAAAUUGUUAUUUUUUUUCCAAAAAUAAAAUGGCACCCUUAAAAUUUUAGAAAAUAGCCAUGUAGACCCCAAAAUUUUAAUAAAGAACACUAAUAUCCUUUUUUACUAUAGUACUCUUAGUAGAUGGUAACAAAAAAAAAAAUGACUGUAAAAGUUUUUACUAAAUGUAAAUAUGAUUUAAAUAUUUUAAUUUUUCUAGUAGACUAGUAUGUAUAAUUUAAAUAAUUAAUUUUUAAAAUGUAAUUUAAUAUAUUUAUUUUAAUAAUAUAUUUAUUAUAAAAAUUUUAAACAAAUCCUUGGGUUAAAUAGAUUUUAUAAUUAAUAUAAUAUUUCUCAUGUUUUAAUAAUAUUAAAAUUAUUUGAUAUGAUAUUGAAAAUAAUUAAAACUUUUAUAUAUUUAUUUGAAUAUUAUGUCUCUAUUUAUUAUAAUUUGGUUUAAUAGAAUCAAAUGAAAGUGUACAUGUACAAGAAGAAAGAACCAUACACCAAGUAAAACGUAAAAAGGAUUAAAUAAAUGACACCAAUCCCCGGCAACGGCGCCAAAAUUUGAUGGUUGUCGAAGCCAACAAAAAUAAAUUCCUACUCUAAAUAAAUUGUGUAUAGUGAUUGAGCAGGGUCGUGUCCACAGAGAUCGGUAAUUAUUUAAAUCCUUUUAAAACGUAAAACAUAAAAUGGGGGUUUUGUUGACAAUAAUAAAAAUCAAAUUAAAAUAACAAGAAUGCAAAUUAAAGUUGUAAUUCAAAUUAGAGAAAGCUCUGGUUGAAGGAAUUAACUCAGCUUGAUUCGACUACUGAUCAUUGAUUCAAAUAUAGAUUAUUAUUACUUAUUAAUAGACCGGUUAUAGCUAUUGAGACCCUCUAAUAGCCAAUUUGUCCUUAACUAGUCGAUAACCAAGGUACGACCGUCAGAUAUUUCCCUAAUCAACAGACAACCCUAGAUACGAUCAUAGGAUUUAAUCAAUUGACAGCCUGAAAAACCAGAGAGACCCAAAUCCUAAUCAACACAUAUGAUGAUUCAUUUAAAUUAGAUUGUUUAUUCUCAUAACACAACUCACUGCUAUGUUAUUUGUCACAAACAUUAAAAUCUUCAUACGAUGAAUCCUUUAAUUGACAAUAGAUUAAGUUGAUAAUUAAAUAGUGGCCAAUUACCUAAUUAACAAACAUAAUCAUGAAACUAAUUCAGAGAAUAAACAAAUACCCAAAAAGUAAUAAAACAAUUAAAGCAUAAGAAAGAUCUCACAGUAGUGAUGAAUCAAAGCUUCAUUAACCUUCAACCAGAAAAAUAAGUUUAGUUCUUCAUAGAGAGAAGAGAAAAAUUAGAUCUAGGGUUUUUUUCUUUUUCUCUCAUCCCCCUUUUUCACUAUAGAUUCCUCCCUUAAAUACUCUCUCUCUCUUCUCUUUUAGAGUUCUAAUUAAAAUAAAAUACUAAUAUCUGAAAUAUUAAAUUCGUAAUUACAAAAAUAACCAAAAAUACAAAACAUGUUAAACUAAAAACUACAGGUCCGCAGUUGACAGCACGCGCCCACGCCUUAUCAAGAAAGUUCUUCUGACUCUCUAAAUUUCUCCAAGAGAACAAUCAUCUUUAAACAUCAUCUUAUAACUCAAUUUUAUCACAAAUCAAUAGAAUUGCACCUACAAAAGUACAACACAAGUAAAUCAUUAUUAUUAAGUGCAAAACAUCGAUAUUAAGGGAAGUAGACAAUGCAAAACUAGUGCAUAAAUUGCACUCUAACAAGUUCACACCACGAGAAAUUAAUGAUAGGCCUAAUUUCGUUGUCAGUUCUUUAUUUGUUUAUUUUAUUGAUUUCAUACAUUAUUGUCUUGUUGGUACUAUUUUGUAAAGAUAUAAAAGUACAAGUAAAAUAUUAGGGGAAGUAAAAUAAAAUAUUGGAGGUGCUGCUAAGUUACAGCUGCUGUAACUUACAGUUCCUUCAAAAAUAAUGUAAAAAAUUUAACAUGUGGUGGGACCCACAUUAUGUUUGAAGAGGCCGUAAGUUAUAGCAGUUGUAAAUUAGUAAAAUCCAAAUAUUAGAUAACAAUACACAUUAACAAUGCAUAUAAUUUGGGUUUGAUUUUUAAAAAAAUUAUGUGAGUAUUACCUAUCCUUAAGAUAUUAAUGAGAAUAUAUUUUAAUAUUAAAUAAUCAAAAUCUGUUUAAUCAUAAUAUGUAAUUCAUACAUUGCAUGUUAGAUUUGUUUGGAUUUUAAGUUGUUGCUAAUAAAUAUUUAUGUUGUGAAAGUCGAAUUCAAUAGCUACAAAAGCAGAGAUAAUGGUAUUUUAUGUAGUUUUUAAGAAUACAAGGAUAAGACCAUAACGCAUGAGAUAAUGGUAUUUUAUAUUAAAAGACCAUAACACAUGUAUUUGAGCCAUUUAUAUUGAGGACACAUAUAGAGCGAAGAGUGCAGAUCCGGCCGUAACUAUUGUGAAGCUUUCCUCAAGUAUUCUCAUGCACGCAGACCUUAGCUGGUCAAGUUUUCUGAUUCAAUAUAAUCAAUUUCCGCGCAGUACUAACGACAGCUUCUUUGUAAAGCUCUUCAACCACAAGCAUUUCUACAAGGCAAAAGACUAGGACGUGUCAGAAUGAAUAUCAAUAAGGGAAUGUCUUAUGAAUUUAGUUUAUAUCCUAAUAUAAGACAAUCAAUAAAUAUUAGAUGCAAUCUAAGGGAAUGUCUUAUGAAUCCUGAUUGAUGGCCUCUCACAGUCAGUUAUAUGACAAAGUAGCCACCACAACAAACUUGAACUUGGCUGGAGGUCUCAUUAGCAGUAUACCUCAGAAAUUAAGACAAAGACUUUAAAAUGCAAACUUAUGGAGCAAUUUAAGCACUGAAACUAAUAACAGUACUGUAUUAGCAAUUGACCUCUGCUUUUUUCUUGGACAAAGGUUCUCAUCACAAGGGACUCAUUAGUUGCCCUUGCCUCAAACGUUUGGAUGCUAAGGGGAAAAAGGAAGUUUGAAUUAGUCAAUCUCAUUUCUAAUGGCAUUCACAGAGAACCUAUAAAACAAAAAAAUUAUAAAAAAAAAAAUCAUCCAUAAUUCGCCAAACCGAAAAGAAAAACAGGGGAAUGAAAAGAGAGCCCACGGGAAUGAAGAGAUCAGCUCUUGUCGCGAAAAUGCAGUCGACUGUAACUAUAUCCGGGUCCCUAGUACUUAGAAGUAAAUGCUCUUGGAAUUUCUAUUAUAGAUUGAUGUUUCCCGUUCAAAUAGCUCUUCCGAUACCAUUAACAUGUUCAUCUCUCUAUAGAUUGAUGUUGACAUAGAUGUUAUUCUACUUUUGCUAGUGGAGUUUUCCUUGUACAGGUAUGUAUGAUUGUUUUUUUUGCACUUCUAAAUGGACACUGUUGAAAAGCUUAAAAUUGAACUGAUAAUUUUGUUUGGAAGCUCAGAAAAUUCAUGAGAAAGUGAAAUAGAAUAUUCUGGAUUUCUUUUCUUUCCAUAAUAUACAAAUGACAAACGUAGCAGUAUUUAUACUCGUUGCUUACAUCAUAAAAACAGAAUUAAAACAAGGUACACAACUAUAACAGAAUCAAAAGCGUGCUUAACUAAUUGGCAGAGCUGGCAUAUACUUCUUUAACUAACAAUGCUGCUGACUGGACUUUAGCUCACACAUGCUUAUCGUGCAGCUACUCUUAGUUCACACGUGCUCAGUCUGCUGUUGGCCCAAAGUUGGAACCAGAGAUAUCAUGACUCUGGUUUCAUUUCACCUCAACUGUGUUUUUUUUUUUAAAUUAAAAAAAUCAUUUGUUUUAGGUAUACAUACAUGUAUUUUGAUUCUAUUUUCAUUGUAAUUUCUCAUUUACUUUGAAUGAAAGUCAUUGGUGUUUUCGAAUGGGAAUUUUGCAUUAAAAAAUGAAGAAUAGUGAUUUUUGGAGUGUAAUUAGUAGUAAAGUUGGUUUUUACUCGCAAACAAGUGAACUGCUCGAUUCCCGAGUGGUAUCAACCAGUUUCCAACUUUUUAAUAUACACUAAUUGUUAUUGUUUAAUAGCUACUACUAUUAAAACUCGACAUCUAACAAAAAUACUUAAAAAAAAUGAUUUUUCUUAUGAUGCUGUAAAAAAAAAUUACGGGUUUACUUCUUUCCAUGAGAUCUAUAACAUGGUCUUGACUUCACGAAAUUCUUUUAAUUUAAAGCUUGCUGGUGUGAGAAGGUCAGUUUGACUGAUUAAUUCUUUUUAACAGUGGUCGAGAUAAUUUUACUAUCUAAUCGAAUGUUAUGCUGUUUUCUUUUUCUAAUCUGGUGUGAGAUAAUUAAUUCUUUUUCACAAAUGCUAUGCUGUUUUCUUAGGCUAAGGAUCUUCUAUCAGGAGAGGUUAGAAAUUCAAUGCUUAAAAGAGAAUAAUACAGAAAUUUAGGCAGAAUCUAAUCGAAUAUUGCAUGAAACAUGAAAAAUCAAUUCAAGUCCUUUCUUUAAACGGAGAAUGCAUCAAACAAAAUCCAAAGUGUCUUGCACGUCUGUAGCAUGAGCAAAAAAUUGUAAAUAUGUAGAACCAAAUUAUUCAAGUACAGAAGAACGAGCAAGCUAAAUCAUGUAUAAGAGAUUGGCCUGGUUCGGGAUAGCUUCUUCACUGUACCUGAAGGAUUGGCUCAAUCUCUUCUUUAGAAUUCUGCAGAUUUUGUAAUUACUCGUGUAAGCAAGCAUACAUUGCCACCAUAAGAAUAAUAAAGCUAGAGUAAUGAUAUGACCACCACCUCUUGUGCACAAACAAUAUUGUAUAAACUAAUGCGACAUAAUAUGAUUGGUUAAACAAAAACAUUACAUGGCCCUCAUAAUUUAUUUAUUUAUUUAUUUAUUUAUUAUUAUAUUUUUUCAGUAAACCAAUCAUAUUAUAUCACAUUAGUUUCUAUAAAAUAAUUUGCUAAAUAGCACCAAAACUUAAUUGAUACUCACCAUUUCAUUGAACAAUUUUUUUAUGGUGUCAUUGAGAUUGCCUUCCCAACAUCCUUCAUCAUCAUCAUCUUCAUCAUCAUCAUCAUCUUCUUCAUCAUCAUCUUCUUCAUCAUCAUCUUUUUCUUCUUCUGUGACGUUCACUUUGUUUAGCAUUGGUGUGUCUAAGACUCCUUGAGAGAAGAUCUUCAUUUUUGGACACUGUCUCACAACUACUGGUUUCAAGGACGGGAAUUCAAGAGCGUAAUUACCCGAACAAAAGCUUGUUAGGCUUGGCAAACAAUCAAGUCCCAAGUACUCCAAUUCCUCGAAGACAACGCAACCUUUCGCUUCUUCUCCAACCUGCAAUUGUAUGAUUUGUUCUAUCAUUUUGCAAUCAGCUAUCUUCAUUCUUUGAAGAGUCACUAGACUUUCAGAUGUUGAGAGCGUCAAUAAAUUUAUCAACCCAUGACACUUCGAUACUUCCAGAGUCGCAAGAUUUUCCAAAUGCCACGAAGCUGGUACUAAUUUCUGCAACUUACUACAUUCAAAUAUUUCUGGACUUUUCAAGUUUGCAAACACUUUGUUGGAUUUGGCAUUUUCCUUCCAGAGAUGCUGCACUUUGUGUAAUCCAGAUAGCUUUAACUUCAUCAAUUGAGGGAAUGCAACCUGAAAAUCAACAAAAUUAAGUUGUAAAUGAAAAUAUGUAUCCAAUCUCUGCAGUCUUCCCCUGCAUAUUUUAUGAACAAGAUUAAUCACGACAUUUUAUAUUUUAUUUCCAAAUUAGUAUGCUUUGCAGUAGGAUCCCAAAUAUAAGUAUCAAAUCGAUUACCCUUUGAAACACAUAAAUGAAAUCUGAUGCUAAAUCCAAUAUGAAUUAGCUAGGAAAACAGAGAUGUAACACGCAUAAUCGAUAUAGUUCAUCGCCUUAUGUCACCAGGCAUCUAAUUAAUUUAAGACAUUUUUAUAAUUCAUACUAUAAAGUUAGUUAAUAACAGAGGUUAUAUUGUUAAAUCAGAUAUAAAUUAAGACGACCUGCAAAAAGAUGAGUCAUUAAGUUUGAUUUGAUUCUAAUGAAAUUACAUCUGUGCGAACGAAAGUGAAGGCAAUAAUAAUAAUAAUAAUAAUAAUCACCUUUUCAUCGAAGAGGGGUUGUACUUGAUGAGCCAGCAAGAAGUUCUCUUCUGAUGUUAAUUUUUGAGGUUUCUUGUUAUCUGUUGUCACGUGCACUAAAGAGUUGGAUAUGAAUGUUUCCAUAUCAGGGCAAUUCUCAAUAGUUAGAUUCUCCAACUCAAGCAUUUCAAUUAUAUUCCCAGUGAAGUUGCAGAAUCUUUUGAGUUUUGGAAGGUCAAUGAGCCUUAGCUCGAAAAGCUUAGGAAACAGGGGACCUAUAUGUUCUUUGUCAGCAUUUAGCACUUCCAAAUGAAGCACCUCUUCCAGUGAAUCACAAUUCCUCACUUCCAACCAUUCCAAAUUGUUCAAGCACCGUAGCAGAUUGGCAGGAAUAGCACUCGACAUAUUCGUGCAGUCAUCCACCACCAGGUGUCUUAAAUUGUUGAAGAAGCUGACAGGCAGUGCUUGGCCAUGCGAUAUUUCUUUCAAACGUGGAAAAUGUGAGAAUUGCAAAAACUCCAUGUCACGAAAUCCAAUCUGCUCAAACCAAAACAAUUGCACUGGAUAUAUACAAUUUUUUUUUUGAAAGGCAUUAGAUAUAUAUAUAUACAUUAAACUUACAUGUUUUGUGUUUUAACUUCUAAAAAUAUAUUUAAAUGUGCAAGUGCAGGGGAGAUGCAUGAACAAUUUGGAUGAAUCGAUUAACACAUACCAUUUCUUCGUAACACUUUUGUAUAGUGGAAUUAAGCUUAUUGCCUUCCCAAUGGUGCAGUUCACCCCCUUCCUUUUCAGUCACUUGCACUUUGCAUGGCUUUGGAAUGGAUAAGAUUCCCUGAGAAAAAGUCUUCAUGUUUGGACAACGUAUCAUAGAAACUCGUUCCAAUGAUGGGAAUUCAAGAGUGUAAUUCUCCAAACAAAAGCUGGUAAGCCUUCGUAAAUCAUCAAGUAUCAAAACUUUUAAUUCGCUGAAAGCAAUACGAUUCUCCUUCGCUUCUUCUCCAACAUGUCCUACGAUUUCUUCUAAUUCUUUGCAAUCCGAUACUUUAAGAUUCACCAGACUACUAGGAAUUCCAACCUGAAAAUAAGCAAAAGUGUGCGCAUGUGUGGUGUAUUAAAAAAGUAUGUUAAUCAUACAAUUAUGCAUUUUAUAAACAUAACAAACCAUGAAAUGUCUACUAGAUAAUUUUUUGUUAAACAAAAACGGAACAAGAUAAAUAAAUAAAUAAAAUCCAGAUAAACAAAGAUAAUAAAAAUACAUUUACACUAUUUAGUAUUAGAAACGUAGAAAUAAUUUAAGGCAAUUUCUAAAUAUUUUAGACUUAUUUUGCAUCUUGAUAUCAGUUUUUAAGCAUAAAUUUGCAAAUUUCAACUAUUCCUUCUUUUUUUUUUAAAAAAAAAGGGACCAUUUUCCUUGGUCCCUUUUUUUUAUGUAUAUUUAAAAAUGGAAAAAAAAAUUUGGAAAAGACUUCCCAAUACUGUCAACGAGGGACUGCUGUAAAGUGGAUCUUUAUUAAGUACUUCCAGACUAGAGGAAAUUUCUUUACAAUCAAGGGUCAGUUGUAAAUAAUCAUGAAUUUGUGGUUAAUUAAUGGCAUAAUCAAUUCGUAACUAAACUAGAGAUAUUAAUUAAAUUUGAAGACUUUUAUUUUCUUUUUUUCUUUUUCCAAUCGAAAUGUGAAGAAUUAAGGAAAAGAGAAAUAUAUAGAUGAAUUCGUGAACCUAUAAGAUGAGUGACGAUCCUUUAAUUUUUGAAAAUCGUACUUAUUAAGAUAUGAGCAAAAACUAUUUAAUUGAAUUAUAUUAUGCUGUUGAAUCGUGUUUAAAAAAUUUAUAUUGUUGAUUCUAAUGCUGACGAACCUAAGAUACUUGAAAUAAAUAAUCAGUUUGCUGGCUGAAUAUCAUUUGUAAACAAAAAAUGGUUAAAAUAUUGUUGGAUGUAAUUUGAAAAAAAAAAGAUUCGAAAUGAAUACAGCAACCUUACCAAUGGAGGAAAAAUAUUCAUUAGGUUAUCACACCCAAUUAUCUCCAAAUUCUUCAAUUUGCUGAAAGACUCCGAAGCAAGCUGGUGGUGCCAUAUUUUUCUCAAAUUAUCCAUCAACCUAAUACGUAAUACCUCCAACCUAGUAAGUCGUACCUGGCAGUUAAAGAUUAAAUAACUAAUUAAUCAAUUAAUGGCAUAAUCAAUUGAUAACUAAAUUAGAGGCGGAUAUUAACUAAAUUUGAAGACUCAAGGAAAAGACAAAUUAAAUAUUGUGACUAAAAUUAAAUUUUUUUAUUAAAAAAAAAACCUUUUUGUCAAAGAGAGGAGGAGGUUGCAUUUCAGAAUGAAUGGUGUCUUCUGGUGAGCUCGUAGAGAUGAAUCUCGACAUACUGUUGCACCAACUAAUCUCGAGGUUUAGCAAAGAAGGGAAUUCAACAACUAAAUCUGAAUGAAUAUGUCCCGUAUUGGCAAAGCUUGUUAGUUCUGGAAGAAAAUGGAGCUUGAGGGAGUGUAGUUUAGGAAAAACCUUUAAUUCAAUCAACUUUCCUUCUUCUCUUUCUGACCACCCCGUGGUGUCGACCACCCCUUCCAUUGACUCACAAGACCGUAUUUCAAGAUGUUGGAGUUGCAAAAGACUAUUAACCAUAGAAUACGAAAACAGAUACUUCAUACGAUGACAACUGCUCACGUACAGCUUUGUUAAAUUUUGACAACAGUACAUUCCUUGAUUAUGAUCGGCCCAUAAUUUUUUCAUGUUUCUUAAGUCCCUGAGAUUCAAUUCCUCUAACCUCGGAAGAAUAACCUGCAAAGAAAACCCGUACAUUUUUGUUCCUUCAAGUACAACCGUCUAGUAUAAUAUUCUUUUGAUGAUCGAAGAUUAAUCGUGAUAAUAAAUUAAUCAAUUAAUUAUUGAACAGAAAAUUAUCACCUUUGGAGCAGUAUCAUCAUCAGCAAUGAUUUCGUUGAAUCCCAAAGAAGUUGUUGGUUUCUCCCUGUCGGGUCCUAUAAACAAACAAAAACAAUAUAUACAUAAUUAAUCUUUGUUGUUUUUUUUUUUCCAAAAUAAUUGAGGAGAAGUCCAUAAUCCCACCAAUACUUAACUUCAACACUCACCAAAAAUCAUUUCCAGAUCACCGCAAAGAGCCACUUCUACCUUUUGAAGCCGCAGUAGGUUUUUGGCCAUGGAGAAUGAGAAAAGAUGCUUCAAUUUGUGACAGGCUUCUACUUCUAUAAUCCUUAAGUUGCUGAAAGAUUGAUCUUCUGUGAGUUGGCUGUCACAUAUUGUCUCCAAAUUGUUCAAAUAGCUAAGAGACAAUGACUCCAGCAAGGGAAAGACUGUACAAUGAACCCGUCCAACUGAACCGACAAUAUGCAAAAUCUCAGAACAACUUUCUACCCAAAGAUGCUUCAAUCGUGGAAAACCUUCCCCAUCAUCUAAUUCAUGAACAACAUUCUGAACACCCUUCAGUUCGUUUAGAUGGAUCUCUUCAGCUUCCUUCAGCAACAUUUUCGUCCCAUAAUUCUCCAAAAGAGUGCUAACAUUUUCUAGCCCAUCGAGCUCCACCAUUCUUGAUGUUUUAGAAUUAACGCCUCACAUGCGCCACGCUUCUCCUAUACAUAUCUUAUAUCUUUGCAAUUCCACAGAGACCAAAUCCUGCGGUAGAAUUUCGGCAUCCCGAACGUGUAUCUCCAAGGUAGUUAGCUUUGACAACCCCUUCAAUUCAGCAAGACUGGCGUUACUUCCUCCUUCAACCUUAUCCCACUGCGAAAAGCUGUCACCCAUAUAUAGUUCUUCCAAUCGUGAAAAUUUUGAUAUGACAUUUGGUGCUAUCACUACAAGGCUCCUACAAUUGCUCAAAUCUAGCAAUUGUAACCGCGUCAAUUGACCGAUUUCAAGUGGUAACUGCUUAAUGUCGGAAUAUCGAAAGCUAAGAAUCUCUAAUUUCUUUAGCUGUCCAAUUGCCGCUACAUCUUCUUGUUGGCACCAGUCUAAACACAAUGUUUGAAGGUUAAUGAGGCGACCUAGUGACGAAAGUAAUGAAGAGAAAUGAAUUCCAGUAAAAUCUAAAACUUUGAGUUCUUCUGUCCCUUCAAAAAAGAGGUCUGAAACUUGCAUAGGGCCAUUACCCUCCGUAUACAACAAAAAUAACUGGAGAUUGGGACAUCCCAACCUUUCGGGAAGCUCUUGAAUAUCUCUAUAAGGUAAAGAAAUAGCAAUUGGACCUUUCUGUAUUGUCUCUUCCAUCUUUUUCUCCACGUCAGCAACAUUUGGAAUAUUAAACAUGCGCUUCUCUGCUGCAAUUGAUACAGCAACAACAUGAAUGACGUCAUGCAUUUUAACUUCAUCUUUGGCAUCACCGUCCAACAAUAAGCAUGAAGAUUUGAGAUUGUCGAUCAACCGAUGCACUCUACUCCUUGCUUCUUCCAAUGUGUAAACAUUUUCAAACAAACCCCAACCCACACCAUGUCUCAAUAAGUCAGAAACGGGUAUGACAUUACCUUCACUGUAUAGACCACAAAGACGGAACAGAGAUUUUGCCUCCUCACUUUCCAAGAAUUCAUAACUCAAUUUUAUGGAGGUGUACACAUUUGCUUGCAUGCCAUGAAUUUCUCUUGCAUCCGAUCUUCUUAGCUGAUUCAAUGCAUCUUGCCAAAAGUAACGCUCCUUAGUUUUCAGAGCAUUUGCAACUGUACUCAGUGCAACAGGCAAACCUCCGCAUCUUUCAACGAUCUCAUUUGCUAUACUUUGAAAAGCAGAUAUUUUAGUUGAAUCACCCACUAUCUUCUCAAAUAACUGCAAUGCUUCUUUUCGUGGCAAAGCAUCGAUCGGGAAAUUUUUCUGAGAAUUCAUAUCAAUGCUCAAUAAAUCUUGCUUUCUAGACGUCAAUAUUAUUGUGCAUCUUCUCUGAUCAUCCUUUCUAUCUUUCUCAGCAACAUCUCCAGAAGGGAUUCCAACCGCAUCCAACUCAAGUCUUGUCCAAAUAUUAUCCAAUAUAAUGAGGACCCGCUUCUCUUUCUUCAAUACUCGACGUAGUCGAUUUGCUCUGUCGAAUAUAUUCUCAUUCAACUCAAACUUUAUGCCUAAAUCUGAAGCGAGUUUGUUUUGAAUUUGCUGAUUAUCUGAUUCAUGUGUUAGCUCAGCCAUAACGACCUUAUCGAACAACUUAUCUUCCAUCACUUGCUUUCUAACUUGCCUGACUAGCGUGGUUUUACCCACGCCGCCCAUGCCGUAGACCCCAAUUAUGUUGAGCUUAUCAUCCUUCAACGCCUCCAUAACAUCCUGUAAUACUUUCUUUCUUGAAUCAAAGGCCUCGUUAUCUUUCCCGCCCCUAGGUGAUUCGCUCUCUGGAGGAGGAUCGUAGGAAACAUCACUCUUCAGUUUGUCGCCUUUUUCCAUGAGAUUAGCAGCAUCUUUUGCGGCCUUUGCUGCUCGUUUACUGAGUUUGUAACGAGACAACAAAUUUGGACACAAUCCUUUGAAGCAGGACUUCUUGGCUCCAUCUUCUUCGUCAAUGAUAGAUUUUGCAACCCCCUCCGUAGAUUCAACCCUACUUCGCCAGUCUUUGACACGCUGAUAAAUCUCUUCCCCUUGUCGGGUAGCAUGAUAAACAUGUUGUUGCACCAUUUCGUUUAUACCUCCCAACUCCUUCACUUGAUCUUUCAGCUCUUCUAUGUAGCUCUGGUACUUGAACACAUAAGAGAUCUGCCGCAUAAUCGGUUCGAACAAUGCCUUUGUGCCUUCUGAUAUAAUGCUUGAAAAAACACCUUGACAGAAUUCUACAGCCAUUGCCUGCUGCUUAACGAUAUAUAUGUAGUUUUUGGCUGUUAAAAAAAAAAAAAUUGGAUUCAAAUAAAUUAAAUGAACUAGAGGGGAAGAAAAAGAAAGAAACGACAACAAACAACUUUUUAGAGAAAGGUUUGACAGGCCUAAAUGGAAAACCAACAACUUUUUGAAGAAAGAAAACUUUGGAAGAUAGAUGCAAAUUAACCGUUGAUAAUAAUACUACAUUAAGAACACAGAAGUUAACAAUAAACAGUAACUUAAAACUCAAGAAAAUUAAAUGACGAGAUUAAGACAAACAAGGGAUAGUUUUUGUUGGACAUUAAGAAACAACUGCUAUCAAGAUCAAGGAUUAGAAAUUAUGCUAUUAAAAGAAGUUAUUAAAGGAUAGUGCUCGUGACUGCAGGAAAAUUUCUAAUGGAAACAACUCAAUUUCAGAAGAAUUUAUCCAAUUGACUCUGUACUUGAACUCGUUGGAUUGGUUGAUUUAUGAUUGACUGAAUUUCAAUUCGGCCCAAAAGAUCUUUAACCAAAGUUUAAUAGCUAUCAUCUACUCCUUAAAAGCAAAUGUGUAUCUUUUUUAGAUUUGACUGAAUUUGAUCUUGUUGGAUUGGUUUUUUUUUAGACAAAGUUGUUUUCCUACUGAUUUUUAUUCUUCAAGUAAACUUAGAUACAAAGUAAAUCUAAAAAAAUGACAAACAAACAAUGAAAUAAACGACAACAAACUGGCAAUUUUGAUACAAAGCCAACAAAUAUUAAAAUUUAGAACAUUUUGUUUUCUUGCUUUCUUUUGUUGGAGGAUUAGAGAUUUUGGUAUUACCCGAAAGGUUUCAAGGGUCUGAGUAGAAACCUAUAAUCUUUUUAAAAACUUUUUUUUAAAAAAUUUUUUUUGGGGAAAAGGAUGCAAAUUAACCAAAGGAAAUAAUAAGAGCACAGGCUUUAUCAAUGAACAAAAACUUAAAACUCAUGCAAAAUAAUUCAAUAUUAAAACAAAUCACUGAGGAAUAUUUAAGAACAACUUGAAAGAGCAAAAAGAUCACUGAGGAAUGUGUGAGAAAAGAGUUGACGAGAGAAAUAACAAUGACUUGCAGAAGAAAAACCAUUAAUAAUUAUGUGCAUUUUUAUUUUAUUUUUAUCCGCAUGCACUUUAAUGAUUAGUGCUCCUUUCAUAAAGCAGCUACCGGAAACACACAAAUAUCAUUUGAGAGAGAAACUAAACAGCAAAUCAUCAAAGUAAGAUCAAUAAUAUAUUAUUUGGUUAAUGCAUAUUCAAGAACAAAAACAAAAAUAAAUAAAUAAAUAAAGAAGGUUUGAUUUUGUAUUGCCAACGCUGCUUUUUUGUUAUUUCAUUUGUUCUUUCCACAAAUGAUGCUUGGUUAUAAUUAAGUUUCACAUGGCCAUUACUUACAAACUGUGUUUGUGUUAACAGAAACAUGAAAUUCACAUCACACAAAAUUGCACUAUCAAUUCUUAAUAGAACAUAAUAAUAAUUACUCAACGCAUAAGGGUAAAUUUAGAAUUACAUUUUCUCAAUGCAGAAGGGUAAAUUUAGAAUUACAUUUUCUGAUUCUUUUUUAUUUAAUAAAACCCCAAUGGAAAAUCAUAAAAAUUUAGAUAUAUAAAUUUUCUCCACCAAACAAGAAAAAAAAAGGGGGAAUGAAAACACAGGAUUUAUUUUACCUCUCUUUCAUCUUAACUCUUUUUCAGGCAAACCAAAACAAAAAAAUUUCAAUAAAGAGCUAGUUGUUGAAAUUGAUUUAUCUUGUUUUUCAGGCUAUCUUGUGACGUGACGAUAGAUAAUGCUCGUGAAUGCUAGAAAAUUUCUAAUGCAAACAACUCAAUUUGGGAUGAUAAGCUUAAUUUUGCAAAUGACGAAUGUAAAUAACUUGUUUUGAUUAAUUGAAUUUGUAAUACUCUUACCCUAUUCUAAAAUUUGGAGGUUGCUUGAGAAAAAAGGGUAUUUCUCACUCAUCUUCAAUCCUCAAGUAAAAUUAGGUAAAAAUCAAAUCUAAAAAAUCACAAACAAAUUAACAAAAAAAAAAAAAAAAACAACAACAUUGAUCUUGAGACAAGUGAUAUUUAAACAGAGAAUUCUUUAUUCUUUUUUACUUCCCCCUCCCCCCCCGGGGGGCUCGAGGAUUAAAGUCUUGCUAUUAACAGAGAGGUUUUAAGAGUCUGGAUAAAACCCGUGCUUUUUUAAAAAACCACUUUUUUUUUUCUUUUCUCUUUUUUUUGGGAAGAUAGAUUCAAAUUAACCAAAGCUAGUAAUAAGAGCACAUACCUUACAAAUGAACAAUAACUUACAACUCAAGCAACAUAAAUGAUAAGAUUAAAACAAACCGGAGAAAUUUUUCUUGGAAAAUAGACGGAAAUUAAAUAAGAACUGCUGUUAAAAGAAAUUAUUAGAGGAUUUAGGAGCAUGUGUACCUCUUUAAUUAUUUGGGAUCAGAGAGUUGAUGAGCUCUCUAUUCGCCUUUAAUAUUGAGUAAGAACUGGUAUUAAAAGAAAUUAUUAAGAACAAUAUUUCAGUGAGCAAAAGAUCACUGUUAACUGCAGAGGAAUUUGCGAGUAAAAAUUAAGCUGAAAAGAGCAGUAACAAUGAAUUGCAAAAGAAGGAGACUUAAUCAAGCACCCCUUUUAUACCCGAUUUUUAAGAUUUAAUUUUGAAGUUCCCAAUCAAGAACAAAGACGAAGCUUUAAUGAAGCAUGCAGUGAGAUACAAGAAAUGGAUCGGGCAAAAUACCUUACGAAGCGUUUCAUAUUUUCUAAUGAAAUAAUUAAGUUGAAGUUUUCGACGAAUAAAUACUUGUUGUGCUUGAAUAAUUUUGGCAUAUACAUUACUUGUAUCCGGCGAAAUUGAAAAGCACAUUCAUUUACAGAGCUUGUUAGUAGGGAAAAGCUUCGUAAGAUGCCUGAUAAAAGAUAAAGCAAAAGCUUGAAUGAAGAAUGACAUUUUAGAAAGAAACUAAAGUGCAAUCAUCAAAGUAGGAUCAAUAGUGACUUGAUCAGUUAUGCUUUUUGUUAUUUCAAUUGUUCUGUCCACAAAUGAUGCUUCGUUAUUACUAAUUCCACAUGGACAUUAUUUAGAAACUGAUCUUAUGUUUAACAGAAAAAUAAAAACUCGUCAUCAUAAGCAUUCUUGGUUGUCCUAAACCAGAAGUAGGUGUUUUGCCUGAAAGUACCACUUUGCUAGCAAAUCUAGUGGGUAUACUGAAUAAAUUUUUACAUUAUUCUAUUUGAUCUCUCUGUCUUUAUCCUAAGCAUUCUUGGUUGGGAUCGCUGCAUUGUCCUGUAAUCUGUGUGACUUAGUGAAAAGAGGAAUGGGUAACUGUGGUUAUGGGUACGUGAGAGGUAACGAUGAGGGUAGAUUGUUAAUUUUGAGGAGCGAUUUGCUUGCAUAAUUCAAUGCAUGGACAGAAAUGUCCCUGACCAAAAAAAGGGACCAUCCAUAUCUGAAUCUGAGCAUCAGAGCUUGACUUAUUUGAUAAAUAGAUAUACUUGAACUGUUUUUGCAUAAUAACUAAAAUAUUUAUUUUUAUAUAUUCGAUAAACGAGCUCACUAUUGAUAGAACUUAUUAGAUACUACAACUCAAAUAACUUCUUGUGCUUGAUUGAGGUUUUUAUAUAUUCGUAUGUUUGAGUUUUUUUUUUUUUUUUACUUUCUAAGAAUUAACUUCUACCUUGAUUCUAAAAAAAAAUAUAUAAUUUUACAAAUAAUUUAGUUCGGCAUUUGGUAAAUGAUAACUAUUUGAGAAUAAGUUUUAAAAUGGUUUACUGUACAAAUCUGGUAAAUGAAAAUUAAAAGUGUAAAAUGUUCACAUAAUGAAAAUUAAAAGUGUAAAAUGUUCACUUGCAAUGACAACAAAUACUUAUUUACUUAUUUGUAAUUUAUUUUGAAUAUUAUUGUUUAAAUCAUUUUUUUUACUUACCAGAUUUUUUAAGAGCAUUCUAUUUUCUUUAUUACAUAGUUAAAUAAUUUUUUAUUAGCUAUUUUAUUUUGCAAUAAAAUUAACUUCAAUAUUUUUUUAACUAAAAAUUUUGUUAUGUAGUUCGUGAUAUAACAAAUACUAACAUAUCAUUAAAUUGAUUAAUAAAUUAAGUGCAAAAAAGAAAAUGCAGAAAUUUAAUCUUUAUAUAAACUUUUAUGUACAUAAAAUCAUUGUAAUCAAACUAGUUCAUAGAAAUAUAAUAUUAUAUACAUGUGUGUAAAAAAAACAUAUGACCAUAAUAUUAUCCACUCAUUAAACUUGCUGCACUAUUAUUUCUCAAUCUCUCCAUCUCUCGACCUUCAAGAACAUUACUACCAUAAUCUUCUUCUUGAAUUCAACCUCCAUUUCCUCAUCAUCAACAAUGCGACCAAUUUGCCUUGAUAGCCUUUCAACUCCUCCCACUUUCCUCCCUUUUUGCAGACACUCUUUUUCUUUUUCUUUUUCUUCUUUAAUAGCUUCAAUGGGAACAACCUCAUCUAACGACAAGUCCAUUCUUCAACUAGAAUAGAGUUGGUAGUAGAUAUUUUAGUACUCUCAAACUAUGCCCAAACAGGGUCACCAAUGAUUGUCGUAUUAAAAGACAUUCUAUUUAAUUUUCCUCUAACUCUGGGUCGAUACCUUUUAUGCAAAAUCUAUUUACUUCAGGAAUUUUCUACACAUGUCGAUAGCAUAUUAAAGUGAAUUCAGAUCCUAUAUUAUUGACAUUAAAAUUUAGCCGAAUAGUAAAAAAUUUCCCUUUUUGUUUGUCACACAGCCAUAUAGUCCCAUUUUUGGUUAUAAGCUCACAAUAUGCAAGGGAAAUGAAGAUCUAUUAAAACUUCCCCAUAAUGUUCAUUUUGUUGCUCGGAGGAAUAUAACUACCUAUUAAUUAAUUAGCAAGAAUUGCGUUGCGAGUCCAUGUUUUUGUCGUUUGGAUGGAGGAUGUGCUAUCUUUUUGUUGUAGAUGCUUUGUAAGGCUUUUGAUUUAAUGAUUUAAUGCAGUCAAUUAACAAAAGCUUACAUAUAGUAUUAUGUAGUUGCUGAGAUGUCUGUUCUUGAUAAAGUCGAUUUAUUUACACCCAAGCCAACGGAAUCAAAGCCUUUUCGUUAAUAAUAUACACGGUAAUUGUUUUUGUUAAAUUGAUUUCUAGCUAACAAGAUCUUUGAAAGCAUUUAGGUAGCGUUUACAUUUUAUGUUGGAGUGAGAAUCAUGAGGAGUGAGAAUCCUGGGAUUAGAAGUGUGGAGUGGGAGUCGAAGUAUGUUGUUUACUUACACUGGAAUGGAAGUAUGGAAUUGAAAUCAGAAUCCAAUUUAUUUGUUUACAUUGUCUUGGAUUGGGAGUAAAUGAUUUUAAAUUACAACUUUACUCUUAAAAAAUUAUAGUUAUUACUUACAAAAUUAAUAAAAAUUAUAUUUAAAAAAUAAAAUAUUUAUUUUAUUAUAUUUUUAAAAUAAUAAUAAUAAUUAAUAUUCUUAACUAUGUAAAUCAAAAUUAUUUUAUUAAUUUAAAUUUAAAUUAUAUAAAUAAAAAAUUAUUAAUAACAACAACACAAAUGAAACAUUAUUAUUGUACAAAAUUGAUUUUUAGAAUAAAAUAUUUAUUAUUAUUAAUCACUAAUAUUAAAUAAAUAUAAUAGUAUUAUUUUUAAAUAAGUAUAAUAAUAUUAUAUUUUCAAAUAAAAAUAGAAUAUAGUAAUAUUAUUAAUUCUUUAUGAAUAUAAUAAUAUAAUUUUUAAGUAAUUUUAAAUUAGAAUCAAUAUAAAUUAUUAUUUUUAACCAAAAAAUUAAUAUUAUUUUCAAUAUGUUUAAUAUUAUUAUUUUUAAUAAAUGUAAUUUAUAAAAUAAUAUAAUAAUUUAAUUUAAAUAAAUAUGAUAUUAUUUAUUUUAUUUUAUUAAAUAUAAAGGUAAAAAAUGAAGAGAGGCGAGUGAAUUCCCACUCCCACCUUGCCCCAUGAGAGUGGGAAUCCCAUUCAGUCACUCCAAAGUUAGGUGGGAUCCACAGAGUGGAAUUCUCACUCUCCCUUUGAAAAUUGUAAGUAAACACUAGAGUAAAAGAAAUCCACACUCCUCACUCUCACUCCAAAAAGUACACACUACAUUGAAGAAGCCAUUGACUCAUAAGAAAGCCAUGAUUAAAUACAAGGCGAAGCAUGUGAGCUCGUUUUUCAAUCUCUUUGAUCACUCAUAAGUUUUUCUAUACCACUCACUAUAUCAUCCUUUUAAGUCAAUUUUGACUGAUCAUCAGAGAUCAUGCACCCCACCUUGAGAUGAUUGAUCACCAAUUUGGCAUUGUAACAUUGAUCACCUCUAAUUGGCCAAGCUAAAAUUGGGACCCCAAAACCAAUUGCUUCUACAGUUGAAUUUUAUCCACAGUGAGAUAAAAAUCCACCUGUUAAUUGAUAACUCAGUAUCAAUAAUUGUGGUGCCAUUCCAUCUAUUAUCAAACCCUUUUUACUGGCUCUACUAUCUAAACCACUACGAAAAUAAGCUGGUUAAAUGACGUAGAGGAUCCAAUCUAUUUACAUAAGUUUGAAUUACCUAAAUAAUCGGUGGAUUUGAUGCUUAUAAAUCAGAGGGAAUUGCAGCAGAUACACCUUCAUACUUUAAAAAUUACCUCAAUACCUUAAAAUUUGAUUUUUCCAAAAUUUUCAUCAAUAUCCUUUAAAAGCUGAUAGGAAAUGACUAAGUUAUCCUCGUUUUAAAACACUUCAACUCAACUGGCAGCACCUCUCCCUCCCUCUACUCAAACAAACAAACACUCAUAUAUGCUACAAUUCCCUCCACUACCUUUACUCAAACAAACAAACAUUCAUUCUCCAUACAUGCUAAAUCGAACUUCAACACGAGCAAAUUGAGCUGAGAAAGGGAAGCUGCUACAACUGAGAAAGAGAAGCCUAGUUCGUCGCUACAUAAUCGCCAGCGAGAGUUGAUCCUUUAUUGCAAAAUGGUCAGAAUGUAACUAGUUGAGGUAAGUAAUUCCCUAUAAUUUGUUUUCUUGUUGAUAUUCAAGGGAAAAAACAAAAAGUUAGGGUUUUAUAUUGAAAAAAUAAUUAAUUAGUUGCGGGUCUCUCAUAACAUGUUCGAAAACACAUUUCUAGUUGUUUUGUUGCAUGCAAAUUGUGAAAAAUUAAUGGAUUGUGCCGAUUAUAAUUUUUUCAUGUAACACACGAUUUGGUCAUGUAAGGUUAUGUAAGAUUCAAGGUUGUGUAUUACACGACCUUCAUGUAUUGCACGAUUACAUGACCUUCAUAUAUUGCACGAUUACACGAGCUUUAUGUAUUACACAAUUACAUGACCUUCAAUUCCAGAUUGAGGAGUAAAAAGUUUAUCAUCUCUCCAGGUGUGUUCUGUAAUUUAAUUUUUUGUUUCUUGUCGAUAGAAUAUACACAUUACAUUUAGUUUAAUUAGGCUCACAAUUGGGGACAAUAAAUUGGAAUGGUACAUAUGCCUUUACCUUGUGGAAUGUCAUUACUUAGAGAGAUCCUUAAUUUGCAAUUAUAAGCCAUGGUAAGUCAUGGUAUGUCUAGUUAUGAGUGGAAACACUUUGAUCAUUGCGAAUGGUGUUCUUAUGUGUAUAACAUUACAUUAAUUUCCUAUAGUUAAUUUUUUUUCCUAAUUGAUUUCAUGGAUUAAUUAUAUGCAGGCAUUCCUCAUGUAUGCAUGUAUGUUUGGGCAGAGGAAGAAAGCACUUUGAAGAUUAAAAAAGCUUUUUAAAUGGUUGUACUAUGUUUAAUAGCGAUGUUCAUUAGUGUAUCAUAUCCAAAUAUUGAAAAAUUUGUACACUGAUAACUUUGUUUAUUUAUACUAAUUAAUCUAAUCAUUUCUCAAACUGUCGGAUGUUCAAAUUUAGUUUUUUUUUUCUGCAAUUUAUGAACACACGAUUUGGUCGUUUAAGGUCAUGUAACAUAGGAUUCAAGGUCGUGUAAUAUACUCAUGUAUACAUGACCCUCAGUCGUCUAUGACAUGACUUUGUAUAUUAUUACGCGAUCUUGAAUCAUGUGUUACGAGUCUUUCAUGACCUUCAGUUAUAUAUUACACGACUUUCAUGUACUACACGACUUUAUGUAUUACAUGACUUUAUAUAUUGCGCGAUUAUACAGCCUCCAUGUAUUACACGACCUUAAAAUUACACGAAAUUUUCCAUUAAUCAUUAGAUUAAUUUAGUUCAUUAAAGACUUAAUUUGUGCUAAGAAUUUAUAUUUGCUGCUAUGCAGAAAAUGUCAACGAAAAUUAUUAAAAAAAAGAAGUGAAAUUAAAUUGGAAUCUAAAAAAAUUCCACAUCAUCAUUGGUUUGAAUUGUAAGUGGUGGCAUAGGAUCAGAUGUCUUAAGCUUGAACUUCAUUGUGAUUUCGAAUUCCGAAGUAUCUAUAUCAAUAAAUUGAGCUAAUCUUCACCAAUCCGGCAUAUGUUGUCGAUCGUGGUAUCAUUAUCCCUUUAGCCUUGGAACCUUUGAACUUAUACUCAUCAUUUUGGUCAAUCCAUUCACCAUUGAAGAGAAUAGGUACACGUACCAAAACCAUAUCUGAUGAUACAAUAAAAACAAUAAUAUCAAAUUUCAUAUACAAGUAACUACACGACCUACAUGACUACAUUACUUACAUGACUUACACGACCUACAUGACUAUAUUACUUACAUGACCCACAUGACUUACACGACUAUAUUACUUACACGACCUACAUGACUAACUACAUGACGUGCACGGUAUCAAAAGGAAUGCACGACGCAAAACAUUUUCACCAUAAAUAAAUUAUAUUGCUGAAAAAAAUAAUUAAACAACCUACAUUGCAUAUAAUUCUACAUAUAAGAAAAAAUGGUGAAAAUACAACAUUAUAGAGUGAGGAAAUUUUCUAAAUUUUCCUAAAAAUUAAAAAAAAAUUAAAACCCAACAACAUUAACAUAUCUUAUUGGGUUGUUUAAUGAGCAAUGCACCUAAUUUCAGUUAAAGAAAGAGUGGGUGUUAAAGAAAUGAAUAUAUAAUUGUAUUUGUGUAAGAAGUUAUGAGAGAUUUUGAGAGAUUCUAGGAGAUUUUGAGAAAAUUUCGGCAGCAAGAAAAGAUUUGGGUGAAAGAAAUAUGAAGACAAUGAAGUUGAGUGAAUUUGAUGCAUUCAUUAAGGACAUUUCAAACUUUACUUACAUUUAUUAGGGUAUCCAUGAAAACAAAAAAGGGAGGGGAUAUUUAAAUAAUUUUGAAACUAUUAAAGGGUAUUUAAUUAAAAAACCCUCUAAAUCAUUGGCUAAUGUUGAAUAAUUAUUUAAGGUAGGACCCAACAUGUAUAACACAGAUCCAUAUGAUUUCAAAUCUAAUCAUUUAAUGAUCUCAUCUUCGGUCAUGUUAGAACUCCGCCGGUUGGUUCUCAUCUCACAAUCACGAAGCACUGAACCGGCCGAUUUGUAAAAUUGUUUAGGUAACAAUGGGCCCACUCCCCACACUGGCAUCAACACCAUCGAUCCCUCCACUUGCUUCAUCCAGUGUGGUUGAUCACUCGGUUCUGAUGGACCUAUUUUCUCUGAACCGGGUGCACCUCACAAAGGUUGUGGACCACCAGGAAGGGACCCGUGAGGCCUGCGUUUAAGAUCCGAUUCGAAUAAAGCAAUAUCCUUGGGUAACCCAAGAAGUAAACGGGCCUCUCCCGGUUUGACAUCCUGGAUGCGAGCCUGCCACAUGGCACACUCUACAGCUGCUGAGCAAGCAUCAGAAGUGAAGAACCCAACAAUGGGAACUUCAAAAUUCUUGAAAACAUCAGCCGUCCAGCCCAUCAUAACGCCGAUGACUACGCAAACAGGUCGGCUUUCGGGUUCCCGGGUUGAAAGGAGGUUUCGAAGGCCUUGAAGCAUAUGGCUGUGCAUGACAACAUGGUGGUGAGAAGGAGGUGAUGGUAGUGGUUGAGAUGGGAGGGUAUUUCGGUAAUUUCACAUAGAGGGUAUUGGUGAAGAGAGGAAGGGGUGAUGCUGGUGGUGGAAACGUGAGAGGGAAUAAUGAGGGUAGAUUUGUAAUUACGAGAAGCAAUUUGCUUGCAUAAUUCAAUGCAUGGAAACAGAUGUCCCUGACCGAAGAACGGGACAAUCCAAAUCUCAGCCUCAGCAGCAUUCGCAACAGAGCUUGACAUCUUUUAUGAAUUAUUUGAGACUUAAUUGUUAUUGACUGCUUUUGCCAUCUUUCAUAAAACAUUCUUUGUUAUAUAUUCAAGUAAAUAAAUUUAUCGUUUAAAAUUAAUUUUUCAUGUGGUAAAAGCAAUACUAAAUAUGGGGUGGAGAGAAUAAUUUGUAGGGCAUACCCCCACCAUUUAUUUAAUUUCAUUAAAAAAGAAAGAAAAGAAAUAAAGGCUUGUUCAACAUUCAAUUAAAAUUAACAAUUCCAUGAUAAAAUUACUUGAGAAUAAAAAUUUUUAAAAAAAAAGUAACUCAAAAACGAGGAAUUUUUGAGUAACUGAAGAACCAUAGAUGUUUUUUGGUCAUGAGCAAUUUUUGAGUUGAGACAGAACUUGUAUAAAAAAAUAGUUUUGAAAACUUCUUUUCUUUUUUCGUAAAUAUAGAUAUAAAAUUUUAAAAUCACCAAACACAAAACCAGGAAAAUGGAAGGAGAGCCCCUGUUUCUCCUCUGUUGCAAGAACAAAUUCGGUUUCUACAGUUGUACCUUCUAAAUGCACCAUUUGUAUUGCUUUGUCUCCACUUGAGCUAACGGAAUUUGAUGAAAACAAAAUAGAUAUGAGUGGUGCUAUUCACAGCCCUCAAUAAUUCUCUCAAAACCCCUUUUCUAAUUAUACCCCGUUGAAUAAGUUCAAGACCAACUUUUCCUCUUAUAACACCACCUUCAAUUCCGUUAAUACCCUUGUUCGCUAUGAAAAUGAGGAAAAUGCCUACAUAAAAAGCUGGCUCUGAUAAUCUACCUGAAUUUACAUUAGAAAAGAGUGGACUUUGAGAAAUAAGAAGACAAUAUAGGGAAUUUUACCAAAAUAAUCCAUUUUUAUAUACAGGGAAUGGUAUUUUCUGAUAUAGGGAGGAGUGGAGAAAUUAAAUUCAGCAAAAUAAAGAACCUCCAUCGAGAAGUAAAAAUGAUGAUAUCUUUGUCGUGAAGAGAUUUCUGCCUCAUACAAAUUUUUUAUUCUAGAAUGCUUGAAACCGAAAAGUUCUGUAGUUGUUUCAAUUCAAUUGCAUACAUUGACGAAACAUUAAAUACGGAAAAAAACAAAAAAGAAAUAAUAGGACAGGGGGAUUUCGAGAAGUUCUAAAGAGAGAAAUCUAUUUAUAAGCAUUGAAAAUUAGCUCAUUAAAUUUGACAGAAUAAUAUACAAUCUCACUGUUGGCCAGAAAAUAAUAGUAAGAACUUGUGAACAUAUAUAAUCAAUUGUUUAUUACUUAAGCUCUUUUUCUUCGUUAUUUUGAAUGGGUGCAAAGAAGAGAAGUUUUGUACCCAAAUUCCAACUCGAAUUGUGUAGGCUGCUUGCAAGAGCUUCAUUAGAUUUUUAUUUGUCUUUUAAUAGUGCUUCUCGACAAAUACAGCUAGCUAUCUGUCCUUUUUGUUACUGGACUAUAGAUCAAUUGACAGUUGAAGUUAUAUUAAUUUGUUGUGCUGGAAUUGAAGCUUGUAUCUUAGCCAUUUGGUGAAGUGUCAAAUAUAUUUUUAAUUUCCUUAAAAUUGUUCAAAAUAUGUUUACACUUUUAAAGUCACUAUUAUACAUGAGUGCCCUAAAAUUGGAGAAGGCGAUUUGCCUGACAUUACCUGUAUUCGCUUGUAUAGAGAGGACGAUUUAGAUAAGUCGGAACGGAACAACCUUCAUCACAUGCUUCCUCACGUGGUUACUUAAACUGAUAUGUAAAACGUGCUCCAUCCAUGUCGUUUCCACUAAAUCGUUUUCUGUUAAGAAUCAGCUGAGCAGCACGUGAGCUAAUGAAGCUUUUACGGCUUCAAAACGCAGCCGUUUCUGGGAACCAAACUUGAUUCAUCACCUCACAACUACAGAUGAAUUAUCGAAGUGGCUGAUUGGUGCUAUACGUGUUUUUCGUAUUGAACUCAACUCUGCUAUUUUCCCAAAAGCUGGAAAACAGAAACAUCAUCCCUGUGGUUUUAUUUCACCUCAACCUUUUUCUGAUCCCAUUUUCAUUGUAAUUUCUCAUUUACUUUGAGUGAAAGUCAUUGUUGCUUUCGAACGAGGUUUUGCAACUAAAAAGGAAAAGGGGGCGGCUAUAAUACAUGCGUGCAUCUGAUACAUGCACAAAAACUGACCAUUGGAUUAAAUGGAGUGGAUCUAAUGGCUGAGAUUUGUUUUAUUAUUAAGCAAUAAAAAAAUUUGAAACAACCAGAAACCUGUAAAACCGGUCAUUUGGUUUAAGUUAAAAAUAUAUAAAUGAAAAUAACAAAAAAACCCACCACUCCCCCGCCUCACACGCGCCUCACCGCUCCCCGCUCCCUCGCCUCACCUCUCUUCUUGUUCCACGGCCAUCAACGGCGGCACGAGUCGGCGACGAUCGACUGCGGCUGUAAAUUGACCACGAUCAUCUCUCUCUCUCGGCUUGCUCAAAUUUGGCCGAUCUGUGCGCUUGCUUAAGCUUGGCCGAUCUAUGCUUGCUCGAUUACUCUUCCUAUCUUCAGUCAGAGUCAACUGUUUGACAAGAGUCGAAGUCCAAGGUUCUUUUUUACAGGAUUUGAGCUAUUCCUUUUAUUCUUCUUGCAUGUUCACUGAUAUGAAGCUUUGAUGUGGUGUUCUGAUAGCGGGUGGAAUUUGAGAUUCUCCUUUCUUCUCUAUAUGAAGGUGCUUGUCAUGUGUCAAGAAAAAUAAAAUUAUUUACCAAAGAUUAUUUUAAGGAGAUUUAUUAUUAUUCGUGGAUCGGGAAGUUUAUUUUGUUUUUUGGUCUCUUAUUUAUUUAUUGUUUUCACGAGGAAAUUGCUGUGCUUUUGGAAAUUAAUAUGCUGUGUUGUCAAUGUUGUGUGAAAUCCUUUUAUUGGUGUCUAUGUAAAGUGUUUCAGAUUUCAGACCUGAGAGUUAAUCUUCGCGUACCAGUUGGCUUUUGGGUUUAGUAUUGCUACUUUUAACAUAAUUGACCUAUGGCCCAAAUCAUUUCUAUAGGGCGAAGCAUAUGAAUGAUACAUAUUAUCUUUUUUUGGCCUUAUGUAUUGUUAUUUGCAGUGUGAUUUGGUCUAGCUUAAGAGCUUAAGCUUGCAGGUUGGAUUUGUCUGACAGGGAACAAUUUAAUUUGCUCAUCGUGAUGUUUAUAUCCAUUUUGUACUACUAUCAAUUUCAAUCAUGCCUAAUUUUUAUAUGUAUUUCUCGUGGACUCUCAGGUUCAGUGCACAAGAGGAUGAAGACGAUGGACACCCAAAUUUGAUGUGGAGAACAACUAUUGCAAAUGGUCCUUGAUUUACUUCUCCAAUUGACUUGAAUUGGUUUGACGCAAUUUAUAGUGUAUUUUUGUCAUCUUUGUACGACUAGCAGGUCGUCCUGAUUUGGUACAUGACUGGACACAGGAAUUGGACUCAUAUUUUUCAAACCAGAAUGCCAACAAUCAAGCAUUUUCUUUUGAAAGCACUGGCGUCUUCUUCAAUGCCAAAAAGGUUAGAGAUUUUCUGUAUCUUGUUUUGUAUUUAAUCAGUUUAGCAUGUGGGUGGCAAUCAAGAAAAGUUAUUAUAACAUUUUUGUGUUCCCGAAAAACUGCUGAUGAUGUGUAGUGCAGGAAAUGAAUUGUUUUUGACUUCUUUUUAUUUGUAUUCUUUCUUUUUUCUUUUCUCCCCAACAGGAUUAUGCAUUUCUGAAGAGCUUCUUGAAGUUGAUUACCAUGUAUGCCACUUUCUUUACUCUAUGCUCAGGAUGUGAUUUUGCCAAGCAUUAAAAUGGUUUAGGUCAGAACCAUCAUCUAAAGUUUACUUAAUGCAGCCGAGAAGCUGUAGUAGAGCAAGGAAGGCUGUUGGUGUUAUGAAGGCCAGCUGUGAAGAAAUAUUUGAACUUGUAAUGAGCAUGGAUGGGACACGAUACGAGUAUGCUUCUUUUCUAUUUUUUAUUUUUAGUUACUUUAACAUAAUCAAGACUAUAUUGGCUGUCUCUGUAAGCUGAGUAUUAUAUUUCCUCUUGCAUGCUGUGAAAUUCACAUUGUCUCCAGUCCCGAUUCUGUAUGUGCCUUUUUGAAUAUAUUUAAUUAAUCUGCAUGGUGCUUUCUAAAGAUUAUUACAAACUUUUGUUGCUUAAGUAUAUGAAGAAUGUAGAAAUGAAAACAGCUUUUGAAGUUUGAUGGAUUGCUUCAUUAAUAAAGAAAGACUAGGACUCAUUUUUAUAACUUUUCUCCACUUAGCUAAUGGUAUUUGAUGAAGACAAAAUAGAUGUAGCUAUCUAUAUUUUUUGUUGCUGAACUAUAGAUCAAUUGACGGUUGAAGUUAGUUAUAUUAAUUUGUUGUACUAGAAUUAAAGCUUGUAUCUUAGCCAUUUCAUGAAGUGUCAAAUACGUUCUUUCCUUUUUUUUUUUUUUUUUCAAAACAUGUUACACUUUUGAAGUCACUAUUACAUAAAAGAGUGUUCUAAAACAGGAGAAGGCGUGCUGCCUGAAAUUACCUGUUUCCUAGCAAAUCUAGCUGGUUUGCGAAUUAGAUUUUAACAAGUCUCUUGGCAAGGUUUGCUAGUAAUGUGUUCAAAUUAUUCUAUUUAAUUUUACUGUCUGUACCCUAAUAAUUCUUGGUUUGCACCAUUGCAUUGUUCCAUAAUCUCUGUGCGUUGGCUUAUAAAGGCCAGCAAGGCUGAUCAUUUGUCGAAUAGUUAUUUCCAUGAAAUUCCUAUCAAUUUGACUCAGUAUUUAGAGGUCUUGAAGAGGGCAGUGUACUAGACAUGGAUUUCUACCUCUUUUGGUUGUACAAUUGUUGUAUUUCUUGGCCAUCAGAUCUUUUUAAUGUACCUUUCUCAAAGUUCAUGCCGCACGUACACCGUUUUUCAUGUUUUGUGCAUGUGGGAUUGUAGUCUUCUGUAUCGCAGCUUAGUUGAAGAGGUAGAUGGUCAUACGGCUAUUCUCUAUCAUAGGCUUCAGCUGGACUGGUUUCCAAUGUAAUAGUCUCUUGAUUCAAUCAUCUCAUUUAUGCUUUGGUCAGAAUAGAACAUUUAUUGUUUCCUUCUUUCCCCUUUCCUCUCUUCUGAUGUAAUAUGUGAGGAAAUUACCUAAAAUUUCUGUAUCCCAAUGUAAUUGUUGGAAUUCAGAAAUAAAAUAAAUACACCGUCUUGUUUUUCCCUCGGUUCAGUCCCAAGUUCUCUUUGGGCCUUCUGCAAGUUUUUAAACAUACUGUGACAGUAAAAAAUCUAGUGAUUGAGAUCAUUUUGAUGAAUUUAAUUUUAAUUCUUAGCUGAUACUUUUUCUGGAAUUUUUUUCUUAUGUUUCCUCAAUAUGACUUAAAUAUAGGGCUUAGUUUGGUUUAGAAGUUCAUCUAAAACCUUCUCCUUGAUUCCAAAAAAAUUCUCUAGAAAGGUCUCAGAUGGAUUUUAGGGGAGUUUUGUGGCAAAUUUGAAAAGUUCAGGGGAAGGGUCUAAUGAAUUUUAAAACCACAUGGGUUAUCUGUUUUAUUCAGAGGAUAGUGGAAUUCCCUGAAAUUUAUCAUUUUUAUUUAAAUAAUCUUCCUACUUUCCUCUGCAGAAUUUAUUUAUAUAUAUGAAUUCAUUUGGUUGCAGGUUUGUUUGGCCCCGCGGCCUUUGUUAAGUGCGUUAUUGGCGUUGAAAUGACGCUGCGAGUUAUGGUAAGGUUCUUGCUUCCCCACUUCUUGAAAUUAAAUCUAUCUUUUCUGGCACUAGAAGUUUCCAUAAGCUGUGUUUUGUUAUCGCGCAGUUGUGUUAUUUCAUUCUAGGGAGCAUAUGAACUGUGGUCCACAACCCGGAUAUGUACGAGCUCACAUGGAGAGUUAGUUUUCUGUCCUUUACUUUGGUUGAUGUAGAGAAUUAACAAGUGACUAAGUCAUGCCAAGUUGCACCACUUGCUUCCUGUAUUCUGAUUUCUCAGGUGGUGGAUUCAACAUUUCCCCACUAAAACCUCAAAAUGGUAGGCCCAGAACACAAGUACAGCAUCUUAUGCAGAUUGAUCUAAAAGGGUGGGGUGUUGGUUAUGUGUCAAUGUUUAGCAACACUGUCUUCUGCAGAUGUUAAAUAGCAUUGCUGGUAAGUUUCUUGCUUUCACAUUUUAUUUUGCGCUGUUAUGGGUUAAUAUGUUUCUGUUGGGUGGCCAUUUUAAGUCAUAUUUUUACGUGUUACUGUAUUUUCUUCAGUCCUUUUAUAGGGAACACACACAUACACGUAUGUAGAGUCACCUUUUAAUGAGGGAUCUACCAUUUUAAUGAAAUGAGGAAUGAGCUAAAAGAUAAAAAAUUCACGAACUCCAAUGCAAUAUGUGUGUGUGCGCGUGUACACCUUUUCUAACUCUUGUUCUUAGUUAGAUAUUUUUUGGGAUUUCAGGCAAAUGAAAAAAGAGAUUAAGAGAAUGAUUUCAAGAGAACAGGUGGAUAAUAACUUAAAUAUUCAUUUUUAUACAUUUUGUUAAUGUCCUCUUUAAUGGAUUUCUAUGGAAUUAACCUUGUAAUUGGUGUAAUUACGGCAUUGGUGGUUGACAUGGCUUUCCUUGUGCAGGUAUGUAUGAUUGUACUGCAAUUUGCAAAUUUGCAUACUUGAAUGUUCUCAGAAUGGUAUAAUGCUUCGUGUAUGCAGGCAAAUACUACAGAUGAAUUACCGGAGCGGCUGAUUGGAGCUGUACGUGUUUCUUAUAUAGAACUCAAGUCUGCUAUUGUUCCAAAGUUGGAACCAGAGACAUCAUGACUCUGGUUUCAUUUCACCUCAACUGUUUUUUUUUUUAAUUGAAAAAAAAAAAUCAUUUGUUUUAGGUAUACAUACAUGUAUUUUGAUCCCGUUUUCAUUGUAAUUUCUCAUUUACUUUGAAAGAAAGUCAUUGGUGUUUUCGAGUGGGAAUUUUGCAUUAAAAAAUAAAGAAUACUUAAUAGGAAAUUUCAUAAUUCUUUAGUUACUAUUUUUGGAAUGUGUGUAAUAGUAUUAAAGUUGGUUUCUACUCGCAAACAAGUGAACUACUCGAUCCCCAACUGCGACCACGCUAGUUGUCAUUUAAAACUCAACAACUAACAAAAAUACUAAUAAAAAAAUGAUUUUCUUAUAUUGCUGUGAAAACAUUUAUGGGUUCAUUUAUUUCCACAAGAUCUAUAAUUUGGUCUUGACUUUACGAAAUUCUUUUAAUUUAAAGGGUUUUGGUCUGAGAAAGUCAGUUUGACGGAUUAAUUCUUUUUAAUAAUGGUCGAGUUAAUUUUACUAUACUCAUAAAACUAUUUUUAUUCUGAUAAUGCCACAAAUGUUAUGAUGUUUUCUUCAGCUAAUGAUCUUCUAUCAGGACUAGUUAGAAAUCAAAUGCUUAAAACACCGAUUGAAUGUAUAAUGCAGAAGUUUAAACAGUACCUAAUUGAAAAUUGCAUGAAACAUGAAACAUCAAUUCAAGUCCUUCCUUAAACAGAGAAUGCAUCAAACAAAUCCAAAGUGUCUUGCAAGUCUGUAGCAUGACAAAAAAGUUGUAAAUGCGUUUGGAACCAAAUUCUUCAAGUACAGGAGAACGAGCAAGUUGAAUUAUGUACAAGAGAUUGGCCUGGUUCGAGAUAGCUUCUUCACUGUACCUGAAGGAUUGGCUCAAUCUUUUCUUUAGAAUUCUGCACAUUUUGUAAUUACUCGUGUAAGCAAGCAUACAUUACAACCAUAAUAAUAAUAAAGCAAGAGUAAUGAUACGACCACCACCUUUUGUACACAAACAAUAUUGUAUAAACUAAUGCGACAUAAUAUGAUUGGUUAAACAAAAACAUUACAUGGCCCUCAUAAUUUAUUUAUUUAUUUAUUUAUUAUUAUUAUUAUUAUUAUUAUUAUAUAUUUUCAGUCAACCAAUCAUAUUAUAUCACAUUAGUUUCUAUAAAAUAAUUUGCUAAAUAGCACCAAAACUUAAUUGAUACUCACCAUUUCAUUGAACAAUUUUUUUAUGGUGUCAUUGAGGUUGCCUUCCCAACAUCCUUCAUCAUCAUCAUCUUCUUCAUCAUCAUCUUUUUCUUCUUCGGUGACGUUCACUUUGUUUAGCAUUGGUGUGUCUAAGACUCCUUGAGAGAAGAUCUUCAUUUUUGGACACAGUCUCACAACUACUUGUUUCAAGGACGGGAAUUCAAGAGCGUAAUUACCUAAACAAAAGCUUGUUAGGCUUGGCAAACAGUCAAGUUCCAAGUACCUCAAUUUCCCAAAAACAAUGCAAUCUUCCGUUUCUUCUCCAACCUGCGACUGUAUAAUUUCUUCCAUCAUUUUGCAAUCAACUAUCUUCAUUCUUCCGAGAUUCACUAGAUUUUUAGAUGCUGAGAGCGUCAACACAUUUAUCAACCCGUGACACUUCGAUACUUGUAGUCCCCACAGAUUUUCCAAAUGCCACGAAGGUGGUACUAAUUUUUGCAACUUACUACAUUCCGAUAUUUCUAGCCUUUCCAAGUUUGCAAACACUUUGUUGGAUUCGUCAUUUUCCUUCCAGAGAUGCUGCACUUUGUGUAAUCCAGACAGUCUUAACUUCCUCAAUUGAGGGAAAGCAACCUGAAAAUCAACAAAGUUAAGUUGUAAAAGAAAAUACGUAUCCAAUCUCUGGAGUCUUCACCUGCAUAUUUUAUGGACAAGAUUAAUCACGGCAUUUUAUAUUUUAUUUCCAAAUUAGUAUGCUUUGCAGUAGGAUCCCAAAUAUAAGUAUCAAAUCGAUUACCCUUUGAAACACAUAAAUGAAAUCUAAUGCUAAAUCCAAUAUGAAUUAGCUAGGAAAACAGAGAUGUUACACACAUAAUUAAUAUAGUUCAUCACCUCGUGUUAUCAGGCAUCCAAUUAAUUUCAGUCAUUUUUAUAAUUCAUACUAUAAAGAUAGUUAAUAACUGAGGUUAUAUUGUUAAAUCAUAUAUAAAUUAAGAUGACAUGCAAAAAGAUGAGUCAUUAAAUUUGACUUGAUUCUAAUGAAAUUACAUCUGUGCGAACAAAAGUGAAGGGAAUAAUAAUAAUAAUAAUAAUAAUAAUUACCUUUUCAUCGAAGAGGGGUUGUACUUGAUGAGCCAGCAAGAAGUACUCUUCUAAUGUUAAUUUUUGAGGUUCCUUGUUAUCAGUUGUCACAUGCACUACAGAGUUGGAUAUAAAUGUUUCCAUAUCAGGGCAAUUCUCAAUAGUCAGACUCCACAACAUAGGCAUUUCAAUUAUAUUCCCAGUGAAGUUGCAGAAUCUUUUGAGUUUUGGAAGAUCAAUGAGCGUUAGGCUAAAAAGCCUAGGAAACAGGGGGCCUAUAUGUUCUUUGUCAGCAUUUAGCUCUUCCAAAUGAAGCAUCUCUUCUAGUGAAUCACAAUUCCUCACUUCCAGCCUUGCCAAAUUGUUCAAGCAUCGUAGCAGAUUGGCAGGAAUAGCACUCGACAUAUUGGUGCAGUAAUCCACCUCCAGCUCUGCUAAAUAGUUGAAGAAGCGGACAGGCAGUGCUUGGCCAUGCCAUAUUUCUUUCAAACGUGGAAAAUGUGAGAGUUGCAAAUACUGUAUGUCACGGAAUCCAAUCUGCACAAACCAAAACAAUUGCACUGGAUAUAUAUAAAUACAUUAAACUUACAUGUUUUGUGUUUUAACUUCUAAAACUAUAUAUACAAGGCAGGUGUAUAUGUUCAAAUGUGCAAGUGCAAGGGAGAUGCAUAAGUAAUUUCAACGAAUCGAUUUAACACAUACCAUUUCUUCGUAACACUUUUGUAUAGUGGAAUUAAGGUUGCCUUCCCAACGGCACAAUUCACCCUCUUCCUGUUAAGAAUAGAAUUAGUUAGUUAAUGAGUAUGCUGACAUGGCAGCUGAGUCAGCUAAAGGUUGUUAUAGAGGUUGUUAGUAGUAAACUGUGCGUGUGUGCAAUGUGUGUAGAAUCUUCUAUGCACAUAUAAAAAGGCUUGCAAUUUCCAGAUUCAUUAGAUCAAUAAUAACAGAAUUCUCAGCUUACAGAAGUUUUCUUUCCUCCUAUUUUCUUAGUAACCAAACAACAUCACAGUUUCAUAUAAAACUUAAUACUUCCUUUUUACUCACCUGCACUUCGUGCAGCUUUGGUGUGGAUACGAUUCCCUGAGAAAAAGUCUUCAUGUUCGGGCAACGUGUCAUAGAAACUCGUUCCAAUGAUGGGAAUUCAAGAGUGUAAUUCUCCAAACAAAAGCUGGUAAGCCUUGGUAAAUAAUCAAGUAUCAAAACUUUUAAAUUGCUGAAAGCAAUACGAUUCUCCUUCACUUCUUCUCCAACAUGUCCUAUGAUUUCUUCUAUUUUUUCACAGUAUGAUACAUUAAGAUUCACUAGACUAUUGGGAAUUCCAACCUGAAAAUAAAGAGUAGCAUUCAACUAAAUUCAAAGUAUGUCAAAAUCAUACAAUUGUUUUAUGAAAAAUAACAAACCAUGUCUACUAGAUAUUUUUUGUUAAAGAAAAAAGGAAAAAAAUUAAAACAAAAAUAAAUAAAUAGAAGUCCAGAAAAACAAAGAUAAUGAAAAUGCAUUUACACUAAAACGCUGUAUUUCCCUUUUUUUUUUCCCGAUAUUCAUGCUUUUAAAAAUGGAAAACAUUUCUGGAAAACACUUCCCAACGCCAUCAACAUGGGACUGUUACAGAGUGAAUAUUUGAGGAAAUUUUUUAAUAAACGGUCGAUUCAAAAUGACCAUCAUGAAUUUGUGCUUAAUCAAUGGCGUAAUCAAUUCAUAACUAAACUAGAGAUAUUAACUACAUUUGAACACUUUUCUUUAUUUUAUUUUUAAAAUCGAAAUCUAAAGACCCAAGGAAAAGAGAAAUAUAUAUGAAUUUGUGAACUUAAAAGCUGAGUAACUAAGUAUCUUUUAAUUUCUGAAAAUCUUAUUCAUUAGGAUUUAAGGAAAAAAAACAAUUAAAUUAAAUUAUAUUAUGCUGUUAAAUCGUGUUUAAAAUAAUUAUAUUGUUGACUUUAAUGCAGGUGAACCUAUAAAUUAGAUUGAAAAUGCAGAGUUCAGAAUGGUGAUUUGAAGUACAAUACUUUUUUUCCCUCUAGAAGUUUGAAGUACAAUACUUGCAAUAAAUAAUUUGUGAAUGAAAAUUAUUUGUAAACAAAAAAAUGAUUAAAAUAAUUGUUGAAUGUUAUUUGAAAUAAAAAUUCAAAAUGAAUAUAGCAAUCUUACCAAUGGAGGAAAAAUAUUCAGUAGAUUAUGACACACAGAUAUCUCUAAUUUUUUCAAUUUGCUAAAAGACUUCGAAGCAAGCUGGUGGUGCCAUAUUUUUCUCAACUUAUCCGCCCCACGAAUAUGUAAUACCUCCAGACUUGGGAGUCGUACCUGAAGUUAAAAAUUCAAUGCAAUUAGAGAUGGAUAUUAAUUAAAUUUGAAGACUCAACGAAAGAAGAAAUUAACUAUUAAGAAUAAAAUUAAUUUAAAAAAAAAACCUUUGCAUCAAAGAGAGGUUGAGGUUGCAUUUCAGAAUUAGCUUCUGGUGAGGCAAAGCUACUUAGUUUUGGAAGACCAUCGAGCUGCAGGAAGUGUAGUUUAGGAAAAACCUUAAAUUCAUCUCUUCCUCCUAACCCCGUGGUGUUGACUAUCCCUUCCAUUGACCAACAAUUAAUAAUCUCAAGAUGUCGGAGCUGCCCAAGACUAUUAGCCAUAGAAUAUGAAAACAUAUACUUCAGAGGACAACACCUUGUCACGGUCACUUUUGUUAAAUUUUGACAACAAUACAUUCCCUGAAAUUGAUCGGGCCAUAAUUUUUUGAUGUUUGUUAAACUGACAAGUUCCAGUUCCUCCAAGCGUGGAAAAGUAACCUGCAAAGAAAAACCAUACAUUUUUUUUCCUUCAACUACAACUUCUAAUAUAAUAUUCUUUCGAUGAUUGAAGAUCAAUCGUGAUAAUAUAUUAAUUAAUUAAUUAUUAAACAGAAAAUUAUCACCUGAUCAUCCUCUGCAUUGAUUUCUGUGAAUCCCUGAGUAGUUGUUGGUUUCUCCAUGUCGGGCCCUAUAAAUGAACAAAAACAAUAUAUGAUUAACCUCUGUUGUCCCCUCCCAAAACAAAAAAAAAAAAAGAAUGAGCCAAUGUCAAUAAUCCUACCAAUAAUUAAUUUAAACACUUACCAAUCAUCAUUUUCAAUUUAUUGCAAUUUACCACUUCUACUUUUUGAAGCCCCAAUAGGUUUUUGGCCAUAGAGAAUGAGAAGAGAUACUUCAAUUUUGGACAGGAAUAUACGUAUAUAAUCCUUAAGUUGCUGAAAGAUUGAUCUUCUCUGAGUUGGCUGUAGCAUAUCGUCUCCAAAUUAGUUAAAUUAAUAAGAUCCAAUGAUUCCAGCAAGGGAAAGACUUCGCAACGAACCCGUCUAACUGAACCGACAAUAUGUAAAAUCUCAGAACAACCUGUUACAUGAAGAUGCUGCAAUCGUGGAAAACCUUCCCCAUCGUCUAAUUCAUGAACAACAUUCUGAACACCCGUCAGUGAGUAUAGACGGAGAUCUUCAGUUCUCUUCAGCAACAUUUUCGUCCCAUCAUUCCCCAAAAGAAGGCUAACUUUUUCUGGCCCCUUGAGCACCAUCAAUGUUGAUGUUUUAGAUUCGACGAGUCGUCGGUUAGACAUUUGUCCUAUAAAUAUCUUAUAUCUUUCCAAUUCCAUAGAGACAAAAUCCGGCGGCAGAAUUUCGGAAUCCGAAACAUCUAUCUCCAAAGUAGUUAGAUUUGACAACCCCUUCAACUCGACAAGACUGGCAUUACUUCCUCCUUCAACCUUAUCCCACUGUGAAAAGCUGUUAUGCAUAAACAGUUCUUCUAAUCCAGAUAAUUUUGAUAUGACAUUUGGUGGUAUCAACUCAAGGCUCCAACAAUUGCUCAAAUCUAGCAACUGUAACCGCGUCAAUCGUCCAAUUUCAAGUGGUAACUGCUUGAUAUCGGAAUCUGCAAGGCUGAGAAUCUCUAAUUUCUUUAGCUGUCCAACUAUUGCUAUAUCUUUUAGUCGGCAAUAGUCUAAACGCAAUGUUUGAAGGUUAAUGAGGCAACCAAGUGAUGAAGGUAAUGAAGAGAAUUGAAUUCGAGUAAAAUUCAAAACUUUGAGUCCUUCCGUCCCUUUAAAAAAGUGGUCUGAAACUUGCAUAGAGCCAUCACCCUCCGCAUGCAAUAGCUCAAGACAGGGACAUUGCAACCUUUCAGGAAGCACUUGAAUACCUCCAUAAGGUAAAGAAAUAGCAAUUGGACCUUCCUGUACUGUAUCUUCCAUCUUUUUCUCCAAGUCGGCAACAUUUGGAAUAUUAAACAUGAGCUCCUCUUCUGCAAUUGAUACAGCAACUACACGAAUGACGUCAUGCAUUUUAACUUCAUCUUCAGCAUCACUGUCCAACAAUAAGCAUGAAGAUUUGAGUUUGUCGAUCAACGUAUGCAAUCUCCUCCUUGCUUCUUCCAGUGAGUAAACCUUUUUAAAAUAGUCCAUACCCAUACCAUAUCUCAAUAAGUCUGGAACAGGUAUAGCAUAACCUUUACUAAGUAGACCACAAAGACGGAACAGAGAUUUUGCCUCCGCACUUUCCAGCAAGUUGUAACUCAAUUUUAUGGAGGUGUACACAUUUCUUUCCAUUCCAUCAAUUUCUCUUGCAUCGGAACUUCUUAGCUGAUUCAAUGCAUCCUUCCAAAUGUCAAGAUCCUUAGUUUUCAGAGCUUUUGCAACUGUACUCAGUGCAACAGGCAAUCCUCCGCAUUUUUCAACGAUCUCAUCUGCAGUGGGUUGAAAAGCAGAUAUUUUAGUUGAAUCACCCACUAUCUUCUCAAAUAACUGCAAGGCUUCUUCUUUUGAUAAAGCAUCGAUCGGGAAAUUUUUCUGAGAAUUCAUAUCAGUGCACAAUAAAUCUCGACUUCUAGACGUCAGUAUUAUUGUGCAUCGUCUCUGAUCAUCCAUUCUUUCGUUCGGAAUCCCAACUUUAUCGAACUCCAGUUCCCCCCAAAUAUUAUCCAAUAUAAUGAGAUGCCGCUCCUUGUUCUUCAAUACUCGACAUAGUCGAUUUGCUCUGUCGAAUAUACUCUCAUUCAACUCAAACUUUAUGCCUAAAUCAGAAGCAAGUUUGUCUUGAAUUUUCUGAUGAUCUGGGUUCUCUGUUACCUCAGCCAUAGCGACCUUAUCGAACAACUUAUUUGUUUCCAUCACUUGCUUUGCAACUUGCUUGACUAGCGUGGUUUUACCCACGCCGCCCAUGCCGUAGACCCCAAUUAUGUUGAGUUUCUCAUCCUUCAACGCCUCCAUAACAUCCAGUAAUACUUUCUUUCUUGAAUCAAAGGCCUCGUUAUCUUUCCCGCCCCUAAGUGCUUCGAUAUCUGCAGAAGGAUCGAAGGCAAUUUCUUCACUCUUCAGUUUGUCGCCUUUUUCCAUGAGAUUAGCAGCAUCUUUUGCGGCCUUUGCUGCUCGUUUACUGAGUUUGUAACGAGACAACAAAUUUGCACACAAUCCUUUGAAGCAGGACUUCUUGGCUCCAUCUUCUUCAUCAAUGAUAGAUUUUGCAACCCCCUCCGUAGAUUCAACCUUACUUCGCCAAUCUUUGACACCCUGAUAAAUCUCUUUGCCUUGUCGAGUAUCAUGCUUAACACGUUGUUGCACCAUUUCGUUUAUACCUUCCAACCCCUUCACUUGAUCUUUUAGCUCAUCUAUGUAGCUCUGGUACUUGAACACAUAAGAUAUUUGCCGUAUAAUCGGUUUGAACAGUGACUUUGCACCUUCUAAUACAGUGCUGGAUAAAGCAGCCAGAGCCACUUCUGCCAUUGUCUGCUACUUAACAAAUCUAAUAAUAUAUCAAAGAAAGGAAUACAAAUAAAUUAAAAGGAACUAAAGGGAAAGACAGAGAAAGAAAAGACGGCAAACAACAUCGCAAUAUUGAUCUUGAACCAACUGAUACCUAAAUAGAGAAUUUCUUUUACUAUCUUAAGGAUCAGAGGUUUCGCUAUUAACCGAAAGGUAUCGCUUCUAUUUUGUCACUUUGAACGAAUAACUUUAUGUUUUUAACGGAUGUUUAAUACAAAUUGCAUACAUUGGGUGUAAAAUUAAAUAAAUUUAAAUAUUUAUAAUAAUUUUAAUAAUUGAAUAAAACUUUGAGUAAAUGACUGAUAAUUUCUCUAAGAUGAUUUAUUGUUUGGGGUCUAAGAUUUUAAAUAUUCAACUUAAAAGAUUAAUAUCUUAUAAAUUGAUUAAUUAAUUAAUCAUUAAGCAACUAAAUUGGUCCCUGGAUGUCAAUUUAUUUAAUAUUGACGCACCUAUUUUUUUUUUCUGGCAAAUAAUUAUUAAUGCACUUAGGNNNNNNNNNNNNNNNNNNNNNNNNNNNNNNNNNNNNNNNNNNNNNNNNNNNNNNNNNNNNNNNNNNNNNNNNNNNNNNNNNNNNNNNNNNNNNNNNNNNNNNNNNNNNNNNNNNNNNNNNNNNNNNNNNNNNNNNNNNNNNNNNNNNNNNNNNNNNNNNNNNNNNNNNNNNNNNNNNNNNNNNNNNNNNNNNNNNNNNNNNNNNNNNNNNNNNNNNNNNNNNNNNNNNNNNNNNNNNNNNNNNNNNNNNNNNNNNNNNNNNNNNNNNNNNNNNNNNNNNNNNNNNNNNNNNNNNNNNNNNNNNNNNNNNNNNNNNNNNNNNNNNNNNNNNNNNNNNNNNNNNNNNNNNNNNNNNNNNNNNNNNNNNNNNNNNNNNNNNNNNNNNNNNNNNNNNNNNNNNNNNNNNNNNNNNNNNNNNNNNNNNNNNNNNNNNNNNNNNNNNNNNNNNNNNNNNNNNNNNNNNNNNNNNNNNNNNNNNNNNNNNNNNNNNNNNNNNNNNNNNNNNNNNNNNNNNNNNNNNNNNNNNNNNNNNNNNNNNNNNNNNNNNNNNNNNNNNNNNNNNNNNNNNNNNNNNNNNNNNNNNNNNNNNNNNNNNNNNNNNNNNNNNNNNNNNNNNNNNNNNNNNNNNNNNNNNNNNNNNNNNNNNNNNNNNNNNNNNNNNNNNNNNNNNNNNNNNNNNNNNNNNNNNNNNNNNNNNNNNNNNNNNNNNNNNNNNNNNNNNNNNNNNNNNNNNNNNNNNNNNNNNNNNNNNNNNNNNNNNNNNNNNNNNNNNNNNNNNNNNNNNNNNNNNNNNNNNNNNNNNNNNNNNNNNNNNNNNNNNNNNNNNNNNNNNNNNNNNNNNNNNNNNNNNNNNNNNNNNNNNNNNNNNNNNNNNNNNNNNNNNNNNNNNNNNNNNNNNNNNNNNNNNNNNNNNNNNNNNNNNNNNNNNNNNNNNNNNNNNNNNNNNNNNNNNNNNNNNNNNNNNNNNNNNNNNNNNNNNNNNNNNNNNNNNNNNNNNNNNNNNNNNNNNNNNNNNNNNNNNNNNNNNNNNNNNNNNNNNNNNNNNNNNNNNNNNNNNNNNNNNNNNNNNNNNNNNNNNNNNNNNNNNNNNNNNNNNNNNNNNNNNNNNNNNNNNNNNNNNNNNNNNNNNNNNNNNNNNNNNNNNNNNNNNNNNNNNNNNNNNNNNNNNNNNNNNNNNNNNNNNNNNNNNNNNNNNNNNNNNNNNNNNNNNNNNNNNNNNNNNNNNNNNNNNNNNNNNNNNNNNNNNNNNNNNNNNNNNNNNNNNNNNNNNNNNNNNNNNNNNNNNNNNNNNNNNNGGGAUUAUGGGGGUAUGCUAAUGCGGCAACCUGACUGUGAGUCGGGAAAAGCUAAUGAGGCAACUUUGCUUGUGCUGCUUCUUUUUUUUUUUUCUUUUGCUUUCUUUUUUGCUUUUUUUUAAUAAUAUUAAAUAAUAUAAAUUUUAAUUUAAUUUAAUAGAAUAUUAUAUAAUAUUAAUUUUUAUUUUCUCUUAUUUUGACAUCAUAAUUAUUAAUAUAAAUUAAUUAUUUUUAUUCAUAUUUUAAUUUUUAUUACUAAAUAAUAAUUAUAUAAUAAUUAAUAUAUAAAAUUGAUUAAUAAAUACUUAAAUAAUAUAAAAAUAAGAAUAUAACUUGAUAUUACAUUAUUUAAUUAUAUUAUAGUAAUUAAUAUAUAUGAAAAUUUAAUAUAACUAAUAAAAAUAUUUAUAUAUGAAUAAAUUUAAAUAAUAUUAAUUUAAAAUUAAUAUUAAUAAAAAUAAUAAUAUAAAAUAUCAUUAUGUUAUGAUAUUAUUUAGGUAUUAAUAAAUAUUAUUUUCUAAAUAUAUAAUUUAAGUUAAUCACAAAAAAUUAAUACAGUACAGUGUAGCACCAAACAUUGUAUUAUGCUGUAUGCCUGUAUUGUAUUAGCACUGAUUGGGUGUAAAGCGUUUGUAAGUGGCUUUUUAAGUCUGCCGUCAAAUCCCCUGCAAAAGCUUUUUUCUUAAUAUCACGCGUGUUGGUACUACAUAAAACCGUAAACUCUAACAAUUUCUUUGUUCUUUCUUAAUAUCACGCGUGUUGGUACUACAUAAAACCGUAAACUCCAACAAUUUCUUAGUUCUCAACACCCCUUAAUUUACAAGAAUUAAUCACUUCAAGGGUGGAUUAGGUAUAUCUUUAGUUCAUAUAUAACUAGCAAUAUCUAAUAUCCCAUAUACAUGUUUUUCUCCCAGAAUGUAAACCAACUAUUCAUAUCUUAGACUCCAAGUAUUCGUAUCUUAAAGUCAAUCGAUAAUAUUAAUUUAAAUUUAAUAAUAAUAUAAAAUAUUAAUAUAAUAUAAUAUUUAAUUUAAAUUAAUUACAAACAAAUAAUAUAGUACAAUGUAGCACCAAACAUUGUAUAGCAUUAUUAUAAUACAAUGCUAAUGCAAUACAAUAUAAUAUAAUCCACCAACAUUAAAAUAAUAUAAUAUAGCAUAAUACAAUACAGUGUGUCAAAUGCACCCUUAGGGUGUGUUUGGUAUGUGGUAUUGCAUAGCAUUAAAUGUGGGCCCAACAUUAAUUUAAACCAAUAACAUGUUUGGGAGCAAUUGAGGCUUAUUGGGAUUGGGUAUUGAGGGGUGCGCUAAUGCGGGAACCACCGCAUUAGCUUGUCUUUUUUUUUUUACUUUUACUUAAUAAUAAUAUAAAUGAAUAAAUAUAUAAUUUUUAAUUUUUAAUAUAAUAUUAUUUUUAUUUUUAUAUCAUAAUUUAUUAAUAAAUUUAUAAUUUAAUAUGAUUAAUAAUAAAUAUUUAAAUAGUAUAUAAAAUAUAAUAUAAUAUUACACUGUGUAAUUAUUGUAAUAUAAUUAAUAUAUAUAAAUUAUUUAUUUUUAAAUAAUUUAAUAUAAAAAAUAAAAAAAUAUUUAAAUACAAAUGAAUUUCAAUAAUAUUGAUAUACGAUUAAUAAUAACAUAAAUAAUAAUAUAAAAUAUUAGCACAAUUCAUUUUGCUAUUAAAUAUGUUAUAACAAUUUUGUCAUUUUAUAAUUUUGUGGUGUAUAUGAACAUAUGUCUUAAGAUUAUUUUUGAACAAAUCUUGUAGGUUUUAACUAUUUAUUUUUCUUGUUAUAUUAUUUCAAGAUUAUUUGAUUAAAUUAUUUGCUUCGAUAUUUAACAAGUUAUAUAUUUAGAAAAUAUAGAAAAUAAAUGUUAUGCUUCCAAAAAUUAAAGGAUAUAACGUUCGAUCUUUAUGAAGAAUUAUGAUAUUUUUGAACAUUUAUACUAAAAAAUUAUUAAAUUUUUAGAAAAUUAAAAGAUAUAACAUUCGAUCUUUAUGAAGAAUUAUGAUAUUUUUUAACAUUUAUACUAAAAAAAUAAUUAAAUUUCUAAAAUUUAAGACCUCUAUAUUUAGUUUUUUUUAAGUACUAUUAAUAUUAUUUUAUAAAUAUAUAAUAUAAAUUAAUUACAAAAAAUUAAUACAGUACAGUAUAACACCAAACAUAAUAUAAUUAAAAAUUAAUACAGUACAGUGUAAUACCAAAUAUUGUACAAUAUUAUUAUAAUACAGUACUAAUGUAAUACAACAUAAUACAAUACACUGCAUAAAAAUAAUGUAAUUUAGUGUACCAAACACACCCUUACAGAACUUUUGCAUAUCUACACAGCGAUUUUAAAUAUUACUGAUAACUCCUGAGAAAUGUGUGAGAAAGGAGUUGAUAAGAGUAAUAACAGCGACUUGCAAAAGGAAAAGACAGAAUCAUUCACCCCUUUUUAUAUCAUGUAUUUGGUUACUGUUGCCCUGUUGACGCAUGUAUAAAAUAACCGUAUGUAUUUUUUUUGGCUGUUGCUUAACAAAAUGUGUGUUUGUGUGUGUAUAUAUAUAUAUUUGCUGUUUGAAAAAAUUGGAUUCAAAUAAAUUAAAAUGAACUAGAGAGGAAGAGAAAGAAUGAAAAGACAACAAACAAUUGAUAUUGAUCUCGAACCAACUUCUUUCUUUCUUUCUUUCUUUUUUGUGUUUUUUUUUUCGCCCGUACCCCCUCUCAGAUUAGAGUAUUGGCUAUUAAAUGAAAGGUUUUAAGGGUAUGAGUGAAAAACAACAUUCUUUUUUAGAAACUAUUUUAGAGGAGGGAUGCAAAUUAAAUGACAAGAUUAAGACAAACAGGAGAUAUUUUUUCGUGGGCAUUAAGAAAUAACUGCUGUCAAGAUCAAGGAGAUUAUGCUAUUAAUAGAAAUUAUCAAAGGAUUUAGAACAAGUUCACCUCUUUAAUUAUCCGGGAUCAGAUAGUUGAUGAGCUUCUCUUCUUGGCGUUGAAUAUUUAAGAAUAAUUUUAAUGAGCAAAAAGAUCACUGGUAACUGCUGAAAAAUAAGUGAGAAAAGAGUUGAUGAGAAUAAUAACAAUGAAUUGAAUAAAAAAAGGACUUAAUCAUGCACCCCCUUUGCAUAUCAUGUAUUUGGUUACUGUUGCCUUGUUGACGCAUGUAUAGAAUAAUUAGUGACUUCUUUCAUGAAGAAUUAAACUUGGAAUGACCAAAAGACGAAGCUGCGGUGUAUUGUUGGACCAAAUUAAGUUGAAGAAAGCACUAGUUCACAACCUUACGUUUGGAUAUAUUCUAAAGAAAUAAUUAAACAGCAAAUCAUCACAUGCACUUUAAUGAUUUGAUCUAUUGUUUUCAAAAGAAAUUGCAAUUAACAGUUUUUGUCAAAAGUUCGCACUGCGUGAAACUAGUGCUAAUAUAAUUUAAAAAAUUAAUUUCAGUAUUAGUUUUUAAAAUGUUAAUUAUUAUAUUUAUUUUAAUAAUAUAUUUAUAUUUAUUAUAAAAAAUUCUGUUAAACAUUUGUGUUAAAUAGAAUUUAUAAUUAAUAUAAUAUAUCUUAGGUAUUAAUAAUAUUAUAAUUAUUCUAUAUGCUAUUGAAAAUAAUUUAAAUUUUUAGACGUUUAUUUUCACAUUAAGUUUCUAUUUAUUAUAAAAUUUAGUUUAAUAUAGUAUAAGCUUGUAAAGUAUUAAAAUAUUUUUUCAUAUUUUUUGAACAUAUUAAAAUUAUUUUAAAAUAUAUUUAUAUAUUAACAUUGAAGUCAAUUUUUUAAGUUAAUAGAACCAGUAGGUGUUAUAGUAAAAAAGCGUUUCUUAGCAUCACUUAUUGAAAAUAUAAAGAUCUAUAUAAUCAUUUUUUCAAAUAUUGAGAUGUAGUUAUAAAAGAAAAAAUAAAUUAAAAAAUUUUAAAUUUUAAUAUGGCCAUCGUAGAGUUAGAAUCCCCGCUCCAACCCGAUUUGGAGAUGAGCUUGGUCUAUUUAUGUUUUGGAAAAAGAAAAACCAAAGGAAAAAAAAGGCACCCGACCAAAUCAAGUAACUCAUCAAAUAAAAAAUAAAAAAAGGAAAGAAAUUUAAUGACUUGCAUGCAAUUUUGGAUCUGAAAUUAAAAUUACAUAAAAAUUAAGGAUUACGUACCUUAAUAUUUACAGCUUAUUUGAUGGACUCAACAGGUUUAAGCAACAUCAAAAUGUUUGUGGCUCCUUAAAUGAGCCCCCGACAUGGUGCAAAUGACAACAUCGACUUGUUUGACAGCUCCAACAAGGCUACGAUGAUCAGAAGAUGAGCCCUCAAUCAACAAGCUAAGAUUGGCUUCUCUAUCCUCUUCGCCCCACAACCAGCGCCUUGCUCUUUGUCAUUUUUCCUCUUGUUAGUUUUCUUCUACAUAUAAUUAUUACACUGGGAAGUAUACACACACCUCUUUUCUUUUUAUAGUACCUUACUAUUAUAUCUUUACAAAACAAUAUCACCCUAAGACAGCUAUGUAUGAAAUAAAUGAAAUAAAUAUAUAAGGAACUGACGAAAUAAAAUUAGAUCUAACUCUAAUUUCACGUUGCGUGAAUUUUUGACAAUUCACCCGUAUCCCAACAAAAGCUUUGUCAUAUUGCGAAAAUACCUUUUCAAUGUUUCAAUUGCAAUGUCAUUGCCAUUAUUCAUAGUGGCAGACAAUGGACGUCACGGGACGGUAGAAGUCUAUGUUACGGCUUGUGCAAGUAACAGCAGCCAAUGGGGAACUUCCACGGGUGCUAGAGGAGAGAGAAAGAGGUCCCAAUGCAAGGUGAUGGAAAUGGGAAAGUUCGAAGCUGUUACUUUCAGCUUCUGCACCUUAGCCAUGUCCCACGGGACAAGGCUAGAAGUUAUCAUGACCAUAAACUUUUCUAAUUUAUUUUUUCCUUUCAAAAAGGGACAAGGAUACGUUUCGGAGAAUGAUUAUAUUUUUAAUAAAAGAAUUCUUUUUUAUUAUAAUACUUUUUUCUUUAUUAAUUUAAAAAUAUUGACUCUUAUAUUUUAAUAAAUAUAAAUAUAAUAUUAUAAUAAAAUAUAACAAUAUAUACAAAUAUUUAAAAAAAUUUAAGAUUUUAUUAAAAGAAAUUUUAUAAUAAAUACAAAUAUAUUAUUAAUAUAAUUAUAAUAAUUUGCAUUUUAAAAAGUAAUACUGAUAUUAAUUUUUUAAAUUAUAUUACUCUACCAAAAAAAUUAAACUAUUAAAUUAUAUUGAUAUUUAUUAAAAAAAUUGAAGUUAAUUCUUAUUAUAUUUUUAAUUGGAAUUUUUUCAUGUGACAUAAUUACAAUUGCUACAUUUUUUUCCCUAAAUAAAGAUGGGAGUUAUAAAUUAUUUGUAUAAGUGUCUGUGUGUAAACUAAUGUGACAUGAAAGUAAUAGCUGAAUAACAAUAAUGGAGCUUUAGGUAAUUUUUUAUGAGGUCUUCUUGCAAUUUCAACACUUAAACAGACUUGUCCUUGAUCCCAAUUUAUUUACCCCAUUUGGGCCCCUUAUGACAAACAUAUUCUUGUGGAAUGAAAAACAUCAGGAGAAGAAAAUGUUUUAUUAUAAUAGAAAAAGUUGUCCAUAAGUCUAUUCAUUUUUUUUUUAUUCAAUACAAAUGCGGGCCGCGUUCUGUGGGUCUNNNNNNNNNNNNNNNNNNNNNNNNNNNNNNNNNNNNNNNNNNNNNNNNNNNNNNNNNNNNNNNNNNNNNNNNNNNNNNNNNNNNNNNNNNNNNNNNNNNNNNNNNNNNNNNNNNNNNNNNNNNNNNNNNNNNNNNNNNNNNNNNNNNNNNNNNNNNNNNNNNNNNNNNNNNNNNNNNNNNNNNNNNNNNNNNNNNNNNNNNNNNNNNNNNNNNNNNNNNNNNNNNNNNUAAGUAGAGUGAGACUCUGGCAUCCUCUAAAUAUCUCUCAACACUCUUUCUUAUUAACCCCAUUAAAAUAUUUAAAAAUAUUAUAAAAUUCUUUUAACACCUUUUUUAUGGCAAAAAUACCCUUAGUUUAAAUUUAUUAAUAUAAACCCCAUUUUAAUUUUUGACCCCUGAUUGUGAUUUUUUUUUAAAGCACCUGAAUUUUGAAACAAUUAAUUAUCUAUUGAAAAAGAAAGAAAGAAAAGGAAAACAAAAGGAAAAGGGCACUUGCUCCAAGAAAGUUCUACUUUAAUGUGGCAAAUCAUUGAAACACCACAUGGCCAAAACUUUACUCUAUGCAUGACAACUCAUUGUAAUUGAUAAUGACCCUCGCAAACACUUGGCUACCAUGCGUGUAAUUCUAAGGCCAAGUGCUAAUUUGGUUUACUGAUGAAGAUGCUGAGCACAAGCUUCUGAAAAUGCAGAAUUACGAAUUUUUCGAAAGACUGCGAACCUUUAUGGAGAAAGACAACUAGGCCACUGGAAAACAUGUCGGUGGGAAAAUAAUUCUGAUGAUCGUUCAGCUCGUCCUUUGCUUCAUAAUUACUUUCUUCUUUCUUAAUUUCUCUCAUGGGUCUCGGUUUCUUCCUGAAGCUUGUUGAUGAUGAGUUGCAUAUGCCGAUAAUUCCUCACCAGAAAAUAAGAUGAAAAGGUAACUUUCUUAAUUUUUAAAAUGCUGAAUUUCAAUUUAAGGUACUAUUCAUUUUGUCUCUUUCAAGUUAUUUUUCAUUUUUCUGCUGAUAUUUUAAUAUUUACAGUCAAUUGUAGCAUUACUUAAAUUUAUAGUAUGUAGAUCAUAAUUCAUAAAUUAGUUUGCAGUUGGAGUAAACUCGAAAAUGUUAAAAAAAUAAUAAUAACAACAAAAAGAGUAGAGACAAGUUGUCAUCUUGAGUAACAAUAAAAUAAAGAAUUGCAGCUUUUACAAAGUCUUUCUUUAAAAAUAUGAAAUGAAUAAAAUGACUAUUAAAAUGGUUCAAAAUUUUCUGAUAGUGUCAUUGACUAGCUAGAUCAAUUGUUUCUUGUGUGGUAACUUCAAACACCAAAUCCUUGAAAGCAAGUAUAUUAGUUUUGUAUGGUGUUGCCCAGCCUUCUGCACAUGGUUCAUGAUAUUUGAUCCAACUAUUCGCAAUAGGAGGAAUAGGUGAAGCUGGAAGCAUGAACACCUGUAAAAAAAAAAAAAAAGCCAUAGAAAAAUUAGUCCAAUAAUUAAGAUAUUGCAGCAUAAUUUGAAUUUCUAAACUUUUACAUACCUCUAUGAAAUGAUUUCUAUUAACAAAUCCAAUAGCAAUGAUUUUAUGCGAGGAGCGUGAUAAUGGAAUAGAUCUAAGUGGAAGGAAUGUGACAAUCAGCACAUCUGAUAUAUGUAGUAAUACCACAUUAUAUUUAGAAGCAAUAAUAUGACCAAUUUCAGGCAUGGUCAUCCAAUACUCUCUUCCUGGGUUAUUCUCAAAGUAUAAAAGUGAAUGAAGCACCUCCUCUGCUCUACCAGCAUAUUCAAAGACUCUUUUAUAAUCAUUAAAGUGACUUUGCAACUCAACAACUAAGACUUUCCUGACUUGUGCCCAGUUAUCUUCACCAAUACCUAUUAGGUCAGCCACUGCCUGAAAACCACAAUUACCAUCUGCAACAACAUCUCUAACACCACAAAUAUAAGGCCUCAAACCAAAUGGAAAUGAAUCAAUAUAAGAAGCAUGCUUUGGUGCUUUUGUUUGAGAAACACUCAUUUUUCGUUGCCCUUUUGGUUUUUUUGUAGUUGUACUUGAAGACAUAAUGUCUGGAGAAUGAUUAUCCUGUGCGGAUACUACAUACUCAAAUCUUGAUGGAUCUCGGCGGGUAGAUUUAUCAAGCUUUUGGGAGGGUCGUCCUCGAGUCUUAGCUUUAACAGGUAGCUCAAUUAAAAAAGUUAAGAAUGGAUCAGCUAAUUCUUUCAGUUUUCUUUUUAUUUGCAUUUUUCCGAAACCAUCUGAAUCUUCAAAACGCUUGAUAAUCAUUUCCAUUUCAGGGGUACAACUCAACUCUGCUGAUUUUUCAUAGCUGGUGCAGACAAGGUCUAAUUUCCUCCAAUGCAAAUGUACAGAAUCUAAAGGUAUCGGUCGACCUUCACGCUUAUACUCUGCAAUUUCAUGUGCACACGGUAGCCCAUAAGUGUGUCGAACUACACAACCACAUGCUGAAAUAUCUAUACCAAUUAAAUCAGCUCUUUUUGACUCACUUAGUAUCAUAUCUAAUGCAUUUCUAGCAACUAACCCCCUUAAUUCUUUAAAAACUGAAGGUGUGAAACUAUGUUGCACAGUAGUCAAACUCUUCUCAAAUGAUGCCUUAAUUUUUGUAUGUUGCAACUCUACCAAAGAAUGAAGUUUUGUCCAUAAUGUUACAAAGUUUCCUUGGGAUGAACAUAGUUGCCUUUUUAAUUUUGAAUGUGCAGUCUCAGCCCUAAAAAUAAACCAACAAAAAAAUAAUAAAAAGAUAUAUAAAAAAAUGGUGUUGAGUUUAUUUAUAAAAUCAUUGAAAACUAAAUAUUGGUUACCUGUUGGUUGUCAUAUUUCCGAAAUGCAUAAUAAAGUCUGUCCAUGCUGCAAUAAAUUUUUCUUUAUACUUAUCAAGCCAUGUCUACUUCACAUAGACAAGUGCUUUCGGAUAUCUAGCAUAAUCACUCUAAAAAAUACUCAAGUGUUGUAUGUACUCUUGUUCAGUGGCUGAGAACACCAGUACAUUCCAGUUGCUGUUAAAGGCUUCCCAUCUUUCAUUAGUAUGAAAUAGCCUCUUAUAAUUAGCUAACACAUUUUUUGAAAUAUGCCAUCUACAAAGUAAAUUAGUUGCACUUGGAAAUAUCUUUUCAAUGGCAUUCAUCAGAGCUAAUUCCCUGUCUGUCACAAUCACAGCUGGUAACAUAUCAUCUUGCAUAAUGGUUUUCAAUCUUUCUAAUGCCCAAAUAUAGUUAUCUUCUCGUUCGGACUCAAGAUAUGCAAAACCAACAUUAAAUGUCUUUGCAGUCGAUGUGUCACCAACUAUUUCUAACAACGGAAACUUAUACUUAUUGACUUUAUAAGUGCAGUCCAUUAUCAGAACACUUGGAAAAGCUUUUAACAAAUCAAAAGUAAGAGGAUGUGCCUAAAAUAUGUCUUUCACACAAUUUGUAUCAUCAUCACUCCGAUGCCACUCAAUGUAAUUAUGAUCAUGCAAUUUACUCAUAAGCUGUUGCAUUUGUGACCGUCCGCCCAAUUCGCGAACCUUAUAUUUAUACCGAGCAUUAUAAACCGUCUUCAUUGUUGUAACAUUAAAUGUAUCCCUAGUCUUUAAAGUAUGUAAUAUCUCUUUUGGCCGAACAUUAUUUUUAGACAAAUCAACCAAUAUACUAACAUCUUCAUUAGUAAGUCUACCUGCAAAUGAGUGGCCCUCAAGAUAUUGUGCAAAAUGAUGGUUAUGCAAUCCACAGAUUACUUUUAACACCCAAUCUUGAUUAUUCACCAACAUUUGACCCUUUAAUAAAAAUGGACAGCCACACUUUUUUGUUCCAAUUGCAUUCGGUCUUUUCUUCUUUUCCAAGUCGCUAUUCUGCUUAGACAUGUUGGUACUUCUUUUCGGAUAUGCACCACUUCUUUCACAAGCAAAAAUUAUCCUUGGUCUCCUUCCAAUCACAUUCACGUCAGAUCUUUUAAUAAUAAUCACAAGUCCAUUUUUUUCCCAACAUCAUGCAUCCAUCGAAUCAACUUGUCUCUACUGGUGAAAACCUAUGAGAAAGACAAUAAUAUAUUAGUUAAUGAUACAAAGAAAAGAGAAUAUAUGUAUGAAAAUUUAUUUAGCAUUUUACCUCUUCAGUAGUGAAUGCAGCAGUGUAAUCCAUAACAUCUACUUUAUUAUCAAGAAUGACAACUAUGGUAGAACUUUCCUCCUUUACAAUCAUUGUAAGAUAUUACAUAAGUUAAUACAAGACACAAAACUAGAAUAAUAGCAAUUUAUUCAGCAAUAAUCAACCAAACAAUUGACAUUUGUUAAGGGAUAUUUGUUGAACAUUGUUCAACGCUCUCCCAGUCAUUAUAAUUCUAAAACAAUAAAUUAAUAGCAAACUUACUUUUUUAUUAUCAUCCCCAUCUAUUUGCAUGAUUAUUUUGCCCUAAAUUUGAAACUCUUAGAUUAGGGUUUAAGAAAGAAAAGAGAGUUUAUAUCGUAUGCCACACAAAGAAUUUAAAACUCUUAAACAAAAAUAUGCCAUAUAAGAAAUUUUUAAGGGGAAAAAAAUAUUUGAUUUUGAGUGGGGGUUUAAUUAGAAAUUGUCUUAUUAUGUAAUUUUAAUAAAGGUUAAAAUUGUAAAAUAACUAAAGGGGUGUUAAGAGGUAUUUAGAGGGGUGCCAAUAGUCCCACUCAAAUAAGUAAUGGUAACAAAAGACUAAUUUGUAAUAUUGAAGUGUACGGGCUUAACUAAAUCCAAAAAUUAGUAAGUUAGCUCAAGAGUUGAGAGUUGUCCAAAUCUUAAAUGUUGAACCCAAGUUCAAUACUCAAUUGAUGCGGGAUGUUAUUCCUAACACCUCCCGUCAUGUGUAGGAUUGGUAAAAAAACUCGGGUCAGUCCCGCCUAGACCUACGGGCUUUAUGCAUGGCCCGCAUGAUGAAGUUACGAAAUUAACCUAAAAAUUUGAAACUUACGAUGAAUGGCCUUGCUUAAAGAUUUUUGCAACUUUAAUUUAUAACGAGUAUGUAUAUAUACACACACAAAAGUUUAGAUUGCAUUUGGAUGACUUUUUUAAUCAAUUCAAACAAUCUGAAAUUUAUCAGAUUAAUCCGAAUUUGAUCUGUAUCUGAUUUUGCCCGCCCCUACUAUUUAUAAGCCCAAGUGACUCUCUUUUACUAAUUAAUAAGGGAAUUUUUUACCUUAUAUCCUUGCUGUGGCGUUAGACUACUGGUCAUUUUGAUUGUUUCCUACCUUCCAUUUACGCCAGUUGUAACAUUGUAUUAUUCACCACUUUAGCCAUUUAAAUGAAAUUUUAUUUUCAUAAAAAAUAAAAUGACACCCUUAAAAUUUAAAAAAUAGAUAUGUAGAUCUCAAAUUUUUAAUAAAGAAUGUCAAUACCCCUUUUAACUACAAGAUUCUUAGUAGAUGAUAACCAAAAACAUUAACUUCAAAUUUUUCACUAAAUGUAAAUCUGAUUGAAAUAGUUUAAUUUUUUUCUAGUAGACUAAUAUGUAUAACUUAUAUAAUUAAUUUCAUUAUUAAUUUUUAAAAUGUUAAUUAAUAUAUUUUUAAUUAUUAUAAAAAUUUUAAAUAAAUCUUGGAUUAGAUAGAUUUUACACUUAAUGUAAUACUUCUGAUUUAUUAAUAAUAUUAAAAUUAUUUUAUAUGAUAUUCAAAAUAAUUUAAACUUUUAUAUAUUUAUUUUAAUAUUAUGUCUAUUUAUUAUAGUUUGGUUUAAUAUAAUACGGGAUUGUAAAAUAUUAAAAUAUUUUUCAAUAUCAAAUUAUUUUAAUAUGUAUAUAUUAUUACAUUUAUUUUAAUAUCACAUUUAUAUUUAUUAUAAAAUAUAAAAUUAAUAAAAUUAAAGAGUAUUGCAGUAAAGUAAAAAAAAAAGUCUUAUUAUCCCAUAUUCACGGUAUGAGUUUCUACAAAAUUAUUUCCUCAAAUGGGUGACCUUUCCUCAUUUUCAAAAGAAAAAAUAAAGUAAGAAUAAGUCCAGGGUUUCAAAAACUUCUAGUCUUAUCCCAAGACCUCCAUUGUCUACCACUAUGACUAAUGGAAAUGACAUUGCAAUUGACAUUGCUUUUCGCAACAUGACAAAUUUUUGGUGGGAUAUGAGAGAAUUGUCAAAAGUUCAUGCCGCGUGAGAGUUUUUGGUGGGAUGUGGGAGAAUUGUCAAAAGAUCACACCACGUGAUAUAACCAUAAUUGCUACAAUUUUUUUUAAUAAUGAUGGGAGUUAUAAAUUAUUUAUAUAAAUUUGUGUAGAAACUAAUGUAACAUAAAAGAAGUAGCUGAAUAACAAUAUUUGGUGCUUUAGGUAAUUUUUAUAUGAGCCUUUCUUUUAUUUAGCGACUUUAGUGCUUAAACAAAUUUGUCCUCGAUCUUAAUUUACUUACCCCAUUUAAGCCUAUGAUGACAUAAACAUAUUCUUUUGUGACGAAAACAUCAAGAGAAGACAUCUCAUGUUUUAUUAUAACACAAAAGAAGUGGUCCAAACGUCUAUUCAUUCUUUUAUUUACUCAAUAUGAAUGGCCAACUUUAAAAAAUGAUAAAAAUCACACCACGCUCAACUGAAAAUUUAUAAUUACAUUUUUUAAUACUCUCUAUACUCUCUAGCCUCUCUCUCCUGCCCCCUUUUUUUUUUAAAAAAUAAACCUUAGUGUAAAAUUAGAAGAAUUUUAGAUAUAACAUUUGACAAUCGCUAAAUAGAAAAGUAGGGGAUUGAAAAUAGAGGAGCUCUGUUAUCAUUGGAAUAUUGAUUAUAGAUCAUAUAAUAACUUGUUGUGGUUCAUUGUAGCACUCUGAGUCAUAUUCUAAAAUUUAUAGGUUUCUUAAGGUUUUUAUUAUUGACAUUAUUGUGUCAAUACUAUUAUAAUUUAUUCAUUUUAUUGUAAUGAUAAUUUGUCUAGUCUUAGGUACUUAUUAUAUUAAAUUAUGUAAAUUAAUUGAGAAUACAUUUAGAGACAAAAGAAACACGUGUAUGUAGGAUUAAUAAUCGCAGAGUUGUAAAUGAAGGUGAUUGCUUCAUUGAGAGGCAUAUUAAAUAAUUAUGGAGAGUUGCACUAUUUCGGAAGCAUAUAUUUAUACUUCCCUAUCAGGAUUUGGGGUAAGCGAAGUGCUUUAUGUGUUGUAGUAAGCAAUGUGGGCAAUAUCGGAGGCGAAAUAUUAAAAGAUCAUAACGCAUAUAUUUGAGCCAUUUAUAUUGAAGACACGUAUUGAAGACACGUAUAGAGGAAAGAGUGCAUAUCCGGCGGUAACUAUUAUCAGGCUUUCCUAAAAUAUUCUCAUGCUUCCUCAACUGUUCUGAACUAUUCUUCAUAGUGGGCAGAUUUACUUAAAUACCCUUCUACCUAACAAAACUUGGUACUUCUAAUUGCACUCGCAGAGAAUCUAUAAAAUUAAAAAAAAAUUCAUCCAUGAAAAGCCUCGUAACAGAAAAACCAUCUUUCAAAAAAUAAUAAUAAAAUAAAAACAGAAAAACCGACUCAUUUAUCUGCCAAUGAACCAAUCGGGACUCAUUUAAAAAAGAUUACAAAGCAAAAGUAAAUGACACAAAUUGCAUAGAUAUCUAGGAGCCGCAUCAAAGGGCAAUGGUGUUAAUUUGUCCGAGUAAUAAUUAAUUUCAAUAUUAAUUUUUAAAAUGGAAAUUAAUUUAUUUAUAUUUAUAAAAUAUUUGUAAUUAUUUUAAAAUUUUAACUAAAUCCUUAGGUUAAAUAGAUUUUACAAUUAAUAUAAUAUUUCUCAUGUAUUAAUAAUAUUAAAAUUAUUUUAUAUGAUAUUGAAAAUAACCUAAAUUUUUAUAUAUUUAUUUGAAUAUUAUGUCUCUAUUUAUUAUAAUUGGGUUUAAUAGAAUACGAGAUUGUAAAAUAUUAAAAUUUUUAGAUAUUGAAAUUAUUUUAAUAUGUAUAUAUUAUUAUAUUUAUUUUAAUAUCCUAUUUAUAUUUAUCAUAAAUUAUUAGAGUUAAUUUUUUUAGUUAAUAAAUUUAAAAACUAUUCUAAUUUUAAAAAAAAGUCUUAUUGUCUAUUAUUCAUGAUAUGAGGUUCUACAAAAUUAUUUCUCCAGACGGAUGUCCUUUUCUUAUUUUCAAAAGGAAAAACAAGUUCAGGGUCUCAGGGGUUUCAAAAAUUCUGGUCCUAUCUACCACUAUGACUAAUGGGAAACAACAUUGUAAUUGACAUUGCUUUUCACAAUAUGACAAAUUAUUGGAGGGAUAUGGGAGAAUUGUCAAACAUUCACACCACGCGAGAGCUUUAGUGUGGGAUAGGGGAGGAUUGUCAAGAGUUCACACCACGAGAAACUAAUGAUAGGCCCAAUUUCAUUGUCAAUUCUUUAUUUAUUUCAUGCAUUAUUGUUUUUCUAAAGGUAUAAAAGCAAAGUAAAAUACUAGGGGCGCUUUUAAGUUACAAUUGAUGUAACUUACAAUUUUUUCAAAAAUAAUGUAAAAAAAUUAAUAGGUGGUGGGACCCACAUAUUUUUUAAGAGACUUAAGUUACGGCAGUUGUAACUUAACAAAAUUUAAAUAUUAGAUAAUAAUACAUAUUAAUAAUAUAUAAUUUGGGUUUGAUUUUUAAAAGAUUAUUUGAGUACCACCUAUCCUUAUGAUAUUAAUGUGACUAUAUCUUAAUAUUAAAUAAUCAAAAUUUGUUUAAUUGUUAUUUGUAUUUCAUACAUUACAUAUUAGAUUUGUUUGAAUUUUAAGUUGUUGCUAAUAAAUAUUUAUGUUGUCAAAGUCAAAUUCAAUAGCUACAAAAGCAGAGAUAAUGGUAUUGUAUAUAGUUUUUAAGAAUGCAAGGAUAAGCUGGAUAAUUGACAUAAAUUCUAAUGAUUAAAACAGCAACUAUCCCUUAAGUUAUAAUGUCAAUUUCUUUAAUUAGAUUUUUUUUUUUAUGUGAUAUAACCACAAUUGCUACAAAUUUUUUUUUUUAUAAUAAUAAUGGGAGUUAUAAAUUAUUUAUAUAAAAUUUGGGUUGAAACUAAUGUAACCUAAAAGUGGUUGCUGAAUAACAAUAUUUGAAACUUUAGGUAAUUUUCAUGAGUCCUUUUUAUAUUCAGCAACUUGAAUUGGGGGAAAUCCGACUUGAAUUGGCGGUUGAUUUUCGUGAUGUGGCUUUUGGUUUAUGGCGACCUUACAGUGGCAGAAGACUGGAUUUACGGUUGCCGACUGCUAGGGAUUAUGGUGGGGGUGUAAAUUGACGGAAAAAGAAGGUGUUUUGGUGGCGGCGCGUGUAGGAAGCACUCGUGGGUUGUCGUUUCGUGUGGUGGCGGGCGGCGAUCAAGGGCUGAAGUUGGUCGGUUUUUGGUCAACGGAGGCCGGCGAGUUUGUUGGUGGAGGUGGCUGGUGGAGAAAGUGACUGAAUGGUGGUGGGUUGCUUGGUGGAGCCGCGGGUUUGGGUUGGUGAUUUGUGGCUGUUCAAGCGGCGGUUGAGGCAGCGAUGACUGAGGCUUGGUCGACGGUGGCUAGUGAGGUUUGUGGUGGUGUUGGCUGACUGAUCGGCGGUGGUGGGCGGCCGUGGAGGUUGAUGUGACGGGUAGGGUUUUCAAAUUUGUAAAUUUUUUUUUUUGAUGGAUUUGGUUUGGAUGGGUAUCGUGUAUCUAGGAAAGAUGUGCGAUUCGCACAGAAUCCCUUUGACACCAAUUGAUGGAGCGAGGCGUAGCGGAAGCGGAAUUGAUAGGGUAAGAAACAUUAGAUAUUGUUCUAGUACUAGACCAAGCCAACGCAAUUAGCUUACGCUCUAAUCGAAGCGUGAUUAGAUAUCGUUCUAAUCCAAAUAACUCAAUACGAUUUUUAAUAAUGCGUAAUACGAGAUUAAAUGACACUCUAAUCCAAACGACUCUACAAGAGAGAUUUUGAUAAAUAAUCAUAGAGGGGUUUUAUUUAAUAAUUGAACCUGAAGUUAAUGAAAAUAAUGACAAGACAUCUUUAUUUUUUUUUAUUACAGACAUCUUUAUUUAUAAUAAAAGAAACCCGCUUUCCUAAGUUAACCUAAAAAGAAAAUUUAAAUCAUAAUUAUAAUGGAAAUAAAAGAUUAAGAUACAUAUCAUAAUUGACUCAAACUAAAAUAGAAAAUCAUAAAAUAAUAAAUAUUCUAAAAUUAUAAAUUAUCUAAAAUAACGUUAAUUAACUUCCUAAAUCACUUCUUUGGUGUAAACCAUUUUGCAUCCAAACUCGCUUUAAAGGUUUGAACUAACGUUACCAACAACAAUGUAUCAAAUUCCAAUCUAACUUAAGAUCUUGAUGCAUCUAUCGAUGUCCUUGUUUGAUUAGACAAUAAUGAGUCUAUCUCAUCACUUGUUACCUCUUUCUUGAAAGCUACAUCUGUUGAAGUGAUAGCCUCACUUAGAGUUUAAAGAUCUUCUUCCCUGUUAAAUAAAAUGGGCAUUUGAGUAAAAAGCUUUAUCUCUAUCUCCUUCUAUCAAAUAACGACAACUAUCCAAAGGGAAAAAAAAAAUUAGAAAAGUCCAUGGGUCACAAUAAUUUAUGGUCUGUCUCCGGACCCCAUUAUCUGCCACUAUCAAUGAUGAAAAUGAAAAUAAAUGGCAUCUUCCCUAAAUGGCAAAAGAUUUUUGGGGGAUAUAGGGGAAUUGUCAAAAGUUCAUACAACGCGAAAUAAGUGUUACAUCCAAUUUUAUUUCGUCAUAUAAUGAUAAUAUUAAAUAAUGACAACCAUCCAAAAGUAUGAUGGGUCUUCCAAAAUUUUGAAAAUGUCGUCAACAUUUAAUCUUCAAUGCUAAAGAAGAUGAAACGCCCAAAAAUGACACGCAGGACUCACUCAAAAACUAAAUGGCCCUCACCACAUGUAACAAACUUUGACCUUAUGUCCCUGCUGAGGCGUUAGACUGUUGGUCAUUUUGAUUGCUUUUUACCAUCCAUUUACGCCAUUGUAGAAUUGAACUAUUCACCAGUCUAGCUGUUUAAAUGAAAUUGUUAUUUUUUUUCCAAAAAUAAAAUGACACCCUUAAAAUUUUAGAAAAUAGUCAUGUAGACCCCAAAAUUUUAUUAAAGAACACUAAUAUCCUUUUUUACUAUAGUACUCUUAGUAGAUGGUAACAAAAAAAAAAUGAUUGCAAAAUAUUUUAGUAAAUGAAAAUAUGAUUUAAAUAGUUUAAAUUUUCUAGUAGACUAGUAUGUAUAAUUUAAAUAAUUAAUUUUUAAAAUGUAAUUUAAUAUAUUUAUUAUAAAAUUUUUAAACAAAUCCUUGGGUUAAAUAGAUUUUAUAAUUUAUAUAAUAUUUCUCAUGUUUUUAUGUUAUAGAAAUAUUAAAAUUAUUUGAUAUGAUAUUGAAAAUAAUUAAACAUUUUAUAUAUUUAUUUGAAUAUUAUGUCUCUAUUUAUUAUAAUUUGGUUUAAUAGAAUACGAGAUUGUAAAAUAUUAAAAUAUUUUUAGGUAUUGAAAUUAUUUUAAUAUAUAUAUACAUAUUAUUAUAUUUAUUUUAAUAUCCUACUUAUAUUUAUUAUAAAAUAUUAAAAUUAAUUUUUUUAGUUAAUAAAUUUAAAAAAUAUUAUAAUUAUAAAAAGAGUCUUAUUGUCUGCUAUUCACGAUAUGAGAUUCUACAAAAUUAUUUUGAAAAUGAAAAAUAAGUCCAGGGGUUUCAACAAAUUCUAGUCCUAUCUGCCACUAUGACUAAUGGAAACGACAUUGCAAUUGACAUUGGUUUUCAUAAUAUGACAAAUUUUUGGAGGGAUAUGGGAGAAUCGUCAAAUGUUCACACUACGCGGGAUUUUUGGAUGGGAUCAGGGAGGAUUGUCAACAGUUCACACCACGAGAAACCAAUGAUAGCCCUAAUUUCGCUGUUAGUUCUUUGUUUAUUUAUUUUAUUUAUUUCAUACAUUGUUGUCUUGUUGGCAUUGUUUUGUAAAGAUAUAAAAGUAAAGUAAACUAUUAGGGUGCUGCUAAGUUAAGCUGUUGUAACUUGCAGUCCCUUAAAAAAUAAUGUAAAAAAUCCACAUUUGUUUGAAGAGGCUGUAAGUUAUAGUAGUUGUGACUUAGCAAAAUCCAAAUAUUAGACAAUAACGCACAUUAACAAUGCAUAUAAUUUGGGUUUGAUUUUUAAAAAAAUUAUUUGAGUAUUAGCUAUCCUUAAGAUAUUAAUGUGAAUAUAAUUUAAUAUUUAAUAAUCAAAAUCUGUUUAAUCAUAAUAUAUAUUUCAUACAUUGCAUGUUUAAUCAAAAUCUGAUUGCUUUUUACCUUCCAUUUACGCCCACUGUAGCAUUGUACUAUUCACCAUUUUAGAUGUUUAAAUGAAAUUUUUAUUUUUUUUCCAAAAAUAAAAUGACACCCUUAAAAUUUUAGAAAAUAGCCAUGUAGACCCCAAAAUUUUAAUAAAGAACACUAAUAUCCUUUUUAACUACAGCACUCUUAGUAGAUGGUAACCAAAAAAAAAAAAUUGAUUGCAAAAUUUUUUAGUAAAUGUAAAUAUGAUUUAAAUAGUUUAAAUUUUCUAGUAGACUAGUAUGUAUAAUUUAAAUAAUUAAUUUUUAAAAUGUAAUUUAAUAUAUUUAUUUUAAUAUUAUAUUUAUUAUAAAAUUUUUAAACAAAUCAUUGGGUUAAAUAGAUUUUAUAAUUUAUAUAAUAUUUCUCAUGUUUUAAUAAUAUUAAAAUUAUUUUAUAUGAUAUUAAAAAUAAUUAAAAAUUUUAUAUAUUUAUUUGAAUAUUAUGUCUCUUUUUAUUAUAAUUUGGUUUAAUAGAAUACGAGAUUGUAAAAUAUUAAAAUAUUUUUAGGUAUUGAAAUUAUUUUAAUAUAUAUAUAUAUAUAUAUAUAUAUAUUAUAUUUAUUUUUAUAUCCUACUUAUAUUUAUUAUAAAAUAUUAAAAUUAAUUUUUUUAGUUAAUAAAUUUAAAAAUAUUAUAAUUAAAAAAAGAGUCUGAUUGUCUGUUAUUCACGAUAUGAGGUUCUACAAAAUUAUUUUGAAAAGGAAAAAUAAGUCCAGGGGUUUCAACAAAUUCUAGUGCUAUCUGCCACUAUGACUAAUAGAAACGACAUUGCAAUUGACAUUGCUUUUCUUAAUAUGACAAAUUUUUUUAGGGAUAUGGGAGAAUCGACAAAUGUUCACACUACGCGGGAGUUUUAGAUGGGAUCAGGGAGGAUUGUCAACAGUUCACACCACGAGAAACCAAUGAUAGCCCUAAUUUCGCUGUCAGUUCUUUGUUUAUUUAUUUUCAUUAUUUCAUACAUUGUUGUCUUGUUGGCAUUGUUUUGUAAAGAUAUAAAAGUAAAGUAAACUAUUAGGGUGCUGCUAAGUUAAGUUGUUGUAACUUACAAUCCCUUAAAAAAUAAUGUAAAAAAUCCACAUUUGUUUGAAGUGGCUGUAAGUUAUAGUAGUUGUGACUUAACAAAAUCCAAAUAUUAGACAAUAACGCACAUUAACAAUGCAUAUAAUUUGGGUUUGAUUUAAAAAAAAAAAAUUUUGAGUAUUACCUAUCCUUAAGAUAUUAAUGUAAAUAUAAUUUAAUAUUAAAUAAUCAAAAUCUGUUUAAUCAUAAUAUAUAUUUCAUACAUUGCAUGUUUCAUCAAAAUUUGAUUGCUUUUUACCUUCUAUUUACGCCCACUGUAGCAUUGUACUAUUCACCAUUUUAGAUGUUUAAAUGAAAUUUUUAUUUUUUUCCAAAAAUAAAAUGACACCCUUACAAUUUUAGAAAAUAGUCAUGUAGACCCCAAAAUUUUAAUAAAGAACACCAAUACCCUUUUUGACUAUAGUACUCUUAUGGUAGCCACAAAAAAAAAUUGACUUCAAAAUUUUUUAGUAAAUGUAAAUACGAUUUAAAUAGUUUAAAUUUUCUAGUAGACUCGUAUGUAUAAUUUAAAUAAUUAAUUUUUAAAAUGUAACUUAAUAUAUUUAUUUUAAUAAUAUAUUUAUUAUAAAAAUUUUAAACAAAUCCUUGGGUUAAAUAUUUUUAUAAUUAAUAUAAUAUUUCUCAUGUUUUAAUAAUAUUAAAGUUAUUUUAUAUGAUAUUGAAAAUAAUUUAAAGCUUUAUAUAUUUAUUUGAAUAUUAUGUCUCUAUUUAUUAUAAUUUGGUUUAAUAUAAUACGAGAUUGUAAAAUAUUAAAAUAUUUUUUGGUAUUGAAAUUAUUUUAAUAUAUAUAUAUAUAUUAUAUUUAUUUUAAUAUCCUACUUAUAUUAUUAUAAAAUAUUAAAAUUAAUUUUUUUAGUUAAAAAUUUAAAAAAAUAUUACAGUUAAAAAAAAAGAGUCUCAUUGUCCGUUAUUCACGAUAUGAGAUUCUAUAAAAUUAUUUUCAAAAGGAAAAAUAUGUCCAGGAGUUUCAACAAAUUCUAGUCCUAUCUGCCACUAUGACUAAUGGAGACGACAUUGAAUUGACAUUGCUUUUCGCAAUAUGACAAAUUUUUGGAGGGAUAUGGGAGAAUCAUCAAGCGUUCACACCACGCGAGAGCUUUAGGUGUGAUAUGGGAGAAUUGUUAAGAGUUCACACCACGAGAAAUUAAUGAUAGGCCUAAUUUCGUUGUCAGAUCUUUAUUUAUUUUUUAUUUAUUUCAUACACUAUUGUCUUGUUGGUAUUGUUUUGUAAAGAUAUAAAAGUACAAGUAAAAUAUUAGGGGAAGUAAAGUAAAAUAUUGGAGGUGCUACUAAGUUACAGCUGCUGUAACUUACAGUUCCUUAAAAAAUAAUGUAAAAAAUUUAACACGUGGUGGGACCCACAUUAUGUUUGAAGAGGUCGUAAGUUAUAGCAGUUGUAAAUUAGUAAAAUCCAAAUAUUAGACAAUAAUACAUAAUAACAAUGCAUAUAAUUUGAGUUUGAUUUUUAAAAAAAUUAUAUGAGUAUUACCUAUCCUUAAGAUAUUAAUGAGAAUAUAUUUUAAUAUUAAAUAAUCAAAAUCUGUUUAAUCAUAAUAUGUAAUUCAUACAUUGCAUGUUAGAUUUGUUUGGAUUUUAAGUUGUUGCUAAUAAAUAUUUAUGUUGUGAAAGUCGAAUUCAAUAGCUACAAAAGCAGAGAUAAUGGUAUUUUAUGUAGUUUUUAAGAAUACAAGGAUAAGUAGGGGUGGGCAAAUCGGGUUUCGAUUCGGGUUGUUCGGGUUUCGGAUUGGGUUUCAACCCGUUCGGGUUGGAGAAUUGAACCCAAUCGGGUUGAAAGCACCAACCCGAACCAAACCGAACCGAAUUUAAUUCGGUUCGGUUCGGUUUGGGUUGGCAAUUCGGAUCGGAUUGGGUUGAUAAUUCGGGUUAAAAUUUCGGUUCGGGUUAAUUCGGGUUAGAAUGGGUUGGAACAAUUUAAUCUAAAAAUUCUAACAACAACCACUUAAAAUCUAAAAAUUUAAAUUUCAAACAUUCUUAACAACAAAUAUCAAUUACAAAUCAUCCUUAAUAACAUUUCAACAAUUUAAAAAUCUCAAUUCCAAACAUUCCAAACAUCCUUAAGGAACGAUUUAAUCUAAAAAUUAUAACAACCUCUUAAAAUCCAAAAAUCUUAAUUCCAAAUAUCCUUAAUAACAAAUAUCAUCUACAAAUCAUCUUUAAUAACAUUUCAAUAAUUUAAAACUCUCAAUUCCAAACAUCCUUAAUAACAAAUAUCAACUACAAAUCAUCUUUAAUAACAUUUCAAUAAUUUAAAACUCUCAAUUCCAAAUAUUCCAAACAUCCUUAAGGAACAAUUUAAUUCAAAAAUUAUAACAACCACUUAAAAUCUAAAAAUCUCAAUUCCAAACAUCCUUAAUAUAUAUAUAUAUAUAUUUUUUUUUUUAAUUUAAAAGCUGAAUCUUAAAAAAAAAAAAAAGCUUCAACCCGAACGGGUUGAAACUUUGAAUCCGUUCGGGUUUCACCGGUUAACCCAAACCGAACCGAACGCCCACCCUAAGGAUAAGACCAUAACGCAUGAGAUAAUGGUAUUUUAUAUUAAAAGACCAUAACACAUGUAUUUGAGCCAUUUAUAUUGAGGACACAUAUAGAGCGAAGAGUGCAGAUCCGGCCGUAACUAUUGUGAAGCUUCCCUCAAGUAUUCCCAUGCACACAACCCUUAUCUGUUCAAGUUUUCUGAUUCAAUAUAAUCAAUUUCCGAGCAGUACUGACGACAGCUUCUCUGUAAAGCUCUUCAACCACAAGCAUUUCUACAAGGCAAAAGACUAGGACGUGUCGGAAUGAAUAUCAAUAAGGGAAUGUCUUAUGAAUUCAGUUUAUAUCCUAAUAUAAGACAAUCAGUAAAUAUUGGAUGCAAUCUUAGGCUAACAUUUGGUUGAUCAUUAUACAAAAAAAAAGGUACAAAAAUACAAAACAGAGCUGAUUGAUGGCCUCUCACAGUCAGUUAUAUGACAAAGUAGCCAUCACUACUUGAACUUGGCUGGAGGUCUCAUUAGCAGUAUACCUCAGAAAUUAAUACAGAGACUUUAAAAUGCAAACUUAUGGAGCAAUUUAAGCACUGAAACUAAUAACAGUACGGUAUUAGCAAUUGACCUCUGCUUUUUGCUUGGACAAAGGUUCUCAUCACAAGGGACUCAUUAGUUGCCCUUGCCUCACACUUUUGGAUGCUAAGGGGAAAAAGGAAGCUUGAAUUAGUCAAUCUCAUGUCUAAUGGCAUUCACAGAGAACCUAUAAAACCAAAUAAAUAAAUAAAGUUUUCAUCCAUGAAAAGCUUAGUAAUGGAAAAACCGACUCUUUUAUCUGCCACUGACGAAAAAAAAACUGAAGUAUUAAAUAGAUAAUGAAUUUAAUUUUUUUCUUGGAAAAACUAAUAAUAAAUUAACAAUUAGAUAGUACUAUUAAUUAGAGAUCUUUAAUAUUAAGGUUAUCAAAUAUAGAAUGUGUAUAAAAAUUCUUAAUUAUAAGAUAAUUACUAACUAAAAAGAGGCCUAAAAAAGAAGAUUUGCUAUUAUAAGUAAUACCAAAAAUAAAAAGGGAGACUUCCUAAUUGUUUAAUUGUUAAAAAAGAGGAUUUGUUAUUAUAGGCCUAAUUUGCCUAUGCUUAAAACCGUUCCCGGAUGUAAAAAAAUAAAAAUUAUUGUUAAAUUCCUGACUAAUAAGGUCAUUGAAAGUAUUCAAAGGACCUGAACUAUACCACGUUGCAAGUGAGCUCGUAUUUUUAUCCCUUGAUCUGCCAUCGGUAUUUCUCUUCCACUCACUAUACCAUCCUUUUCAAUCGAUUUUUAUUGAUCAUAAGAGACCAUGUGGCCCACCUUUUUUUUAUUUUGGAUCCAUAACCCAAUGCUGGCCCAAGUUAAACAGCAAAUCAUCAAACGCACUUCAAUGACUUUGAUUUUGAUUUUUUUUUUCAAAAGAAGUAAAAAAAUCCAUGGGUCGCAAUAACUGCUGGGAAAUUUAUAAAAAUAGUCAUAAAAUAUUUGUAUUUUUUAACUUUAAUCCCUUAAAGUUUUUUCUAUCAUAACUAGCCAAAUACCCUACUUUUGGACUAGAUUACCCUCAUCACUUUUAUCAAAUUUAUAAAGACAUGCCACUUUUUCAAUUCCAGCACAACUAAAUACGGUUCUUCUUCAAUAACUUAACAAACAUUUAUCACUCUCAACAAACUUCAUCACUCUCUAUAAAUCAAUUACAUAAUUGAAUAUAAUCAUCAAUGGGAGAGCUUCUUAAAAUUAGUUUAUGCUUUUACACAAUGUAAAUCUUUAAUCUAUUGAUUUUAUCAACUAAAUUUGAAAUUAAAGUGGGUUUUGUUACAAAUAUUGUUAUUUUUCAUUCAUAAAACAAUGUGAUUUGUUAAAGUACUUAGUUUGAGUUGAGAAAUGAAGAAAAAUCAUUGAAAAUAUAGAAAAAUCGGGCAAAAAACGAAGUUCAGAACAAGUGAGAUAGGCAAGUGGGACAGGUGCAUGUCUCACAUAAACGCACUGCAUUUAUGUGCGACAGGCACCUGUCCCACUGCUUGUCGCACAUAAACCCAUAAAUUUUAUAGAGUACAUGAUUUUGGAUUUGAUUUGUCUCGUCAUAAGCUUCGAAACAGUAUAUUAUACGCCUAAAACGAACAUAUGUAGCUCAAGUUAUAGCUUUUGCAAUAUAUAUGAAAUUUAGUGAGACAGGCACCUGUCCCACUUGCCUGUCUCACUAAAUUUCAUAUAUGUUUCAAAAAUCAUAACUUGAGCUAUAUAUGUCCGUUUUAGACGUAUAAUAUAUCAUUUCAAAGUUUAUGAUGAGACAAAUCAAAUUCAAAAUUAUGUACUCUAUAAAAUUUGUGGGUUUACGUGCGAUAGGCAAUGGGACAGGUAAAAUGAAUAAACUCUGAGCCUCUCUCUAUAACACUAUAUAGAACCCUAAGCCUAAGUCUCACAUUCGCAACCGCCCCACAUAUCAGAACCACAGCGAACUGCCUCCGACCCUACGGACCCAAAAAAAUUAUUGUAUUCCUGCUCUUUCACUUCAAUAAUUUUUUGUAUUAUUCCAUAUCUUUCACUUUAAUAACCCAAAAGCUUUCCUCUGUUUCAACCCAAAAGCUCAAAUUCCUUUUUUCAAUCGAAAUAAAACGUAGCCACAAAACCCUAAUUCACCACACCAAUUUAUCUCUGCCCGGUAUUCAUUUAAACCCUACCUCGCGGUUCAAUGUCAUUCAAUACGAUUGCAGAUGCCGUUUCAACUUGACAUUUAGUUAGCGCCAUCCCGUUCUCUAUGGUAAGCCUUAACCCUAACAACUAAUCGACUGUGGUAGCACGUUGCUUGUUAGGAGUGGGGAUACAUUAUUUGAAUAUAUGAAUUGGGUGAUGUUAGUGAUUCAUUCCCCUAUUUUUCGUGAAUUGAGAUUUGUGUAUAAUGCUAGUAAGAUUGCUAAAAAUUUCAUAUUUUGUAUUGUUCCAGUUGAAUUUCUUGCUUGUGGAAGAUAAAACAAAAGUUCAAUUUCAUGUUGAUUUAAUUCUUCUUUUUUUUUUCUUCUUUAUAGUCACGCUCUGGCUUUGGUGCUAUGCUUAGUGCAGUUUAUGGUUUCAAGAUUAAGUCACGUUUAUUUGAUGGCAUCGAUUCCAUCAUUAAGAAGCUCUUCUUAUUUUAUCUCAGUUUCAAUUUUCUUUUAUUAUCUGCCUCUACCUGAAAAUGGACGUGUUUUACUAGUAAGCAUAGACUUUGUUUAUUUAAUUGAUAUUAUAAUUUUAUGUAUAAGAAUGGAGGUUUAUUUUGAAAAAAAAAAAGAAAUAAAAAAAUAGACUCUGUUGAAGCUAAUUAGUACUGAAUUUUUUUUGGUGGUGCGACCAGAGGUGGAAACAGGGUAUGAAAAUGUGUUACUGGUGAGGUUGCUGCUUAAGAUGAGAAUGGCUAAAAAUCUGUCAUACGUUCAAAUUUUGUUUGUGUUUGGAAGAAUGGUGUUGACUGUAUAUUCGUUUGGAAGAAUGGUGUUGAUUGUAUAUUCAUUUGCUUAGCCUUUUGACAGAUGGAUUUGAAACUGACGACAAAUGUGAUUCAAUUUACAAGGUUUUCGAGGGGCUCACAGUGGAAGGGAUAUUGAAGAACUGGUCUAAGAUAAAGCCUAUGAUUGUGAAAGAUUGGAGUGAGAAUAUAGAUGCUCGUUUAAAUCUUUUUGGCAAGGUCAGAGAUGAAUGGAUAGAUAAGGAUUUAUUUGACUACUUCGUCUGGUGCUAAUAGGUAUUUUAGGCAAGCUUUUUGAGAUAACACUGAGCAAGUUAUACUACUAGUUUGCACAUGAUGAUCAAAACUCUCGAAAAGUAAAAUAAAAUAAAUUAUUAACUUUUACUUUCAUCUUUUGCAUAGCAAUCAAUGUGGUGCUUGUUCUGUGACAACUUUGAUAGUCUACUUAAUUAUUGGUUAGCAUUUGGACCAAAAAAGUUCUUAUGAUUUACAUGUUUUGUAGAAAUGCAUGAACCUUAAAUGUGCUGAUCAGGGAGUUUAAUUAUUGCACCUUGAAAUUCAUUUAUUGUUAACUAAUUGGCUUUCCUUUGCAUAAAGACGCUUAUAAGGCUUGAGUGGACGUCUUUAUGGGCAUAUUAUUUGUAUUUCUAUAUGCAUGCCUUUAUCAUUAAUUUAUGUGCUGCUUGUAUUUCUUUAUGCAUGCCUUUAUCAUUUAAUGGCCAGCUCCCUCUCCUCUUUUGUAAUUUGAAUGGUAGUAUGGGCCUCCAUUUUACAAAUCUUUAACAUUUUUUGCUGUAAAUUAAUUUUUCUUUCAAAUAUUUUGGAGGUCAUUGGAAUUCCUGUAGGUCUAUUUACCAGAUUUUAGUACGUUUAAGGUUUUAAUUUUGCUUAGACUUUAAUUUCUCUGAAAGAUUGUAGUAUUGAUCCUCAAAGAAAGAUCAUGCUACUUCAAAUUAUUUUGAAGUGUUGCUAGUUAUAGCCUUACAUAUCAAAUUCCAUUUGUCUGGAAAUUUAUUGAUAGUUGUUACAGCAGCAUAUUUUAUGACUCUACUUCUUAGUUAUGUAAGUUCAUUAUGUUUAGGUCAGAGGCAGUCAGCUGUGGGGAAUCGAUAUAUACACAGAUGACUUUGAUCUUGUUGCUGGUACGUGGUUCUAUGAAUAAUUGUUCACAAUAAUUGUGUUUGCCUCACUGUUUUUGUUUUAUGAGGUCUAUAAUUGAUCUUGAGAUAUUACUUUCUAGUUCUCAUGCAAGCAAGUUACUACCUUCCCACUGCAUCUCCUCCUUUAUCUGCUAUUCAAGAGUUGCGUGCCAUAAUCUGGUGUUACCUCUGCAAGAUUGUGAAUGAAUAUGAUGCCUCUAAAUUUAUUUUAUACAUAAUGCUGAUGCUGAAUAAUAUAUUGUAGCUCCUGUCAUAUUCUACUUUGACUUUUUAUAUUCUGUUUCAUAUAAAAAUCUUAUUCAACUUUAGUUGUUCAUGAGCAAAUGUCACAUGUAUAAGCCCAAAUGAUGCUUAAAGGUAGCGCGGCUACCUUUAGUUUGAGCCUACAAUGGAUGAAAAAGAAAUUGAAACUGAUAUUUUGCUGUUUUUCUGAUUUUUCAAAGUAUUUUAGAUCCUGACUUUUGUUUGGACUUGAUGGUUAUAGAUUGUGUCUAGAUUUGUUAAGUUGUUUCCAACACCUCGUGCCAAAUGAAAGCACAAUCUUUCUGAUUCAGAUGUCUUGUUAAUUAUGCUUCAUUUUUUUCGUUAAAGAAUGGAUGGUUGCAUGGAUUGAUGGAGUUGGAGUUCAACCAAUAAUUCUAAUUUUUUGGACUUAAAAUGCCUUUUUCUUCUGUAUAAAAACUUUAGUAAGUGCUAUUGAGUUGACAGAAGUUGAAUACUUACAGGUUGUUUCACACAUUUUAAUCGUUUUACAUAUAUGAAUUUCUGUUUUUUGAAUUGCAGAAAGGAGGUGGAACUAUUGAUUUGGAGCCUUAUCUUACUCAAUCAUCGACAGCGGAGCCUACCCUCGCUCCCAUGGCAGUGGAACGGACAACGACUACUAGGGCUGCAACAUCAGUUGGUUUGGGUCUGUUUUGAGUUUAUUGUCAUUUAUUUGGCAAUGUUUUGAUAGCGAAUUUUGAUAUGUCAAUAUAAUGUGUAAUUGUUUUGGGUUGAGCUGGUAAUUAUGCUGGAUUAGAUUGGUUUGGUUUUGGUGCUUCUCUGACGGAACACUGCUUUUUUUAGAAAUUUUGAAUGUAAUAUGAGACUACAUUUAGUUUAAUUGAACACUGCAUCUAGUCUAAUUACUAGACGUGUGGCAUUUGGUUUGGUUUAUCCGAUAUUCUCCAGAAUUUCACUUGCAUCUGGUUUUGUUGCAUAUGUUUGCUUGCAUUUGAUGGCAGUAGCAGACUGUUUGGUUUUGUGAGAUUUGAUGGCAGUUUGGUCUGUUCUUGGUGUUGAUUUAAGAUUGUUCCUGUUGUGCUGAUGUUAAUUGCAGGUGCUUGAAUCAGCUAGGGUUGCUGGUUUAUUCAGAUGGUUGACUCAGGCGUUGUUACUGGUUAAUUCAGGUGGCUGACUCAAGUUGUUCAUUUAAUGUUAGGAAGCAAAUUAAGAAUUAAUGAAGUAUUCAUUUAACUAUAAUUUUUGUAGUUAUAUUAUUUCAUAACUGAAUUAUAAUCUAUGAUACUUUUGAACAAAUUAGAGAAUUUUUAAAUAUGAAUUAAAUAUGUGUGUGUAUGUACAUUUUGCUAUUUAUAUAAUAAUUUAAAGAAUAUAUUUCAAUUCCCACAAAAAUAAUGGCUCCAAUUUCAAUAAUUCCCGCCAAAUAAUUAAAUUUUUUUAAUUUACCACCAAAGUAUAUCUUAAAGAAAUUUUAGUUAUUCUUGCUAGAUUUAACAAAAAUAAUUUGUAGGAUUAAAUUUAAUUAAAAUAAUUAAAUAAUUUUAUUAUUCCAAUUAAAAAUGUCAUGUUUAUACGACAGACAAUAGUCAUGAAUGGGAAGUAUUCGUUACAUGUUUUUCCUUGGGAUUUCAGGCAAAUGAAAAAAAGAUUGAGAAUGAUUUCAAGAGGACAGGUGGAUGAUAAGUAUUCAUUUUUGUAUAUUUGGCUAAUGUCCUCAUUAGUGGAUUUUUAUGGUAUUGAUCUUUUUUUUUUUUUAAUUUUCAAUUAGUUGCAGCCCUAGAGGAAGAGCAGGCUGAUCAAAUUGAUUUGUCUUGUUUUUGGGGCAAUCUACGACACGAUGACCGUGAUAAUGCUCGUGACUGCUGGAAACUUUCUGAUGUAAAUAACUUUAGAGUUCGUAGCAAGCAUUUUUGUUAUGACAAAACAAAGGUUCCCCCAUAUUUUGUUUAUUUGUUAUUUAUGGUACUUAUUUAUGGUAUUUAUAUAUCCUGCAUAGGCUAGGUAGACAGGUUAUGAUGUAGUUUGGUUGGCUCUUCUUGUGCUUUGUGCAAUUUGUAACUGCAGAUACCUGCGGGAAAACAUUUAAUGGAUCUUGUUGCUGUUGAUUGGUUCAAAGACACAAAGAGAAUGGACCAUGUAACUAGGCAUCAAAGCUGUGCUGCACAAGUAACUAUUCUUCUCUUUUUUAUUUUUCCUUUUCCAUUGACGGAUUAGAAGAAAAUACUGCCUGUGAGAUACUGUAAUGUAAAUAACUUCUCAUGGUUCAUUGAAUCUAUAACACACUGACCCUCUUCUAAAAAAUGUAGGUUGCUUCUGAAAAAGGGCUUUUCUCACUGAUCUUUAAUCUUCAAGUAAGUUUGUUUCAUUUCAGAAGGUAUUAAGUUUCAAACUUAUUGUAUUGGGAGGUUGUAUAGUUGUAACCUAAGCAUCUGCAGGUUCCUGGUUCAACACAUUAUAGUAUGGUAUUUUAUUUUGUCACAAGGCAAUUGGCUAUGGGAUCACUUUUGCAACGGUUUGUUGAUGGCGAUGAUGAGUUUCGCAAUAGUAGGUUGAAACUUAUUCCAUCUGUUCCUAAGGUAUCCAUCUUGGCCUUCAUGUAUUAGGACUAUAUUAAUGUAUACUUACCCUUUACUGCAUGGUACACUUCAAUUUGUCCAAAGAAGGCAUGCAUUUAGGUGAAAAUGUAUUGAUGGGUUGUACCUUCAAACUUCAUGUCCUUUUUACCCUCUUGAAUUUGUUUUGCACUUGUUCUUGAUUUUAAGCACUGAAUCAUGCAGGGGUCAUGGAUCGUGCGUCAGAGUGUUGGAAGCACCCCUUGUUCGUUAGGGAAAGCGGUUGAUUGUAACUAUAUUCGCAGUCCCAAGUACUUAGAAGUAAAUGCUCUUGGAAUUUCUAUAGUACAUGAGAUGUUCAUCUUUCAAAUAGCAUCCGAUACCAUUAACAUGGUUUAACAUUGUUCAUCUUUCUGUAGAUUGAUGUUGACAUUGGUUCUUCUACCGUUGCUAAUGGAGUUUUGGGCCUUGUAAUUGCUGUAAUUACGACAUUGGUGGUUGACAUGGCUUUCCUUGUACAGGUAUGUAUGAUUGUUUUUUUCCCCCACUUCUAAAUGGACACAAGGGAAAAGACAUGAUUUUGAGAUAUUGCACUGCAAUUUGCAUUUUUGCAUACUUGAAUGUUCUCAGAAUGGUAUAAUGCUUCGUGUGUGUCUUCUUUAUCUUGCUCUUCUGUAUGCAGGCAAAUACUGCAGAUGAAUUACCGGAGCGGCUGAUUGGUGCUGUAGGUGUUUCUCAUAUAGAACUCAAGUCUGCUGUUGUCCCAAAGUUGGAACCAGAGAUAUCAUGACUGUGGUUUCAUUUCACCUCAACUGUGUUUUUUUUUUAAUUAAAAAAAAUCAUUUGUUUUAGGUAUAUACAUACAUGUAUUUUGAUUCGAUUUUCAUUGUAAUUUCUCAUUUACUUCGAAUGAAAGUCAUUGGUGUUUUCGAAUGGGGAUUUUGCAUUAAAAAAUGAACAAUAGUGAAUAGGAAAUUUCCUGAUUCUUUAGUUACUAUUUUUGGUACGAGUGUAAUUAGUAGUAAAGUUGGUUUCUACUCGCAAACAAGUAAACUGCUCGAUUCCCGAGUGGUAUCAACCAGUUUCCAACUUUUUAAUAUACACUAAUUGUUCUUGUUUAAGAGAUACUACUAUUAAAACUCAACAGCUAACAAAAUUACUCAAAAAAGAUGAUUUUUCUUAUGAUGCUGUGAAGAAAAUUACGGGUUUACUUCUCUCCACGAGAUCUAUAACAUGGUUUUGACUUCACGAAAUUCUUUUAAUUUAAAGCAUGCUGGUGUGAGAAGGUCAGUUUGACUGAUUGAUUCUUCAAAAAUAUUCUUAUUCUGAUAUUGUCACAAAUGUUAUGCUGUUUCGGCUAAUGAUCUCCUAUUAGGAGAGGUUAGAAAUCAAAUGCUUAAAAGACCGAUUGAACGAAUAAUACAGAAAAUUUAAGCAGAAUCUAAUCGAAUAUUGCAUGAAACAUGAAACAUCAAUUCAAGUCCUUUCUUAAACGGAGAAUGCAUCAAACAAAAUCUAAAGUGUCUUGCACGUCUGUAGCAUGAGCAAAAAAUUGUAAAUAUGUAGAACCAAAUUAUUCAAGUACAGAAGAACGAGCAAGCUGAAUCAUGUAUUAGAGAUUGGCCUGGUUCGGGAUAGCUUCUUCACUAUACCUGAAUAAUUUGCUAAAUAGCACCAAAACUUAAUUGAUACUUACCAUUUCAUUGAACAAUUUUUUUAUGGUGUCAUUGAGGUUGCCUUCCCAACAUCCUUCAUCAUCAUCAUCUUUUUCUUCUUCGGUGACGUUCACUUUGUUUAGCAUUGGUGUGUCUAAGACUCCUUGAGAGAAGAUCUUCAUUUUUGGACACUGUCUCACAACUACUUGUUUCAAGGACGGGAAUUCAAGAGCGUAAUUACCCAAACAAAAGCUUGUUAGGCUUGGCAAACAAUCAAGUCCUAAGUACUCCAAUUCCUCGAAACCAUUGCAAUCUUUCGCUUCUUCUCCAACCUGCGAUUGUAUGAUUUCUUCUAUCAUUUUGCAAUCAGCUAUCUUCAUUCUUCCGAGAUUAACCAGAUUUUUAGAUGCUGAGAGCGUCAACACAUUUAUCAACCCGUGACACUUCGAUACUUCCAGUCCCCACAUAUUUUCCAAAUGCCACGAAGGUGGUACUAAUUUUUGCAACUUACUACAUUCCGAUAUUUCUAGACUUCCCAAGUUUGCAAACGCUUUGUUGGAUUCGUCAUUUUCCUUCCAGAUAUGCUGCACUUUGUGUAAUCCAGAUAGUGUUAACCAACUCAAUUUAGGGAAUGCAACCUGAAAAUCAACAAAAUUAAUUAAGUUGUAAAUGAAAAUAUGUAUCCAAUCUCUGGAGUCUUCCCCUGCAUAUUUUAUGGACAAGAUUAAUCACGGCAUUUUAUAUUUUUUUUCCAAAUUAGUAUGCUUUGCAGUAGGAUCCCAAAUAUAAGUAUCAAAUCGAUUACCCUUUGAAACACAUAAAUGAAAUCUGAUCCUAAAUCCAAUAUGAAUUAACACGCAUAAUUAAUAUAGUUCAUCACCUCAUGUCACUAGGCAUCUAAUUAAUUUGAGACAUUUUAAUAAUUUAUACUAUAAAGUUAGUUAAUAACUGCGGUUAUAUUGUUAAAUCAUAUAUAAAUUAAGACGACAUGCAAAAAGAUGAGUCAUUAAAUUUGAUUUGAUUCUAAUGAAAUUACAUCUAUGCGAACGAAAGUGAUGGGAAUAAUCAUCAUCAUCAUAAUAAUAAUAAUAAUAAUAAUAAUAAUAAUCACCUUUUCAUCGAAGAGAGGUUGUAGUUGAUGAGCCAGCAAGAAGUUCUCUUCUGAUGUUAAUUUCUGAGGUUCCUUGUUAUCUGUUGUCACGUGCACUACAGAUGUAGAAUUGGAUAUGAAUGUUUCCUUAUCAGGGCAAUUCUCAAUAGUUAGAUAGUCCAACUCAGGCAGUUCAAUUAUAUUCCCAGUGAAGUUGCAGAAUCUUUUGAGUUUUGGAAGAUCAAUGAGCCUUAGAUUGGAAAGCUUAGGAAACAUGGGGCCUAUAUGUUCUUCCUUGGCAUUUAGCUCUUCCAAAUGAAGCACCUCUUCUAGUGAAUCACAAUUCGUCACUGUCAGGUAUUGCAAAUUGUUCAAGCACCGUAGCAGAUUGGCAGGAAUAGCACUCGACAUAUUCGUGCAGUCAUCCACCACCAGGUCACUUAAAUUGUUGAAGAAGCUGACAGGCAGUGCUUGGCCAUGCCAUAUUUCUUGCAAACGUGGAAAAUGCGAGAGUUGCAAAUACUCUAUAUCACGGAAUCCAAUCUGCACAAACCAAAACUAUUGCACUGGAUAUAUACAAUUUUUUUUAAAGGCAUUAGAUAUAUAUAUAUAUACACACACACACACAUUAAACUUACAUGUUUUGUGUUUUAACUUCUAAAACUACAUAUACAAGGUAGGUGUAUAUGUUUAAAUGUGCAAGCGUAGGGGAGAUGCAUGAACAAUUUGGGUGAAUCGAUUAACACAGACCAUCUUUUUGUAACAUAUUUUUAAAUGUGCAAGUGCAAGGGAGAUGCAUAAGCAAUUUGGACGAAUCGAUUAACACAUACCAUUUCUUCGUAGCCCUUUUGUAUAAAGGAAUUAAGGUUAUCGCCUUCCCGAUGGUACAAUUCACCCUCUUCCUUUUUACUAACUUGCACUUUGCAUGGCUUUGGAAUGGAUAAGAUUCCGUGAGAAAAAGUCUUCAUGUUCGGACAAUGUGUCACAGAAACUCGUUCCAGUGAUGGGAAUUCAAGAGUAUAAUUCUCCAAACAAAAGCUGGUAAGCCUUGGUAAAUCAUCAAGUAUCAAAACUUUUAAUUUACUGAAAGCAAUAUGAUUCUCCUUCGCUUCUUCUCCAACAUGUCUUAUGAUUUCUUCUAAUUUUGUGCACUUCGAUACAUUAAGAUUCACCAGACUACUAGGAAUUCCAACCUGAAAAUAAGCAAAAGUGUGUGUAUAUUAAAAAAGUAAAAAUGUAAGAAUAUCAUUCAACUAGGUUCAAAGUAUGUUUAAUCAUACAAUUAUACGUUUUAUAAACAUAACAAACCAUGAAAUGUCUACUAGAUAAUUUUUUAUUAAACAAAAAAAGCAACAAGAUAAAUAAAUAAAUAAAAGCCAGAUAAACAAAGAUAAUAAAAAUGCAUUUACACUAUUUACUAUUGGGAACGUAGAAAGAAUUUAAGGCAAUUUCUAAAUAUUUUAGACUUAUUUUGCAUCUUGAUAUCAGUUUUUAAGCAUAAAUUUACAAAUUUCAACUAUUCCUUUUAGGGAAAAAAAAUUCAACCAAAAUGCCGCUUUUUCCCUUUUCCUUGGUCCCUUUUUUUAUGUACAUUUAAAAAUGGAAAAAAAAAAUUGGAAAAGACUUCCCAAUAUUGUCAAUAAGGGACUGCUGCUGUAAAGUGGAUCUUUAUUAAGUACUUCCAGACUCAAGGAAAUUUCUUUACAAUCACGGGUCAGUUGUAAAUAAUCAUGAAUUUGUGGUUAAUUAAUGGCAUAAUCAAUUCGUAACUAAACAAGAGAUAUUAAUUAAAUUUGAAGACUUUUAUUUUCUUUUUUUCUUUUUCCAAUCGAAAUGUGAAGAAUUAAGGAAAAGAGAAAUAUAUAGAUGAAUUUGUGAACCUAUAAGAUGAGUGACGAUCCUUUAAUUUUUGAAAAUCGUACUUAUUAAGAUAUGAGCAAAAACUAUUUAAUUGAAUUAUAUUAUGCUGUUGAAUCGUGUUUAAAAAAUUUAUAUUGUUGAUUCUAAUGCUGACGAACCUAAAAACUGGACCUAAAACGUAGAUUUCAGAGUGGUGGUUCGAAGUACGAUACUUGAAAUAAAUAAUCAGUGGCUGAAUAUCAUUUGUAAACAAAAAAUGGUUAAAAUAUUGUUGGAUGUAAUUUGAAAAAAAAAAAAAAAGAUUCGAAAUGAAUACACUCAAAUAUCUCCAAAUUCUUCAAUUUGCUGAAAGACUCCAAAGCAAGCUGGUGGUGCCAUAUUCUUCUCAAAUUAUCCAUCGACCUAAUACGUAAUACCUCCAAACUAGGAAGUCGUACCUGGCAGUUAAAGAUUAAAUAACUAAUUAAUCAAUUAAUGGCAUAAUCAAUUGAUAACUAAAUUAGAGGCGGAUAUUAACUAAAUUUGAAGAAGACUCACGGAAAAGACAAAUUAAAUAUUAUGACUAAAAUUAAUUUUUUUUAUUAAAAAAAAAACCUUUUCGUCAAAGAGAGGAGGAGGUUGCAUUUCAGAAUGAAUGGUGUCUUCUGGUGAGCUCGUAGAGAUGAAUCUUAACAUAUUACUGCAACUCUGAAUCUCGAGCUUUAGCAAAGAAGGGAAUUCAACGACUAAAUCUGAAUGAAUAUGUCCCGUAUUGGCAAAGCUUGUUAGUUCAUAAAGCGCUUCUAGCUGCAGGGAGUGUAGCUUAGGAAAAACCUUUAAUUCAAUCAACUUUCCUUCAUCUCUUUCUGACCACCCCGUGGUGUCGACUACCCCUUCCAUUGAAUCACAAAGCCUUAUCUCAAGAUGUUGGAGUUGCAUCAGACGAUUACAAUUCCCCACGUACAGCUUUGUUAAAUUUUGACAACAGUACAUUCCUUGAUUAUGAUCGGCCCAUAAUUUUUUCAUGUUUCUUAAGUCCCAGAGAUUCAAUUCCUCUAAGCUCGGAAGAAUAACCUGCAAAGAAAACCCGUACAUUUUUGUUCCUUCAAGUACAACCGUCUAGUAUAAUAUUCUUUUGAUGAUCGAAGAUUAAUCGUGAUAAUAAAUUAAUCAAUUAAUUAUUGAACAGAAAAUUAUCACCUUUGGAGCAGUAUCAUCAUCAGCAAUGAUUUCGUUGAAUCCCAAAGAAGUUGUUGGUUUCUCCCUGUCGGGUCCUAUAAACAAACAAAAACAAUAUACAUAAUUAAUCUUUGUCGUUGUCUUUUUUUUUUCAAAAUAAUUGAGGCGAAGUCCAUAAAUCCACCAACACUUAACUUCAACACUUACCAACCAUCAUUUCCAGAUCAUGGCAAAAAGCCACUUUGACCUUUUGAAGCCGCAGUAGGUUUUUGGCUAUGGAGAAUGAGAAAAGAUGCUUUAAUUUGUGACAGGAUUGUACUCCUAUAAUCCUUAAGUUGCUGAAAGAUUGAUCUUCUGUGAGUUGGCUGUCACAUAUUGUCUCCAAAUUGUUCAAAUUGCGAAGAGACAAUGACACCAGCAAGGGGAAGACUUUGCGACGAACCCGUCCAACUGAACCGACAAUAUGCAAAAUCUCAGAACAACUUUCUACAGAAAGAUGCUUCAAUCGUGGAAAACCUUCCCCAUCAUCUAAUUCAUGAACAACAUUCUGAACACCCUUCAGUUCGUUUAGAUGGAUCUCUUCGGCUUCCUUCAGCAACAUUUUCGUCCCAUAAUUCUCCAAAAGAGUGCUAACAUUUUCUAGCCCAUGGAGCCCCACCAAUCUUGAUGUUUCAGAAUUAACGGGCCAAAUGCGCCACCACGCUUCUCCUAUACAUAUCUUAUAGCUUUGCAAUUCCACAGAGACCCAAUCCUGCGGCAGAAUUUGGGCAUCCGGAACUUGUAUAUUCAAAGUAGUUAGCUUUGACAGCCCCUUCAAUUCAGCAAGACUGGCGUUACUUCCUCCUUCAACCUUAUCCCACUGCGAAAAGCUGUCACCCAUAUAUAGUUCUUCCAAUCGAGAAAAUUUUGAUAUGACAUUUGGUGCUAUCACUACAAGGCUCCUACAAUUGCUCAAAUCUAGCAAUUGUAACCGCGUCAAUUGUCCAAUUUCAAGCGGUAACUGCUUAAUGUCGGAACCUCGAAAGCUAAGAAUCUCUAAUUUCUUUAGCUGUCCAAUUGCCGCUAUAUCUUCUAGUUGGCACCAGUCUAAACACAAUGUUUGAAGGUUAAUGAGGCGACCAAGUGAUGAAGGUAAUGAAGAGAAAGGAAUUCUAGUAAGAGUUAAAACUUUGAGUUCUUCUGUCCCUUCAAAAAAGAGGUCUGAAAUUUGCAUUGAGCUAUAACGCUUUGAAAACAACAAAAGUAACUGGAGACGGGGACAUCCCAACCUUUCGGGAAGCUCUUGAAUAUCUCUCUGGGGUAAUGAAAUGGCAAUUGGAUCUUUCCGUAUUGUCUCUUCCAUCUUUUUCUCCACGUCAUCAACAUUUGGAAUAUUAAACAUGCGCUCCCCUGCAGCAAUUGAUACAGCAACAACAUGAAUGACGUCAUGCAUUUUAACUUCAUCUUCAGCAUCACCGUCCAACAAUAAGCAUGAAGAUUUGAGAUUGUCGAUCAACCGAUGCACUCUACUCCUUGCUUCUUCCAAUGUGUAAACAUUUUCAAACAAACCCCAACCCACGCCAUAUCUCAAUAAGCCAGAAACUUGUAUCGCAUGACCUUCACUGUACAGACCACAAAGACGGAACAGAGGUUUUGCCUCCGCACUUUCCAAAAAGUCGUAACUCAAUUUUAUGGAGGUGUACACAUUUGCUUUCAUGCCAUGAAUUUCUCUUGCAUGCGAUCUUCUUAGCUGAUUCAAUGCAUCUUGCCAAAAGUAACGCUCCUUAUUUUUCAGAGCAUUUGCAACUGUACUCAGUGCAACAGGCAAACCUCCGCAUUUUUCAACGAUCUCAUUUGCUGUACUUUGAAAAUCAGAUAUUUUAGUUGAAUCACCCACUAUCUUCUCAAAUAACUGCAAUGCUUCUUCUUUCGAUAAAGCAUCGAUCCAGAAAAUUUUCUGACAAUUCAUAUCAUUGCACAAUAAAUCUCCACUUCUAGACGUCAAUAUUAUUGUGCAUCUUCUCUGAUCAUCCUCUCUAUCUUUCUCAUCAACAUCCCCAGAAGGAAUUCCAACUUCAUCGAACUUCAGUUCUCUCCAAAUGUUAUCCAAUAUAAUCAGGACCCGCUUCUCUUUCUUCAAUACUCGACGUAGUCGAUUUGCUCUGUCGAAUAUAUUCUCAUUCAACUCAAACUUUAUGCCUAAAUCAGAAGCAAGUUUGUCUUGAAUUUUCUGAUGAUCUGGGUUCUCUGUUAUCUCAGCCAUAGCGACCUUAUCGAACCACUUAUCUUCCAUCACUUGCUUUGCAACUUGCUUUACGAGCGUGGUUUUACCCACGCCGCCCAUCCCGUAGACCCCAAUUAUGUUGAGCUUAUCAUCCCUCAACGCCUCCAUAACAUCUUGAAAUACUUUCAUUCUUGAGUCAAAGGCCUCGAAAUCUUUCACUUGCAUGUGUUCUACCAGCUUUGGAGUAGGACGGUGGGAAACAUUGGAGAAGUUGCCUUUUCCCAUGAGACUAGCUGCAGCUUCUGCGGCCUUUGCUGCUUGUCUACUGAGCUUGUAACGAGAGAUCAAGUUUGGGCACAAUCCUUUGAAACAGAACUUCUUAGCUCUAUCUUCAUCAUCUGUGAUGGAUUUUGCAGCGCCCUGAGUGAAUUCCUUGACGCUAUUAAGCCAGUCUGCAACAUCCUCAUAAAUCUCAUCUCCUUGUUGAGUAGCCUGAUGAACGGGUAUUUCCACCCUUUCUCUUUGAUGUCCCAGCUGCUUCACUUGAACUUUUAGGCCAUCUAUGUAGCUCUGGUACUUGAACACAUAAGAUAUCUGCCGUUUAAGCGGUUUGUACAGUGACUUUGCACCUUCUGAUACAACGCCGGUUAAAAAAGCCAGACACGCUUCUACAGCCAUUGCCUGUUGCUUAACGAUAUAUAUGUAGUUUUUGGCUGUUUAAAAAAAAAAAAUGGAUUCAAAUAAAUUAAAUGAACUAGAGGGGAAGAAAAAGAAAGAAACGACAACAAACAACCUUUUAGAGAAAGGUUUGACGGGCCUGAAUGGAAAACCAACAACUUUUUGAAGAAAGAAAGCUUUGGAAGAUAGAUGCAAAUUAACCGUUGAUAAUACUACAUAAGAACACAGAAGUUAACAAUAAACAGUAACUUAAAACUCAAGAAAAUUAAAUGACGAGAUUAAGACAAACAAGGGAUAGUUUUUGUUGGACAUUAAGAAACAACUGCUAUCAAGAUCAAGGAUUAGAAAUUAUGCUAUUAAAAGAAGUUAUUAAAGGAUUUAGAACAAGUUUACCUCUUUAAUUAUCUAGGAUCAGAGUUUAUGAGCUUCACUAUUGGCCUUGGAUGUAUAAGAAAAACUUUAAUGAGCAAAAGAUCACUCUUAACUGCGGAGGAAUGUGAGUAAAGAGUUUAUGGGAGUAAAGCAAUACAAUUGAAUUGUAAAAGAACCAAGACUUAAGCGUGCGUCCCGUGUUUUGUUUUAUUAUAUAAACAGAACAUAUGUUCAUUUUUAACAAAUUGAUCAAUAACUCUAUUCGCUAUUUAAUUAAUAAUGUAAUCAAUUUUAAGAGAAUAUAAUAAUAAUCCUUCAAUGCAUAAAUUUAGAAUUAGAUUUUUUUUUACUUUUUAUUUAAAUGUAAAUCUCAGUGGAAAAUUAUAAAAAUUUAGAGAUAAAAUUUUUCAAUCACCAAACGGAAAAACAGGGGAAUGAAAACAGAGGAAUCUUGUUUUACUUUUUUUUUCUUUUUAAACCUUAACUCUUGUUCUUAUAUAAAUAAUCUUGUUCUGAUGAUAGUGCUCUUGACUGCAGGAAAAUUUCUAAUGGAAACAACUCAAUUUCGGAAGAUUAGCUCAGUUUUGCAAGCGAUGAAUUUAUUCAAUUGACUCUGUACUUGAACUCGUUGGAUUGGUUGAUUUAUGAUUGACUGAAUUUCAAUUCGGCCUAAAAGAUCUUUAACCAAAGUUUAAUAGCUAUCAUCUACUCCUUAAAAACAAAUAUGUAUCUUUUUUAGAUUUGACUGAAUUUGAACUUGCUGGAUUGGUUUUUUUUUAGAUUAUUAAAAUUUGGAAUAUUUUUUUUUCCUUGCUUUCUUUUGUUGGAGGAUUAGAGAUUUUGGUAUUACCAGAAAGGUUUCAAGGGUCUGAGUAGAAACCUAUAAUCUUUUGAAAAACUUUGUUUUUUUUUUUUUUUAAUUUUUUGGGGAAAAGGAUGCAAAUUAACCAAAUGGAAAUAAUAAGAGCACAGGCUUUAACAAUGAACAAUAACUUAAAACUCAUGCAAAAUAAAUUCAAUAUUAAAACAAACCAGAGAAAUUUUUUUCUUGAAAAGUAGAUGGAAAUUAUGAAAGAACAGAUGUCAAGAUCAAGGAUCAGGGAUUCUACUACCCAAAAAAAAUAAAAAAUAAAAUUAAAGGAUUUAGAAAAUGUGCACCUAGAGUUGGUGAGCUUCUCUCUCUAUUCACUUGAAUAUUUAAGAACAACUUGAAAGAGGAAAAAGAUCACUGGUAACUGCUGAGGAAUGUGUGAGAAAAGAGUUGACGAGAGAAAUAACAAUGACUUGCAGAAGAAAAACCAUUAAUCAAGCACACCUUUUUAUAUCCUGUAUUUGGUUAUUGUUGCCCUCUUGACGCAUGUAUAGAAUAAUUACGUGCAUUUUUUUUAAUCCGCAUGCACUUUAAUGAUUAGUGCUCCUUUCAUAAAGCAGAUACCGGAAACACACAAAUAUCAUUUGAGAGAGAAACUAAACAGCAAAUCAUCAAAGUAAGAUCAAUAAUAUAUGACUUGGUUAAUGCAUAUUCAAGAACAAAAACAAAAACAAAUAAAUAAAUAAAUGGAGAAGGUUUGAUUUUGUACUGCCAACGCUGCUUUUUUGUUAUUUCAUUUGUUCUUUCCACAAAUGAUGCUUGGUUAUAAUUAAGUUCCACAUGGCCGUUACUUACAAACUGUGUUUGUGUUAACAGAAACGUGAAAUUCACAUCACACAAAAUUACACUAUCAAUUCUUAAGAGAACAUAAUAAUAAUCACUCAACGCAUAAGGGUAAAUUUAGAAUUACAUUUUGAAAUUGAUAAAAUGUUUUUUAUGGGAUUUCAGGCAAACCAAAACAAAAAAAAUUUCAAUAAAGAGCUAGUUGUUGAAAUUGAUUUAUCUUGUCUUUCAGGCUAUCUUGUGACGUGACGAUAUAUAAUGUUCGUGAAUGCUAGAAAAUUUCUAAUGCAAACAACUCAAUUUGGGAUGAUAAGCUUAAUUUUGCAAAUGACGAAUGUAAAUAACUUGUUUUGAUUAAUUGAAUUUGUAAUACUCUUACCCUAUUCUAAAAUUUGGAGGUUGCUUGAGAAAAAAAGGGUAUUUCUCACUCAUCUUCAAUCCUCAAGUAAAAUUAGGUAAAAAGCAAAUCUAAAAAAUCACAAACGAAUUAACAAAAAAAGAAAAAAAAAAACAACAUUGAUCUUGAGACAAGUGAUAUUUAAACAGAGAAUUCUUUAUUCUUUUUUACUUGCCCCCCCCCCCCCGGGGCUCGAGGAUUAAAGUCUUUGCUAUUAACAGAGAGGCUUUAAGAGUCUGAAUAAAAACCCGUGCUUUUUUUAAAAAACCACUUUUUUUUUCUUUUUUCUUUUUUUUUGGGAAGAUAUAUUCAAAUUAACCAAAGCUAGUAAUAAGAGCACAGACCUUACAAAUGAACAAUAACUUACAACUCAAGCAACAUAAAUGAUAAGAUUAAAACAAACCGGAGAUAUUUUUCUUGGAAAAUAGACGGAAAUUAAAUAAGAACUGCUGUUAAAAGAAGUUAUUAGAGGAUUUAGGAGCAUGUGUACCUCUUUAAUUAUUUGGGAUCAGAGAGUUGAUGAGCUCUCUAUUCGCCUUGAAUAUUGAGUAAGAACUGGUAUUAAAAGAAAUUAUUAAGAACAAUAUUUUAGUGAGCAAAAGAUCACUGUUAACUGCAGAGGAGUAAAAUGCUGAAAAGAGCAGUAACAAUGAAUUGCAAAAGAAGAAGACUUAACCAAGCACCCCUUUUAUACCCGAUUUUUAAGAUUUAAUUUUGAAGUUCCCAAUCAAGAACAAAGACGAAGCUUUAAUAAAGCAUGCAGUGAGAUACAAGAAAUGGAUCGGGCAAAAUACCUUACGAAGCGUUUCAUAUUUUCUAAUGAAAUAAUUUAGUUGAAUUCUUCGACGAAUAGAUACCUGUUGUGCUAGAAUAAUUUUGGCACACACAUUACUUGUGCCCUGUGAAAUUGAAAAGCACACUCAUUUACAGAGCUUGUUAGUGGGGAAAAGCUUCGUAAGAUGCCUGAUAAAAGAUAAAGCAAAAGCUUGAAUGAAGAAUGGCAUUUUAGAAAGAAACUAAAGUGCAAUCAUCAAAGUAGGAUCAAUAGUGAGUUGAUCAGUUAUGCUUUUUGUUAUUUCAAUUGUUCUCUCUUUUUUCAAUCUCUCUUUAUGUUAUAAUUGAAUAAUUGUAUAGAAAGUGUGACGGUUGCUGCAGCAUUAUGAAGUCAAAAUUGAGAACGACAUUAAAUAAUCAAUCUCUUUAUGUAUUUACUCGAAUGUCUGAUAGUGUUCAGACUUGGAUUUUCAAUAAACACAGAUUCGAAAUCCAAAUAAUUGAAUAAUUGUGUACGUUCAAAUUCAGCAUUUAAUUACUAUAUAAUUAGACAUAAAUGUGUAUAUAAUUUUACUUUCUAAGAAUUAACUUCUACCUUGAUUCUAAAAAAAUAUAUAUAUAUAAUUUUACAAAUAAUUUAGUACGGCGUUUGGUAAAUGAUAACUAUUUGAGAAUAAGUUUUAAAAUGGUUUACUAUACAAAUCUGGAAAAUGAAAAUUAAAAGUGUAAAAUGUUCACAUAAUGAAAAUUAAAAGUGUAACAUGUUCACAUACAAUGACAAAAAUAUAUUUAUUUACUUAUUUGUAAUUUAUUUUGAAUAUUAUUGUUUAAAUCAUUUUUUUACUUACUAGAUUUUUUAAGAGCAUUCUAUUUUCUUUAUUACAUAUUUAAAUAAUUUUUUAUUAACUAUUUUAAUUUGCAAUAAAAUUAACUUCAAUAUUUUUUUAACUGAAAAUUUUGUUAUGUAGUUCGUGAUAUAACAAAUACUAACAUAUUAUUAAAUUGAUUAAUAAAUUACGUGCAAAAAAGAAAAUGCAAAAAUUUAAUCUUUAUAUAAACUUUUAUGUACAAAAACCGUUGUAAUCAAACUAGUUCAUAGAAAUAUAAUAUUUUAUACAUGUGUUUAAGAAAAACAUAUAACUAUAAUAUUAUCCACUCAUUAAACUUGCAGCACUAUUAUUUCUAAUUCUCUCCAUCACUCGACCUACAGGAACAUUACUACCAUAAUUUUCUUCUUGAAUUCAACCUCCAUUUCCACAUCAUCAACAAAGCGAUCAAUUUGCCUUGAUAGCCUUUCAACUCCUCCCACUUUCCUCCCUUUUGCAGACACUCUUUUUCUUUUUCUUUCUUUAAUAGCUUCAAUGGGAACAACCUCAUCUAUCGACAAGUCCAUUCUUCAACUAGAAUAGAGUUGGUAGUAGAUAUUUUAGUACUCUCAAACGAUGCCCAAACCGUGUCACCAGUGAUUGUUGUAUUAAAAAACAUUCCAUGUAAUUUUUCCUCUGACUCUGGGUCGAUACCUUUUAUGCAAAAUCUAUUUACUUCAGGAAUUUUAUACAUAUGUCGAUAUCAUAUUAAAGUGAAUUCAGAUCCUAUAUUAUUGACAUUUAGCCAAAGGUAAAAAAUUUUCCUUUUUGUUUGUCCCCCAACUAUAUAGUCCCAUUUUUGGUUAUAAGCUCGCAAUAUGCAAGGGAAAUGAAGAUCUACUAAAAACUUCCCCAUAAUAUUAAACAUUAAACAAUAUCAACAUUUUGUGCAUAUGGUGCCUCUCCAACAACUUGAUGUACAUUAUGUUGCUCGGUGGAAUAUGACUACUUAUUAAUUAAUUAGCAAGACUUGCGUUGCGAGUCCAUGCUUUUGUUGUUUGGAUGGAGGAUCUGCCAUCCUUAUUGUGAAAUAUGAACUAAAUAUACACUCACGACAUGUCAUAUGUUGAGUCUGUAGUAGCACGACAUGUCAUCUGAUAAGCAUUUGGAACAAAACCGACAUGAGCCAAAAUGUCGUUCUUUGUUUAAGUAGCUCACGUGUUUGGCAUGUGAGCUGAACAAGACUCUUACUCUCAGAAACGACUGAACCAGAAGCCGUUUUGAGCAUGCUUAUUCAAGACACGUUGCAAGCACGUGGCUGAGGCUGAAUCUGUUAUGUUAGCGGGAAAAGCCGCUGAGGAAGGCAUCCAGAAUCAGUUAAUAAAGAACUGGAGUUCUGGGUUUUUCACAACAGGGCCAGAAAACAGAGAGAGAGCAGAGAAAGAGGGAAUGCGAGAGAGAGAGAGUUCUGAAUAGGCUUGUAAUCUCCAUUUGUGUUUGCUCUCUGUAAACUCUUGAACAAGCAAUAAAGUGAAAUCACAGAGUUUGUUUCCAGUGGAUGUAGGCAUCAUUCAUUUGGUGCUGAACCACUUUAAUUCGUGUGUGUUUUGUUCUUGAUCUAUUUGUUAUUCUUGAUUCUUAGUAGGUUGACUUCUUCUUGGUUGAAUCUUGAGUAUAAACCAGUGAGUGAAGUGUUCUUGGGGUGGGUUUAGUCUUGAUAGUUAGGGCUUAAACCAAAACACUUUUAUUUUAGAUGCUUUGUAAGACUUCUGAUUUAAUGAUUGAAUGCAGCCAAUUAACGAAAGCUUACAUAUAGUAUUAUGUAGGUGCUGAGAUGUCUGUUCUUGAUAAAGUAGAUAUAUUUACACCCAAGCCAACGGAAUCAAAGCCUUUUCGUUAAUAAUAUACACGGUAAUUGUUUUUGUUAAAUUGAUUUCUGGCUAACAAGAUCUUUUUUUUUUUUUGAAAGGGCUAAAAAGAUCUUUGAAAGCAUUCAAAGAAGCCGCCGAACUCAUAGGAAAGCCAUGAUUAAAUAUACGGUGAAGCAAGCGAGCUCGUUUGUUAAUCUCUUGAUCACUCAUAAGCUUUUCUAUACGGCUCACGAUAUCAUCCUUUUGAAUCGAUUUUGAUUGAUCAUCGGAUAUCAUGUCCCCACCUUGAGAUGAUUGAUCACCAAUUUGGCAUUGUAAUGUUGAUCACCUCUAAUUGGCCAUGCUAAAAUUGGGAGCCCACAACUAAUUGCUUCCAUAGUUGAAUUCCAUCUACAAUCAAAUAAAAAUCCACCCAUUGAUUGAUGACUUAGUAUCAAUAAUUGUGGCGCCCACCCAUCUAUUAUCAAUCCCCUUUUAACCAAUAAAGUGUUGGCUCCACUGGCAAUGGAGUCCCCUUAAGUGGUUUGACUGGGUUUGCUCCCCAGUUCGAGUCGCAGGGAAGUCGCCUUUGUUGGGAGAACCUGUGCCUCUCGGUUCGAGCGGGGACUUCUAGUCUGGGUUGUGGUACGGGCUUAAAGGUGCCUCCCACAGUUGGGGCCCUCCCCAGGAUACCUCGUGGUCAAAACCAAAAAAAAAAUCAAUCCCCUUUUACCGACUUUACUCUCCAAACCACUGGAAAAAUAACUGCCUUCUACUGGUCUGUCUAAACCGGUUAAAUGACGCGGAGGAUCCAAUCUACCUGCACUAGUUUGAAUUACCCAAAUAAACUGUUGAUUUGAUGCUUCUAAACAUUGGCAAGGCUGAAUACUCCUCUAAGGUGGGACGCACUUUGGUACCAAAUUAUAUGUAUAGCACAGAUCUACGUGAUUUCAAAUCCAACCAUUAAGCGAUCUCAUCUUCAGUCAUGUUAGAACUCUGCUGGUUGGUCUCGUCUCACGAUCAUGAAACGCUGAACCGACCAAUUUGUAAAAUUGUUUAGGUAACAAUGAGCCCACUCCCCACACCGGCUUUCCCAUUUGAUUGGCUAAAUAAUUAAUAAAUGGUCCCUCAAGAUCAUUACAUGUGUUAGAACAUCAACGCCAUCGAUCCCUUCACUUCCUUCAUGCAGUGUGGUUGAUCAUCGGGUUCUAGUGGACCUAUUUUCCCUGAACCGGGUGCACUCUGCAGAAGUGGUGGACCACUAGGAGGGGGCCCACAAGGCCUACGUCUAAGAUUCGAUUCAAAUAAAGCCGUAUCCUCAGGUACCCCAGGAAGUAAAUAGGCCUCCCCUGAUUUGACAUCUUUGAUGCGAGCCUACCACAUGGCACACUCUACAAUUGUUCAACUAAAAUUAAUAAUAUUGUUCUAAUUAAUUACUCGAUAAGCAAAUAGUCAUAGACAAAUCUAUCCCUAAUCCCACAUUUACAAAAUAAAGAAUUGAAAUGAGUUUAUGUGGCUUUGAACCCAAGCCCUCAAGCCUAGUGGCUGGAUCUUGACCACUUUGACAUAAUUAUUAUAACAAUUUUUUUUUUCAUAUUUCACUAAGCAUCUUUUGUUAUAUAAUGAGGAAGAUAAGUUGACGGAGAAGGGUUCUACUUUUACUAGUAGAUGAGAUUUAAAUUAAGAAGGUUAGUUUUAGAUUGUUAAAUUUCCUUAGACGAUUAUUCAUGUGAGAUGUUUAACAUAUACUUGAGUUAGUCGGUGCCUAACAAUUCUUGUGAUACAUGAAACCAACCAAUAUGAAAACCAUAUGAAGUUGGUAGGAUUAGAUUAAUUUAAAUGAAAAUAAAAAUUAGUUUAUGCUAUUUAUUAAUCUUAUACUGUUGAAAAUUGAAAGUUAAUUCUUUAGCCUGUCAAUUGGUUCAUGACAUAAUUAAAAUAUUCAAGUAAAUACAUUUAUCGUUUAACAUUAAUUUUUCAUGCGGUAAAACCAAUACUAAUUAUAGAGUGGAGAGAAUAAUCUGUAGGGUAUACCCCCACCUUUUAUUUCAUUUCAUUUAAAAAAAAAAGAGAGAGAGAGAAAAGUAAAGGCUUGUUCAACAUUCAAGUAAAAUUAACAAAUCUAUGAUAAAAUUACUUCAGAAUAAAAAUUAAAAUGUUUAAAAAAAAAACGGCAACUCGAAAACGACAUACAAAUACCGCAUAGAAGGUUUUCGUCACGAGAUAUUUUUGGGCUGAGACAACACUUGUAUAACUUAGCAUAUAGCUUGGAUGACGGUGAGAAUAAGAAGGAAAACGGCACCGCAGACCGAAAUGCCAGCCCAUGGAGUAUUGAAGUAAUUUUUUUUCACAAUUCAAAGGAGGUUUUGGAACUUACCACAAGGCUGAGUAUUUCAACAGUUAUGGAUGACAUAAUCCAGCUAAGCAGAAGCUGAUCUUGGCGUUUCCACACAGCAUAUUCUGGAUUUUCAUGACCUUCAGAGAUUGACGAAGUGCCUUCAAAUCCAGGUGAAAGAAAUUGAUCAGGACAUAGCUUUGAUCCAUCGAUAUAAGACUCAAGUCCAUUGCCUCGAACUGAAGAGAGCACCUGAUGUUUCCAGAUCGUGUAAUUUGUACGAUCUAAUUUGACUGGUGUAGUGAAGGUGAAAGAAGCUAUGGCACUGGUAUUAGAUUGUGAAUUUGAGUUCGUUAGAGCCAUUGGAUCUAGCUCUGAUACCAAGUUAAAGAAGCUUUUCCUGUUUGUUUACUCAGAAAGUGAAGGAAAAAUACAGAGAAAAUUAUGUAGCUAGAAUGAAUCUAAAACCAUCUUAUUAAUCUAUAUUUGGUUCAAUAUACAACAAUAUUUAUGCUACUCACUGGAACCUUCUAUAUGAAACAAACACGUGAACUCAAUACAAUUCAGCUUAACAAACUUUUAACGGGAAAUAACUAAACAGAGCAACGGCUUGCCAGCGUGGCUGCUGACUCAGCAGCCGACUAAUCAUACUCUGAAAAAAAAUCACCAAACAGAAAAACAGGGGAAUGAAAAGAUAGCCUCCGUUUAUCCUCUGUUCUGUUUUCAUUGUUAUUAAACAAGGGAAUGAGAAAAGAGAGCCCCUGUUUCUUCUCUUUUUUGAUUUUUUUAAUUACUAAACUGGGGAACGCACGGAUCACCUCUUGUUGCAAGCGCAAAUUCUUGUUUCUACUUUAGUACCUUCUAAAUGCUGCAUGCAUUAAAAUUAUUCUUACAUAUGCUAACAUAAUAGCUACUGUACAUGUAAGUUCUUGAUAAAUCCAAAUAACAUAAUAAUUUUAAGAGUUCAAAUUUAGAAUUUAAUUAUAUAUAUUUAUAUAAAUCCAAUGUGCAUAUCGGAUAUUGCAUGCUGCAAUGAUCUCAUAUGUUUCCUCAAUAUGACUUAAAUAUAUAGGCCACAACUUGGUUUUGAAGUUAGUCUAAAGCCUUCCCCUUGAUUCUAACAAAUUCACUAGGGAAGGUUCAUAUGGAUUUUGGGGGAGCUCUAUGGCCAAUUUUAAAAGUUCAGGGGGGAUCAAAUGAAUUUCAAAACUGCAUGGGUUAUCUAUUUCAGUCAGAGGAUAGUGGAAUUCCCUGAAAUUUAUCCUUUUUAUUAAAUUAAUCUUCCUCCUUUCCUCUGUGGACCUUUGCUAUGUGUGUUAUUGGCGUCCAAAUGACGAUGGGAAUUAUGGUAAGGUUCUUGCUUCCCCACUUCUUGAAAUUAAAUAUAUCUUUUCUGGCACUAGAAAUUUCCACAUGCUGUGUUUUGUUAUUGUUUGGGAGAAAUACGUCAACGAGACCAGGCGUGGUGAGCAGAUAUCUGAUAGCAGAGUUCCGCGAACCGGUGUGUUCCGUAAAAGCCUGGUGCGCGGAGGAACAGGAGCAGAAGUAUCCCGCUCGUCCACGAACACGUCAUCCGCGAGGCCAAUUUCCCGUAAGAGGCAUAAGGUCAUUCCGGCUAGAGGUCGAGAGGCGAGGAGACCCGGUCGACGGCAGUUGGCAAGACAUGCUCCCCAGCCCGAGAAUCUAGGCACGACAGCCACGCUUUCCCCAGAACUGUGGCGUAACACGCAAAAUCUCACGGAACCACGACAACCACGCUUUCCCCAGAACCGUGGCGUAACACGCAAGAUCUCACAGAACCACGACAGCCACGCUUUCCCCAGAACCGUGGCGUAACACGCGAGAUCCCACGUUUGCCCAUAACGCAGCAGUCAGAGUCCCAUACCGUCUCGAAAAAAGCGGAAAACUGGGAUUCAGGGGAGGCCUAUAAAAAGGUAGCCAACGAAGGUAAAAGGGUUAGCAUUUUUAAGAUUAGAAAAGAAAUAAAAAAAGCCAUAAGACCUGUGGCAAGCGUUCCCCGAACCUUGAUAUCUGAAUUGAGCGUCGGAGGGUUUGCGCCGGGAAAACAACCGGCGUACUCUGACUUGUCUGUGUGCGCAGGAACCUCUGGAGAAGAAGCCUCACGAGGAGACCUCCUGGUCGUGAAGAAGUUGAUCGGGCAGAGAUCCUGGUCGUAGAACGAGGAGACCCGGAAUCCCGCAUCAACAUUUUGGCGCCGUCUGUGGGGAACAGAGCAAAAAGCUUCUGUUGAUAGCAAGAGGAGGGGCGAAGCAAGUGAAAAGCAAUGGAGACAUGAGGAAGUAGUGGACAAGGGGGUGAUAGGAGGCCUAACGAUUCCGUGACGCUGAGGGAGAUAGUCAGUGAAGCACGGGAAAAAGUCAUGUUCGACCGGAUGGAACGGGUGGAAAAGCAGAUGGAGACCUUGACAACCAUCCUAGAUGAGCUGCGGAGCGAGCGAAGUAUAAUCCAAGAGGGAAGGGGGAGAGGCGGUGGAGUGGCACCAGGUCCCGAUAGUGCGGGGAGAAGUCAAACCACCGGGAGAUUUGGUGGUGAGAGAGGUAACGUACCUCUGCGGGGAGAAUUUCAUAGAGAAAGAGAGCGGUCCCCGGCAAGGCAGACUGGCGACGAGGACGAUGGAGUGGUGAAUGCAGAGGAAACGAAGUUGAGACAACACUUGCAUGAUGUAGAGCAAGAGCGGGAUCAAGUUGCAGCACGUGACCCUGGUCGUGCAGUGCAGCUGGAGGAGGAAGUGCGCAGACUAGCGCAGAUAAUCGACGACAUGCAAGGAAGGAACAGAGCCCCUGGUUGGAGGAUAAUGCUAGACGGAGAAUCACCGCUCGCAGCAGAGAUCAUGAGGGCAGUUAUUCCGAGAGAUUUCCGCCUCCCAGACCUCAGAUACUCGGGAAGAACUGAUCCGUUGGUGCACAUAGAGCGCUUCAACGACAUAACUGGGGUACAAGGAUUAUCUCAAUCCCAAAGGUGCAGAGUGUUCCCACUAUCCCUUGAGGGACGUGCACGAGAAUGGUACAGGAAACUUCCUCGGGGCAACAUUAAAACCUUCGAGCAGAUGUGCCAGGAAUUCGCGGAGCAGUUCAGUGGGGCAAUGGCGCCGGAAGAUGACAUGAUGGAGCUGAAAAGCAUGAAACAGGGGGAGCAAGAAACCCUUCGGGAAUUCAUCAAGAGGUUUCAUCGGGCUGUCCUCGACUUGGGAGCCUUCAACCACCCUCAGGCGUUAAGGGGAUUGAAAGAAGGGGUGAAGAUAGGAAGGCUGUGGUACAAUUUGAGAAGCCCAGCUAUUCAAACGUAUGCAGCCGCAUACGAACAGGCUAAGAGAGACAUCGAGAUUGAAGAGGAGAAGGCUGCACGGAUUAAGACAGACCAGUUACAAGGGUUGGGGAGGAAAGAGAAGAAAGCAUUACCGGGGAAUGGGCCGAUCAGGAGGAGGGACCACCAGGCCUCCGGUAGCGGAGCAGGAGGUCGGGUAGCCGCUUACCAUUCUCAUCAAAGGCCACCACAGUAUCAGCGCAGCAGGGCGCAACCUCCUCGUUCCCCAGUUAGGGAGCCUUGGAGAAGACAUGAGUCGGCAUCUGGUGGUCUCCAUCAACACCCCCACGGUAGCAGAGCGAGCAGACCAGAAGUACUUCCACCGCCCCCAACUCAGAGCGGGGCAAACGGAGAAAGAGUAGUGCACCUGAUCGACCAGAACCCGGACUAUGGGCGGUACACUUCCUUGAAGAUGUCCCUGGAUGAGGUGUACGAGGCCAUAAAGGAUCGAGGGCUGUUGCACCUCCCUACACCAAUAACAAAGCUACCCAACAGGAGGGAUAGAGGGCGUUAUUGUAAGUUCCAUGGCACCCAUGGCCAUACCACAGCAGAGUGUAGAGAUCUCAAGACCCAGGUCGAAGAUUUGGUGAGAAAUCGGUACCUGGACGAGUUUAUGGAUGGGACUUUCCCGAUGGGGGCCGCAACAGGUGAAGGGGAGCAGAGUGGCGGAAACGUGAGGCACGAGCAGCCUGCAGUAAGGGUGAUCGCCGGGGGCCCGACAUUGGCCGGAGAUUCCAACAGAUCGAGAAAAAAUUAUGCUAGGUACGCCAUGACCAGUAAAGAGGUACUCCUCAACACCCCAGCAGCCAAACGAGCAAGGGUCAGGCAAGUGCCAAUCAUGUGGACGGAUGAGGAUGAGGAAGGGAUUCUAUACCCCCACGAGGACGCUUUAGUCAUCAAGGCUACUAUCGCUAGCAAGAAGUUUGACCGGAUACUGAUUGAUACAGGGAGCUCAGUUGAUGUGUUAUUUAAGUCAACCCUGGAAGAGAUGGGAAUAGCCGACCGGAAGUUGGAAUACACCAAUACCUCCUUGAAGGGGUUCGGAGGAGGGAAGCUGGUCCCUCUGGGCGUGGUCGAGCUGCCUAUCACAAUUGGGAGCUCCCCGACAGAAAGAACAAUGAUACUGGACUUUGUCGUAGUGGAUGAGGAAGGUCCUUACCAGAUGAUCUUAGGUCGGCCAUUUUUAAGGAUGAGCAAAGCGGUGUUGUCCAACCAUUAUCUGGCCCUGAAGUACCGGGUGAAUGGGGUAGUAGGAGUGGUACGAGGAGACCAGAGGAUCGCAAGAAGCUGCUACUCCUCGGCAGCAAGGGAAGCAAUGCAGAUAACAUCCCUCGAUACCCGAGUGGAAAGCAGGAAGGGCAGACAAGAACCUGUAGAGGAUCUGGAAACAGUAAGCCUGGGACCAAAGAACCCGGAAAAGACGAUCAGAAUCGGGUCGAGACUUAGGGGAGGGCAAAAGCAGGAGUUGGUGAAAUGCUUACAGGCUCAUGCUGAUGUGUUUGCUUGGACACAUGAAGACAUGCCAGGGAUUGACCCUGAGGUAGCAUGUCAUAAGCUGGCAAUAAAGAAAGGUGCUCGGGCAGUAAGGCAGAAGAGGAGGUGCUUCAACCAGGAGAGGUAUGAGGCUAUAAAUGGCGAGGUGGAGAAGCUCCUGAGAGCAGGGUUCAUUCGGGAAGUCAGUUACCCUGAGUGAAUAUCGAAUGUGGUGUUGGUAAAGAAGGCAAACGGCGAGUGGAGGAUGUGUGUGGAUUUCACAGACCUCAAUAAGGCGUGCCCAAAAGACAGCUUCCCUUUACCAAAGAUCGAUCAGCUGGUAGAUUCAACGGCUGGACAUGAUCUGCUCAGCUUCAUGGACGCGUUCUCGGGAUACAACCAGAUCCCCAUGUACGGGCAGGAUGAGGAGAGCACGGCUUUCAUCACUAACCAAGGUUUGUUCUGUUACAGGGUAAUGCCAUUCGGUCUCAAAAAUGCGGGGGCCACCUAUCAAAGGCUGGUGAACAAAGUCUUUAAGCCGUUGAUUGGGAAAACCAUGGAGGUGUACGUGGAUGACAUGAUCACCAAGUCCAAAAUCCCGGAGGAACAUGUCAGACACCUCGAGGAGACAUUCGAGCUUUUGAGGAAGUAUAAGAUGAAGCUCAACCCGGAGAAGUGUGCUUUUGGGGUCGAGUCAGGGAAAUUCCUUGGAUUCAUGGUGAGCCAUAGGGGGAUUGAAGCAAAUCCCGAGAAAAUCCAGGCGAUUGUGCAAAUGACGUCUCCUCAUAACCUGAAGGAGAUGCAGAGCCUCACGGGGAGGUUGGCGGCGUUGAGCAGAUUCAUAUCCAAGGCUACAGAUAAGUGUCAGCCAUUCUUUCAAGUAAUAAGGAGGGGAAAGAAAACAGAAUGGACCCCAGAAUGCGAGGAAGCCUUGCGGAACUUGAAGCAAUACUUGCAGCAAGCUCCGCUGCUGUCCACACCGAGGGAUGGGGACAUGUUGUAUCUGUAUUUGGCGGUAUCGGAUCGGGCCGUCAGUUCUAUUCUGGUGAGAGAGGAAGAAGGAGUUCAGUAUCCGAUAUACUACACCAGCAAAGCCCUGCUCGACGCUGAGACCAGAUACCCACCGUUGGAAAAAUGGGCACUUGCCCUUGUGGUUGCUGCUCGGAAGUUGAGGCCAUAUUUUCAAGCAUUCCCGGUUUCGGUAGUAACAAACCAGCCAUUGCGUCAAACUCUGCACAAGCCAGAUGCCUCUGGUCGGCUCGUCAAGUGGGCUGUAGAGCUGAGCGAGUUCGACAUAGACUAUAAACCCCGCGCAGCGAUAAAAGCCCAGGCAAUGGCUGAUUUCGUAGCCGAAUUCACAGAGCCCGAAGUAUGCUUAGAUCAACAAGAUGCAGAUAUAGGCAAUGACGAAACUCAAGUAUGGCAGAUGUCUGUGGAUAGGUCAUCAGGGGAGCGGGGUUCAGGAGCAGGGAUUGUCUUGGAAGGCCCAGAGGGGGAGGAGAUCUCUUAUGCUGUAAAGUUGGAGUUUGCAGCCACGAAUAACCAGGCAGAGUAUGAAGCCUUGAUAGCAGGUCUGGAAUUAGCUAAGGCCGUGAAAGCAAACAGAGUUAAGAUCAGAACUGAUUCCUAGCUGGUUGCAAAUCAUGUCAGUGAAAGAUUCCAACCAAGAGAGGAGAAGAUGGAGCAGUACCUGAAGAUAGUCAGGCAGAUGAUGGGGAAGUUUGAAGCAGUGGAGGUAAUACAAAUCCCCAGGGAGCAGAAUAGUCGAGCAGACAUUUUGGCUAGGAUGGCAGCAGUAGCCGACCCAAAAAUGCCAAAGUCGGUUCCUCUGGAGGUGAAGUCCAGCCCAAGUAUUGGUCAGAAUUUGGGGGUGUUGCGGAUAGAACAAAAAUGCUCGUGGAGGGAUCCGAUAGUUUCAUACCUUAGGGACGGGGUAUUACCACCAGAUAAGGUGCGAGCUCGCAAGCUUAGAGCCCAGGCCUCGAGAUACACGAUGAUUGAUGGGGUACUGUAUCGGCGAGGAUAUACACUAUCGAUUACUUCACGAAGUGGAUAGAGGUAGAAGCCCUUAGCAGGAUCACAGAGUCGAGCAGACAUUUUGGCUAGGAUGGCAGCAGUAGCCGACCCAAAAAUGCCAAAGUCGGUUCCUCUGGAGGUGAAGUCCAGCCCAAGUAUUGGUCAGAAUUUGGGGGUGUUGCGGAUAGAACAAAAAUGCUCGUGGAGGGAUCCGAUAGUUUCAUACCUUAGGGACGGGGUAUUACCACCAGAUAAGGUGCGAGCUCGCAAGCUUAGAGCCCAGGCCUCGAGAUACACGAUGAUUGAUGGGGUACUGUAUCGGCGAGGAUAUACACUAUCGAUUACUUCACGAAGUGGAUAGAGGUAGAAGCCCUUAGCAGGAUCACAGAGAAGAAAACAACGGACUUCGUGUGGAGAAACCUGGUCUGUCGAUACGGGAUCCCUUAUGCCUUGGUAACGGAUAAUGGCAGGCAGUUCGAUAAUCACAGCUUCAGGGAUUUCUGCCAGAACCUCGGGAUAGAGCUGAAGUAUUGCUCGCCUGCUCACCCUCAAUCGAACGGACAAGUAGAAGCAGCCAACAAGACCAUCAAGAGGCUUUUGAAAACCAGGCUUGGAGCAAAAAAGGGUGCGUGGGUUGACGAGCUGUCAGGUGUGCUAUGGGCAUACAGAACAACCCACAAAACAGCAACUGGGGAGACACCGUUCGCUUUGGCUUUCGGACAUGAAGCGGUCGUGCCGGCCGAGAUAGGAACGACCACACACCGGACAAAUCAUUUCAAUGAGCAGGAGAACGACGAGCAGAUAUGUUUGAAUCUUGAUCUGCUAACGGAAAGGAGGGAGCAAGCAGCCGAGCGAUCGGUCAUUUACCAACAGAGGGUUGCUCGGUAUUAUAACCAGAAGGUGAACAUACGGCAAUUCAGGGUCGGAGACUGGGUACUGAGAAGAGUGAAUCAGAGCACCAAAGACUCGACUCAAGGAGUGCUGGGACCGAAUUGGGAAGGGCCAUAUAGAGUCAAGCAGAUAGCGGGACCUGGAGCUUACAAGCUGGUACGCACGGACGGCCACGAGGUGAAACGCCCAUGGAACGCAGCACACCUCCGAAAAUACUUCCAGUAAGACUUGUUCACAUGUGAAAACUAUUUUUGCUCAUGUUCAUUACCGUUUAUCUUUCACACUUAUUGUCCAAACAAUCUCAUGUAAGUCGAAUCUUGCCAUUAAUGGAACGUCGAAGAAUUUCUUUCGCUUGAAACCGAGAAAGUUGCCUAAGGCAUGCAAAGGCUCGACAAAGUCUCAAAGCCUGUCUUAUGGCGAGACAGAAGCCAAGCAUGCCAGGAUCUGCUCGGCCACGAGAAGGCGAACAGAAUCCCAAUCCUUGAAGAAAUGCCUAAGGCAUGCAAAGGCUCGACAAAGUCUCAAAGCCUGUCUUAUGGCGAGACAGAAGCCAAGCAUGCCAGGAUCUGCUCGGCCACGAGAAGGCGAGCAGAAUCCCAAUCCUUGAAGAAAUGCCUAAGGCAUGCAAAGGCUCGACAAAGUCUCAAAGCCUGUCUUAUGGCGAGACAGAAGCCAAGCAUGCCAGGAUCUGCUCGGCCACGAGAAGGCGAGCAGAAUCCCAAUCCUUGAAGAAUCCAAGGCAUGCAAAGGCUCGACAAAGUCUCAAAGCCUGUCUUAUGGCGAGACAGAAGCCGAGCGUGCCAGGAUCUGCUCGACCGUGCGAAGGCGAGCCGAAUCCCAGGCAUUGAAGAAUCUCCAAAGGCAUGUGGCGAAACCAUGAGCCAAGCCGGAACCUGCUCGUCUAGACAGACACAAGCAGAUUCUCAACCGAAAAUUAAUUCAUAAUUACAACACAAGAAAGUAAUCAAAAACCAUUUUUAUUAAUUUGUUAAUAAUUAACAGAGGGGACAAUCUCAAUGAACAUUGUUCAUUACAAUACAAGAAAUAUAUCAAGAAGAUGAUGGACCAGUAAGCCCGGCAGCAUCGGUUGGCUGGACCUCCUCAGGUGCUGGAGGGGUAUCACCAGUUGCGUCCGGGGGGGUACUUGCCUCGCCGACAUCAGCAGGGACUGCAUGAGCAGGAGAGUCUUCCUCCUCAAUCACGAUCGGCUCUACCCCAUCAGUAUCUUCCUUAGCCGCCUCCUCGUCCAUGUGUUGAGCAACACCAGCUGCAAGGUCAUCCAUCUUCAGAUCAGGGUGUUGCUUCCCGAGGACGGCCAUGAUGCAACGAUAGGAAUGCCGAAGGCCCUGGUCGUACUGGUUGUCAGCCUCCCUCUCCAAGUUCUCGACCUGAGCUCGGUGGGAGUCGCGGAGAGAUUCGAGCUGAGCCUCAUACGUAGCCUUCUGCCUUUGCAGAUCCUCCUUGACCUUGGUAAGCUCCUCCUCGAGGGAAAUGGCUUUUGCUUGAGCAAGUGAUUCUUGCUCUAUCAGCUUCAGAUUCUCGAGAUUCAGCUCCCCUGCUUUCUUCUCGGCAACGUCAGCCCUGGUCGUCGCCAAUUGAAUAUCCUCCUUCAUCUUCCGGUCGUAGCGGCCAACCUUAGCCUUGUAAUAGGUGGUCAGGCAGCUGAGGUGGAAAGCGUUAUGCUGCAUGGCCCCCACCAGCUCACCCAAGGUGCGGCCGUCAAAGUCCUCCAGGUCCUUCUUGCUCACGAGUUUAGUUAACUCAUUGAGGUAAGGGACCAGAUGUUCUGCUCGGCUGUCAGGUAAGCGAGACCAAGGCCCGACAGGAGGAGAAGAAGAAGCAGGAUCUGUGGCUGCUCCACUAGCUUCCCCGACUUUCACAGAAGCAGGAGGUAAAGUCUUCAAGGGUGGGACCUGCUGCACGAUGUUGGCCCGCUUUGCAGCAGGGGCAUCCUUACUCUGGUCCCUCUUCGUGGUUGGAGGUCGGGAACGUUUUCGGGUCAAAGCCCCAAUCACAGCGUCCUCCAUCCUAUAGCCAGGAAGUAUCAAGCGAGACUCGAGCAAGUUGUAUGUAGUUAACAGUUCUCGGCUCGAGCAGGAAUUGGCUGGUCAGGUUCAAGCGGGAAGUGGACACCCCAAGAAACUACAACACAAACAGACACUUGGUUAGAGACAAGCCAAUAAAGCAAGAACAAUUAUGAACGCAAGACAUCUAGAGCGAGCAGGCAACCUGGGACCGUGAAACGGGGUGGGACGCGACAAUCCUUCCCGUCUAUUUGUGCAAUUUGACCCCAAGGACCCCCAGCAAAAAAGAAUUUCCUCUUCCAAGCCCCACCACCACCGGUUGGAAGAUCGGUUAUGGGUUUCCGGCUCUUGGUGCUAGAUUGGAAGUAGUACCAGCCGGCAUCUUUGGGGCUGCUCUUUAGCUGGUACAAGUGCUUCACCUCAUCAACCGUGGACUCGCUUCCGAAAAAGGACUUUUCUCAUUAAUUUUUGAUCUUCAAGUUAAGUUUGUUUCAUUUCAAAAGGUAUUAAGUUUCAAACUUGUCGUGUUGGGAGGUUGGAUAGUUGUAACGUAAGACAUCUGCAGGCUUCCGGUUCAAAACAUUACAGUAUGGCAUUUUAUUUUGUCACAAGGGAAUUAGUUAUGGGAUCCCUUCUGCAACGAUUUGUUGAUGGCGAUGAUGAACUCCGCAAUAGUAGGCUGAAGCUUAUUCCAUCCGUUCCUAAGAUAUCCAUCUUGGUCUGCAUCUAUUAGGACUUUGUUAACAUGUCGUAACCUUCACUGCAUGGUACACUUCAAUUUGUUCAAAGAAGGCAUACAUUUAGGUAUAAAUGUAUUGAUGGGUUGUACCUUCUAACUUAAUGACCUUUUUUCACUCUGUUGAAUUUGUUUUGCACCUGCUCUUGAUUUUAAGCGCUAAAUCAUGCAGGGGUCAUGGAUCGUGCACCAGAGUGUUGGAAGCACCCCUUGUUUAUUAGGAAAAGCAGUUGAUCGUAAUUUUAUCCGCGGUCCCAAGUUCGUAGAAGUAAACGCUCUUGGAAUUUCUAUAAUACAUGAGAUGUUCCCCUUUCAAAUAGCUCGUCCGAUACCAUUAACAUGGUUUAACAUUGUUCCUCUGUCUUUAGAUUGAUGUUGACAUCGGUUCUUCUAAUAUUGCUCUUCUUUAUCUUACACGUGUCUCUUCUUUAUCUUACUCUUUAGUAUGCAGUCAAACACUACAGAUGAAUUACCAGAACGGCUGAUUGGAACCAGAAACAUCAUGACUGUGGUUUCAUUGCACCUCAACUUUUUUUAAUACCCGAAAAAAAAAAAUCAUUUGUUUUAGGUAUACGCACAUGUAUUUUGAUCCCAUUUUCAUUGUUUUCUUUGGAUGAAAGUCAUUGAUGUUUCCAAAUGAGACUUUUGCAUAAGUAUAGCUAGUAGGAAAUUUUCUGAUUCUUUAUUUACUAUUUUUGGAAUCUGAGUGUAAUAGUUUUAAAAUUGUUUAAUCGGUCUCUAAAUGUCGUACUCACAAGCAAACAAGUGAACUGAUUGAUUCCCAACCGUCACUCAACCGGUUUCCAACUUUUUAAUAUACACAAUAACUGUGUUUGUUGAAUAGCUAAUACUAUUAAAGCUCAACAUUAACAUAGAUACUAAUGGAAAAAUUGAUUUUCCUAUGAUGCUGUGUAAAGAAUAUGGGUUUACCUACUUCCAUAAGAUCGAAAACAUGAUCUUGACUUCACGUGAUUCUUUUAAUUUAGAGAGUGCUGGUUUGAGAAGGUCAGCUUGACGGAUUACUUCCUUUUAAUAAAUGUCAAUACACUAUAUUUGAUAAUACUAUAAAAAUGUAAUAAACAUUGUCUUGUGCUGUUUUCUUCAACUACAGAUCCUCAAUUGAAUCAGUCAAUCAGGUUAGAAAUCAAAUGCUUAAAAUACCAAUUGGAGAAACAAUAUAGAAGUUGAAUAUUGCAUGCAUAUGAAACAUCAAUUCAAGCCCUCACUUAACCAGUGUGCACCAAGCAAAUCCAAAGUGUCUUGCAAUUAUGUAGCAUGACCAAAAUGCUAUAAAUGCAUCUGGGAACAAAUUUUUGAAGUAGAGGAAAACGUGCAAGUUGAAUCAUGUAUAAGAGAUCGGCUUGGGUCGAGAUAGCUUCUUCUUUAUACUUGAAGGGUGGGCUCAAUCUUGUCUUUAGAAUUCUGCAUGUUUGUAAUUAUACAUGUGUAAGCAAGCAUACAUUACCAUAAUAAUAACAAUAAGAAAAAAGAAGCAAAUGUUAUGAUACGACUAUAAACUCCAUCAGACAAACAAUAAUGUAUAAAUUAAUGUGACAUAAUAUGAUUGAUUAAACAAAAACAUCACAUGGACCACUUGAUUUAUUUUUUAUUAUUAUAUAUUUUCAGUCGACCAAUCAUAUUAUACCAUAUCAAUUUCUACAAAAUAAUUUGGUAGUUAGCGCCAAUACUUAGUUAAUUAAUACUGACCAUUUCAUUGAACAAUUUAUGUAUGGUGUCAUUGAGGUUGCCUUCCCAGCAUCCUUCUUAUUUUUCGGUGAGUUUCACUUUAUUUAGCGUUGGCGUGCCUAUGAUUCCUUGAGAGAAAAUCUUCAUCUUUGGGCACUGUCUCACAAGUACUUGUUUCAAGGACGGGAACUCAAGAGUGUAAUUACCUGAAUAAAAGCUUGUUAGGCUUGGCAAACAGUCAAGUCCCAAGUACUCCAAUUUCCCGAAAACAAUGCAAUCUUUCGCUUCUUCAUUUAAUAAUUAUAGAAGAAUAUUGGCUUAUAGAGCAUUUUAGUAGGGAUAAGAUUUGUGGACAGAAUAAAUGAAAUAAUAAAAAGCAUAGCUGAUCAAGUCAUUAUUGAUCUUAUUUUGAUUAUUACAUUGCACAUUAGUUUCUUUUUAAAAAUGCUAUUCUUCAUUCAAGCUUUCGCUUUAUCUUUUAUCAGGCAUCCUACAAAUCUUAUCCCUACUAAUAUGCUCUAUAAGCCAAUAUUCUUCUAAAAUUAUUAAAUUCCAUUCUUCAUUCAAGCCUUCAUGGACACUAUUUACAAAUUGUUCUUGUAUUUGACAGAAAAAUGAAAACUCCUCAUCAUACAAAACUGCAUGAACAAAUCUUCAAUUUAAUUAUGAUAAAAUAAUAAAUUCCAUUAAUAGAUUAUGUUGUAUUUUUUUUUUUUUUGACCACGAGAUAUCCUGAGGAGGGCCCCAAUUGUGGGAGGCACCUUUAAGCUCGUACCACAACCCAUACUAGAAGUCCCCACGGGAACCGGGAGGCACAAUUUCUCCCAACAAAGACGAUUUUCCUGCGACUCGAACUGGGGAGCAAACCCAGUCAAGCCACUUAGAGCCAACACUUUGUUGGUUAUGUUGUAUGUUAAUGUGAGGGAUUUGAUCAGGUGAUCAUAUAAUUUAGUAAACGCUUUAAGAAGAACAAGAAUUAAUAAGUUAAAAAUUAAAAAAAUAAAUAAAUAAAGAGUAGAUGGAAAGAAUGUUAUUUGCAAUCACUAAACCAAAGAACAGGGGAAUGAUAAGAGAGGACGGUUACUGCAACAAUAUGAAGUCAACAAUAUAAAGUGUUUACCAACUUAAAACCAGGGCUAUAAAGUGUUUGAUGAAUUAUUUUUUAAUUAAAAAAAAAAAACUGAUUUAGCGGGAUAAAACAAUGCUCCAUUCCGUUUAGUAUGUGAAGUCCAGAGUAUUACCUACUACUAACUAAAUCCGCUUGAUUCACAAGACUACCAAGAGAUAACUGAAUCAUUAUUUAAUUUUACUAUUAGGAAACCUACUUAUAUAAGGCGCAAACCACAAAUUCUAAAUUAAAUACCUAACCAUAAAUUAAGAUCAACCCUAACAGUCAUCCACCAGGUGCCGUGUAGGCUGCAUCAUAAAUUCUGAUUUAAAUAUUUGCAAUCACCGAACAGAAAAACAGGGGAACGAAAACAGAGGAGCCCUAUUUUUCCAUUUUUUUAACCCUUAACUCUUGCUCUUCUAAUUAUAUUUUUCCUUGGAAUUUCAAGUAUGAGAUGAAUUUGGAGAAAGUAAAUAAAUUUGAAUUACGUGAAAAAUUCUAAUUUUUUUAACCCUUAACAGUUGGUAUAUUUUUUUUAGGUCAUAGAUUAAUAAAUUUCUUUUAAAAAAAUUUAUAAUAUCAAUUAAUAUUAUAACCUAUAGAUUAAUACAGAUAAAAAUAUGAUUGAUUUAUCUCCACCACCUAAGUCUUAGCCAAAUUUAAUUAAAGAUUAAUUUAAUAAAUUACCGAAAAUAAUAAAGUAAACGAAAAAUAAAGCACGCAAUUAAGUAAUCAUGCUUCUAAAGGGCUAAUUAACCAUAAUAGGCAUAGGUAUUAAUUUGACUUCUAUGAAAGUCCCUUCUAGUUUCUCAAAAUUCAAAAAUUACAAUAAAAAGCCAAAGAAAAAGUCAAUGCUUCUAAAGUAGAAAAGUUUGAGUACUAGAUAGGCUGCCCAAAAUACAUUUUCAUUACUCACAUAUCUCUAUAGAAAGUAAUUUUUUUAAUAAAAACAACCUAUUUGGCUAAUAUUCAGUAGUCUUUUUUGUUGAUGGAAUUAUCCUCUUAACAAUAUUUUAAAAAGUUUACAUGAAUAUUCCUUUUUUAAAAAAAAAAAGAAUAAUAACGUGUAUUGUUAGGAUAAAAAUGAUCAUCAAUACGUAUGUAUAUAGGCACAAAUAUAUGAAAAAAAAUCAAGUUUAAGUACAAUGUAUAGGUCAAUGCCUAAGAGUCAAGCCUAAAUUAGGGGUAUAAAAAACUACAAAAUACAAUUUCGUACACUACAAAAUUUUGAUAUCAGCAGUAGGGGUAUAAAAAAAUCAUUGUUGCCAAAAAUCCAAAAGCUAACUAGAGGUUUGGUUUUGUUUCAAAAAUUAAAAAAACAAGUCAAUUCGUAAAAUCAAAAACAGAAAAAGAAAAACAAAAUAUAGAGGAAUUUACAGUUUAAAAAGAAAAACCAAGCCAAAACGAAAUUGAAUCGAAAGUCGAACCAACUCAGUUCAGUUUGAUUUGAAUUUUAUUUUAUAAAAAAAAAUGAUCGGAACCAACUAAACUGUAUUAUGUUAUAAAUUAUUAUAUAACAUAAAUUUUUGAAUACCUUUGUGACGAGCACAAUUUAAAAUUUUAUGAUUUUAAAUUUUAACAUUAAUGGAGAGUUAAUACUCCACCAUUUUCCAAUUUUUACAAUACAUAUUACCAGUUUAGAUAUGCUGUAUAUUAUUGUUAUAAUUUUUCGAGCAAGAUAAUAUUUGUCAAUUGGUGUUAUGACAUCAAAAUACUUGGUAUUAGUUAGUGCUAAGUGCUUCUUUUUCUUAAAAAAAGCGGUUCCUUAGUUUUAAAACAAAAAUCAUUAUCCUGAAAUUCUCCAUUUGCUUUGUUAACAGAUAUAACAAAAUAAAGUGAUAAAAGUUUAAUUUAUAAAACUUCGGCAUUUAUAUCUAUCAGAUUCAACACUUUAGUGUCAUAGAUUUAUUUCGGUGGAGCACGAUGUGGGUUGGGCCAGGCUUAGAAUUUUAAGCACGAGAGCCUUAAAAAUAUGAUAUGAUUAGAGAUGGACUGAGCACAGCACGAUGAAAAUGCCCACAAUAAGCACAUUAUAUUUUUUUAUUGAAAAUAAACUUAAAAUUUUAUGUUUUAUAAAUAACUUGAAGUUGAAUUUUUUAAAUUCAUUUAAUUCUUAGUUUAAAAAAAUAUUAUAAUUAAUUUAUAUUUAUAAUUUAUUAAAUAAAUAAUUGAUAUCAUGAUUUUAAUGAAUAAAAUUAUAAAUAUAAUGAUUUUAUAAAUAUGCAUUAAUAUUAUUGUGAACUAUGAUCUAUGACUCUAUGUAACUCUAAGUUAACAAUUAAGUUAACCCUUAAGAAAAUAUUAUUAUUAUUAUUAUUAUUGUUGUUGUUGUUGAGUAUUAAAAAAAUUAUAAUACUAAGAGGUCAAACUUAGAUCUAUUAAAUAUUACAUUUUCUUACUAUUAUUAGUUUAUUAUUAUUGAAUAUAAACUUGAGUUUUGAUUUUUUGAUUCUAUUAAAUUUGAAUAAAAGUAUAGACCUAAGAAAAAUAUAUAGACUUGAAAAAAAUACGCCAACAGUUUAGUAUGCCCUUUAAAAAUUAAAAAAAAAAAAAAACUUAGUGAGCUUUUUUUCUUAGGCAUAGCACGGCAUGUAUCGGCAUGUGUGUUAGGCCGGACCUAAACAAAAAAAAUAAAAUAAAUCUCGACACGACACAACACAAGCAUAAGCACGCAUGGGCCUUACUUACUGGCCCGACCCAUUGAGCAUCUCUAACUGUAUCUAUCUCCGCCAUAAUAAAUUAAACAUCGGGUAACUACUAGACUAGGCAUUAGCAUAUAAACUAACUAACUAUAGUACCAAAAAGAAUGAUGCGACAUUGUAAAAGAGAUGGGGCAAAGGGCAGAAUGGGAAACGAAUGAACCAAAUAAUAGUAUAUAAUAAUAUGGAUUUGGUAAAAAUAAAAAAUAAAUAAAAUAAAGUGGUGACACGUACCUCCUUUUAUUUCUCGAUCGAGUAGUGCAGAAAGUGGAGUGUGUGUGUGUGUGUUAAUUGUGAAAUGUCAGCCAAUUUUUUCUCUCUCAUUCUGAAACAGCUCAGCAGGAAUAGUGUACACUAGAGACGUCUGUCUGUCAGUCAGAACUGCCAAAAGAGCAAAACGGGUGCACGUACAAAUUAAAUCAGCCAAUCAGCGAUAUAUUUCAGUUACUAAAAGCUAGCACAGAGGGAACAAGCAAUAUGCAGGGCCAAAAGAGAUGAGACCCCUGAACCCGAACCCUCCUGAAUGAUCUGAUCACAUCUGAUUCGAUGUCUCGAGUCAUUAGAUUUAACAUAUUUUAACAAUAUUUCUCAGUUAAUAUGUGAUUUAAUUAAAGGUCAAGUUUACAUCUGAAAAUGAACUUAUUAAAAAUUAAUUUGAAAUAACAUCUAAGAUAUCUAUUUGUUUAUAAUAAAAUUUAAUUGUCAUAUCAGAAUUAUUUUCCGUUAGACUUUACAAUAAGUUAAUCCCAAAUAAAUUGACAAUUUCAAUUUUAAAGUUAGUUUGUAACUUUAAAAUAAUUUUCUAAUAAAAAUUUAAUCUGAAACAUUUGCAAUAAUAUCAAGUAUUUUGAUGUAAUAACACCAAUGUUUCACAUGCACACACAAGUCAUAUAUAAGUUAACAAAAACAUCAUUUGUUAUUAACAAAAUCAUGUUAAUUUUUAAUUCUUAAAUUAACUCCCUAUUAAAUUUUGGCUAAAUGUUAGAGUGCAAUUUAUGCACUAGUUUUGCAUUGUUUACUUCCCUUAAUAUCGAUGUUUUGCACUUAAUAAUAAUGUUUUACUUGUGUUUUACUUUUGUAGGUGCAAUUCUAUUGAUUGAUGAUAAAAUUGAGCUAAAAGAUGAUGUUUAAGGAGGAUUGUUCUCUUGGAGAAAUUAUGAGCGUCAGAAGAACUUUGUUGAUAAGGCGUGGGCGCGUGCUGUCAACUGCGGACCUGCAGUUUUUAGUUUAACGUGUUUUGUAUUUUUGGUUAUUUUUGUAAUUACGAAUUUAAUAUUUCAGAUAUUAGUAUUUUAUUUUAAAUAGAAUUCUAAAAGAGAAGAGAGAGAGAGUAUUUAAGGGAGGAAUCUAUUGUGAAAAAGAGGAUUUGGAUUGGAGAAAAAGAAAGAAACCCUAGAUCUAAUUUUUCUCUUCUCUCUAUGAAGAACUAAACCUAUUUUUCUGGUUGAAGGAUAAUGAAGCUUUGAUUCAUCACUACUGUGAGAUCUUUCUUAUGCUUUAAUUGUUUUAUUACUUUUUGGGUAUUUGUUUAUUCUCUGAAUUAGUUUCAUGAUUAUGUUUGUUAAUUAGGUAAUUGGCCACUAUUUAAUUAUUAACUUAAUCUAUUGUUAAUUAAAGGAUUCAUCGUAUGAAGAAUUUAAUGUUUGUGACAAAUAACAUAGCAGAGAGUUGUGUUGUGAGAAUAAACAAUCUAAUUUAAAUGAAUCAUCAUAUGUGUUGAUUAGGAUUUGGGUCUCUCUAGUUUUUCAGGCUGUCAAUUGAUUAAAUCCUAUGAUCGUAUCUAGGGUUGUCUAUUGAUUAGGGAAAUAUCCAACGGUCGUACCUUGGUUAUCGACUAGUUAAGGAGAGAUUGGCUAUUAGAGGGUCUCAAUAGCUAUAACCGGUCUAUUCAUAAGUAAUGAUAAUCUAUAUUUGAAUCAAUGAUCAGUAGUCGAAUCAAGCUGAGUUAAUUCCUUCAAUCAGAGCUUUCUCCAAUUUGAAUUACAACUUUAAUUUGCAUUCUUGUUACUUUAAUUUGAUUUUUAUUAUUGUCAACAAUUCCCCCAUUUUACGUUUUACGUUUCAAAAUGAUUUAAAUAAUUACCGAUCUCUGUGGACACGACCCUGCUCAAUCACUAUACACAAUUUAUUUAGAGUAGGAAUUUAUUUUUGUUGGCUUCGACACCCAUCACUAAAUCAUUAUUGCAAUUUAUAAAUUAAUAUUUAUAAAAAAUUAUGAAUCAUCCAAAAAGCUGCUUGAUAUAGAUUAAUUUCAUGGUCAUCAAUUUUUUUUUAUUUAUAUACCUUUAAAUUAUCACUUGUAUCAUAUGAAAAGACCAUAUUACCCCUCUAACGUCAUCAUAUUUAAACGGCAACUAAGCUAUGGUGAACGACAUUAUAUUUUGUCAACUUAAGAUGAAUGACUGAUAUACCCUAAAAGUAUUGUAGUAAAUUUGAUAAUAAAGUAUACAAUUGAUAAUUUUCCUAUUUAUAAUUUAUCCCCUUAAUUAUGAGUAAUUUUGUUUUUGUCUUCAUUUGUCCCUUUCCUACAAAACCGUACAAGUUACAUAUAUAAAACAUUCUUCUUUAAUCAAGUUUGGAAUAUUUUCAUCCUUAUGUAAAAUUAUGCAUAUAUCUUUUGAGUUUCUCAAUUGUACUUGAAAAAAAAAAUUACAUUUAAUCACGGUUGGUUAUCCAUAAAAAAUUUUAGGUGGAAAGUUCACGCGUUUUAAAAUUUAAUUGUGGAAUUAUAUUACAUUUAUUAUUUAGUUUCAAUUUAAUCAUGUAUCAAAUUCAUAUUUUAAAACAUGUGGAAAUUUAUAAUAUAUAAUGAUUCUAUGUAAAUAUAUUAUCUCAUUUCUUCAUUCUUUUGUUAUUAGUUCUCCUCCACCACAUUAGAUAUAUUUUGAAGUUUUCUAAUGUAAAUGUUACUAACAAAUACGCAUUGAAUAAUUAUCGGGUAGUUUAUAUUAUAAUUUAAUAAUAGCCACAACAUAAAUGUACAAUUUGGUGAUAGUAAAUGCCAUUACAUGAAAAUGAAAUCAUCAUGUUGCAAACAAGAUGCAACCAAGGGAUUGCAAACAAUGUUAAGUUACUAUUGGGUCACUUGAACUCCUGGGCUCUCUCCUGUGUAAUUUAUAUUAGACUGUCGCGUACAAAACGCAGACAUAUAUAUACAUACAAGUAGUGCUUUGGCAACAGACACAAUAGCCAAGAAGCAGCCCUUGUUUUCAAAUUCAUUCAAAUGCCAGCCUGCAGUUUUGAAUCCUUCAAAUUGUGCUCCACCUUUUGAGGGGACGAUGAAGAGUGAAAGAAGAGACAAAUGGCAGAAAUAUCAUCCAUUGCAAUGCCUCGUUUCUUAUAUUUCCAUGCCCGAACAGCACAUUCCACCAAUCUUUUUGCUGCCUUUUCCCUAUCCACUACUGAAGAAACAAUCUCCACCGCCUCUUGGUUCGAAAUCACAUCCCAAACCUGAAGAACAAUCCAUAAUUGAUCUUUCAAACAUUGACGUUAGUUCAGAUCAAAAGAUAAUUCCAAUAUGUGGAUACGUAUCCCGUCUGAUGCCAGAAUGAUAAAUUGGUCUCGUGUUGUUAUGUUUCUUUGCGUUACAUGGGGCACGGAGAUUAGGCCAUAGUCCUUGACACAGUAAUCACCCAAGGCUCUUGAUAUGGCUAGUCCCGGAGUCUCACCAUUCGGCAUCCAGACUCUGUAUACGCCUGGCUCAUCAUUUAAGCAAAACACAAGCCCUUUGGACUGCGUUAUUCGCUCCGCUUCCUCUGUAUAGGCCAGUGAAGACAAGAACCCGUACGCAGACCUUAAAACACACCCAUAUAUACACCUACACGAGGCAGAAAUAUUUAAGAGACAAUGAGAUAAUUGAGAUCUGAUUGGUAAAAUAUUGUUAAUUAAUAAAAAAUAAUUAAUAUACUUGCUAUUUAAGUAUUUUACUAAUACUUUAAACAUCAGUAUUCAAUGAUGUUAAUAUGUGAUUUUAAUAUUAAAUUUAUGUUCUCAUUUAUAACAGUAUGGUCAUCAGUAUUCACAACACAUCAUAUAUUAAUGUAUGGGUUUAUUAAUAUUAACAAACAUUUAUUUCCAAAUAAAUAUGGUAGCCUUAGUAUUUAAGAAUAUUCUUUAUUGUCUAGUCGUCUGUCCAAGGAAGAACGGGCCAUCAUCAAAUUUAUCAACGGCCUUCUCUAAGUAAUCAAAAGCAGGACCUGUGACAAAUUAAAACUUUUUCCGUGAGUUCAGCACAUAUAUAUACAUAUUCAAAAUGCAUUCCAUUAUAAACAAGUAAGCAAGUUUCAAAUCCUACCAGCUUGUUUUGCUGGGUCUCCUUUGAAUGAAGUAUACACAUCGUUGGUGAAGGUAUCGAUGUGGGAAAACAGUUCAUCAGCAAACUUUCGUUUCUCAGGAUCCUACAAUAUUUUCACAACAUUACUUUACUCAAAGUUGAGAGAGAGAGAGAGAGAGAGAGAGAGAGAGAGAGAAGCUUUUAUUAAAAGCAACAAUGUAAUCAGCAAAAUCUUACAUCAGGUAAAAGUGAAGGCCCUUCAAAAUUGCUGUCAACAUAUUUAAUCAAAUCAAGAGAUUCUCCAAUAACUUUGCCAUUGUGCUCCAGUGCUGGAACCUGUAAAGAACUCUAAUAGGUAAAUAUACUUCAUAACUCCAGCAAUGAUCUCUAAUCUUGCACGAAAGUGUAACAAUCAGUUUAACUCUUUCGUUGUGUUUUCUUGCAAGCAAGCAACUUGCUCAAAUCAGAAUAUGUUAAGAUUUUACUAGGCACACAAAGCACAAAGACACCAUUCCAAUUUUAUUCAGGAACUCCUCCGCACAGAUUACAAGCAUUUCAAUUUCAAAGAUGGGGCAUAAGGACACAGAGUCACAUAAUUAGGCUAUUUGGUAUUGAGGUGCUGUGGUUUUUUUAGCUACAGCUGCCACACGUACCCAAAAAAAAAAAAAAAACUGUAACUAUAAAAUAAAAAUUAAAAAUGCGUAAUAAAUAUGAAUUUUAAAUUAAGAUUUUGACAAAAAUAGUAGAAAUAUUAUAAUUUUACAAAACACUUUAACUCUGUACCUUUUAAUCCAUAGCCGCCCUACCUCAAUACCAAACACAACUAAUCUCUUCCUUUUCUAUAUCUGAAUUGGUCUAUCAACACCUUGAUUAGAAAAAUUCCUAAUUAUUAUUCAGAAACUUUCUAAUACUAUUCAAAAUCUUCCCAGCAGAUUCUAAGCUCCAUGUUAACCAAAAGAAUGCACAUAUUGUUGAUCUAUCAAAUUACUUAAAUGAUCAAUCAAAUAAAAUCAAAUAUUAUUAUUGAUCACACAUCAGCAUCAGCAUCAGCAUCACCUUGUUAACAGGAUAAACCUUCUCCUUGUACCAAGCGGGCCUAUCUUGGAGGUUCAGUGGAACUAACUUAAUCUUGUCUUGUAAUCCCUGCAGCAGCACACCAAAAGUUGUCAAAUUCAAAGAGAGUAUUACGACAAAGGCGAAACGAAUAAACCAUAAAUUACUGUUAUUGUUAUUAUUAUUAUUUUAAUUAAACCUAGAAAGCAGAGACGGGUCAACAGUGAUAAAAAAAAUAUAAUAAAAAUAGUAAAUAAAAAUAAAACCUUGUAGUUCCUGGUGAUCCACACACGCUGAGCAAAUGGGCACGAGUAAGAAAUGUACAACCUGGGAGUUCCAUCGAACAGAGGUGGUAGCUCGGCCUUCGAAUCCAACGGUGGAGGAAGAUUCUCUUGCGCUCUAUCAAAGAUGACACAUGAUCGUUAAAAUAAUGAUCAUAAUUAAUUAUGAAAUUCCAAAAAAAAAAAAAAACCAAAUUCUUGUUGUGGCCAUCGAGGAAGGUAAGACUCUAGAGGUUUCCUGAAUGCUUUUCUUUUGCUUUGAAGAAGAAAGUCAUAUGAUACCGAAAUGUGUCUCUACGCAGAAUGAGUGCGCUUAUAUAUAGAAGCUUUAAAGUAACCUUCUGAAGCCAGCAGUGACGCAAUGCGCACGUGUUAGGGUGUCAUGAUAAUAAUGCAUGUUGCCAAAAAAAAGGGCAAAAUUCUUAUCAGUUUUAGGCAAUUGCCAUGCAUAUUAGUUGGAUUCAAUGGCUGCAAGGGAGAAGCAGUGAGAAUAUCGCUGAUUAAUUAAAUUUGUAUAAUAGAAAAAAUUUGGUAUAUUUUUUUAUGACAUAUUGCUAAAAAUGUGGAGGCUUUGAUAUUAAAAAAGAGUUAUUUAUAAAUAAUGUUAUUAUGUUAUUGUUGAUUAUUAACAAUAAAUUUUUAGGAGAUAUCAUUUGGUUUACAAGUAGUUCAUCAACCGUGUUUAUUAAAAUGUUACAAACAGGAUUACAAAAUAUUAAAUUAUCCUAAACCCAAUUAAUAUCUGCAGGGAUCAGACGACUGUUAGAACAUAUGUUCUAUAAUUUUUCUCUGGAAAAAUAUUAUUUCUUGUACAAACAUAAUAAAUAGCUAUUUAUAACUUAAUAAUUCAAAAAUAGUUAAUUUAUAAAAAGACUAUUCUUGGUGUUAACUAAUGCAGUGGAACUGAUAUAAAUUAACUUAUUGUAAAGAAUUCACUGUAAAGAUAUCAUUUGUUAAUUGUUAAUUAUAAAUAUCCAAUAUUAAAAUUAAUUUCUGAUUUAAUCCAUGAUUGUCAAGCUAUUGUUUUCAUGGUUUACAAUUUUUUAAAAUAGAAGAGGUAAAACAUUAAGUAAAAAGUUUUCAAUCUCGUAUAAAACAAUGUAGAAUGUUUUAACCAAUUCAAAAUUUUUUAUAAUAAAGCAGUUAUUUUCAAAAUUCACAUUAUGUUUCUAUUACUCAUAAAAAAAAAUCCCUUCAAUGAAUGCAGACAUCCUUGAAAGAAACUUCACUACUCUAACAAAAAGGCCAAAAUUUUAGAAAAUGACAGGAAAAGAGAACACCAAUUGUCAACUAGAGUACCCUUUGUGAAAAACACAAUAAUAAAUAGCUGAUAUAUGAUUAGGUUAAUUAAUUGAUUGGAUUGGAAUCAACUUCGGACUGUUUUGCCCUUCCCUGCAGUGCAGCGUAUUAGGUGGCGAAUGAAGUAACUGGCCUCACUAAUUUUAAGUAAAAAGAUUGUUAAUAUUUAACCGCGUCUUAUCAACAUUCUUUGUUUUGAUUAAAAUAUACGACAUCGUUUGCAGAAGAGGCAGCAAGGGCAACAACGUGCCAAGUAUAAUAGACAAAUUUUUUAUCAUAUUAAUUGAGAAGGCUUGAGUUCUGGCCGAUGUUAAUAAAAUUUAAAACACAAAAAAACUGAUAAUGUCACGGCUGGUGAGAUGAUAUAUAAAUAUUAAAAAGAAAAAAAAGAAUUAUCAAUAUUUAAUUUUUGAAGAUUAAACUCAUUAAUUAAAGUGAAUCGUGCAUGCUUUGCUAGCUGAUAUCGCGCGCGCGUGUGUAUGUAUAAAUAUGUUAGAUCAAAUCCAAAGCUAAUUCCAAGUAUUAUAUUAUAUAUAUGUUACUAUUAUUAAUUAGAAUUCCCAAGCUCAAGCUAAUUAAUUGAUGGUAAUCUUUUGGAUGCACUUAAUUGUAAUUAACCGGAUCAAAUUUUGAAACCAAAAUAAUUCACGGGGCAUUCUAGCUUCUAGCUAAUUCAUCCAAAAAAAUAUAAAAUUAUAUAAAAAUAAUAAAAAUACGUGUGAUGUCAGCUUGAUGCGUACAUUCAAAGUUCCAAUUGAAAACAAAUAGAUAUUCAUUUUUCUUGUCAAAUUAUUGAAAGAGACAUCUCUUAAUUUCUUCCAUCACCAGCAACGGUUGAGUGACCUUGUCUUACAUUGUGCAGCAGCCUCCUCGAAGUAAAAAAAAAAAAAAAAUAUAGCCCAUUAUCUUGGCUUUUGGCUGGAUCCAAAUUUUUGUUAAAUACAAAUAAAUAUAAUAUCAAAUUAAAUAUUCCAAUAAACCUUCUAAUAUCUUCUUUGAACAGUUUUAUUUUUAUUUUAUGAGGGAAGAGUAAACCAUUAAAACUAUAAUUCAUCAUAAAUUUAUUGUGCCAAUUUUUUUUUAAAUCCAUAAUUUUGUGAAAUAUAAAUUUUAAGAAUUGAAAAAUAUCAUUAUAGCUUUCAUAUCCAAAGUUAAUUUUGAUAUUUUUGUACAAAUACAUAAUCUUCAAAUGUGGAUAAUGUAAAAGAUGAAAAUUGUCAAAUUAUUAGAUAAUUGUUUUUACAAAAUUUUAACGAUCAGAAAAAUCUUAAUUUAUAUGUCUUAGUUUAAAGAAUUGGUAUUAUCAAAUGUUACUUAAAUGUAAAUAUAAUAUAAAUAUUUUAUGUAUUUAUAUGUUACGUUUAUGAUUUGGUCACUGUUUAUCUAAAUUUUAAUAAAAUCAGACAUAUUUAUGUAAUUUACUCAUUAAAAAAAAAAUCCAUGAUUUAAUUUGCAAUGAUCAAAUUGUUGUAUUUUGUCAUAUCAAAAUACAUAUUUUUGUACAAUUACCCAUUAAGUUUAUGCUACAAUCAAGCUAUUUAUAAUAUAAGUGUGAUUUUUGAAUUUAAUAUUGAUAUUAGUAUUAAAUAUGAUAAUAAAAAAAUAUUUUAUUAGAUAUUAAUUGGGUCAUUUGUGUUAUUGUUUUUAAAAAUUAAUGACCUGCAACAUUAAUUGUCAAUAAUGGGUUUUUUUAAAACAUGCUGGUGCCCGGAUGUAAAUGCCGGUACCUCCCAAGUCAGUAGCCUUAUUAUAAUCCCGUCAGCAUAUUGGCCUGCCCCUGUACCAUUACUCCAAUUGAUGCUGAAAAUAUAACAACAUCAGUGACCGCGUUGUCGUUUCCCGUGAUGUUUAUUCCGAUGCCGGAGAAAUCCUUUUCGCGAUCAUCCCCGCCGAUGUUGAUGUGUUGGCCGAUGAAGGAAUUUCUUAUAUACGUUUCGUGGCCAUCUUGGAUGGAAAUGCCAGCGGUAGUGAAAUGCGAAACGUAACAAUUGUCCACUGUGGUUCUUAUUGAAUUUAUAAUGGCAAUGCCGCCACCCCUAAAAUUGGAGUCCAACAUAAGCUCCUUCAAAGUAAUGUAUUCGUAUAAUGACGAUGAUGAUGACGAUCUUAACUCUAUGAGAUGUCCGUUGCCCGAAAAAUCAUCCGAUGCUCGGAGGGACCCACCGUGUAUCUAUGUAUACAUAUAUAGAUGUUAAAAGUAAGAAUUAAAAGUAAGAAUUAAAUUUUAAAUUAAUAUGUGAUUUGGUAUGAUUCCUGGCAUUUUGUAUUCGGUUUUGUAGUCCUUCAUAAGACUGGCAAAAAUCAUUAUCAAUUAAACAUUAUGUUGUUAUAUUUUUUUAUUAUAUUUUUUUAAUGAUCUUUAUUUUAUUUGCUUUAAACAAUAUCUAUUUUUCAAAAACAAUACUUUUGACAAACAAACCCUAAAGUGAUGAAAGAGAAAGCAUGCAUUUUGCACAUGUUUAUAAAAACAAGAGAGUAUAUUUAAUCUCAAUCUGUAAUUCUGUAUAAUGUAUUAUUCUUAAGUUUGAAUCAAAUUAUUCUUGAUUCCAUCCGCCAAUCCAUCUCGGGCCAUUGAAUUAUGCAUAGCUAUUAUGGUAAUGGUCUCUUUAUUCUCCUCACAAUCAAUUAAUUGUGAUGACCAUACUGUUCUCACGAUUCUCAACCGCAAAAAAUUUAAAUAUUGUAUUGUACAUUUUUAUAAACAAAUUUUAUGUCAUCUCCAUUAUUGUGGAAUUUUAAUAUCCUAAUACAAUAUUAUGAUAGUAAUUGGGUCAAUAUGGGUAUUGGAUCAUAUUAUCGUUAUAAAUAUUAAUUUAUUAUAACUGAGUGUGUAAAGUAUCUUUUUUUAUUGUUGUACCAUAUUUAACUUUUGGCUGCAAAUAUAUAUAUAUUUAGCAUUAUUUAUAUCAAUAAGUUAAUAUAUAUAUCCUUUUCUUUAACAUCAAAUUUAAGUUUUUAAAAAGUUAUGAUAAUUCACUAAUUUGGUAUUUAGGAAAUUAAAUCCAUAUCAAUUUAUUAGAUAUCUUAAACCGUAUGUAAAAAUAGAAUAUUGACCAUUAUUCUAUUAGUAAUAUAUCCAUUAAAGAUUUUGACGUGCUAUGGUCUAAAAAAAUUAACUUGGCGGGAUGUUAUGAUUAUAUUCAAGGUGAUAGGGAAGAAAGUUAUGAGGAGACCCCAUUGAAGCCUAUAUAUUAUAGUAUGCAUAAAGACUCAAAAUGUGCACUUGAAAUAACAGUUGUCACUGACAGGUUAAGAUAAACUACCAAAUUGGCACUUAAAGGAAGAAAUUCUAGUAUUAGUGUCAUAUUUUAUGCCAUAUUAUGUAAUGCAUAUUAGUAAUGAUUUCUUCAUAAUAUCGCAGAUAUAUAAAAGUUCAUCUAGCUAGAUGCAUUGUAGAUUUUGUGAGAAUUAUUUUAUUCCGUCCAAAUGAGUUCACAUUAUUAUCCAAUUUUCCUUUUUUUAAGUUGAUUUAUGAAAGAAAAAAAAAAUGACACCAAUGUUUUCCACGUCGCCGCAAGUCUCAUCGAUAAAAGUCCAUCUACAAAUUAGUUCAUAAUUCUUUUUGUAACUUCGCUAAAAGCUAGUCAAGUCAUUGCUAGCAAGCCUCAAAAGCACGAAGUACGCGAAUCACGGCGAUAACUGAUAAUAACUUGGUUGUCCGGUUUCGCAUACUAAUUAGCUUGAUUGAAAAUCGUGAAGUAUGGGGCACGACUAACGCAACGCAUACGUCUCAUGCAUUAGGCAAAUAUUGUACGCGACCCAUGUUGAGAGCACAAAUCCACUAUCUACAAGUACUAUAUAUAGAGCUGCAAUGCGUGCUUCAAGUAUUCACAACUUACCCCCAGCUGGCUAGCCAGCCUCUAUAAUUUGAAGGGAAAAAAAAAAAAAAAACAACAACCUUGUUCAACUUGCAAAUACCUACCAAUUAUUAUGGAGAAAAGCUUUGAUAUCAUUGCCCUGUCUAUGAUCAUUCUGGUGACUUAUUCAUCUAAAAUGGUGUCGGUCGCCGGCCGGUCGCUGCAUGAACCAUCCAUUGUUGAGAAGCAUGAAAAAUGGAUGGCUGAGCAUGGGCGCACUUACAAGGACGACCUGGAGAAGGAAAAGCGGUUUAAGAUAUUCAAAGAAAACCUUGAAUACAUUGAGAAAGCCAAUGAGGAGGCGAAUCGGACGUACAAGUUAGGCACCAAUGAAUUUUCAGACUUAACUAAUGAGGAGUUUCGUGCUUCAUAUACAGGAUACAGGGUGCCAAGCCAGUCAUCUUCAUCACGGCAAUCCACAACAGCAUCCUUCAAGUAUCAAAACCUGACUGACGUUCCAACUAGCAUGGACUGGAGAGAGAAAGGAGCUGUCACUCCUAUUAAGAACCAAGGUCAAUGUGGUAAGUAAAUCGUAUACUAAAUAUUUAUGAAGUAACUAUAAUAGAUUAUUUAGCCUCCAACCUCUUUCAGAACUCAAACUCAGUUGACCAUCAGCUAAUUAAUAAAAACAGCUUGACAACCGUCUGCCAAACCCCUGCUGGGGCAUGUUUCAUGUAACUUAAUCAAGCCUUUUUUUUUUUUUUCCUUAAUAUGUACGAUGCAGGAGACUGUUGGGCAUUUUCAACUGUGGCGGCGGUGGAAGGGGUGACUGAGAUUAGUAGUGGUAAUCUUAUUCCACUUUCGGAGCAGCAAAUACUAGACUGCUCAAUAGAUGGUAACCGUGGAUGCGGUGGCGGUUGGAUGGACAAUGCCUUUAAAUAUAUUAUAAAAAACCAGGGUAUUGCCUCAGAAGCGGAUUAUCCAUACAAGGAAGUCCAAGGGACUUGUGAAGACGCACAGGUCAAGGCAGCUGCUAAAAUUAGUAACUUUGAAGAUGUAAAACCCAAUGAUGAGCAGGCUUUACUCCAAGCUGUAGCCAUGCAGCCAGUAUCAAUUUGCAUUGAAGGAAGUGGACCAGACUUCCAGAGUUACAAAGGCGGUAUUUUUAACGGAGGAUGUGGAACUCAGUGUUCUCAUGCUGUUGCUAUCGUUGGAUUUGGGGCAACUGAAGAUGGAAUGAAGUAUUGGUUAAUUAAGAAUUCAUGGGGGGAGAGCUGGGGUGAGGCCGGCUACAUGAGGAUUCUCAGAGAUGUUGAAGCACCUGAAGGUCUCUGUGGCAUUGCCACUAAACCUUCCUACCCAGUUGCAUGAGUAGCAGUAUUUUAUAUUAUAAAUAGCCGCCUCUUAAUAAUGAUGUCUUCAAGCCUACACAUGCAUUAGCCUCGAAAGGCUUAUACGAACCGUAUGAAUCGUAUGAUUCUGUGGUUUUACCUAUGUUGAGUAUUUCAUAAGUUGUAAUUGAACGCCAAUAUUUGGUAUUAGUUAAUGUUAAAUCUCUCGUUUAAAUAUAAGUUUGAUCUUUGCAGUAAUUAGUCAUUUACAUUUAAUGCCACGGAUACUCAAUUCGACCAAGAAAUACAUAGUUUAUAUCUUAGUUACUCUGAUAUUUUAUGUGGCAUGUUAUAUGUCGUUCAUUGAUUAAGUUGUAAGAAUAGUAUGUAAAUAAUUAAUAAUAAAUUUAUUUAUUAUCAUUUAUGAGACAAUAAAUGAUUAGUGGAACAUUAAUUAAAAUACAAACUAUUAUUAUUUAUUUAAGAAAUAUAUAUUGGUCAAUGAAAUUAAUGCAAGACAAAAAGUAACUGAAUUUUGAUUACACGCUUGAUGUCUGGAAGUACAAUGAUUAUGAAUUUGUGUUAAAUUAGGUCAAAGUUUUAAGUUAAAAUAAUCAAACCUAUAUACUCACACUAACUUUUAAAGUUUGAGUGGAAUUUGCCCGCUUUAAUUGGGGUCUCAUACAGCAAAAAAAUUUUGGCCAUCUUGAAUUUCUUUUUCUAAUUACUUAUAAAAAUUUAAAGGCUUGGUAAUUUCCCUCCCCCAAAUUCUGUCUUUAUUCCUAAGUAAAUUAGUUAGUCAUUAUUUCAAUAAUUAAAAUUAUUCUAAGUUCUAAAUUUUGGGCGUGGAGGGAAAGUUAAGCGCAAGUAGCCGUGACUGAUUAAUAUUAAACAAUAUAAUUUAAUGCAUUUUUAUUCUUCAUCUAUUUUUUUAAUAUUAGUUUUUGAACAAAAUAGUAGAACGAUAGUUAUAAUUUAUUAAUCAAAUUUUUUUACUUUCAUAUCCAUAUUAUAUUGUCAGUAAUAGUGUCAUGUAAUGAUAAUUAAAAGUAUUAGGAGAUACUUUUAAAAGUCGACCGCCUCAUCAAAAAAUCAGGAUGGCCAAGUGGUCUAAGGCGCCAGACUCAAGUUCUGGUCUUCGAAAGAGGGCGUGGGUUCAAAUCCCACUUCUAAGUAAUUUUUUAUUUUUUAUUCAUUUUUUUACAACGUUACGACUAAACGACGUCAUUUUCAUUAAACGGCAAGUCGUUUCAGUCGUCUUCUUUAACGGAAUAAAAAAUAUCUAAACCGAAGACCAAUGUUUCCAAACCCGCUGUAAACCCUACAGAUAACCCUCAUUGCCACUCGCAUCACUGAGUUCUUAACCUGAGUUAAAAUGGCCGAGUCCGCAUCCGAACUCAGUGAGUUCCGGAUUUUUCCGGCGGACUCACCGCCACCACAACCGAAUUCAACCGGAGUUCCGGUUCAUAAUCUAACACCAGAGGAGCUCGUGGCCAAAGCCAUAGCUCCAGUUAAGAAACAGUUUCUUCGUCAUUAAAUUCCAAAAUAAAUUUUAACAUAAUAAUUAAUUCUUUUAAUAGAUAAAAUUGUCUAUAUGCACGAUUGAAUUCAGCCCCAAAAUGUUAAUUAAAAAACAAUUAUCCAAUAUUCAAGAUAGUUUGAAUCGUCAUUCUCAUAUCGUUAUAAUGUCAUGAAAUAAUUGUACAAAAACAAAUGACCAAUAAAUUCACAAACGUAUAAUAUUGCCUAAUGUAAAUAACUUAUUAAUUAAUAUUGAUAUAUUAUUAAUUACUUAAUGUUUUACCUUUUUAUAAAACAUAAAAUUAUGUUUACUUCCAUUCAAGAUAUCCCAAAAAAAUUAAUCUUUUUGGAUGAUUCAUAAUUUUCAAGAGGAUGUUUUUACACCAUACCAUCGUCAAAUUGAUAAGGGCCAUGUUAUUUUUUAUUUAAUUAAUUUAAAUUUCAACUAGAGAGCUAUUGGAAUCGAUCACUGUAAAAGUUAAGUUGUGAUGUAAUCACACAAUCUUGAGAUCUGCUAUUAGAAAAAUAAUUGAAGAACCAAAUCCCAAUGAAAAUACAUCCAAAAUGAUGUCGUUUUGAAUUUGUUCCAAAAAAAUAAAAUAAAAUCAAACUCACUAAAAAACAACAUGUGUGUUUUUGUUAACCUUUUAUCGAGUUUUAAUUUAAAUAUUUAUCAUGUACUUUUAUAUUCUAUUCAGGACCGGCUCAACCAUAUUUGAGGCCUUAGGCAAAUGGUUUUAAUUAGUUUUUCUUAAAAUUUAAGACAAAAAAUAUGUAUAUUAGUUAUGAGUGAUGAUACAGCCACAAACUCUUGUACAAAUUGACGUGGUAUUAAUUUAUUGGUUGAAUAAAAAUAUAAAAUAAUAAAAACAAAAUCACGUGAGCCAAGUGAUAUUUAAUUCAACCAAUCUUAUCAUGCCACAUCAGUUUAUACAAGAGUUUGUGGUUAUAUCAUUACUCAUAAGUUAUAUAAUAUUUAUUGAAAAUCAAUUCUUCAAACACUCUCUAAAAUGUAAAAUUAUUAAAUAAAAUUAUAUUACACUAUUGUCAAUCCUUGAAAUUUUAAUUCAAUUAUAAUAUUUUUACUUUUUUUUAACUCAAAUUACAUCUUUUAUACUACUUCUUUUCUACAUUAAAUUAAUUUUUUUAUUCUUCUAUUUUCUAAAGUUUUUUUAUAUAGUUAUUUAUUUCACAAUAGAAAAAAAAGCACACAAAAAUAGUAGAUGAAUAAAAGAAUGUAUUAAAAAGAAAUAAGAACACAUAAAUAAUACAAUUAAUUAAGAGAAUAAUAAAAAAUAAAAUCUGAAAUUUGAAAUUUGAGAUGAAAUCAUAAAUUAACUUUAUCUUUAUAUUAAUUAUUUGAAGAUUUGAGUAAUGACUAAUAGCCAUAGAGAAUAGAAAAAAACUAUUAGAUUUUUUCUUUUUUUUCUUGAGUGGAAAGUAGAGGAAGCAAGAUUUUUUUUCCCCUCUCUCUCUUUCUUUCUCUCAAAAACGAAGAACAUAUGGUGUCUUCAUUGUUAGAAGAAAAAUUUAAUGGAUAAGUAAUAAAAUGUGGGGCUUUUAUAGAGGUUUAAAAUGAAUAUAAAACUUUUUAAUUAUAAGUUGUUAAUUCUAACAAUGAAAUAUCAAAUUUAUAGGAUUGAAACUAUUAAUUUAUCGGUUUUGUAGGAAUUAAAACUACUAAGUACUACAUUAAAUAAACUUUAUAGGAACUCGGUAGUUUAUUUGAGAAAAGAUAAUUACAAAAUAAUAAUAAAUUAGAUGCAUAAUAAUGAUUUUUAAAUUCACUUUCCUCUUUUAUAUACAAAAUAAUCAUCUUAUAGGAUCUUCAUGUAAAGUAGGGCCCUAAGCAACCGCCUAAGUUGUCUAGAGAUCGAACCGCUACUGAUUCUAUUACUAAUUUUGAAAUUUUCAGACAUAUUUAAGCUCCACUAUUUUAUUUUUUUAAUCAAAAUAGUAUGUUUAUUAAUAAUGAUUAUAAAAAAAAGAUAAUGAUUCAAUAAUGUUGUUUAUAUAUAUUGAAUCAACUUUAAAAGUCAACAUUUACUUUACACACUCAUAUAAAUGCUAAAAUAACCCUUUAUUUAUUUAUUUUUUUAAGGCUGUAGAAUGUAUUCAUUACAAAGAUAGAGUAAAUUUAAUUUGUGGUAUUCAAAAUUUGAUGAUUACAAUUUUUGAGUUGAUGGUCUUAUGCUUCAUAUUUGCAUUAAUUUUAUGUUUAAUGGUAGAAUUAUCAAGCUCAAUGACAGUGAUUUCAUGUAAAGCUUUAUUUCCUAAUUACAAUUUUAAGUUAAUGGUCCUAGAUUUCAUAUUAACAUUAGUUUCAUAUAUCUUUUAGGUUCAAUAUUAAUGAUUUCAUGUAAUACUCAAUGAUUUCUAGUUUAAUGAUUACAAUUGUAAGUUGAUGGUCAUAUAUUUCAUGCUUAAUAGUAGAAUUAUAUUAAUGGAUGAAGCUGUUGCUAUCAUUUACAUUAAUAUUUAUUUCCUGGAACUCAUUUAUAGCACAUCUCAAUGUCAUUAUUUAAAAAUUUAAAUUGAUGGUUGGUUUUGUAUUCAUUACAUCGGAUGAUUUAUAUUUAAAUAAAUUAUUUCAAUCUCAUAUCGUUUUAUUAUGGGUGAUUUUAUAUCCACAUUAAAAUUUUUAAAGUUGUUAUCAUAACUUUUUAAAAUCAGAGUUGUGUUUAUUUAUCAAUUUAAAACGUCAAUAAUCUACUAUUGGCUUAACAAUUGAUAUUCUCAUUUGGGAAUCAUCAAGAUUUUAAAAUUUUUCAAAGCCCCCAUGCUCAAUUUAUACGCAAAAAAGAGGGGGGGGGGGGUGGGUGGUAAGAUGCAUGAUCAGAAAUGAAUUUGGCAAGUAUUUGAUUGAGUUGAGAGGUCACUAAUCUCACUUAAUUUGCGAAUCACAAUAUGAUUGUUUUCAAUCGGCACCAAAACGAAGGGCUGGUUUUGGUUAUUAUAGUGCCUUGUUCUAUGAAGGAUUUUGGUUACCCACAUAUGGGAUUGAUCUUUGCUUCUACUCAGUAUAAAUUCUUGAAUUAUACUAUAUAUGGGAUUGAGACUUUCGUUAAAUUUUAAUUUAUAAUAUUUUUCCGGAGAAAAGUAAUUAGCAUGAAACACAACAGCGGUGAAUCAUCUCAUUUUUCAAGAAAUAAUAUUUGUCAGAGCUUUUUUUUUAUAUUAGUUUAUAAUUAACUUUUUUUUUUAUAUUAAUCACGAGGUAUCCUGGGGAGGGCCCCAACUGUGGGAGGCACCUUUAAGCCCGUACCACAACCCAGACUAGAAGUCCCCGCUCGAACCGGGAGGCACAGGUUCUCCCAACAAAGGCGACUUCCCUGCGACUCGAACUGGGGAGCAAACCCAGUCAAGCCACUUAAGGGGACUCCAUUGCCAGUGGAGCCAACACUUUGUUGGUUGUUUAUAAUUAACUUUAAUAUGUAAUAAUAUAGCAUAUUCUGGGAAACCUGUUGGGAUAAUUGUUUUUAAUAUUAUUAUGAUAUUACGCAUGAUUGGCAGUCGCAACUCAUCAUCAUCAUCAUCUGAAACCAUAUUAACAAACAUUUAUUUAACAAUAUUCUUUAUGUAAACAGGAUUACCCUAAACCCAAUUAAUAUCUGCAGGGAUCAGAUGACUGUUAGAACAUAUGUUAAAUUUGUAUAAUAUAUGAUUUAAAAAUUUAAAAAAUAAAUUUUUCUUUUUUGGAGAUAACAGUUGGUAUAUUUAUGAUUAGUAAAACUAAAAGUUUUAUUUUUAUUCUAUGUGCUCCAUCAUGGCAGUAGUUAUUUUUUUUGCGAUUAAACAUACUAUUUUGAUUUAAAUGGAUUACAAAAUGGCACAUUUUUUUAACCCUUAACAGUUGGUAUUUUUUUUUAAUAAGAUUAUUAAUGCAUCAAGUAAUCUUGUUUUGAUGAUUGUAACUCGUGACUGCGGGACAAUUUCUAAUGGAAACAACUCAAUUUCGGAAGAAAACUUAAUUUUGCAAGUGAUGAAUUUGAACUCGUUGGAUUGGUUGAUUUAUGAUCGACUGAAUUUCACUUUUCCUCAUAAGAUCUUUAACCAAAGUUUAAUAGCUAUCAUGUACUCCUUAAAAGCAAUUUUUUUUUAGAUUUGACUGAAUUUGAACUUGUUGGAUUGGUUGCUUUUAGAUUAUUAAUAUGAGAUAUUACAACGUAAAUAUUUUCAUGUGGUUGAGCCCUAUUCUAAAAUCUGUAUAGUUAGCUUUAGAAAGAGGGCUUUUCCUGCUGAUCUGUAAUCUUGAAAUAAACUUAGAUAUAAAUAAUGAAAUAAAAGACAACAAACAAGCAAUACUGAUACAAAGCCAACAGAUCAGAGUUUUUGGUACAAAUCCAAUAAAAGACAAUAAACUUAGGACCUUUUUUUCUUGCUUUCUUUUGUUGAAGGAUUAGAGUUUUUGGUAUUAUCAGUAAAGGUUUCAAGGAGUAAAGCCUAUAAACUUUUUUUUUGGGGGGGGCGCCGCCGCGGGGAUUUUACACCAUACCAUCGUCAAAUUGAUAAGGGCCAUGUUAUUUUUUAUUUAAUUAAUUUAAAUUUCAACUAGAGAGCUAUUGGAAUCGAUCACUGUAAAAGUUAAGUUGUGAGGUAAUCACACAAUCUUGAGAUNNNNNNNNNNNNNNNNNNNNNNNNNNNNNNNNNNNNNNNNNNNNNNNNNNNNNNNNNNNNNNNNNNNNNNNNNNNNNNNNNNNNNNNNNNNNNNNNNNNNGAAAAAUUAAGUUUUCAUAGAAUAAAAUGGUACGAUUUUUAAUUGAACAAUUGAGUGCAAUCAGUAACAAAGGCUUUACAUAUGCAAGUAAAAUUUGUAGGUUGCUUCAGAAAAAAAGGGCAUUUCUCACUCAUCUUUAAUCUGCAAGUAAAAUUAGCUACAAAGCAAAUCUAAUAAAAUGACAAACAAAAGAACAAAACAAAGAAAAGACAGGAGGCAAACAACAUUGAUCUUAAGCCAACUGAUAAUUAAACAGAGAAUUCUUUUUUUUUUUUUUUUUAACCUGUUGCUCAAGGAUUAGAGUUUUUAUAUUAACAGAAAGGUUUAAGGGGUCUGAAUAAAAGCCCACAAUUUCUCUAUUUUAUUUUUAUUUUUAUUUUUUGAAAGGAGCUUCACUAUUGGCCUUGAAUAUAAAAGAAUGAGCAAAAGAUCAAUGUCAACUGCCGAGGAAUGUGAGUAAAGAUUUCAUCAGAGUAAGUAAUACAAAUGAAUUGUAAAAGAACAAGACUUAAGCGUGCACCCCGUGUUUUGUUUUAUUGUACGUAUAAACAUAACAUGUUCAUUUUUAACAAAGUGGUCAAUAACUCUUUUUUUUUGGUACAAAGACGUGCCUAGCAUAGACUAGGGCAAAACAAAACGGGGGUGUGAAACCCCAAUACAAUCAUGACGAAUCCAAAACCCAGCCCCUAAAGGAAGAGAAUUGAAAAGGUGCAAUUCAACAGGUAGUGAAAGAGCAGAGUUUGCAGGAAAGUCAGCUGCAAAAUUUGAUUCUCUGUAAACAUGCUUGACCUGCACUUGCCAGGUUCUGUUAAGCAAUUCCUUAAUACCCCUGACAAGAGAAGCAUGUGCAUUUGGCCUAAUCUCGUCAUCCGCCACCAAACGAGUAACACAAAGGCUGUCAACCUCCACCUGAAGCUGCCGAAUUCCAUUAUCCCAAGCCAUACAUAACCCUUGAUAAAGGCCCCAUAACUCAGCACCAAUGAUGGUAACCACACCAACAUUCAUUCCAAAACCAAUUAUCCACUCUCCAUAACAGUUUCUAAUCAAGCCACCCGUACUAGACAGACCAGAACUUUUACGAGCUCCAUCUGUGUUGAGUUUAAAACAAGGCCAAGUAGGUGCCACCCAUCCAAAAUAUUUCUAAAUCUUCAUGGCAGCAGGAACCAAACAACUCUGAUUAACCUUUUGAAUUUCUUCUGUACGGAUCUUAAUAUCCAUUACAACAGUACUCUUGCUGGUAAAAACACCAUUAUGCAGAUUUUGGUAACGCCAAAACCAAAGCCUCCAAACUGUGACCCCAAAAAGACACGGCCAGUCAAACAUACCAUCAUACUUCCACAAGUUCCUCAAAUUAUAUAACGCCCAAUCUCGGAGAUUCAAACUAAAAAAUUGAUGACUAAUCCCAUGGGGUAUCAAUGACGACCAUACAUGCUUAGCACUGGGGCAAUCCCGCAGCACAUUAAGAGUAUUUUCAACAACACAGCCACACCUUGCACAACUCAUAUCAUCAACAAUAUGUCUCCGGAAAAGUUCUGCUUUAGUUUUAAGUCUAUUUUGACCCACCACCCACAGAAAGGUUUUGAUAUGUUGGGGACCUCUCCACUGCCAAAGAAUGCGCCAAAAGGAUUCUUCAUUGUGAACCUCCAUUUUUGACAAAGCCCUAUAUGCUGAAUUAGUAGUGAAAUCUUCUGACUUAGAAUAUGCCCAGUACAUGUAAUCAUCCUCAUCAUUUACACUGGGAGGCUUGGUGGCUGCAAUUUUGAGAAGUAAAUGAUGGGGAAAUAAAUUCUCAAAAAGCCGCCAAUUCCAAGUACCCUCAACAGUGAUAAACCUCGCCACACACUCCUCAAGCUGCUGUAAACGUAUCGGCUGCAAAGCGAAAGUAUACAAAGGGUAUUCCUCUGUUACCCAAUUAUCCCACCAAAAUCUAACUCGGUUGCCAUUUCCAAUGUCCCAUUUGAUCCCUUUUAAAACCUCAUGCCAAAUGCCUCCCACAGCCUUCCACAUGUAAGAGCCAUAUUUCGUAGGUAAUGUGCCGGGGAGGGCUUUAGGAGCCAGCCCAUACUUAGACAAGAGAACCUUCACCCAUAAACUAUUUGGAGAAGCAAUUAAAACCCACCCAAUCUUCAUGAGCAGAGCAUCAUUCAUUAAAUUAAGCUGCUUAAGACCAAGGCCUCCGCUAGGUUUCAGUUGACAUAUUGUAUCCCAUUUCACCAAACUGAUUUUCUUCUUGUCUGCUGCCCCGCUCCAAAUAAACCUCCUACAAGCCUGAUCAAUUUUCUCCCGAAUACCAAACGGAAUCUUCGUGGUCUGCAUUGCAUAAAUAGGAAUUGCCUGGAUUACCGAUUGAGUGAGAGUGAUCCUACCCGCCAAGGACAAAUGUAUCGCAUUCCACCCCGACAAACGUUGGUUCACUUUGUCCAAAAUUCCCUGAUAAGUCAGCUUAUUAACCCGUGAAUGAAUAAUUGGCAUUCCUCAAUAUUUCCCUAGGUUUUUUGUGACAGAAAAACCCAAGGAAUCACCAAUUUCCUUAGCCUCAGCAGACUUUAUGUUGUGGGAGAAAAAAACUUGUGUCUUUGUUUUACUAACUUUCUCUCUAGAGCUCAUACAACAAACAUUCAACACUUCAUUAUAACCAUUGCUUGCCUACAGGAAGCCUCUGCAAGCAAGAUAAGAUCGUCAGCAAAAAAUAAGUGAGAUAAAGAGGUACCUCCACGAGACAGUUUAAUAGGUUUCCAGUGCCCUCUCUUCACAGCGUCAUUUAUUCCAUGGCUUAACCUUUCUAUACAUAACACAAAGAUAUAUGGGGAAAUGGGGUCUCCCUGUCUAAUACCCCUAGAAGGGGUAAAAAUCUCUGUAAUUUCUCCAUUCCAUAGAAGUUGCAUAGUCGCCGUUGUAAUACAUUCCAUAAUAAGCCGAACCAAAAUAGUAGGCAAUCCAAACUCCCUCAAGGUUUCAUAAAUAAAAUCCCAGCUUAAACGAUCAUACGCCUUUUCCAAAUCCACCUUAAUGGCCAUCUGCCCAAUCCUCCCUUUCUUACGUCUCAUCAAAUGAAUAACUUCCUGAGCAACCACUAUGUUUUCCGUUAUGUGUCUCCCCCGGAUAAAACUAGUCUGGGUAGGUCCAAUGAGGUCAGGCAAGAUAGAUUUCAGCCGGUUAGCUAAUAACUUAGUGAUAGUUUUAUAGAUAACCGGGCAAAGACUAAUCGGACGAAAAAGCUUAAGGCUAAUAGGAUUAUCCGACUUAGGAACCAACACAAUCAGAGUUUUGUUCAACUCCUUAGGGAUCUCGUUGCCAUUAAAAAUACCUUUUAUAAGACUACAGACAGAUUUUCCCACUACAUGCCACUGGGUCUGGUAAAAGAGAGCAUGCAACCCGCCUAUUCCAGGGGCUUUCAAAGCCUUCAUGCCGAAGAUCACAUUCUUAAUUUCCUCAUCCUCCACUGCUUGUCCCAAAGCUUGCAUUCGACUUUCCUCAAGGACUGGGAAGGCGUUAACAACAUGGUAUGGAUGAUAGAUUGCAUCCUCUUUGGAAUAGAGCUUUGAAAAGAAGGACACAGCAUAAUCUCUAAUCUCAUCAUUAUUCAACAACCAAUAACUCUAUUCGUUAUGAAAUUGAUAUUGUACCCAAUUUUAAGAGAGCAUAAUAAUAACCAUUCAAUGCAUAAAUUUAGAAUUAGGAUUUUUUUGUAAUUCUUUAUUUAAAUAUAAGCUUCAAUGGAAAAUUAUAAAAAUUUAGAUAUAAAAUUUUAAAUCACCAGACCAAAAAAAAAAAAAAAAAAAAAUAGGGGAACGGAAAUAGAGGAAUCUUGCUUUACCUUUUUUCCCUUUAACUCUUGUUCUUAUAUAAAUAAUUUUGUUUUGAUGAUUGUAACUCGUGACUGCGGGAAAAUUUCUAAUGGAAACAACUCAAAUUCGGAAGAUAAGCUUAAUUAUGCAAGUGAUGAAUUUGUUCAAUUGACUCUGUACUUGAACUAGUUGGAUUGAUUGAUUGAUGAUUGACUAAAUUUGAAUUAAGUUUAAUUGCUUAGCUAUCAUUUACUCCUUAAACGCAAACGUAAAUAUUUUCUUGUGGUUGAGCCCUAUUCUCAAAUCAGUAGGUUGCCUUUGAAAAAGGGCUUUUCUCACUGAUCUUUUUUUUUUUUCUUUAAUUCACACGCACUUGAUUAUUGAAUUCUUUCAUGAAGAAAUAAACUUGUAAUGACUUAAAGAUUUAAUUUCAAGUUAGAAUCAAUACCAAAAGACGGAGGUUUAACAAAGCCGUUUAGUGUGAUAAAAGUACUUUAAAAAAUGUUGUUCGACCCAAUUAAGUUGAAGAAAUAAUAAAGUUUUCAUGGAAUAAAUACCGGUUGUGCCUUAAUGAUUUUGGCAUAGACGUUGCUUGUGUACUGUGAAAUUGAAAUGAAUAUUAAGUGACUGCGCGAUGUAUAUGCCUAAUAAAAGAUCAGCAAAAGCUUGGAUGAAUGUUUGAGGACCAAAACUUUUAUAAAAGCAUUUUUGAGAGAAACUAAACACCAAAUUAUCAAAGUAAGAUCAACAGUAUAUGAUUUGAUUUAUACAUAUUCAAAAACAAAAUAAUGAUUAAUAAUAAAGUUUGAUUUUGUAUUGCCAACGAUGCUUUUUUGUUGUUUCAUUUGUUCGACGUGGCCUUAUUUACAAAUUGGUUUAUGUUAACAGAAACAUGAAAUUCACAUUACACAAAAUUGCAAGAACAAAUAUUAAGAGAACGUAAUAAUAAUUACUCAAUGCGUAAGGAUAAAUUUAGAAUUACAUAUUCUUUUUUAUUUAAUAAAGUCCCAACGGGAAAUCAUAAAAAUUUAUAUAUAAAAGCUUUCAACCACCAAACAAAAAACAGGGGGAAUGAAAACACAGGAACUUGUUUUAACUUUUUUUCAUCUAACUCUUGUUCUUAUAUAAUAUUUUCCCUAGUAUUUCAGGCAAAAAAAAAAAAAAAAAAAUCAAUAAAGAGCAAGUUGCUCAAAUUGAUUUAUCUUGUUUUUCAGGCAAUCUUGUGAUAUGAUGAUAAAGCUCAUGAAUGCUAGAAAACUUCUAAUGCAAACAACUCUAUUUGGGAUGAUAAGCUUAAUUUUACAAGCGAUAAAUAUAAAUAACUUUUUGUGGUUAAUUGAAUUUGUAAUUACUCUUAGCCCUAUUCUAAAAUUUGUAGGCUGCCUCAAAAAAGAAUAAAAAAAAAUUUCUUACUCAUCUUUAAUCUUCAAGUAAAAAAAAAAUCUAAUAAAAUGAAAAACAAACAAACAAGUAAAAGACAGCAAACAAACAACAUUUAACCAACUGAUAUUUAAACAGGGAAUUCUUUCUUCUUCUUCCCCCCCCCCCCCCCCCCCCCCGGGCUCAUGGAUUAGAGUUUUUGCUAUUAACUGAAAGGUUUCAAGGGUCUGAAUAAAAUCCCAGACUUUUUUUUUUUAAUUAACCAAAGCCAUAUAAUAAGAUCACAGACUUUUAACAAUGAACAAUAAUUUGAAACUCAAGCAAAACCAAUGACAAGAUUAAAACAAACCAGAGAAAUUUUUUCUUGGAAAGUAGAUGAAAACUAAGUAAGAACUGCUAUUAAAGGAUAUUAUUAAAGGAUUUAGAACAUGUAUACCUCUUUAUUUAUAUGGGAUCAGAGAGUCGAUGACCUCCUCUAUUCGCUUCGGAUAUUAAGUAAGAAUUGCUAUCAAAAGAAUGAAUUGAUGAGAGUAAUAACAAUGAAUUGCAAAAGAGGAAGACUUAAUCACGUACCCCUAUUAUACCCGAUUUUUAAGAUUUAAUUUUGAAGUCCAGAAUCAAGACAAAAGACGAAGCCUUAACAAAUAUGCAGUGAGAAUAAUUAAGUUGAAGAAAGCACUAGUUUAUGGCUCAGUGUUAAGUUGAAGUUUAUGAAAUAAUUAACUAGUUUAUUAUGCUCAAGUCAGUUUUUGGGCCUUUGCCAAAAAACUUGUGCCACCACUCAUAUGGCUUAAUAAACAUUGUCUUAAAAACCAAAAGCUUUUUGAGUAAUUUGCAGAAAAAUGAAAUAGAGUGUAAAAGAAAGGAUUUUCCAUGAGAAGAAGAGAGAAAAAGAUGCCUUGCAGACCCCGAAAAAAUAAAUAAAUCCUCCUUUUAAGGUCACGCCCCACUCUCCUCUUUUCCCCUUUGUUCUCCUCCACUUACGGGAGUUAAGGAUGAGAUAAAAGUAAUGCCUCCACUCUCCAUUUUUUUCUCCUUUUUCCGUUACCAAACAUCAGUCCCCCAGUUUCUAGUGUUGAGAGUUUUAACGAAUCAAGACUGGAAACUAUAUGAAUUUUAAAGUGACAUCGAUGUGGUUGGCAUAAAUCGGCUCGGGAUUGCUAAAAUUAACCUUACUAUUAGCAAAAAAUUUCAAGUUUUAAACUUUUACUUGCCUUUAAAUAUACCAUUUUCCUACUCGCAUAAUCAUGUAAAGCAGGUUUCAUAAGUUCACGUAUUUAUCUCACCUGAAGUAAGUUUUGAGACUUAGUCAUUUAUCUGCUUUAGAAUAUUUUUCACUCAUAUAACUCUUGCUCGCCUAAUCUUGGUCGGGCAAGAGCAGGCAAACUUUGACUUCGUCUCACUACGAGGAGGUUUAGAGACUGUAAGCCUUUCACUUGAAGUACCCUUUUUUUUUUUUUUUUACUUUCUGCUUGCCUUCACAUGGUUGAGCAGAUUCUGGCAAGCUUGACUUCUUGUCUCGCCAUCGAGCAAACUUUGAGACUUUGAAGUCUUUUAUGUGCCUUAGAAACUUUCUUGGGAUUUUUGUUCUCUGCUCGCCUUUACAUGGUCGAGUAGAUUCUGGCGAGCUUGGCUUCCUAUCUCGCCAUCAAGGAGGCUUUGAGACUUUGGAGCCUUUGCUUGCCUUAGAAACUUUUUUGGAACUUUUGUGGUUUGCUCGCCUUCGCUUGGUCCAGCAGAUCCUGGCAUACUUGGCUUUCUGUCUCGCCAUAAAUAGGCUUUGAGACUUUGGAGCCUUUGCUUGCCUUAGAAACUUUUUUGGAAUUCUCAUUGUUUGUUCGCCUUCACAUGGUCGAGCAGCUUCUAGAGAGCUUGGCUUCCUGUCUCGCCAUCGAGGAGGCUUUGAGACUUUGGAGCCUUUGCUUGCCUUAGAAACUUUUUUGGAACUUUUGUGGUCUGCUCGCCUUCGCUUGAUCCAGCAGAUCCUGGCAUGCUUGGCUUCCUGUCUUGCUAUAAAAUAAGCUUUGAGACUUUGGAGCCUUUGCUUGCCUUAGAAGCUUUUUUGGAACUUUUGUGGUCUGCUCGCCUUCGCUUGGUCGAGCAGAUCCUGGCUCCUGUCUCACCAUAAAAUAGGCUUUGAGACUUUGGAGCCUUUGCGUGCCUUAGAAGAUUUUUGAAACUUUUUUGGUCUGCUCGCCUUCGCUUGGUCGAGCAGAUCCUGGCAUGCUUGGCUUCCUGUCUCACCAUAAAACAGGCUUGGAGACUUUGGAGCCUUUGCGUGCCUUAGAAGAUUUUUGAAACUUUUUUUGUCUGCUUGCCUUCGCUUGGUCGAGCAGAUCCUGGCAUGUUUGGCUUCUUGUCUCGCCAUAAAACAGGCUUUGAGACUUUAGAGCCUUUGCGUGCCUUCAAUGUGCUCUUAUUUGAGGUUUUUGCUUUAAAUCCUAAAAUAUGGACAACCAUCAAAAAUUUAAUUUCGGACUUGUAACUUAUAACUUGUCCAGAAAAUAGCUCACAUUUACAACUUGCGCUUUAGCUAUUUAUAUAUGUUUGGGCCUUUGAUGGAUAAACAUCCUUGGUGUUUUUAUUACCAUCUAUAAUAUUUGGUUAGCAAUAUUAUUAAAGACCUUUGCUAAAGGUGCGGAGCACCAUUUCCCAACACUAAAGAUAUUAAAAUUUAUAUAUAAAAUAAAUCAUAUUAUAUAAAAUAUGUAAUCAACAAAUAAAUGGUACCAUAAAAGUUUAAGCAAAGUCAUAUCACUGUAUCAAGGAAAUACGAUCUCAUGCUAACCCAAGUUCCAUCAAUCCUUCGGUCAAGCAUGUUGUGUGCUAAUAUAUGACUAUGCUAUAUAUUCUAUAAUAUGUAAUCCUUCGGUCAAGCAUGUUGUGUGCUAAUAUAUGACUAUGCUAUAUAUUCUAUAAUAUGUAAUCUUAACUAUUUUCUAUUAACGACUUAAUAAGUCAAAACCUCAUCCAUCAGAUUUUUGAAGUCAGGUAGUGGAUUUAAAGGAUAAAUAUAAAACUGGGGUUUUAGAACAAGUGCACCUGAGAUUGUGCUCUGCAUUAUUUCAUUAGUACUUCAUCAAACAAAUCCCGAGCUUGACUCUGCUUUGCUCCCUUCUUAGAAUUAUUCUUGCAAUAUUUUAACACGGGCACAAAAUGAAUAAAAUAUGAAGGAAACAAAAAUCCAACUUCAUCAAUUCUUUGAAGCUUGAAGACAUGCCUAUCAAUUCUCAUCAUCAAUAAAAAUUUGUUUUGUUUUAAAACCAUUAUUAAGGUUAGCCAAAAUACCAAUACUCGGCCUCAUCCAGAUUAUGCUAAUUAUACUUCUUCCAACACUCAUUAACGAUUAUGAGAAUUUGUGCAAUGUGGAUGACAGGUACUAUCAAAAGACAGCGAAUAUAUGCAUAAUUUCUAAUGUUCUCUUUGCGAAAAUAUAAUAAAGCUAUGGUUAAGAAUAACUCAUGCUCUCAAUCAGUUUGAUACUUAUAUUAAAUAAACUGAAACAGAACCUGGGUUUAGAUCUUGGCUCCUGGGCAACAUUCUCUCAAGCAUAUAUGUAGUGUAUGUAGUGUAAUCAGCAACAAACUCACUUUUGAACUUUCAUAUCCCUUGAGGCGAUUUAACGAACAGCUCCUGAUUUGAAUUUUAACAAUUCUGCCUCAACUUGUAAUGAACCGAGUUUUAUACCAGAAUUGUCUAUAUACUUUCCCUGCAUAGUCUUCACAUGAAAACUAGCUGCAUGAUUGAUUGAUGGGGUGUAAAACCAGUAGGAAAUAUCUUGAAGAAACCAAAGAUCCGUGGAUUUUUAUGCUUACCACCAAAUGAAUUUAACAAUUUGUGUAAUCUUUAUUUUAAGAAAUUGAACAUUGAUAAUACCGCAAAUCGAUUGCUCUUUUGAACAGACUUUAUAUCUUGAGUUCGAUGAAAAGAGAACAAUCAAUCAAGAAAUAUAAAUACAUCAGCAAAAUAAUGAUGGUAGUAGCAUUACACAUCUAAUUAGCCAUAACGAAGCCGAAUAAUUAGCCAUAAUAAAUCUGAACUGUUAACAUUAUGUCAAGCAUGUUGUUGGAAAAUAUUAAAUUAAUUCAUUUGCAAGUAUAAUAGCAUGUAAUCUUGAAUUAUGAAUGAAGCCCAUUCUAACAAGCUAAUUUUGUAAAGGAACAUUAUCAACGAAUUCCAAGGGAUAAUAUUCAAUUUCAGCAAAUAUAUCAUGCACGGUAUUGAAACAUGCAUGUUAUUAAAGAAUUUCCAAGCAUCUCUCAUUUGAUAAAUCAAUAAUCAUAGCAAUUGGAAAUUGAAUUUUAAUGACAAUAUACUUAAAGCAAUAAAUAAGCCAAAACCUUUACAGGUAAGCAUUCCAUCCAGCCUUGAUUGGCUUCCGUGUUUGAGCCAGCUUAUCAAUUUGUGCAUGAUAAUAUUCUGCCUUUGGCUUGGCCGGAUGAAAAAUUGGUAGAGACAAGAAGUUGGCUUUUUGUACCGAUUCCCCACAGACAGUGCCAAAUGUUGAUGCCCAAAUCUGAUCUAGUCUAUUAGCGACUUAAUAUCAAACUUCUACACCAGCAUUAGAUUUAUUUGGUAGAGAAUCGAUUGGUCAAUCGUCAAGAUGUCCUGCAACCACUAGCGAUUAACUUGCGAAUACUUAAAAUCAUAGAAGACGGUCAGAGGCGCUGAAAGUUUUUCCGACGUGAACCCUCCGACACUCAAGUCAGUUUCUGGGCCUUUGCCAAAAAACUUGUGCCACCACUCAUAUGGCUUAAUAAACAUUGCCUUAAAAACCAAAAGCUUUUUGAGUAAUUUGCAGAAAACUGAAAGAGUAUAAAAGAAAGGAUUUUCCAUGAGUGGAAGAGAGAAAAAGAUGCCCUGCAGACCCCGAAAACAUAAAUAAAUCCUCCUUUUAAGGUCAUGCCCCACUCCCCUCUUUUCCCCUUUGUUCUCCUCCACUUACGGAAGUUAAGGAUGAGAUAAAAGUAAUGCCUCCACUCUCCAUUUUUUUUUCUCCUUUUUCCGUUACCAAACACCUACAAAUCUUAUCCCUACUAAUAUGCUCUAUAAGCCAUUAUUCUUCUAAAAUUAUUAAAUGCCAUUCUUCAUUCAAGCUUUCAUGGACAUUAUUUACAAAUUGUUCUUGUAUUUGACAGAAAAAUGAAAACUCCUCGUCAUACAAAACUGCAUGAACAAAUCUUCUGUUUAAUUAUGAUAAAAUAAUAAAUUCCAUUAACAGAUUCUGCUGUAUGUUAAUGUGAGGGAUUUGAUCAGAUGAUCAUAUAAUUUACUACACGCUUUAAGAAGAACAAAAAUUGAUGACUUAAAAAUUAAAAAAUAAACAUAUAAAGAGUAGAUACAAAGAAUGUUAUUUGCAAUCAACAAACUGAAGAACAGGGGAAUGAUAACAGAGGACGGUUGCUGCAACAUUAUGAAGUCAAAAUUAAGAAAGGCAUUUUUUUCUUUUUUUUUUACAUUAUUCUAUUUAAUCUUAAAUUUUUACAAUCACCAAAUGGAAAAACAGGGGACUGAAAACAAAGAAGCCCUGUUUGCAGAAACAGGGGAGUUUCCGGGUUUCUGGAAACAAACUCAGAAACGAAUGAACUGGCUGCCGGCGGUACUUUCUAGAUAAAUCUCUUGGUGUAUAUAAGCUUUCAUGAUCUGGUUUUAGUCUGGUUAGGUUCAGCCACUGUGACUGUUAGGGAUUCUCGUAAACUGAAUUUAAAGUUGCGGCUUAAAGUGUUUACCAACUUAAAACCAGAGCUAUAAAGUGUUUGAUGAAUUAUUUUUUAAUUUAAAAAAAUAAAAAACUGAUUUAGCGGGAUAAAAUAAUGCUCCAUUCUGUUUAGUAUGUGAAGUCCAGAGUAUUACAAAGAGAUAACUGAAUCUUCAAUGUAAUAAAAUAAUGAUCAGCCUCAGAGGAUACAUAAAAAGCUCAUUUAUCACAACCAUAUCCUAGUGCAUCAUAAACUUGAUUAUUUAAUUUUACUAUUAGGAAACCUACUUAUAUAAGGCGCACACCACAAAUUCUAAAUUAAAUUUCUAACUAAGAAUAAAAGGUAAAGCCUAGCAAUUUUCCACCAGGUGCCGUGUAGCCUGCAUCAUAAAUUUUGAUUUAAAUCUUUGUAAUCACCGAACAGAAAAACCGGGGAAUGAAAACAGAGGAGCCCUAUUUUUCCAUUUUUUUAACCCUUAACUCUUGUUCUUCUAAUUAUAUUUUUGCUUGGAAUUUCAAGCAAACGAAAAAAAAAAAAGUGACAACUAUUUAGAGAGAGCAGGUGGAUGAUAGCAAAAAUAUUUUUAAUUAAUAUGCAUGAUUAACUCUUGUUCUUCUAAUGUAGUGGCUUGAUUAAUAUUUUUAAUCAAGCCACUACAUUAUUGGUAGUCUCUGUGGGCUCAUUUCGUCUCCAGACCUGAUAUUGUAUAUCUCUUUUUGAAUAUGUUUAAUUAAUAUGCAUGCUGCUGAAUAAAGACGAUGAUUUCCAAAUUUUUGUUGCUUUUUUUUUUUCUUUUUCUGCUUUGGUACAUGAAGAAUGUGGAAAUAGAAAUAGCUUUCGAAGUUUAAUGGCUUGCUUCAUUAGUAAAGAAAGACUAGGAUAUCUGUCCCUUUUUGUUACUGAAUUAUUGAUCAAUUGACGGUUGAAGUGUCAAAUGUGUUCUUUCCUUACAAUUGUAUAUGCUAUUAUUAAUAGAAAUUAUUAAAGGAUUUAGAACAAGUUCGCCUUUUUAAUUAUCUGGGAUGAUGAGUUUCUUUAUUCACCUUGAAUAUGUAAUAACAAUUUUAGUGAGCAAAAGAUCACUGGUAACUGCAGAGGAAUGUGUGAGUUAAGAGCUUAUUAGAGUAAGCAAUACAAAUGAAUUUUCAAAUUAUGUACUUGGUCACUGUUGUCCUACUGUCGCACGUAUUUUUUCAUGAAUAAUUGCCAGAUCAGAAAAGAAUAAAUUCGGUUGGCUGAAGUAAGUAAAACAAUCUUCAUAUCGAACAUGAUUCCAAUUAAAUUAAGCUUUUUGUAAGAUGACUAAUAAAAGAUAAAAGUAGAAGCUUUGAUGAAUGAACGAGGACCAAAACUUUUGUAAAAGCGGAUGCCGAUAAAAUAAACAAAAGGCACUUUAAAAAGAAACUAAAGUGCGAUCAUCAAAGUAAGAUCACUAAUGAUGCUUCGCUAUUACAAGGUCCGCAUGGACAUUAUUGAGUUCUGCUAUUUGAACUACGCGAAGACAAAACAAAGACAGAAAAAUUGACACUGUUACUUCAACGGCUGUUUAUUACUUUUUGAAUUUAAAAAAUAAAAUAAUCAAAAGAAAAAGGAAAAGGAAAAGUAACGAAAAAAAAGAAAUAAAAUAAUCAAAAGAAAAAAAAAAGAUUACUUUUUGAGUUAAUCUUUCUCCAUCUCUCAUCUCUGCUAUCUGCGUUCACGCACAAAGAAAAAACUCUUCAUCUCACCAUUUUCAUCUCUUUGCAUCUCACCAGUUCCGCAUCUCAGUUACCAUAAGGAAGAAGUUAGAUCUAGAUCUAUAAACAGAGAUUUUGAUAAAAUUAGUACUGAUUAAUUAGUAAGUUAGUGACUCUCACUAUAUUCAAAUAAAAUUUUUAUUGUGUUCUAUAUAUUUAAAUGAUUAGAAUAUUUAAUUUAAAUUGUAAAAAUUCGUAAAUUUUUAUUUUUUAUAUAUUUAAAUUGUUAUGAAUUGUUAUGAUUUUUUUAAUUUAAAUGGUUGUUAAAUAAUGGAAUAGAUUAUAACAAUUUCUGAAUGUGUUUUAUGAACUUUAAAUUUUUAAAAUUAUGUUAGAUUUGACUUUAAAUCUUUGAAAUUGUAGUGAUGGAAUAAUAUUUUGUGUUAAAUUAAAUUUUUAAUUUUUGAAAUUAUGUUAGAUUUGUUUAAUUUUGUCCGCUUGCAAUUUAUUUGUUCACGCUAUCAUGAAGUGAUAUUAUAUAGGCAUCGAUGGUUUUUUAAUUAUUACAAAAUAUUAUUUUUUAAUUAUUUAACAAAAAUUGAUACAAAAUAUUAAUUUUGUAUGACUGAGAGAUACAUAGGGUUAAACAGGACGAGUAGAGAAAGGAACGAAUGAAAAAUAAGUGGAAUGAACAAAGUAAUUAACGAGAAUGAAUAGAGGGGACAAAGUGGAGAACGAGUAGUUGAGGAUGAGAAUAAGUGGAUCAGAUUUUAAAUAAUAAAGAUAUUUAAAAAAUUUUCAUUUUUUAUUAUAAUAUUUGUUGUUGGUCCCACCAAAAAAUUGGAUGAGAGCAGGCGUGAAAGAGCAUUUUUUUUCAUUUUUAUUCUUUAUUUUAAUAAUUGUUAUCGGUCCCACAAAAAAAGAAAAUUGAAUGAGGAAAGGCGUGAAACGGCAGCCAAUUUCUGUCGUCCCAUCGUCGUGCUUUCGUCUAUUUACCAUUUCUCGACAUUAUUUACAAAUUGUUCUUAUGUUUCACAGAAAAAUGAAACACUGUUCAUCAUACAAAAUUGCAUGACCGAAUCUUCAAUUUUUAUAAUUAUAAAAUAAUGGAUUAUGUGUAUGUUAAUGUUACGGAUAUGAUCAGAUCAUCAUAUAAGUUACUAGACGCAUUAACAAGAACAAGAUCUAAUGAGCUAAAAGUUUUUUUUUUAAAUUAAAUAAAUAAAGAGUAAAAGUAAAAAAAAAUGUUAUUUGCAAUCACUAAAAUGAAAACAGAGGAGCCCUGUUUUUCCUCUCGUUUCUCUUUCUCUCUUUUUCAAGUAGUAGAAAAUGAUAACAGAGUUUGAGAGCUCACUGCUUUCAUUAGUUGGAAAGUGUCGCCUAAAACACUUCCUCUGCUAGGUGGAAUUGUUGGCUUGAAGAGAAGAGUUCUUGUUACAAGCACAAAUUUUAGCUGUACAUUAUUUCCUUUUAAAUGCACCAUUGUUGCACAGAUUUGAACCCUAUGAUCAUUAGUUUUUUGUUUUGAUUUGGUUAGUUCGUGAUGACAAAUAAAUUAUUUUCAUCACAUUAUGGUAAAAAGUUGCCCUCUUUGUUACUUCCACAGCUAUUUAGUUUAAUAUUUUGUAAUAAGAUCACAAAGUGCAUGGGACCUAUUGUUCGGGUACUUAGCCUAAAAUGAAGAUCUAUUAAAAAUUUCCCUGAUGUCAUGAUAUAAAACAAUAAAAGGUACCAACUUCAGCUUAAAUUCAUAUAAAAUUAAACCUUACCACAUACUGUAUUGAAACAAAUUACUCAUCUUUAUUGGUAACAUCAUCACCUUCAUAAAAUAUAUGGUAUCGUACAAAGUUCUUGCGCUGGGUUCGGGCAUCUAACAACGAGGACACAGCAACCUAUUCGCUAGGUUAGAGACCAAAGAGCCAACAGCAAAUGUGCACGACGCAUGUCACUAUCAUGAAAACAACAUUCUUUUUCUUUUUUUUUUCUCCUCAAUAAUUUCAGAUAUAAUAUUUUAACUAAGUUUGUAACACUGUUGAUUGAAAUUAUCAAGUACGAAUGUGUGUAGAUUUUAACAUGUGCACUCAUAAUUAUUAUUGUGCAGUUUUAGACUUAGUUGGGUAUUGAGGUGCUAAAACUUUUGCCGUAAGAAAAAAAAGUUUUAAGUAUAAAAUAAAAUUUAAUAGUAUCUAAUAAAUUUAGUUUUUUAAUAAUAUGUUGAGUACAUAAAAGCCCCAGGUCGGCCAUGCUACUAUUUUCACCCCGGCAUGGAUCACCUUAGCCAAAUGGUAUGAGCAGAACGCAGGAUAAACACGAGCCAACCAGAGACGAGUACCGGCCAGGGUAAUGUACCGACCAGAAUCAUAUACCGAGCCGACACCAAUUCCCCAAAAAAGCGGGAACACGAUCCCACAGAAUCACGGUAGUUGCGCUUUUCCCAGAACCGUUGUGGGAGAUGCGAGAUCCCACGUUUGCCCACAAUGUAGCAGUUAAAAUCCCAUGAGAGGCUACCACUACCCGAGAAAGGGGGGGAUGAAGGGUGAGUGAAAACGUGGGACAGCGGCUAUAAAAGAAGAAGAAACCGAUUAAGAAGGGGAGAGAAAAAUUGAGAGAGGGAAAACGCUGCCAAAUUGCAAUCAUGCCAUUUUCUGACAAGACUCCGAAUAAUUUAGAAACCAUUUUUAGAUCUAAAUUGCACUGUUUUCCCGUAAACACCUUGAGCUAACUUAGGCAUUGGAGGGUUUUCGCCGGCAAAACCACCGGCGACUCUGAUCCGUUUUUGGUGAACGCAGGUCUAGUAAGAGAAAGGAGGGUGAUUCCAACCUCAGAGGUUCGAGCAACAGUCGAUAACGUAAACGUUGGUGAAAGAAUCUGGUCGGUCAAAAGGCGAGCAGAUUUAAGCAUCAACAUUUUGGCGCCGUCUGUGGGGAGCUGGAUAAAAAGCUACCACCGAAUUAGUAGUUACCGGAGAAACAACGAACGAUUAGACAUGGAUUUGCCAAGGAAGGACGCUUUGAGGGAGGAUAACGAAUCGGGGGAGACAAGCACCCUUCGGGAAAUUGCAAAUGAAGCCCGAGAGAGGGUGAUGCAAGAUCGAUUGGAAUAGAUGGAGAAGCAAAUGGAGACUCUCGCUACCAUACUGAAUGAGCUGAGAGAUGAGCGGAGAAGGGAUUGCGAAAUCCCCGUGGGGAGAGAUGAUGUGGGAGCAGAACCCAACCUCCGGAGGCGUAGAGUCGAGGAGAUCCCUCCGCCGGUGGACCAACCUUAUGGGGUGCAUCCCCACAGAAGCACUGGUUGAGUUCCUGGAGAACAAAUAGAUGAAGGGAGGAACUAACCUCGCCCCAGGCGAGCACUGGAAGCUGAUGGCCGAGGAGCCAGUGCUGAUGAAGGAGAGUUAAGACAGCGGUUGCAGAAUGUCGAGCAGGAGCGAGAUCAGAUAGCUGCACGUGAUCCUGACCGUGAUGUAGAAUUGGAGGGAGAGGUGCGCAGAUUAGCGCAAGUGAUAAAGGAGAUACAGGGUAAGAGGAAGCCCCCGAGCUGGAGGAUAAUGCUAGAUGAAGAAUCUCCACUAUCAACUGAGAUCGUGGGUACCAUAAUCCCAAGAGAUUUCCGCUUCCCCGACCUCAAAUACUCCGAGCGAAGUGACCCGCUGGUGCACAUUGAGCGUUUCAACGACAUGAUAGGUGUGCAGGGGCUGACACCAGCUCAGAGGUGCAGGGUGUUCCCGUUGACAUUAGAGGGACGAGCCCGAGAAUGGUACCGCAAGCUGCCCCGAGGAAGUAUAAAGGGGUAUGAGCAGAUGUGCCAGGAGUUGGCCGAGUAGUUCCGAGGGGCAGUGGCCCCAGAGGACGACAUGAUGGAACUGAUGAGGAUGAAACAGGAGGAGCAUGAAUCCCUUCGAGAUUUUGUAAAACGAUAUCACCGAGCCGUGCUAGAUCUGGGGGCUUUUAAUCACCCGCAGGCGUUGAGGGGAUUAAAAGAAGGUGUAAGAAUCGGCCGACUGUGGUAUAACUUAAGAAGCCCCCUUGUACAGAAUUACUCGUCGGGGUAUGAGCAGGCGAGGCGAGAUAUAGAAAUCGAAGAGGAGAAAUCAGCAAGAAUAAAAAGUGAACAGCUGGACGAGCUGAGGCGAAAGGAACGGAGAGCCCCAACAGGGAGCGGGUCGGGAAAACGAGCUGGAGAAUCUUCAGUGAUGGGCGGAAUAUCGGCUCGGUCCCGCCCUUACCCCAUAGCUCCGAGAUCGCAGCAGUUCCAGCACAACCGGGCUCAACCUCCGCGUCCCCCAUUUCCGGAUCGGCAACGAGAAUUCCGGCAGAUGGCUGCCCACCCCUAUCACAACACUCCCAGAGCAUUACAUGCAACCAAUUCCAGGGCUAGUCGACCAGAUCAGUUAGCAACUGGGCCAGCCUGAGGUGACAUUCAUGAUAGCCGAGCAGUUCAGCUGGUAGACCAGAGCUUGGCGUAUAGACAGUACACUCCAUUAAAGAUCUCCAUGGAGGAAUUGUAUGAGAGGAUCGAGGGACGAGGCUUGUUAUACCCUCCAGCCCCUAUAACAAAACCGGCUCACCGACGGGAUAAGAGCAAAUUCUGCAAAUUCCACGACACUCAUGGUCACACUAUCAGCCAAUGUCGUGACCUGAAAAUUCAGGUGGAAGAUUUGGUGAGAAACCGUUAUUUGGACGAAUAUGUAGAUGGAAUGUCCCCCGUCACUGAAUCACAGUACACGCGGGAUGAAGGAGCUGAGAUGGGCCUGGAACGUGAACAGCCGACUAUCCGUAUAAUAGCAGGGGGGCCAACAUUGGCUGGGGAUUCGAACAGGGCACGGGAGAACUAUGGGAGAUAUGCCCUGACUAGCAAAGAAGUGCUUUUCAAUUUUCCGGCAACCAAGAAGGCAAAAGUGCGGCAAGUUCCCAUUAUGUGGACAGAUGACGAUGAAGAGGGUAUCUUAUAUCCGCAUGAGGAUGCAUUGGUGAUCAAGGCAAUGGUGGCUGGUACAGAAUUGCGACGAAUACUAAUAGACACAGGCAGCUCGGUUGACAUCCUGUUUAAGUCGGCUCUAGAUGAUAUGGGGAUUGCAGACUUGAAAUUGGAGCGGACAAAUACAUCCUUAAAGGGAUUUGGAGGGGGAUGGUUAACUCCCAUGGGGAUCACCGAACUCCCAAUUACUAUGGGGACAAAGCCAUUUGAAAGAACAAUGAUGCUGGAUUUUGUCGUGGUAGAGAAAAGAAGCCCUUACCAGAUGAUACUGGAGAGACCGUUCAUGAGGAUAAGCCAAUGUGUUGUAUCCACGCAUUACUUGGCACUGAAAUACAGAGUAAAUGGGGUGGUUGGCGUAGUAAAAAGCGACCAGAGGAUGGCAAGGAGUUGUUAUGCUACAGCAGCCAAGGAGACACUGCAGGUUACUUCUCUAGAUAAUCGAGGAAAGUCUAAAAAGGGCCGCCAAGAGCCUGUUGAGAAGCUGGAGGAAGUUGCGGUAAGCAAAAGCAACCCGAGCAGAGUAGUGAAGAUCGGGUCAGGAUUGGUUGGGGCAGUAAAAGGCGAGCUGAUAAAUUACCUACAGUCUCAUGCGGAUAUAUUCGCCUGGUCUCAUGAAGAUAUGCCCGGAAUUGAUCGCGGGGUAGCUUGCCACAAGUUGGCAAUCAAGAAGGGGGUAAGGCCGGUGAGACAGAAGAGGAGAUGCUUCAACCAGGAAAGGUACGAGGCCAUAAACGCCGAGGUGGAGAAGCUGUUGAAAGCAGGAUUUAUAAGGGAAGCCAAGUACCCAGAAUGGAUUUCAAAUGUCGUCCUGGUAAAAAAGGCCAACGGGAAGUGGAGAAUGUGUGUGGACUUCACGGACCUCAAUAAGGCAUGCCCAAAGGACAACUUUCCCCUACCCAAAAUAGAUCAGCUGGUGGACUCAACAGCAGGUCACAGUCUGCUCAGUUUCAUUGAUGCCUUUUUCUGGAUACAACCAGAUACCCAUGGACGAGCAGGAUGAGGAGAGCACUGCCUUUAUAACUAACAUGGGUUUGUUUUGCUACAGGGUAAUGCCUUUCGGCCUAAAAAAUGCAGGAGCCACCUAUCAAAGGUUGGUAAACAAGAUCUUCAAACCGUUGAUUGGACACACUAUGGAGGUAUAUGUGGAUGAUAUGAUUACGAAGUCCAAAGAGCCGAGGGAUCAUGUGAAGCAUCUAGAAGAGACCUUUGAAUUGCUGAGGAAGUAUGAGAUGAAACUAAACCCGGAGAAAUGCGCAUUUGGGGUAAGCUCGGGCAAAUUUCUGGGAUUCCUGGUAAGCCACCAAGGGAUUAAGGCCAACCCCGAAAAAAUACGAGCGGUUACAGAUAUGAGAUCUCCGCGGACAGUUAAAGAGGUGCAGAGCCUUACAGAGAAGUUGGCAGCAUUGAACCGAUUCAUCUCGCGGGCCACAGAUAAAUGCCACCCUUUCUUCCAAAUCAUAAAGAAAGGGAGAAAGAUGGAAUGGACAUUAGAGUGCGAGGAAGCAUUUGGGCAACUGAAGGAAUAUCUGGCCCGUGCACCGUUACUGUCAACUCCGAGAGAGGGUGACCAGCUGUUUUUGUACUUGGCAAUCUCCAAGCAAGCUACCAGCUCAGUCUUAGUCAGGGAAGAAGAAGGGAAGCAACACCCGGUAUACUACACGAGCAAGGCCCUGGUGGACGCAGAAACCAGAUAUCCACUAAUGGAGAAGUGGGCGCUGGCUCUGAUAACGGCAGCACGCAAACUCCGACCAUAUUUCCAAGCCCACCAGAUCGUUGUGAUGACUGACCAGCCCCUUCGGCAAGUGCUUCAAAAACCAGAUGCGUCUGGUCGGUUAGUAAAAUGGUCAGUGGAGCUGAGCGAAUUUGACCUGACCUACAGGCCCCGAGGAGCAAUCAAGGCCCAAGCCCUGGUAGAAUUUAUGGUAGACCGAGCUGAGCCAGGGGAAGGAGAUCGGGAGUAGCAACCGUUAGAGCAGGAGAAAACAGAGGGGAUGUGGUUGGUAAUGGUUGACGGAUCAUGUAGUGAGCAAGGAUCCGGAGCAGGAGUUGUAAUACGGAGCCUAGAAGGAUCCGAAAUAACGUAUGCAGUAAAGUUUGAAUUUCAGCUCGCAAACAACCAAGCUGAAUAUGAAGCCUUUAUCACCGGGCUCGGACUCGCACAUGCCUUAAAAGCAAAAAGGGUAAAAAUUCGAGCAGAUUCCCAAUUGGUAUGUAAUCAGCUCAAUGAUCAGUUCCAAGCAAGGGGAGAGAAGAUGGGCCUUUAUUUGAAGAAGGCGAAGUAGAUGGUCGGGCUUUUCCAAGAGGUGGAGGUGAAGCAGAUAUCUCGGAAUGAGAAUUACCGAGCAGAUAUUUUGGCUAGGAUGGCUGCAGUUGCAGAUCCGAAAUUACCUAAGUCGGUUCCACUAGAGGUAAGGACCUCGCCAAGUAUAGGAGAGGAGGUAGAGGUGAUGAGAGUAUGCAUUGGAGAAUCAUGGAUGGACCCGAUUCGCGCAUAUAUCCGGGAUGGAAUCUUACCAGAGGACAAACAGCAAGCCAGGAGAUUAAAAUGCCGAGCAGCGAGGUACACUCUACUAGAUGGAGUGCUGUAUCGCCGAGGGUUCACCUUACCCCUUUUGAGAUGUGUGGAUGAUGAGGAGGCAGAUUAUGUACUGAGGGAGAUUCAUGAAGGAAUAUACGGCAAUCACUCGGGAGCAAGAACUUUAGCCUUCAAGGCACUCCGGCAAGGAUACUUUUGGCCAACUAUGCACCAGGAUGCGAAAAGGAUGGCAAAGAACUGUAAAACCUGCCAAAGCUUCUCUAAGGUUCCUGCACAACCCCCAGAGAAGCUGACCACUAUGACAUCCCCGUGGCCUUUCGCUCAAUGGGGAAUCGACUUGAUUGGUCCGUUACCUAAGGGCCGAGGAGCGGCGACACAUGCAAUUGUGGCAAUAGACUACUUCACCAAGUGGGUAGAAGCGGGAGUCCUCAGCCAAAUCACCGAGAGGAAGACAACAGAUUUUAUUUGGAGAAAUAUCAUUUGCAGAUACGGGAUCCCCUAUGCCAUCAUUACAGAUAAUGGGAGACAAUUUGACAACAGCAACUUCAGGGAAUUUUGCCGAAAUUUGGGGGUGGACCUGAAGUUCUGCACCCUCGCACACCCCCAGGCAAACGGACAAGUGGAAGCAGCCAACAAAGUAAUAAAAAAGCUUUUGAAAACUAGAUUGGGAGAGAAGAAGGGAGCCUGGGUUGACGAACUACCAGGAGUAUUAUGGGCCUACCGGACAACUCACAAAACCGCCACAGGGGAAACCCCGUUCGCUUUAGCCUUUGGUCAUGAGGCGGUAAUCCCAGCAGAAAUCGGAGUAGGAACACAUCGAACAGAAUAUUUCGCUGAGGAGAAAAACGACGAGCAGAUCUGCUUAAACCUGGACCUGCUGGAGGAGAAAAGGGAAGGGGCCUCGCAGAGAGUGGCCCAGUGUCAGCAACGGGUCAUGCGCUAUUACAACAAGAACGUACGCGUGAGGCAGUUCCGAGCAGGAGAUUGGGUACUUAGGAAGGUGAACCAAAACACCAGGAAUCCUAACCAUGGCGCUCUUGGCCCAAAGUGGGAAGGCCCGUAUAGGGUGGUACGAGCCACUGGACCAGGAGCUUAUAAGUUAGCGUACCUAGAUGGACGAGACGUGAGGAGGUCAUGGAACGCCGAGCACUUGAAGAAGUAUUUCCAGUAAGCAAAGUGCUCUACCAAAUCUUCAUUUUGACAAAUUGUUUGUGUUAACUGCAUGAUGGCUUGAUGCAUAUGUAUGUAUUCAGUAUUUUUGUAACACAUUCAUGUUUCAAAUAAAGAUGAAUUCAGCAUGAAAUCCCCCUACUAGCAAAGCCAAAUAAAAAUUCUACGAAGGCAAGCAAAUGCCUACUUCUGCUUGGUCAACGAAAGACCAGCAGCUAAUUUUACGAGAAAUUCACUAAGGAAAGUGAGUGCCUGUUUCUGCUCGGUCAACGAAAGACCAGCAGCUAAUUCCGCAAAAAUUCUAUUAAGGCAAAUAAGUGCCUAUUUCUGCUCGGACAACGAUAGACCAGCAGCUAAUCUACGAAAAUUCUACUAAGGCAAGUAAAUGUCUGAUUCUGCUCGAUCAAUGAAAGACCAGCAGCUAAUCUACGAAAAUUCUACUAAGGCAAGUAAAUGCCUGAUUCUGCUCGGUCAAUGAAAGACCAGCGGCUAAUCUACGAAAAUUCUACUAAGGCAAGAAAAUGCCUGCCUCUGCUCGGUCAACGAAAGACCAGCAGCUAAUCUACUAAGGCAAGUAAAUGCCUGCCUCUGCUCGGUCAAACGAAAGACCAGCAGCUAAUCUACUAAGGCAAGAAAGUGCCUGCCUCUGCUCGGUCAGCGAAAGACCAGCAGCUAAUCUACGAAGGCAAGUGAGUGCCUGCUUCUGCUCGGUCAACAAAAGACCAGCAACUAAUCCUACGAAAAUCCUACUAAGGCAUGAAAGUGUCUACUUCUGCUCGGUCAACGAAGGACCAGCAGCUAAAUUUAUGAGACUUUUACUAAGGCAAAUAUGUGUCUGCUCCUGCUCAGUCACCGAAGACCAGCAGGCGAUUUUGCGAAAAUUUUUACCAAGGCAAACGGAUGCCUAUUCCUGUUCGAUGCACUAAAGAACCAACAGGCGAAACCAGACAAAAAAGCCAAUAGAGAGCAUUUAAAAAAUUUUAUAAACGUUCAAAUGUUUACAAAGCAAAUGAAAAACUAGAGUCUUUACAAAAAUAGACCUAAGGAUUAGGAGGAUCAACGGCCUCAGCAGGUGAAGGGUCAGCUAUCUCGGGAGGUGGAAGGUCAGCAAUAUCGGGAGGAGGAGGCACGGACCCCUGCCCCACUUCAAAAACACGCUGCCCAGCUUCUCCCUCCUGCACCCCAUUCAAAGGAACCUCCACCUGCUCCUGCUCAUCCUGCUCCUUAUCUCCUUGGCCGGCCCCAGCCAUAUACCUCUCCACCCCAGAUUCCAGCUUGCUCAUGUCGAGCUCGGGGUAUUCUUCCUUGAGUACAGACAUGAUGCACUUAUAGCUGAAAGCAACCCCGGAGUUAUACUCAGCAUCCAACCGAUCAUCCACAUCAGCGGAUUUGCCUUUCUCUUCAGCCAGCUGGUCACUCAGGGAUUUGAUCUCUCCCUCAAGGGCGGUCCUCAGAGUAUCUCUUUCACUUUGAGUAGCCUGAAGAUCGGACUUCAGAUCACCCAGCUCACCCUCAAGCUUGGAGGAAGUAGACUCAGCAACCGCAACUUUCUCCUCAAGCUCCGUAAGCUGCUUGUUCAGCUCGGCCAGCUUCUCUUUGGACCGAUCAGCAGAUUCGGCUUUCUUUUUCAACUCCUGGUUAUCAGCUUGAAGCUUCCUCUCAUGACGCGCGGACCCGGUCUUGUAGCACGAGACCAUUGUGGCCAGCCUGAAAGAGACUCUUUGAACAGAAGCAGCUAACUCGGAGAGGUCCAUGCUCUCGAUGUCCUUCACCAUCUUGGGCCCAACCGAUUUUUUGUAAUCUUUCUGGUAUAGGCUCAGGUAGUCACCUUGAUCCCGAGAUGGAAGAGGAGCAGAUCGGUCCCCAGACUGCAAGCUGACCUCAGGACUCUUGUCGGAGGUUUUCUCCCCACCACUCUUACAGGGUGGGGGAGGGGGCAGAGCAGGGACAGGAGCCUUGGAGGGGCCGACACUAUUCUUCUUUGGAGGAGGAGGAAGGUUGCUGGAGCUGCUUGGAGCCCGACCACGCUUCCUGCUCAUUGCGCUGAGGAUCUUGUUAUCCAUUCCAGCGGCUAUGUCCACUAGGCCCGAACCGACCAGGUUUGUUGGUGACAGGAGGUCUUGGCAGGUAGACGCGUUCACCAGAGCAGUUUCCACCUGAAGCAAAGGCCGAUCUUCAAGCCCCUUUAUCAAACCCCACGACUCUGAAAGAACAAACAAGGUUAAAGAACCCAAUAAGUAACAAGUCGAGAAAGAGUAUAGGCAAAAAAUAAACGACCUGGGGUGACAAAAUGUGUUGGAAGGUAAAUAUCACCACCCAACGAAUGAGCUGCUGGACACUAAGCUCCUCCAGCAAAGAAGAAUUUGUUCUUCCAAUUUUUGCACGAGGAGGGGAAGCCGGUGAUUGGUUUCCUCUUCGCAGAGCUUGACAUGAAGUAAUACCAGCUUGCUUCCUUCGGGCUACUCCUCAGCUGGUAUAGAUGCUUCACUUCAACGAGGGAGGGCUCCUCUGAUCCACACCUCUUCCACAACACAUAUAUAGCCGAGAGAACCCUCCACCCAUUGGGAUAUAGCUGACCUAGGGCCAGAUGCAUACCACCCAAUAUCUUAGCGAAAUAACGUUAAAGGGGCAGCCGAGCUCCUAAUUUGAAGCUCUCCAGGUGCAUCGUCACAUACCCCCGCGGAGGCCGACUAGGGACGUCACCUUUUCCUGGAACUACCAGGAGAAUCUCCGCAGGAAUGUCGUAAAGGUUCCUCAGCUUGAACAGAUCAGUUUGGGUGGUGACACAAGCUGUGUAGUCAAUAGGGUAAAAAUCCGCCUCUACCCUAUGACCAAGGUGCCUUCUCUGAGGAGGUCCGCUCGGUCCAGAGCUGCUCCCCUCACCAUCACCAACUCCUUCAAGGAUCCCAACCCCAUCAAAGCUGUGCUUCUCACCAGAGCCCGACGCAGGUCCACCUCUAUUCCCUACAAGCUCUAGUUCGGGGGAGGGAGAGACAACCAAAGGGCGUGGGUACUCAAGGGUAUCCCUGCCAUGGGAAGGACCUACACUACUGGAGGGACCUAAGAAAUCGGUGGGUAUUGGCACGUUGAGGCCCGAAUCCCCUGAUUCUUCCUCGCCCUCAUCAACAAUUAACUUUCUUUUCCGGUUUGACAUAUCGGAAUCCCAAAAGAAAGCAAAGAAAACUCGAAUGUACGGAUACAAAAGGGGGCAACACGGAACCCAAUCAACAACAACAAGAGAAGAGAUUAAAAGCAGUACCUGAGAUUAACUGGCCCUGAUAGCGCUGCCGUGACAGAGAAAAAACCAGCAAGUAGAAACUCCGGACGCAGGAAGUGUGAGUAAAGUUCAGAGAGGGGGCUGGUUAACGGUGGAGAAACGGAUAAACAAAGCAAUGAGGAUUUCAACCUAGGGAUUUGAAGUGAAAAGGGGAAAGAUAGAAGCAUUUAAGUGAUGAGGAUGCCAGCUCACUCACCACAUAUCGAGGGUGGAUAGCCCGUCGUUUCAAAUUUCAAAUACGAAGAGUCUGGUGAUGCCACGUCACUAACCGUUACAAGAGGCCAGGAUAGAUGUAAGCCCAGAUAUGCAAUGGACAUGUUCACUUAGGCCCAUGCUCAGGUCGGAGUCUCCCCAGAAGAAAAAUGGUACAUCAGGUCAGGCCCAUCCCAAUAAACAGAGGACCAGAUGAGAAGCUCCCCGGGUUGGUGAGAUUUGACCAUCAGUUUCUACUCUUAACUCAUUUCACUCGCCAGACCAGAAACUGGGGGACUGGUGUUGAGUACAUAAAAGCCCCAGGUCGGCCAUGCUACUAUUUCCACCCCGGCAUGGAUCACCUCAGCCAAAUGGUAUAAGCAGAACGCGGGAUAAACACGAGCCAACCAGAGACGAGUACCGGCCAGGGUAAUGUACCGACCAGAAUCAUAUACCGAGCCGACACCAAUUCCCCAAAAAAGCGGGAACAUGAUCCCACAGAAUCACUGUAGUUGCGCUUUUCCCAGAACCGUUGUGGGAGAUGCGAGAUCCCACGUUUGCCCACAAUGUAGCAGUUAAAAUCCCAUGAGAGGCUACCACUACCCGAGAAAGGGGGGGAUGAAGGGUGAGUGAAAACGUGGGACAGCGGCUAUAAAAGAAGAAGAAACCGAUUAAGAAGGGGAGAGAAAAAUUGAGAGAGGGAAAACGCUGCCAAAUUGCAAUCAGGCCAUUUUCUGACAAGACUCCGAAUAAUUUAGAAACCAUUUUUAGAUCUAAAUUGCACUGUUUUCCCGUAAACACCUUGAGCUAACUUAGGCAUCGGAGGGUUUUCGCCGGAAAAACCACCGUCGACUCUGAUCCGUUUUUGGUGAACGCAGGUUUAGUAAGAGAAAGGAGGGUGAUUCCAACCUCAGAGGUUCGAGCAACAGUCGAUAACGUAAACGUUGGUGAAAGAAUCUGGUCGGUCAAAAGGCGAGCAGAUUUAAGCAUCAACAUAAUAAUUUUGAUAAAAUUAGAAAAGAUAUAAUAAUUUUUUUAUUAUAUAAGUGUAAAAUCAAAUCAUCUUAACUUCUAAACUACAACAACUAUAACAUUUGAACUAUUCAAUCUCAAUUCCUAAUAGACUCUUAAUUUAUAAUUAGAUUGUCACUAAAAGAUUUUAAGUAUGUAUUUUAGAAUUUAACGAAUACACUUUUAAACUACCUUUGCCGGAUGAAAUGUUGGGAAAUUUUUAUUAAGAUCCAAAAGUAUUUGAAAUAAAUUUAUGUUUUUAUGAUGCCAAAAAAAAUAAAAAAUUAUGAACAUUUUUGUGAAGCUUAGGCGAAAAUUUUUGUUAGGCUCUAUUGGGCUAGAUGAGCAGCUCGGGCAGUUAAUUGUCGCCCAAGAAGCCCAACCCAGAUUACAACAAGCUGGGAUUUAGUUAGCUCGUUGACGGCCAUUUGGGUAUGCAUGAAUUGGGUGGAUGAUUAAUAAAUACGUUUUAUUAAUUAUUUCGCCGAUUGGGAUAUUCUCCUAAUUUAAUCUUUUCUAAUAUUAUAAUAAAGAGAUUUUGACAUGUGUAAUACAUGUGUUAUUUUAAUAAUCCAAUAGAUAAUAUCUACUUUAUUUUUAUCUUUCGUUAUUAAAUACAAAAACACUAAUAAAAAAAAAAUGACUUAACUCUUUUUAUAUUUUUAAUUUUUAUUUAUUUCCUUUUAUUGCUUUCCUAGCAAUGUUCAUCUUUUUACUAUACAACAUCCAUAACCUUAACUUUGGAAAUAAAAGAGAAUAUGUGAAAGUAUAAGUAGGAGAAAGACUUCAUUGAAAUCAAACAAAUUGGGCAACGUUAGAUUUUUCUUUAAAAUUCUCAUGAGAUAUUAAUUAGUAGUAUUAUCACUGCUGCCUGCCUAUUUCUAACCUCAACCAAUAUAUGAUCAAUGCUUGAUUUGGUCAAUCUAAAUAAUUAUGAUCGAUGAUUGGAUAUUGUUGAAGGGCGGCCCUAAGGAUGAGAGAGGGGAAUGCGUGUGCAAGCCACAUGUGUGAAGAAAAAGAAAAAGGCAAGAGUGAAGAUGACGACGAUUAAAAUCUUGUUUGAUUUCUUUUUCUGAUAAUUUUGUUAAUCUGCUGUUGUUAGUUCCAAAAUUUUAGUUAGCAACAAAAUGACAUGUUUUUGUGUUUAAUAAGGAAAAAGUAAAUAAUAUAUUUUCUAUAGGAUUCUUAGAAUGGAUUAGAUUAGACUACGGAGAGAAAUAUAUUUGAGAAUAUUAGUGUUGAGUUAUUCUAAUGUCUUUAAUAGUAAAUUCAAUUAAGACUAUUUUAGUAAUAUAUUUUUUUUAUUGAAAUUAGAGUGUUCAAAGUUAUAAAUAAAAAAUUCAAUAAUUUUUUAUUGAAUUUAUAUAACUCUGGAUUCUUUUUUUUUUUUUCCAACACUGAUAUGGUUCUGUUCUGUGUAUUUAUAUACAAUUUAAUGUUUACAUACAAAUUAAAUAAGAUCAAUUUAAUGUUUAUAUACAAUCCUUCAAGUCGUAACUCAAUUUUAUGGAGGUUUAUACAUCUGCACGCAUUCCUUGAAUUUCUCCUAGAUUGGAACUUCUUAAUUGAUCCAAUGCAUUUUUCCAACAGUCAAGAUCCUUAGUUGUCAGAGCAUUUGCAAUCGUACUCAGUGCACCAGGCAAACCUCCGCAUCUUUCAACGAUCGAGGAGUAUUUUUGUUGAAUCACCGACUAUAUUCUCAAAUAACUGCAAUGCUUCUUUUUUUGAUAACGCAUCGAUCGAGGAAUUUUUCUGAGAUUUCAUAUCAUUGCACAAUAAUAAAUCUCGACUUCUAGACGUCAAUAUUAUUUUGCAUUGUCUCUGAUCGUCAACAUCCCCGGAAGUUAAUGAACGGAAUUCUUUUAUCCUUUCUAUCUUUCUCAUCAACAUCCCCGGAAGUAACCACAUCGAACAACUUAUCUUCCCUCACUUGCUUUGCAACAUCUUGGAAUACUUUCAUUCUGGAAUCAAAGGCUACGUAAUCUUUCACUUGCACGUACUCUGUACUCUCUGGAGCAGGACGGUAGGAAACAUGAUUACAGAUGUUAAAUUCGCCUUUUUUCACAAGUUUAUCAGCUUCGUUUGCGGCCUCUGCUGCUUGUUUACCAAGCUUGUAACGAGAAAUCAAAUUUGGGCACAACCCUUUGAAGCAGAACAUCUUAGCUCUAUCUUUAUCAUCAAUCAUGGAUUUUGCAACCCCUUCACUGAAUUCAGCAACUCUAUUUAGCCAGUCUCAGACACCCUUAUAAAUCUCAUCUCCUUGUAGAGUAGCCUCUCUAACCAGCGUUUUCACCCUUUCUCUUAUAUAUUCCAGCUCCUUCACUCAAUCUUUUAGCCCAUCUAUGUAGCUUUGGUAUUCGAACACAUAAGAUAUGUGCCGCAUAAUCGGUUCGAAUAAUGCUUUUGAACCUUGUGAUACAAUGCUGGAAAAAGCAGGGAGACACCCUUCAACAGCCAUUGCCUGUUGCUUAACAAUAUAUAUAUAUAAAUACAAGUGUCAAAGAAAGGAAUGCAAAUAAAUUAAAAUGAACUAGAGGGAAAGAUAGAGAAUGAAAAGAUCACAAACAAUAUGGCUAUAUUGAUCUUGAACCAACUAAUAACUAAAUAGAGAAUUUCUUUUUCUUUCUUAAGGAUAAGAGGUUUUACUAUUAACAAAAAGUUAUUUUGAGGGUCUGAAUAAAAAACCAACCAUAAAUUAUCAAAAGCUAGUAAAAACACAGACAUAAAUAAUGAACAAUUACUUAAGCAAAACAAACUAUGAAACAAAGAAAAUCUAAUAAAAUGACAAAGAAAGAAAGAAAGAAAAUACAACAAAAAGUAUUGAAGUAUUGAUCAUGAGCCAACUGAUAUUUAAACAGAUUUUUUUUUUAAUUUUUAGUCUUUUGCUAAAGGAUUAGAGUUUUUGCUAUUAACAGAAAUGUUUCAAAAAUCUAACACUACUAGAAAAGUAUUAAAUAAUGACAGAAAUUUGAUGACAUAUAUCGUUGUGUCACGAAUGUGUCAUAAAAAUAUGAUAGAUUCAUAAUAUAUAUUCAUAUGUCCAGAAUAUAUGACAUAUUCAUGACUUAUAAUUUAACCGUCCUAGAUAAAUGAUACAUAUAAGUCAUGCUUAGGUUUUGUGAACUUAUAAGAUUGUAAAACAGUGUUGUUUAAAUUAACGACACCGUUCUGUAUAACUUAAAACACAUCAACACUUACAGCCAAAUUUUGGCUAAGCGUUGAAUGAAUCCCUCUCUCUCCACUGGCCACUGCAACCUAAAAUGAAUGUUUAAAUUAACGACACCGUUGAAUUAAAGCCUAGCUCAAAUUCCUUUUUUCAAUCGAAAUAAAACGUAGCCACAAAACCCUAAUUCACCACACCAAAUUAUCUCUGCUCGGUAUUCAUUUAAACCCUACCUCGCGGUUCAAUGUCAUUCAAUACGAUUGCAGAUGCCGUUUCAACUUGUCAUUUAGUUAGCGCCAUCCAGUUCCCUAUGGUAAGCCUUAACCCUAACGCUAGUAAGAUUUGCUAAAAAUUUCAUAUUUUGUAUUGUUCCAGUUGAAUUUCAUGUUAAUUUAAUUCUUCUUUGCCUUCUUUUUUCUUCUUCUUUAUAGUCACGCUCUGGCUUUGGUGCUAUGCUUAGUGCAGUUUGUGGUUUCAAGAUUAAGUCAUGUUUAUUUGAUGGCAUCGAUUCCAUCGUUGAGGAUUGGAUUGUUGAUCAAAUGCACCUAGUAAGCUCUUCUUAUUUUAUCUCAGUUUCAAUUUUCUUUUAUUAUCUGCCUCUACCUAAAAAUGGACGUGUUUUACUAGUAAGCAUAGACUUUGUUUAUUUAAUUGAUAUUUUAAUUUUAUGUAUAAGAAUGGAGGUUUAUUUUGAAAAAAAAAAAAGGAAAUUAAAAAAUAGAUUCUGUUGAAGCUAAUUAGUACUGAAUUUUUUUGGUGGUGCGACCAGAGGUGGAAACAGGGUAUGAAAAUGUGUUACUGGUGAGGUUGCUGCUUAAGAUGAGAAUGCAUUCUUUUCAAAAAUCCUUGGUAGGUGUUAUCUAAUUAUCUUUGAUGGAAUAUCAAAUGGCUAAAAAUCUGUCAUACGUUCAAACUUUGUUUGUGUUUAGAAGAAUGGUGUUGACUGUAUAUUCGUUUGGAAGAAUGGUGUUGAUUGUAUAUUCAUUUGCUUAGCCUUUUGACAGAUGGAUUGUAUAAUUGUGUUUGCCUCACUGUUUUUUUUUUAUGAGAUCUAUAAUUGAUCUGGGGAUAUUACUUUCUAGUUCUCAUGCAAGCAAGUUACUACCUUCCCACUGCAUCUCGUCCUUUAUCUGCUAUUCAAGAGAUGCGUGCCAUAAUCUGGUGUUACCUCUGCAAGAUUGUGAAUGAAUAUAAUGCCUCUAAAUUUAUUUUAUACAUAAUGCUGAUGCUGAAUAAUAUAUUGUAGCUCCUGUCAUAUUCUACUUUGACUUUUUAUAUUCUGUUUCAUAUAAAAAUCUUAUUCAACUUUAGUUGUUCAUGAGCAAAUGUCGCAUGUAUAAGCCCAAAUGAUGUUUAAAGGUAGCGCGGCUACCUUUAGUUUGAGCUUACAAUGGAUGAAAAAGAAAUUGAAACUGUUUUUCUGAUUUUUCAAAGUAUUUUAGAUCCUGACUUUUGUUUGGACUUGAUGGUUAUAGAUUGUGUCUAGAUUUGUUAAGUUGUUUCCAACACCUCGUGCCAAAUGAAAGCACAAUCUUUCUGAUUCAGAUGUUUGGUUAAUUAUGCUUCAUUUUUUUGUUAAAGAUUGGAUGGUUGCAUGGAUUGAUGGAGUUGGAGUUCAACCAAUAAUUCUAAUUUUUUGGACUUAAAAUGCCUUUUUCUUCUGUAUAAAAACUUUAGUAAGUGCUAUUGAGUUGACAGAAGUUGAAUACUUACAGGUUGUUUCACACUUUUUAAUAGUUUUACAUAUAUGAAUUUCUGUUUUUUGAAUUGCAGAAAGGAGGUGGAACUAUUGAUUUGGAGCCUUAUCUUACUCACUCAUCGACAACGGAGCCUACCCUCGCUCCCAUGGCAGUGGAACGGACAACGACUACUAGGGCUGCAACAUCAGUUGGUUUGGGUCUGUUUUGAGUUUAUUUUCAUUUAUUUGGCUAUGUUUUGAUAGCGAAUUUUGAUAUGUCAAUAUAAUGUGUAAUUGUUUUGGGUUGAGCUGGUAUUUAUGCUGGAUUAGAUUGGUUUGGUUUUGGUGCUUCUCUGAUGGAACACUGCUUCUUUUAGAAAUUUUGAAUGUAAUAUGAGACUACAUUUAGUUUAAUUGAACACUGCAUCUAGUCUAAUUACUAGAAGUGUGGCAUUUGGUUUGGUUUAUCCGAUAUUCUCCAGAAUUUCACUUGCAUCUGGUUUUGUUGCAUAUGUUUGCUUGCAUUUGAUGGCAGUAGCAGACUGUUUGGUUUUGUGACAUUUGACGGCAGUUUGGUCUGUUCUUGGUGUUGAUUUAAGAUUGUUCCUGUUGUGCUGAUGUUAAUUGCAGGUGCUGGAAUCAGCUAGGGUUGCUGGUUUAUUCAGAUAGUUGACUCAGGCGUUGUUACUGGUUAAUUCAGGUGGCUGACUCAAGUUGUUCAUUUAAUGUUAGGAAGCAAAUUAAGAAUUAAUGAAGUAUUCAUUUAACUAUAAUUAUUGUAGUUAUUUUAUUUCAUAACUGAAUUAUAAUCUAUGGUACUUGUGAACAAAUUAGAGAAUUUUUAUAUAUGAAUUAUAUAUAUGUGUGUGUAUGUACAUUUUGCUAUUUAUGUAAUAAUUUAAAGAAUAUAUUUCAAUUCCCACAAAAAAAAUGGCUCCAAUUUCAAUAAUUCCCGCCAAAUAAUUAAUUUUUUUUUAAUUUACCACUAAAAUAUAUCUUAAAGAAAUUUUAGUUAUUCUUGCUAGAUUUAACAAAAAUAAUUUGUAGGAUUAACAUUUAAUUAAAAUAAUUAAAAAAUUUUAUUAUUCCAAUUAAAAAUGUCAUGUUUAUACGAUAGACAAUAUUCAUGAAUGGGAAGUAUUAGUUACAUAUUUUUCCUUGGGAUUUCAGGCAAAUGAAAAAAAGAUUGAGAAUGAUUUCAAGAGGACAGGUGGAUGAUAAGUAUUCAUUUUUGUAUAUUUGGCUAGUGGAUUUUUAUGGUAUUGAUCUUUUUUUAAAAAAAAAAAAAAAUUUCAAUUAGUUGCAGCCCUAGAGGAAGAGCAGGCUGAUCAAAUUGAUUUGUCUUGUUUUUCGGGCAAUCUACGACACGAUGACUGUGAUAAUGCUCGUGACUGCUGGAAACUUUCUGAUGGAAAUAACUUUAGAGUUCGUAGCAAGCAUUUUUGUUAUGACAAAACAAAGGUUCCCCCAUAUUUUGUUUGUUUGUUAUGGUAUUUAUAUAUCCUGCAUAGGCUAGGUAGACAGGUUAUGAUGUAGUUUGGUUGGCUCUUCUUGUGCUUGUGCAAUUUGUAACUGCAGAUACCUGCGGGAAAACAUUUAAUGGAUCUUGUUGCUGUUGAUUGGUUCAAAGACACAAAGAGAAUGGACCAUGUAGCUAGGCGUCAAGGCUGUGCUGCACAAGUAACUAUUCUUUUCUUUUUAUUUUUCCUUUUCCAUUGAUGCAUUAGGAGAAAAUACUGCCUGUGAGAUACUACAAUGUAAAUAACUUCUCAUGGUUCAUUGAAUCUAUAACACACUGACCCUCUUCUAAAAAAUGUAGGUUGCUUCUGAAAAAGGGCUUUUCUCACUGAUCUUUAAUCUUCAAGUAAGUUUGUUUCAUUUCAGAAGGUAUUAAGUUUCAAACUUAUUGUAUUGGGAGGUUGUAUAGUUGUAACCUAAGCAUCUGCAGGUUCCUGGAUCAACACAUUAUAGUAUGGUAUUUUAAUUAGUCGCAAGGCAAUUGGUUGUGGGAUCACUUUUGCAACGGUUUGUUGAUGGCGAUGAUGAGUUUCGCAAUAGUAGGUUGAAAUUUAUUCCAUCUGUUCCUAAGGUAUCCAUCUUGGCCUUCAUGUAUUAGGACUAUAUUAACGUAUACUAACCCUUUACUGCAUGGUACACUUCAAUUUGUCCAAAGAAGGCAUGCAUUUAGGUGUAAAUGUAUUGAUGGGUUGUACCUUCAAACUUCGUGUCCAUUUUUACCCUCUUGAAUUUGUUUUGCACUUGUUCUUGAUUUUAAGCACUGAAUCAUGCAGGGGUCAUGGAUGGUGCGCCAAGAGUGUUGGAAGCACCCCUUGUUCAUUAGUGAAAGUGGUUGAUUGUAACUACAGAUGAAUUGUUCCCCUUUCAAAUAGCGUCCGAUACCAUUAACAUGGUUUAACAUUGUUCAUCUUUCUGUAGAUUAAUGUUGACAUCGGUUCUUCUACUGUUGCUAAUGGAGUUUUGGGCCUUGUAAUUGGUGUAAUUGCGACAUUGGUGGUUGACAUGGCUUUCCUUGUACAGGUAUGUAUGAUUGUUUUUUUCCCCCACUUCUAAAUGGACACAAGGGAAAAGACAUGAUUUUGAGAUAUUGCACUGCAAUUUGCAUUUUUGCAUACUUGAAUGUUCUCAGAAUGGUAUAAUGCUUCGUGUGUGUCUUCUUUAUCUUGCUCUUCUGUAUGCAGGCAAAUACUACAGAUGAAUUACCGGAGCGGCUGAUUGGUGCUGUACGUGUUUCUCAUAUAGAACUCAAGUCUGCUGUUGUCCCAAAGUUGGAACCAGAGAUAUCAUGACUCUGGUUUCAUUUCACCUCAACUGUGUUUUUUUUUUAAUUAAAAAAAUCAUUUGUUUUAGGUAUACAUACAUGUAUUUUGAUUCUAUUUUCAUUGUAAUUUCUCAUUUACUUUGAAUGAAAGUCAUUGGUGUUUUCGAAUGGGAAUUUUGCAUUAAAAAAUGAAGAAUAGUGAUUUUUGGAGUGUAAUUAGUAGUAAAGUUGGUUUCUACUCGCAAACAAGUGAACUGCUCGAUUCCCGAGUGGUAUCAACCAGUUUCCAACUUUUUAAUAUACACUAAUUGUUAUUGUUUAAUAGCUACUACUAUUAAAACUCGACAGCUAACAAAAAUACUUAAAAAAAACGAUUUUUCUUAUGAUGCUGUGAAAAAAAUUACGGGUUUACUUCUUUCCACGAGAUCUAUAACAUGGUCUUGACUUCACGAAAUUCUUUUAAUUUAAAGCGUGCUGGUGUGAGAAGGUCAGUUUGACUGAUUAAUUCUUUUUAACAGUGGUCGAGAUAAUUUUACUAUACUCAAAAAUAUUCUUAUUCUGAUAAUGCCACAAAUGUUAUGUUGUUUUCUUAGGCUAAGGAUCUUCUAUCAGGAGAGGUUAGAAAUUAAAUGCUUAAAAGAGAAUAAUACAGAAAUUUAGACAGAAUCUAAUCGAAUAUUGCAUGAAACAUGAAACAUCAAUUCAAGUCCUUUCUUUAAACAGAGAAUGCAUCAAACAAAAUCCAAAGUGUCUUGCACGUCUGUAGCAUGAGCAAAAAAUUGUAAAUAUGUAGAACCAAAUUAUUCAAGUAUAGAAGAACGAGCAAGCUAAAUCAUGUAUAAGAGAUUGGCCUGGUUCGAGAUAGCUUCUUCACUGUACCUGAAGGGUUGGCUCAAUAUCUUCUUUAGAAUUCUGCACAUUUUGUAAUUACUCGUGUAAGCAAGCAUACAUUGCCACCAUAAGAAUAAUAAAGCUAGAGUAAUGAUAGGACCACCACCUCUUGUGCACAAACAAUAUUGUAUAAACUAAUGCGAGAUAAUAUGAUUGGUUAAAUAAAAACAUUAUAUGGUCCUCAUAAUUUAUUUAUUUAUUUAUUAUUAUUAUUAUUAUUAUUAUUAUUAUUAUUAUUAUUAUUAUUAUUAUUAUUAUUAUAUAUUUUCAGUCAACCAAUCAUAUUAUAUCACAUUAGUUUCUAUAAAAUAAUUUACUAAAUAGCACCAAAACUUAAUUGAUACUCACCAUUUCAUUGAACAAUUUUUUUAUGGUGUCAUUGAGGUUGCCUUCCCAACAUGCUUCAUCAUCAUCAUCUUCUUCAUCCUGAUCAUCCUUUUCUUCUUCGGUGACGUUCACUUUGUUUAGCAUUGGUGUGUCUAAGACUCCUUGAGAGAAGAUCUUCAUUUUUGGACACUGUCUCACAACUACUUGUUUCAAGGACGGGAAUUCAAGAGCGUAAUUACCCAAACUAAAGCUUGUUAGGCUUGGCAAACAAUCAAGUGUCAAGUACUCCAAUUCCCUGAAAACAAUGCAGUCUUUCGCUUCUUCUCCAACCUGCGAUUGUAUGAUUUCUUCUAUCAUUUUGCAAUCAGCUAUCUUCAUUCUUUGAAGAUUCACUAGACUUUCAGAUGUCGAGAAUGUCAACACAUUUAUCAACCCGUGACAUUUUGAUACUUUCAAAGCCUCAAGAUUUUCCAAAUGCCACGAAGGUGGUACUAAUUUUUGCAACUUACUACAUUCCGAUAUUUUUAGACUUUCCAAAUUUGCAAAUACUUUGUUGGAUUCGGCAUUUUCCUUCCAGAGAUGCUGCACUUUGUGUAAUCUAGACAGCCUUAACUUCCUCAAUUUAGGGAAUGCAACCUGAAAAUCAACAAAAUUAAGUUGUAAAUGAAAAUAUGUAUCCAAUCUCUGGAGUCUUCCCCUGCAUAUUUUAUGGACAAGAUUAAUCACGGCAUUUUAUAUUUUAUCUCCAAAUUAGUAUGCUUUGUAGUAGGAUCCCAAAUAUAAGUAUCAAAUCGAUUACCCUUUGAAACACAUAAAUGAAAUCUGAUGCUAAAUCCAAUAUGAAUUAGCUAGGAAAACAGAGAUGUUACACACAUAAUUAAUAUAGUUCAUCACCUCGUGUUACUAGGCAUCCAAUUAAUUUCAGACAUUUUUAUAAUUCAUACUAUAAAGAUAGUUAAUAACUGCGGUUAUAUUGUUAAAUCAGAUAUAAAUUAAGAUGACAUGCAAAAAGAUGAGUCAUUAAAUUUGACUUGAUUCUAAUGAAAUUACAUCUAUGCGAACGAAAGUGAAGGGAAAAAUAAUAAUAAUAAUAAUAAUAAUAAUAAUCACCUUUUCAUCAAAGAGGGGUUGUACUUGAUGAGCCAGCAAGAAGUUCUCUUCUGAUGUUAAUUUUUCAGGUUUCUUGUUAUCUGUUGUCACGUGCACUACAGAGUUGGAUAUGAAUGUUUCCAUAUCAGGGCAAUUCUCAAUAGUUAGAUUCUCCAACUUAGGCGGUUCAAUUAUAUUCCCAGUGAAGUUGCAGAAUCUUUUGAGUUUUGGAAGAUCAAUGAGCCUUAGCUCGGAAAGCUUAGGAAACGGGGGGCCUAUAUGUUCUUUGUCAGCAUUUAGCUCUUCGAAAUGAAACACCUCUUCUAUUGAAUCACAAUUCCUCACUUCCAGCCAUUCCAAAUUGUUCAAGCACCGUAGCAGAUUGGCAGGAAUAGCACUCGACAUAUUCGUGCAGUCAUCCACCACCAGCUGUGCUAAAUUGUUGAAGAAGCUGACAGGCAGUGCUUGGCCAUGCCAUAUUUCUUGCAAGCGUGGAAAAUGCGAGAGUUGCAAACGGUUUAUAUCAAGGAAUCCAAUCUGCACAAACCAAAACAAUUUUGUUUUUGAAAGGCAUUAUAUAUACACACAUUAAACUUACAUGUUUUGUGUUUUAACUUCUAAAAAUAUAUAUACAAGGGAGGUGUAUAUGCUUAAAUGUGCAAGUGCAGGGGAGAUGCAUGAACAAUUUGGUUGAAUCGAUUAACACAUACCAUUUCGUCAUAGCACUUUUGUAUAGUGGAACUAAGGUUAUUGCCUUCCCAAUGGUGCAGUUCACCCUCUUCCUUUUCAGUCACUUGUACUUUGCAUGGCUUUGGAAUGGAUAAGAUUCCGUGAGAAAAAUUCUUCAUGUUCGGACAAUGUGUCAUAGAAACUCGUUCCAGUGAUGGGAAUUCAAGAGUGUAAUUCUCCAAACAAAAGCUGGUAAGCCUUGGUAAAUCAUCAAGUAUCAAAACUUUUAAUUUGCUGAAAGCAAUACGAUUCUCCUUCACUUCUUGUCCAACAUGUCCUACGAUUUCUUCUAAUUUUGGGCAACCCGAUACUUUAAGAUUCACCAGGCUACUAGGAAUUCCAACCUAAAAAUAAGCAAAAGUGUGUGUACGUUAAAAAAGUAAAAAUGUAAGAAUAUCAUUCAACUAGGUUCAAAGUAUGUUUAAUCAUACAAUUAUACAUUUUAUGAACAUAACAAAUUAUGAAAUGUCUACUAGAUAUUUUUUGUUAAACAAAAAUAGAACAAGAUAAAUAAAUAAAUAAAAGCCAGAUAAAAAAAGAUAAUAAAAAUGCAUUUACACUAUUUAGUAUUAGAAACGUAGAAAGAAUUUAAGGCAAUUUCUAAAUAUUUUAGACUUCUUUUGCAUCUUGAUAUCAGUUUUUAAGCAUAAAUUUGCAAAUUUCAACUAUUCCUUUUUUUUUAAAAAAAAAAACUCAACCAUUUUUCCCUUUUCCUUGGUUCCUUUUUUUAAUGUAUAUUUAAAAAUGGAAAAAAAAUUGGAAAAGAUUUCCCAAUACUGUCAACAAGGGACUACUGUAAAGUGGAUCUUUAUUAAGUACUUCCAAACUCGAGGAAAUUUCUUUACAAUCAAGGGUCAGUUGUAAAUAAUCAUGAAUUUGUGGUUAAUUAAUGGCAUAAUCAAUUCGUAACUAAACUAGAGAUAUUAAUUAAAUUUGAAGACUUUUAUUUUUUUUUCCAAUCGAAACGUGAAGAAUUAAGGAAAAGAGAAAUAUAUAGAUGAAUUUGUGAACCUAUAAGAUGAGAGACGAUCCUUUAAUUUUUGAAAAUCGUACUUUUAAGAUAUGAGCAAAAACAAUUAAAUUGAAAACCGGACUUAAAACGUAGAUUUCAGAGUAGUGGUUAAUUUGAAGUACAAUACAAAAAUGGUUAAAAAAUGGUUGAAUUUUAUCUGGGAAAAAAGAUUCGAAAUGAAUACAGCAACCUUACCAAUGGAGGAAAAAUAUUUCUUAGGUUAUCACACCACCAUAUGUCCAAAUUCUUCAAUUUGCUGAAAGACUCCGAAGCAAGCUGGUGGUGCCAUAUUCUUCUCAAAUUAUCCAUCAUCUCCAUAAGUAAUACCUCCACCCUAGGAAGUCGUACCUGGCAGUUAAAGAUUAAAUAACUAAUUAAUCAAUUAAUGGCAUAAUCAAUUGAUAACUAAAUUAGAGGUGGAUAUUAACUAAAUUUGAAGACUCAAGGAAAAGAAAAAUUAAGUAUUGUGACUAAAAUUAAUUUUUUUAUUAAAAAAAAAAACCUUUUCGUCAAAAAGAGGAGGAGGUUGCAUUUCAGAAUGAAUGGUGUCUUCUGGUGAGCUCGUAGAGAUGAAUCUUAACAUAUUACUGCAACCACUAAUCCGGAGUUCUAGCAAAGAAGGGAAUUCAACAACUAAAUCUGAAUGAAUAUGUCCCGUAUUGGCGAAGCUUGUUAGUUCUGGAAGACAAUGGAGCUCGAGGGAGUGUAGUUUAGGGAAAUGAAUAUGUCCUUCAUCUCUUUCUGACCACCCCGUGGUGUCGACUACCCCUUCCAUUGACUUACAAGCUCUUAUCUCAAGAUGUUGGAGUAGCAAAAGACUAUUAACCAUAGAAUACGAAAACAGAUACUUCAUACGAUCACAACUGCUCACGAUCACCUUUGUUAAAUUUUGACAACAGUACAUUCCUUGAUUAUGAUCGGCCCAUAAUUUUUUCAUGUUUCUUAAUAGCGUGAGAUUCAAUUCCUCUAAGCUCGGAAGAAUAACCUGCAAAGAAAACCCGUACAUUUUUGUUCCUUCAAGUACAACCGUCUAGUAUAAUAUUCUUUUGAUGAUCGAAGAUUAAUCGUGAUAAUAAAUUAAUCAAUUAAUUAUUGUACAGAAAAUUAUCACCUUUGGAGCGGUAUCAUCAUCAGCAAUGAUUUCGUUGAAUCCCAAAGAAGUUGUUGGUUUCUCCCUGUCGGGUCCUAUAAACAAACAAAAACAAUAUACAUAAUUAAUCUUUGUCGUAUUUUUUUUUCAAAAUAAUUGAGGUGAAGUCCAUAAUCCCACCAGUACUUAAUUUCAACACUUACCAACAAUCAUUUCCAGAUCACCGCCAAAUAACACUUCUACCUUUUGAAGCCGCAGUAGGUUUUUGGCCAUGGAGAAUGAGAAAAGAUGCUUCAAUUUGUCACAGCCGCGUACUAUUAUAAUCCUUAAGUUGCUGAAAGAUUGAUCUUCUGUGAGUUGGCUGUCACAUAUUGUCUCCAACUUGCUCAAACACCAAAGAGACAAUGACUCCAGCAAGGGGAAGACUUUGCGACGAACCCGUCCAACUGAACCGACAAUGUGUAAAAUCUCAGAACAACUUUCUACGUGAAGAUGCUUCAAUCGUGGAAAACCUUCCCCAUCAUCUAAUUCAUGAACAACAUUCUGAACACCCUUCAGUUCUUUUAGAUAGAGAUAUUCAGUUCUCUCCAACAACAGUUUCAUCCUGUAAUUCUGCAAAAGAAUGCCAAACUUUUCUAGCCCCUGGAGCUUCAUCAAUCUUGAUAAUCCAGAUUUAACGGACCGGCUGCUCCACCACUCAUUUCCUAUACAUAUCCUAUAGCUUUGCAAUUCCACAGAGACCAAAUCCUGCGGUAGAAUUUCGGCAUCCCGAACGUGUAUCUCCAAAGUAGUUAGCUUUGACAACCCAUUCAAUUCAGCAAGACUGGCGUUACUUCCUCCUUCAAC